rnacentral:lncRNA from 1 species
CCUGUUUGAGUAUGUACCUAACCACACUGCAAUUUCCAUAUUUGGCCGCUACAUGAAGAAUGUUCUGCCCUUUCUUAUUGAGGAAUUCUUUUGGAUAUGGGAAUUUAUCAAGAAAUUCCUUCACUACAUCUACAGAGUGACGUUUGCAUGCUACAUGGAUAGGAUAGUCGCCUUCAAGGUUUGUUUCAUAAGCAUCAUCGUGAAAAUUCGUUAAUAGGAAUCGAACUCCUUCCAGAAAACCUAUGGAUGAUGCAUAAUGCAGUGAAUUUCCAAACUCUUCCUCGGUGAGACGUAAUAGCUCUGGCUUUUCAUUUCCAAUUUUCUCCAAAAUAUCUGAAAAUCAAAAGAAAAUGUUCCAAAUGAAUAUAAAGAUGAUAGCUUUGCAACAAUUGUUUGUAUGUAAUUCAUUUUCUAGUGAGUGAUGAAACUGUGAUCACCUCUGUUACGUUGCUUGAUGGCAGCAUGAACAGGUGACUUUCCUUUUGGCAGGGCAUCACCAUCUUCACUUUUUAUAGGGAACGAAACUCUCAAAUGCAAGAGAUCAUCAAGUAUCUCUUUCUUAUUGCCGUUCUCAACUGCCAGAUAUAAAGGAGACUUGCCAUUCUUGUUGUUGUAAUAGGCCACUUCUGGAUCUCUGGAAACUAGGAGUUGGGCAACUUCUUUGUUAUCGGCGAUCACUGCAUCAUGCAAAGGAGUGUUUCCCUUUGUAUUUUUCUUCAUGAUCAACUUCUUUGUUAUCGGAUUUGAUUCCACAAGAGAUAUAAUUGCAUGACUGGCGUUUCCUUCUCUGGCAGCAAGAUGAAGGAUUGUGUCCUUCUGGCUGUUUUGAAUGGUGAUUAGAGAAGGAAACGUUCCAGCCAGAUAAGAUGUAAUAUUGUCACUUCCAUAGCUUACAGCUACGUGAAGUAGUGUAUUCCCGCAGGGUGUCACUAGCUUCUCCGCUGAACGUUGCUGGACAAGCCUUCUAAAUUCCCCAGUAUUUAUGUUCUGCCUCACAAACUCAUGCAACUGACUAUCUAUCAUUGCAUUUGCCAUGUGAUCUCUCGGAAUCGAGUUUUCAUCAAUGUUUAUUGCUACGCUAGACAUGGCAAAAGAAAAUAUGGUGUUGGUUGAAUCAGCUAUACAAAAAUUAUAGUCUUAAUACCCAGACCCACCUGUACAGAUUCGGGUUGACGAAAAAAUUAUAUAGUUGACUAGUUAAAAUCCGAAUGUCAAAUAUUUUUUUAAAAUAAAAUAAUACUUAUUUAAUUUUUAUUUUCUAAAUCUUCUUUAGUAGCCUCGUUAUUUUUAUUUUCUCAGAAUACAAGUUGUAAAUUUGUCAUGUUAACCCAAGUUGACUUAAGUCAAUCCAAUAUGUUGUUAUCUUAAUAUAAAAAAAAAAUUAUCAUCUUAAAUUUUUUUAAUCAAACUAUGUUCUUACAUAAAUGUCUUAUGGGUUGUUUUUAGAUCCACAAAGUCAUUCAAGUGCAUCGGGUCAACACUUACAUGGUUUUAAUUUUUUAUUUUACAAAUAUGUAAAAAUAACAUUAUUUUGGUCAAAUUUAAAAAAAAAAAUCAAUGGGUUUUUAGACGGGUUUUUUUAAAAAAAAAUUAAAAAGAAUUUAACAAAAAAAUUAGGUCGUACAAAUUUUAAAUAAAAAAUAAAUAUCAUGGUUAAUUAAGAACAUUGAAUAAUUUUUAAUAAAUACCCUUUUAUGAAAUAUCCUUAAAAGUCUAAUAUGUUUGUCAUUGCCUUUUAAACGGGGUUGGAUAAAUUUUAAUUUUUUUUAUUUAAAAUUAAUUUUUUUUUAUUUUCAGAUUGUUUUGAUGUACUAAUAUAAAAAAUAAUUUUUAAAUAAAAAAAUUAUUAAUUUUAAUAUAUUUUUAAAUAAAAAACAUAUUUUUUUUUAUUCUAACCACCACUUGAAACGCUACAUAGCAAAAUUGAAAACUUAUUACAACCUGGGAUAUGAAAAGGACAUCUGAAAUAAAAUAAAUACAGAAAGCUGUAAUCUGAUGGCAUUAAUUCCCAUAAUUUAUUACACCUGGCCAGUUGUCCUUUCUCAUAACUUUCUAAUUCACUCAUUAAGCUGAGACAGAAAAAAUGCACUGAUCAGAGUGAUUCUCUAGAGGAUGAAAGGGAAAUUAAUCUUAAUUUAAUUUCUUGCAUCUCAUUCAACAACUUCACAGGCACGGCUGUCUAUAUCCACAUCCCAUGAGCGGAAUCGAAAAGGCAUCAACCAUACCUAACCAUAACUAGGCAUGUGAAGAAGAUCGUUUCACUGCAUGGGUGCUUUGGGAGGUUUAGUUUGACAGAUUCUGUGAUAUGCAAGAGGUGUGUCUUCUUUAAGAAGAAACCAUGUGUUUGAAAUUAAUACUUUUUGGAACAGAUUUGGGAAUUGAUACAGAAAAAACCUGGAUUACUCGAUUAGUUUAAAUUAAUUAUUUAAAUUUUCUUUUAGAAUUGACCUAAUCCACUAGCUAGCCUAGUAAGGUAUAGUUGGGUUAGGUCAACUAGAUUACGAGUAAAUUAUAUUUCACUAAGUCAAUUUCUUUUUUGUUUUAAUUUAAAACCUCGGCCAAGCCACACUUCCGGCGUUAACGUUCCAAGUCAACCCAUUAUACUAGGCUAGGUUUAACAAGAAUGUUUAAGACAUUUUAUUUAACAAUAAAAUAAGUAAUCCAAUAUUUCUAACAUCCGAUUCAACAGACUCAAUGUCUUUCCAAUAUGUUUGAAGGCUUAAACACCGAUGUCAAGGCAGUUUUUCCUAUCUACCAGCCUUCGGACCCCUGACCUAGUUGUGACAAGGCAUAAGAGCUGUGCAAAGAGCUUGCCAUGCUCUCUGCUUAAACCUCUUGAGAUUUUGAGAUAUUAGUCUGGAAAUUUCUUGAUUCCCUCAUAAACAAGAAGGAAAAUCCCAUGAGUUUUCAUCUUCCUGCCAUUUCAUGACCAUACUUUGUUUUCGUAGAAGUUAAACACUUUUACAUUUUCUUAAUUAAGAGAUUCAAAGAAAGUAAGUUUAAUAAAAAAAAAACAUUGGUAGAAGACUGGAGCAUGCAGCUAGCCUAGACAGAAAAUUAAUUGAUGUACAAUCAGUCUUAAUACCCAGACCCACCUGUACAGAUUCGGGUUGACGAAAAAAUAUAUAGUUGACCUAGUUAAAAUCCGAAUAUCAAAUAUUUUUUUAAAUAAAAUAAUACUGUUUUAAUUUUUAUUUUUCUAAAUCUUCUUUAGUAGCCUCGUUAUUCAAAUAUUUCCUAAAGUUUGACACCGGGUUGAUUUUUAAAACAUGUGUACAAUUGCUACCCCACUAUCAGGUCAUUAAAGGGUUCACCUAGAGUACUACCGUUAUUUCACUUAUUUCUGAAAAAGACUCCAUGCAUGCAUGCAUUCAUAUAUUUACAAUUUUAAUUGUACAAGUUAGACCGUACGUAUUCAGUUAUUGGCAUCACCUACUGCUCUCCACCUUCCAUGUCCUCUCCACUUGAUGAUGAGGCCUUGCUGUCCAUCCUCCUAAUAAAAGUUGCCCAUCCGUAAAUUUAUUACACACCCUGCACAAUUCCCUUUUUUUAUCUGUUUACUGUGUUAGAAAAUAGUAUGAAAUCAUUCUUGUGAUUUUACCUAAUAAUCAUGAUUUUAAAACUCACCUCACCACCUCCAAUUUAACUAAAAUAAAAUUAAAUAUAAAGUAAUGUUGAGUUUCUGCAGAUUUUGUUAUAUGAAACUAUGACAGAAUGGAUUAAUUGAAGAAGUCGGUGUUGACGCUGAAGAUGCAAGAAAAGCACUAUUAUGAGGCUUAAUCUGCAGUGGACAAGGAGCUCUCCUUUGUAACCGGCUUGAUGGCCCCCUGUAUUCCAUCUCUUCUUUGUGAACGCAGGUUUGGAAUCCAGGAAAGUCAUCACCAGAAUCCCCCGUUUUCUGUCAGUGCCUCACUUGAAGCUUGGAUCAAAAGUAAGCAAACGAGAACUGGAGAAAAAAGCUUGGUAUCAGCUAGUUGAUCAUUGGAAGAGAUGAACCGUACCUGAAUUUCUUGCUUAGUAAUACAAUCACGGAUAAAGUAAUAAUCAACUUUUUAGUACGAGUGUGAAACACUGAAUUGAUAAAUAAUAGGAAAUAUUAUGUUUCCGCUUGUAUAGUUUUAUUCUGUGUAAUAGGUUACACCAUAACAUAUAUACAAUGCCCUACUUAUAUAAAUAGUAGAGGAACUGCUCUGAUUAAGACACUCAUCAAAUUAUUACAUAUCUCUACUUUAACUUUGUAUUAGAGCCUCUCUAUCUUAAAUAGGUUUUUUUUCUUCUACUCUGUUGCAGAUUCUUCUCCCUACCGCGAUCCCUGCUCUUUUAUUUUCUACUGCAGAUCCGUCUCUCUACUGCUUGCUAUUCACCCUCUGCUACAGCCUCGCUGUCAACAUCGUUUCUCCAUCUGGGUACUCUGCUUAGUCCCUGCCCAAUUUGGACUUGUGCGUGGAUCUCUCCACAUAUUCUUUUCCAUAGCAGACCUUCAUUGAUCCACCUUCUGCUCUGCCACCCAUUUGGCAGUAUCCUAUGGUGAUGCAUCAUAGACAGCAGAAGAUUGCCAACAUCAGCUCUGCUUCUGCUCCCUUCACCAAUUUCAGCUCCACAGGUAAUGUUCCCCUCUGCUUUUGAGCAUCUAAGUUUUAAGGAAGCUGACUAGUACUUGUGUUGGCAUACUGCCAUGAAGGAUGAAAUUGCAGCCUUACAUGCCAAUGUCACUUGGUCACUGGUGCCAUUUGAUCCAUCUAUGAACAUUGUUGGUUGUCAAUAGGUGUAUAAAAUCAAGCGUCGAGUUGAUGGGGCCAUUGACUGUUACAAGGCUCGCUUGGUUGCACGAGGGUUCACUCAACAGGAAGGUAUAGAUUAUUCAGAAAUCUUCAGUCUUGUUGUUAAACCGACUACUGUUCGGCUAGUCCUCACGAUUGUAGUCUCAAAAUGAUGGCAGAUUCCGAAACUUGAUGUUCAUAAUGCUUUCCUCAAUGGUUCACUUCGCAAGGUUGUUUACAUGCAACAACCCUAAGAUUUUGUCGACUUAACUUUGCCCACUCAUGUCUGUCGCCUUCACAAAUCUCUCUAUGGCUUAAAACAAGCAUCGCGGGCCUGGUACAUGCAAGUGAGUGAUUUCCUCCUGACUAUUGGUUUUCGGGCUUCAAAGGUUGAUACCUCCUUGUUUAUUCUGAAUGUGAAUCAUGAUAUCUGUUACUUACUUGUCUAUGUGGAUGGCAUCUUACUUAUUGGUAAUAACUCUCAAUUGAUUCAUUGCCUCAUUACCUUCGUGAUUUGGGUCAUGCACAUUAUUUUUUGGGGAUUGAAGUUGAUCCCACCAGUGUGAGUCUUGCGCUUAGUCAACAGAAGUAUAUUCUUGUUAUUCUAAGCCAUGAAUGAAUGUGAUCGUGUAAACCUGUUGAUACACCAGCUUGUGUUUCCAAACUUGAUCUGUAGUCUACUGAGUUGUUUUUAGAUCCCACUCGCUUCCUCCAAAUUAUUGGUGUUCUUCAGUAUCUCAUAUUUACUUGACUAGACAUUUGAUAUGUUGUAAAUAAGGUAUAUUAGUUUAUGCAUGCUCCUACCGAAGGUCAUUGGGCCGCUGUUAAGCGUAUGCGUGAAAGGCCACCUUUGGUCUCCACCUUUCUCAUGACUCAGCUUUGACUCUUCAUGGUUUUAUUGAUGCUGAUUAGGCCUACAUAUUGGUGAUCAAAAAUCCACGGGCCGGUGGAUACAUUGUAUUUCUUGGCACCACUCCCAUUUCAUAGAAAUCUGGCAAGCAAGCAUUGUUGCUCGCUCCUCCACUAAAGCAAAGUAUAAGGCCUUAGCUGAUGGUACUGUUGAGGUUGUUUAGCUUCAUUAUAGUUUUUUCAGAUUUAUGUUUCUCUCCUAGUUCUGCUACCACUAUCUAGUGUGAUAAUUUGGGUGCUACUUAUCUAUCGGUUAAUCCGAUCUUUUAUGCUCGUACGAAGGAUGUUGAGGUCAAUUAUUACUUUGUUCAUGAUCGAGAGGCUAAGAAGGAGAUUUAGAUUCACUUCAUCUCCUCCAAAGAUUAAUUAGUCGAUGUUCAUACAAAGUCACUUGCUUCCUCUGCUUUUGCUUCUCUACAUUCCAAGCUUCACGUAGAUAACUCACCUUCAACUUUGGGGGUGUAUUUUAGGAAAUAUUAUAAAAUUAGAAAUUUUAUGUUUCCUCUUGUAUAGUUUUAUCUUGUGUAAUAGGUUACACCAUAACUUAUUUAUAAUGCCCUACUUAUAUAAAUAGUAUAGGAGCUGCCCUGAUUAAGGCACUCACGGAUAAAGGGACUAAUUGCAAAAAUAAAAGGUAUUAGCACCUCUAAUAUAUCUUACCUAAGGCAAACCAUGUUGUUUAUUUGUCUGAUAUAAACUAAGGUAUUGUUGUGUUUUCUAAUCAUUGAUCUGUCUAAAAUUAAAGAAAAAUCAUUCUCAAUAAAGAGAUCUUCAUCUUAUUAGGUUAAAAACUUAACCAUUCUAAUGCUGAAACAUGAAAAAGAAAGAAAAUUGUCUUUUUAUUUAAUUUUAGAAAUAUAUCUUACGUAUAAUCUUAUAAUUCCAGAUAUUAAACAAAAUGUGGUUCUUCCUAUCACAAGUUUAUUUUCCAAGUGUUAAAGAAUAAUAUAAAUCAUAUCCUGGACCUCACCUAACAGCUUAAGCUAUUAGGUUGAGAUGGUUCUUUGAUAUGAUAUCAGAGCAAACAAAUUGUCCAGUAGCCUUCUAUCGUCCUGUAGUCUUCUUUUCCAGCGCCUUCUUUCAAAUUUCUCCCUCACAUCUGAUUCUCUUCUUCUAGCAACUUUCUUCCUUUAUUUCAUCCGCAAUACUGCUAGACUUCUUUCUCCUAUGGACAAUCAAUAACUUCAUCAUUCUGUUGCCGCUGCAUCAGCACUUCAAUCUUCUUUCUCCAUUAUGGUGCCAAUAGCCACCUAUGGUGUAUCCACUCUGGUUUCUGCCAUCAUAUCUCUUCCUAACACGUAACAGGUAAUGUCUUUAAAACUCUCCAACACCAAUUUUAUGUAUUGGAUGAUGGAGAUGAAACCGUUCCUUUUGGGCUAAGGUGUGUACUCUUUUGUUAAUGGCACAUCAUCAUGUCCUCCUUCUCAUCUAGAAUCUGCUGCGACAUCUUCACCUGAUGGUUAUCAACACUUGUCGAUAUUUGCUGAAGCUGGAAUUUAGACAAAUCAAUACAUAGAUUAAAUCUAUAAGGGGAAUCAGAGGAAGAACCUGAUGAGGAGCUUAAUAUAUGUGCAGGCCGUGAGGGAGAACUAGCUGGAGAAUCUACAAGAGUGACCGCCACAACAGGGGAACUAGCAGGGGAAAAACCAAAGCAACUGGUAGGAGCAAUGGAUAAUGCAUGCGAGGGUGGUGAAUCUAAACUUGUACCUGAAGCAUGAUUAUGAUAAUAACAUGCAGAUAAUGGUAAGGGAGCCAAUGAGAUGCAAGGGGUGUGGGGGGUAGUGGUGGAAAGGAUGAAGAUAGUGGCUUGGAUGGUAUAAAGUAACCGGUAUAGUGGCAGCAUAAAUAUUUGUAGGUGCGACUAUAAUUUGUUCAGGUUUACUAAGAAGAAAAACAUGUUCAUGAAACUAGAUAUCAUGACAACUCAUGAUAACCUAAAUGAGAGUUACUAUAUCCUAGAAAAACACAAGUAGAUAAACAAAAAUCUAACUUAUGAGCAUUGUAUGGACGGAGGAAUGGAAAACAAAGACACCCAAACAUACGAAGAAAAGCAUAAUCAGGAGAUGAUUUUAAAAGACACUCGAAAGGACUCUUAUAAUUAAGAACCAGAGUUGGCAUGUGAUUAAUCAAGUAAACAGAACUUUUAAAAGAAUAACUCCAAUAUUUAAGGGGAGUGUCGCACCCCAAAAAUAAAUCAGCGCGCGGCAUCGGCUGGCGAUUUUUAUCGUUGUUGCGUUACGUUUGCUUGAAUCGGUUCGUUGGAGUCGCCACCUAGUAAUUCAUUGAAGGCUACUAGGAAACCGGAUGUACUGGUCUUGUCAGAGAUUUGCGGGUAAGGGACUGGUUGUGGUUAGGGAAGGUAUUAGCACCCCUAACGCACCCUACCUGAGGUAAGCUGCUUCGCGAAUUUGAUGUGUUAAAGAAGUUUUAAUAAUUGUCUUUUCAUCGGAAAUUAGAAAUAUCACUUACGUAUAAGUUAAUAAUUCUUAACCGUGAUCCGAUCAAAAAAUUAAAUUCUUCUUUAAUAUAUUUGCAAUUUUAUCAUUUAAAACUAUAUACAAAUAAAUAAAACAAAAAAUACAAGCACACACAUACACUUUCACUAUUUUAUUUUUGUUUCUUUUCUUUUUCUUUUCUUUUCUUUUCUUUUCUUUUACAUCCAUAUUUACAAAAUACAAAUUACAAAAACUAAAAACUAAACAAAUAUUACAUUAAACCAUUUGGAAAUUACAAAAAUGACCCAAAACAAAUUCAGGAACAAUUCUGGGCUGCCUGAACAGUAACGGCGCGUGGGCUCACGCGCCGCCCCGAAAAUCAGGCAGCGUGAGGGGGCUGUAAUGCUUCCUCCUCUCUUCGAUCUCUUCACCUGCAAAUCCAAAAAACACACAGCAAGGGCAGUCGAUUUUAAGUUUUUCUUAGUUUUUCAAAUCUGUUUUUUUGUUCUUUCUUUCUCCGCCGUCUUCGAUCUGCCCCUCUCUGCAGCUUGUUUCUGUUUCCUCUUCUUCUAUACAGAUGGCCGGCGGUUGUGGGUGUCUUCUUCUCCUCUAUUUCUGGUGGUGGAUCCGGCGGUUGUAAAGGGGGAGCGACGCUGCUGCUGGAGGAAGCUUCGGGUUGAUGGAGAUGAAAAGAUCGGUCUAGGUCUGUCGGAUGUAGGCUGCUGGGUUGGUCUCCACUUCUGUUGGUUGCAGCGGCGGAUGGCCCUGCUGCUGUUGUCUGCGUCCGGUGGAGCCGCUGUGAAGAUGGAGGGGUUGCCUUGGCUUCUCGGGUUUUGGCUGCUGAAUCCCAGCGAGGACGGCUGCUCCGGGUGGUCUGUGCGGCUGAAAGGGGAGGGGGUUUCUUUGGCUGGUGAGAGGCAGCAAUGGGGUUGUCGGGUUGAAGAUUGAGGGGGCGGCUUCGGGCUGUUGUUUUGGAUUUGUUUGUGGCCGAGAGAAAGGGAACGGCGAAGAAGAAGAUGAAAACAGGGGGAGGCUGGUUCGGGUGGCCGGUUUUUUUGGGUCAGAAAAAAUCAAACCGAGGAGCAACUCCGGGAGACCAAAAAUGAAAACCAGGGGGGGCGGCUGGUGUGAAGAAAAAAGUUUUUUUUUUUUUUUAGGGUUAGGGUUUCUGUAUUUUUUUCUUCUAUAAGUGUCAAAAUUACCCCCCCUUUUGCAAGUGUUGGAAAUCAGUAUUUAUAGACAAAAUUUUUGCUAGGUUUUUCAACUUGGUCCCUCAACUUCUUUCUUUUUUUGUAAAUUUUGAUUUUUCUUAUUUUUUUGUAUUUUUUUGAAAACGAGCAAUAUCAACGUCGACUCAAAUGCGGAAAAUCAAUGAUUUUAAAAAUGACGCGUGAAAAGUCGAACGCGUUUGAAAAAUUAAAUUAUUUAAAUCAAAAUUAAAUUCUUUCUAGACGACGCUGAAAAUGCUAAAAUGACGGGAAUAUAUUAAAAAACAUAUUUUUUGGAUUUUCAUUGUUUUUCUCUAUUUUUGGAUUUUUUGAAAAUAUAUCAAAAACAUGGGUCAAAAAUUGGGUAGCAACAGAUGCCCCCUUUUUACAAUGCUUACGAAGCGAAAAUCCUCAAAAUUUUGCAUAGUAAGUGUUGUAACCCAUUUUUGGGUCCCCAUGAAAAAAUAAAAUAAAUAGCCAAAAGAGUUAAAAAAAAAUAACAAAAGGCAGAAGCGCUCAGGAAACAGUCAGAAAAUUGGUCAAGAAAUUCAAAAAUACAAGGAUUAAAUUUUUGACAGUAUAUUCUUGAAGGAUGAAAGCCCUAUUGAGAAGGAAAAUUUGAAUUUUGAGGAGAAAAGCCCAAAUUUGGAUGUUUAUGGACUUAAUUGGAUUUUUAUUUGAAUUUAUAGAAGAUUUGAUUGGAAGAAAAAUUGAUUUUUAAGUCAAUUUGGGCUUUAAUUUGGAGAAAUUUAAGUUCUGGGGCCAAAAUAUAUUUUUUAGGAAUUUAUUGGGUCAAAUCAGGGGCUCAAUUGCAUAAAUAUUGAAGUUUAAGGGCCAAUUAGGGACUUAAUUGUGAAAAUCCGAAACCAGGGACCAAUUUGGAGAAGGCGCAAAGAUAGAGGGGGCUGUUUGGAUUUGUUUCAGGGGCUUAAUUGAAGAAAUUGGAAGUUUAUUGAUCAAUUAGGGGCUCAAUUGCAUAAAUCAGAGGCCAAGGACCAAAGUGAAAAAGGCGGCCAACAAGAGGGGUGGGGACCGAAUUUGGGGGACUGAUUUGAAGUUUAGCCAUUUAAAUGAAACGGCGCGUUUUACCCAAAACGACGCCGUUUCAUAAAAAAAAAAAAAAAAAAAAAAAAAAAACGGUGUCGUUUUGAACGACACUGUUCAUCUUCCUCCUUCCCCCCGUUUUAACAGAACAGAAGACGAAAAAAUUCGAAAAUCUUCCCGCGCCUCUCUCUCUCCUCGCCCCCACCACCUUUAGCAUUGGCCGACCAGCCGUUGCACCGCACUAACGAUGGUCCCCCACGGUUCGCCCCUAUAAAGAAGAAAACGAAGAAAAAAAAAAAAAAAACCGAAGGGAGGAGAGAGAGAGGAGGCCGAAGAGAGAGAGAGAGAACACCGAAGAGAGAAGGAGCCGCAGCGCCGCCCGGGAAGCCACGCCACCGCAGCACCGCCACCGCCUCCUCCACGCCAGGUCACCUCUUCUCCCCCCUUCGUUAGUUUUUAUUUUUUUCCCUGCAUGCAGAAUGAACAUUCUGCAUGCAGGGAGGAGGGGGGAAUUAAUUCCCCCCUUGUUGAUUGCGUAGCUGGGCCAGGUGGAUCCUGGCCCAGCACAUUUUUUUUUUGGGCCAGACUAGUCUGGCCCGGCCUUGUAUCUGACGGGCCAGACCAGGUCUGGCCCAUACCAGCUCUCUGGGCCAAGUCCGGCCCAGAUAUUGUGGCCGGCCCAGCCCGAAUUAUUUUUAUAUUAUAUAUUAUAUAUUAUAUUAUAUGUGUGUAUAUAUAUAUAAAAUAUAAUAAUAAAAAAAAUAAAUAUUUUGAAAAAUCUUUAAAAAAAUAUUGUUGAUUUUUCUGCAUAUUUUUGUCAAAAAUGUUUUAAUUUUGGUUUGUAUUUUUAUACUGUAAAGAUACAAAACCAGUGUUAUAAAUACCCGGUUUUCGUCAAAACAUCAAAGAUUUUCAGAAUAAAAAAUGUUUUUGCUUUCAAAAAAAUUCUAAAAAGUCCCUAAAAAUGUUGUUGAUUUUUCUGCAUAUUUUUAUCAAAAUGGUUUAAUUUUGGUUUGUAUUUUUAUACCGUAAAGAUAUAAAACCAGUGUUAAAAUACCCGGUUUUCGUCAAAACAUCAAAGAUUUUCAGAAUAAAAAAUGUUUUUGCUUUCAAAAAAUUUCUAAAAAUUCCCUAAAAAAUGUUGAUUUUUCUGCAUAUUUUUUAAAAGCGGAUUAAUAUUGGGUUGUAUUUUUAUACCGUAAGGAUACAAGCUCAGUAUUAAAAUACCCGAUUUUCGUCAAAGCAUAAAAAAAAUAAUAUUUUCUAAAAAUUGUUUUUGUUUUAAAAUACGGCCUAGUCUCUCCAAUAUAUAUACAUAAAUAUUAUAACAUCAUAUUUUCACACAACAAAGAAAAUUUUCAAAACAAUAUAUGUAUUAACAUGCAUUUUGGCUUUAAUAACCAGUUUAUUCAAGCCAUGAGAACUAGGCCAAUAUUUCAAAAAUUCUAAAAAAUCUUUUUGUUUUAUUUUAGUAUUUGGGAUUACGAAUUUAUACGUAAAACGUAUUCCUAAGUAUUAUUAAUAAAAUUUUGGUAUGGACGUUAGAACGGUUAGGAUUUUUACCCGAUAAGAUAAAAGACCUUCUUACUGAGGAGGAUUUUUCUUGAACUAUAGACAGAUCAACAACUAGGAAAACACAACAACACUUUAGUUUUUUAUCAGACAAUAAAACAAUGCAGCUUACCUUAGGUAGGGCGUAUUUGGGGUGCUAAUACCUUCCCUUUACGCAACCAGUCUCCGUACCCGAUCUCUGAGACCAGUUAGGUUCCUAGUGACCAAAAUACUAGGUGGCGACUCCAAAGAACCAAAUAAAAAUAAAUAAAAAAAUUCGCCAGUCGAACCCGCAAUUGAAAUUUUGGAAUUUUUUUGGGGUGCGACAGUAAGCUUUGUAAAGAAAACAAAAGGAAAAUGAUUUCAUUAUCUUGGGCAACCUGCCUACACAUACUCACUCUAGUCUAUUUUCACGGGCGACCGACCCACACUCUCGCAAUAGUCUAUUUUCACGGGUGACCUGCCCACACAUUGUGUUUACCUGAGAUCCCAUCUAGCGACCUCAUUCAACUGGAACAAAAAUAUUGUGUAACUCGGUUAACCUGAAAUCCCAUCUGGCGAUUCCCUUUAACCAAAGCUACAUGAGAUCCCAUCUGGCGACCUCAUUCAAUUGGAACGAAAUAUACAUAACUCGGUUAACCUGAAAUCCCAUCUGGCGAUUCCCUUUAACCAAAGCUACCCGAGAUCCCAUCUGGCGACCUCAUUUAACCAAAACAAAAGAAUGUGUGAAAAAUGGUCUCAUUGUAUGGGUGACAAACCCAAGAAAAAAAUGAUGGUCUCAUUGUAUGGGUGACGAACCCCAGAAAAAUGAUGGUCUUAUUGUAUGGGUGACGAACCCCAGAAAAAUGAUGGUCUCAUUGUAUGGGUGACGAACCCAAGAAAAAUGAUGGUCUCAUUGUAUGGGUGACGAACCCAGAUGGAAAAAAUGUGAAGUGCGGUCUCAUUAUAAUGGGUGACCUACCCACGUGGAAAAAAUAUGAAGUGUGGUCUCAUUGUAAUGGGUGACCUACCCAGAUGGAAAAAAAUGAUGAAGUGCGGUCUCAUUGUCAUGGGUGACCUAACCGGAUGGAAAAAAUGUGAUAUGACAAGUGUGAAAAAUAGGACUUACCUAGCGAAGUUCUGAAGGGAUGACAGAAGAAAGGGCUGGAAAACUUGGUGCUUCCUGAUAAUUCCCGAUCAUGGGGUUUGAAAACUCGGUGUUUCCUGACUGCAAGGGUUGAAAACUCGAGGCUUCCCGGUUGCAAGGUUGAUCUAUUCAUUUCUUUGGGAUUUUCCUAAUGGUAGGGUUCAUCCCAUCGUCCUUUUAUUCCAUGAUCAAAACUGAUUCUUUAUUAUCAUCACCACAAUGCUUCUUUCUCUUUCCACCAUUGAUUGUGCAUCAAAAGUAUUAUUAAGUCUUUUAUUUUACAUAUGUAUUUAUUGUUUUUAUUUGUCAAAUUCUUGAAAGAAAAUAUUUUCUCUCGUUUUGGCAUGCCCCGGGCUAUGAUUAGUGAUGGGGGAAAGCAUUUUUGUAACAAGCCCGUUGGGAUGUUGAUGAGAAAAUAUGGUGUAAUUCACAAGGUCAGUACCCCAUAUCACCCACAGACUAGUGGCCAAGCUGAGUUGGCAAAUAGGGAGAUCAAGAACAUUUUAGAGAAAACAGUCAAUCCAAACCGUAAGGAUUGGUCCCUACGACUAGUUGAUGCUUUGUGGGCAUAUCGCACUGCUUACAAGACCUUUUUAGGAAUGUCUCCUUAUAGGCUAGUUUAUGGAAAACCUUGUCAUCUCCCUGUUGAGAUUGAGCAUCGUGCAUAUUGGGCCAUCCGGCAAUUCAAUGACAAUGAAAACGAGGUUGAAAAAAAUAGAAAGCUUCAAUUGGAUGAAUUAGAGGAGCUGAGAAAUGAUGCAUUUGAAAAUGCAAAAAUUUCAAAACAUAAGAUGAAAGCUUUGCAUGAUAAACAUAUUUUUAGAAAAUCCUUUCAUGUUGGUCAAAAGGUUCUCUUGUAUAAUUCACGAUUACAUCUCUUUCCUGGGAAGUUGAGGACAAAAUGGAUUGGUCCAUUUGUGAUUAAAUCCAUCUCUGAGCAUGGUGCAUUUGAGGUAGAAAAUCCUAAGAAUGGAAAUGUUUUCAAAGUAAAUGUCAUCGAUUGAAACCUUAUCUUGAAAACGUUGUGGCUGAAGUUGAGACAUUGGAUCUUGAAGAUCCAAUACCAUUGUAGUAUCAGAAGUAAUGAGUUUUUAUUUUAUUUAUUUUCAUUUUUUUUUAUUUUUAUUUUCUUUCUUCCAUCUCUUAUAUUUUCUUGUUCAUGCAUUAGGGACAAUGCAUAAUUUUCAGUUGGGGGGUGUGAGGUUCUUUAUUUUCACAAAAAAAAUAAAAAAAAAUCAAUGUUUUCUUUUAGUUGUGAUAUGCAGGUUAAAAAAAAAAUCAAGCAAGAAGUCAGCUCAUGUCCAAGUCAAUCAGACAUUCAUCCUUGAAAACAAAAGGGGAGUAACAGUUUUCUAAUCAUUAUACUUUUCUUCUCUUUUUUUUUUUAUUGAGGAUAAUGUAAAACUUAAUUUUAGAUAUUUGAUUAUGUUGAAUGCUUGAGAUAACCAUGCUUGUUUAAAAAAAAAAAAAAAUUGCAUUCGAAUGUGAAUGAGACUUGUUUAGGAUCAACAUUACAUUUUUGGAUUUAUUAUUGUGUUGAACAUUGCAUGCUUUAAUUUGGGAUAGAUAAUAUCUUAUAAAGAGAUAUAGCAUACUUUUUUUAAAGAUUAUUGAAGUACAUCUUUCCUUGUAAAAGUUGUGUGAGUUGUGCGAUUAUGCAUGAAAGAUGAGUGUGAUGCUUUACUUGUGAUUAUCCCUUUUGAUCUAGUCCUAAACAAGGUUUAAGUAAAUAAAGUAAUAAUUAUUACACAAAUAAAUAAAUAAAUGUGUACAAAGUUCUAUCUACUCCAAUGUUUUGAGUUGCUCAGUAACUAGGGUAUUCAUCACAAAUGUUUAUCUUUACGUCAAAAGGCAGCUUGAAAUAUGAGUAUGCAAAGCACUUUAAGUUUGUGACUUUGUGAGUAACCGGGUGCAUUCAUCAAAUGUUUGUAUUCGCGUCAAAAGGGAAGUGACCACUUAAAGAAAAAGAAUAAAUAAUAUCUUCAAAAAAAAAAAAAAAGAAGAAGAAAAAAAAAAGGAAAAAUAUAUAUAGAUAUUUCUUUAGUUUGCUACCUUGUUUGUAGUAGUGAAAAGGGAAGAUUACAAGUUGAGUUUUCGCGUGAAUCAAUUAUUUGGUUGCAUGAUAAAUACGAUUGAAUUUGGAAUUUUUAUGAGAUGUUUGAUUUAGAGAAUGUGAGUAUGCUUAUUUUUCUUUAUUUGGUAUUGUGUACACUAAGUUAAAGAUACCAAUGUUUGCAUGAUAGGUCCUUUAAGUGUGAUGAGUCGAGCCUAAUUAUGUUAUUAUUAUUCUUUUUAUUUCAAAGGUUUUAUGUUUUGUUUUGCUUGAGGACUAGCAAAAUCUAAGUUGGGGGGUGUGAUUGUGCAUCAAAAGUAUCAUUAAGUCUUUUAUUUUACAUAUGUAUUUAUUUUAUUUGAAUUUUUUAUAAUAAGUGAUGUGCUUUUUAGUAAUGAAGUUUCUUUUAAUGUUUCGAUAGGUUUUUGGAGCUUAAAUGAUUUCAGAAAAUUCAACGUCGGAAUUCGGAACAAAGAAUUGAAGAGAAAUUUAGUUGAAGAUUGAAGCAAAUCUUGGUUCAAAUAAGUGCUCCAAUUUGCCCAAAAAAUCAAUUAUUUUCCAAUUCUAGAAAAGAAUAUCAUAUGAUCCAUUUCAAGCCCAAACUUACCUUAUGUUGUGUGCAAACUUCAACCAUCAAACACUCAAGGUUUCAAUGUCAAUCUUAGCCCAAAUAAUAGGUACAAUUGUAUACUUAUUUGAUGUUUAAAUCCAGCCCAAAUCAGCCCCAAAUCAGCCUCCAAAUCAGCCCAAGCACAAUCCAUGAUCUUACAUGUCCACACAACAAAUAAUAUUUGAUUUAUUUUGGGCAAUUAAUUGAUUCAAGAGGGCAAGCACAUGGAUGGAAAGCUGGAGGGGACAUUGUGACAUUAUUUUGGGUCAACAAGAAGAAAGAAACAGCUCAUAAAGGAGGAAGAAAAACGUGCACCAAAGUGUUCUCCAAGCUGGCCUGAUUUAAUUUUCCAGAACAUCUUUCGGUGUUUUGCCCAUAACGUUUGACUCAGAUGUCCAAAUGAGCUGUUCUUUAAUGAUCUGGAAAGCUCAUAGAAUUUCCUAUACAUAUGUCUCUAAUAGCCAUCUCCAGGGGAGGCUUCUAAGAGGGUCGAAUUUCUGUCCAAAGUUAGAGUCAGAUUUGUGUCCGAAUUUUUACUGAAAUUCUGUUGUGUUCUUCUUUGUAGAUUUCGGUUCUUUAGUUUGUAAAACUUAUUAUUUCAGUUUGAUUCAAGUUAUUUCAUGUUUAUUAAAGUGUUCUUAUAUAUAAUCAUGGUUGGCUAAUCUCUUUCUUGGAUCCAAAUCAAGGAUGAUGGUGAUUGAGGUGAGUUCUUUAAGAUAUGAAUGAAUGUUAAUGAUUAUCUUUCUUUCUUCAUGAAUGUUUUAUUAUUGCAAAGAAAUUUUAGAAAUCAUUUAGGUAAUGUUAUAAUCUUGAAUUUUUAUGCACAAACCUUAGUUUUGGUAUAGAGAUUGCUUGAUUCAAUGUCUUACUUAAUUUGAAAGUACUUGUUCAUUCUUAAGCAAUAAUUAAUCUUCAUCUUUUUAAACUUCAUUGUAAUAUCUUCCGAUCUAAUAUCACCCGUUUAUUAGGUUGAGUUAUCUUAUAUAUGUUGAAGAAAUCACCAAUACAUCACCAUUAAAAUUGAUUUGGACCAAGACUUACUUUUUCUUGUCUUUUAAAAUCUAUUUACACUUUUUCAUCUUUGAAAACAAAUCCAUCAAUUAUUUUCAACCAAGUUAUUGUUAAUUUAAUUUCUCUUGAGUUUUUUUUGUUGUUACCUAGCUUAAUUUCCAGAUCUAGCUCUCUGUGGAUAUGACCUCGAUCUUACCGAGUUAAUUGCUACAUCGCACACUCGUGCACUUGCGAGUUAAAACAAGCCGAUCACAAAAAGCGGUCAAGCAACCAUCUUGCUGGACCUCAUUAAGGAUUUUCCUGUAACAAUUCAAAAAUAUGUGCAAAUGGUUUUUUUUUUUUUUUAGGUUAGAUGAUAUGCAUGCAUCCUUACCUGAUUUGAAAUAAUAGGUCCCCCCUCUUUGAUGCUCCAUCGUCAUAGGGUGCCCUUGUUUGUAUCCCAAAGCUUUCUUUGUUCUUCCGAUGUAUUGGCUCAUUCAUGUGUUAGCCAUCCACUCAGUUGUAAAUGCAGUGCCCAUCCCGGGCUGUCUUCGACAAUUACUGCUUGCAUCGUUCAUGAAGCUUGACCCUGCCCCCAAGUGUGGUACUGCUUGAUUCAUCAUGAGAUUUUCUCUCCUGGAUUCUUCUGAGAAAUUAUCCUCUGAUUGAUUGUGUGCAUCAUGCCAACACCCAUCACGUUUGUUAAUCAGUCAUGAACUUGCCUUUGGUUGAAACACCAUUCAAGUAUGUAUGGUCACCAGCCUUCAUGGAACUGCCAAGUCAUCCAGACAUGUAUCUCAUGCUUUGCAGUAAACAGCUCAUCAUUGUAAGCGCGAUGUAUUUCUCUAUGGAUUCCUCUUAGCUUGUCAAAUCAGAUCGUGAAAAUACCUGCUUUGGCAUCAUCAAUGAUGUUCAUGUUAUCACCCAUAUUCAUGCGGUGAAGUGCGCAUUUGAGCUUCAGAAUAGAUGGUCCCAUCGUAAAUCUUGGUGGUAUGCAUAUGUUCGAUGUUCAUCCAAAUGCACUCACCCGAUAACAUCUGUCCGGAGUCAUAUCCAUGUUUUAAAGUAACCUAAGAUGAAGAUAUGAAAAUAUCUUUCUAGUGCAGCGUUGAUCAUCAAUUGCUGCUGAAGUGCACUAGAUCAUGGAUUGUCUUUGAACAACAUUGGCCUCAGUAUGAUCUGAAGGUUCAUUCAUCGGUUUAUACUCAAUAAGGUUUUUCUUUGUCAUUGUCAGAUGCUAAACAUAACUUUGACGACUCAUCAUCGGAUUCUUUCUUUGCCCCCAGCUGAUCUGAUACUGUUUGCUUUCCUUCUUAAGGUCCACUGUAUUGCCCCCAGGUGGUCAACGUUUCAAGGAGUGUCGAGAAAUGUUGAUGUCAUUUUUGUCAAGAAUUUUGCAAACUCAAUUGAUGUUCUUGUUUGAAAAUCUUUCUUGUUCUGGAAUCAAAUCUCAACAUUUCAACGAUCAUGUCUAUUCAAGUAUAAUUGUUGAAAUGAAAUCAGAGAGAUAUCAGUUUUUGAAAAGUUAUUUUUGAAAUUCGAGCUCCUUUGGUCAAAGACCCAACACACUAUUCAAUGCAGUCCUUUGAUUGUCUUGUAUUUUGAAAACAGAAAUGACCCGUUGUAAGAUUUAAAAUGACUUUUUCAUGGUUCUUUGUGUGCACUUUAAACUCUGAUUUUGGGUAUAUCUUUUGAUGGUCUGUGAUGAGAUGACAUUUUUAUGAAUUUCAAAAACAAGAUGCUCAGGCUUUAUCAAGAAAGGUUGUUUCUCUUCUUAUAACUUGUUUUAUCAGCAUGCAUAAUAACCAAUAGCUUAAUUCAUGAAGUCACGACCCUUAUGGAAAAGCUCUUCAAGUUUUGAGAGCGUCAUUUAUCGGUUCAAAUUGCAUGCUUGAUUAAAAAGGGCUUUUAAAAACACGUAAUGCAGGCUAUGGUUCAUGGCUAUGAAAGAAAGGAAUUUCAAAGGCUCAAAAGGUGUUUGAGGGUUUCAAAGACCUAGGAUCAACAUCAAUUAUUCAUCAACUUGUUUUCUAUUGUUGUCUUUGUAAAGGAAACGACAUAUAACCUUGUUAACCUCAAAGAUUAGACUUCUCUUAACAUAAAAUCAUAAUACAAAUCCACUUUUCCUUGAUGAAUAACCAACCUUAAUCAUCUGAUAACAUCGUAGGCUUUAUAAUGGAUCCCAAAAGUCAACGUUUAUAGCUUAGUCUUUUUCUGGUAUUGACUUUUGUUGUGCCUUUCCUUGAUUGAAAUUUCUUUUGCUCUUCAUAGACUUGAUAGGCGUUCUCCUUCCUUUAUCUUUUUUUCAUAGCCUUCCUCAAAAUUUUCUUAUAUGCCCCCAGUCUAUGUGUUUUCUUUUAGCUCUCUCUCAAUCAUUGGACCUUUGUUCUAAGCCUUCCCCUUUAUCCAUUAAUUAUAUCAAUGUCUCCAAAAUAUCUCUCAUUUGCCCCCAGUGUAGGGUGUGAUCCUAGUCAGGGUUUUUUAUGAAAAGAAUAUUCUAUACAGCUCAAAAUGGGACUACAAGGGAUAUAAUCUUUAGAAAGUGAAGGAUAUCAAAGAUGGCCUUUUCUCAUUUCAAGCAAGAUCGGUUAGAACCGAUAAAUUUUGUCUUCAUCCAGUGUAAUGAUUGGGACUUGUAAGAAUCAUGAUUCACGAGUCCAUAACUAUUGAAUCCACUACAUGUCAUUAUGCAUACUGCUAAAACUUAGCUAUAUGAUGUGUGGUUCAGUUUCAAAAGGUAUGAGUUCAAAAUUGUUUGGUCACCUCAUGUCAUUUUCAAGCAUAGAGUCAUUUCUGUAAUCAAAACCCUUCCUAAUCUUCCGGAUUGAUUAACCUUUAUCGCAUGUUGGAGUUUGAUCAAAAUAUUUUGUCAGAAUAAAAUGCUAAACAUCUGUUGAUUUCAAAACAACAAAGAGACAAAAGCAAGGCAUGUUUCGUUGAAGGAUGAGAUGUGAUCCCAAAACAAAAUGCAGAAUUCCAUAACAAUAUGAUUGACUGUUCAUCACCCUUCUUGAAUCAGCUUUUCUGGCAAUAUCUGUGUUUUGCCAAGCAUUUUCGAUCACAUGUCAUUCUGAAGAUGUUCGGGGAACAAUAUAGCUCAUGACACCCUCCUUCAACGACUCCACUUGUCUCUUACUCACCAACUUUCAGACUCCUUCUUGCAAUUCUUGAAAUUGCUCAUUGAAAUGGUUGAGGACCCCAUCAUGACAUCACAUCUCUUAUCUGGAUUAACCCCAGAAAAUGGUGGUUGCAUGGGAUUUGUCGGAGUCAAGCAAAAUUCUGGAAUCUGGCAGAUGCUGGUCGACAAACUUAAAUGGCAGAGGAAUGUCCCAUCUUGGCAAAGAUAUUUGAGCAAUUGAUGCUACCGUGAGACCUGGCUAUACCACAUAAUUAAGGGCUCACACCGUCAAAGUCAUCUCCUGAUUCACCUCUCAUCAUUGUUCUAGAAUCCAUGGCAGAUCCUUCAAUCUUUCUUCUCUUCAUAGCUUGUUCAAUUCUUCGGCAAAUCCUCACAACAUUAUUUCAAUCUUCCAAUGUUGCUAUGGUUGGUUGAGGAUUGUUAGAAAACUUUCUAACAGCUUGGUAAUCUUGGCAGCGCCCAGAAACUUGUAGUAUCGCCACUACCGACGUGUGGAAUCACACAUUGUCUCUAUUGGAAGAGCACCUGAUGAAUCUAAAACUCCUUUGUCCCCUCUUAAUUUCUCACUGACAGUGCAGCAAACAAACACCUAUAGAGGAAGUCCUGCUCUGUUGAAGUUUCAGUAUUCUUCAUGUUUUUCAGUCUAGGCAUGUAUUCUCUCUACUUUUGCAUUUUAAUACUGACACUGUUGGAGGAAAAUCAUAAUGAUCUGAAACUACUGUAUUCCUUCUUGGAUUUCCCACUUGCGGAUCCACAAACAGAUUCCUGUCGAGAGCUCUGCUACGUUGAAGUUUGAUGUCUGCUCUAUUUUUUCAACCAAGUCUGGCUCUUCAACCUACUAAGUUUCUUCGUGCUGAAACUGAUGAGAGAAAUAUUUGUAGCAUAUGCAAUUAGUAAAUCCCCUCUUGCAUUCCCAAUUUGCAGAGCCAUAAAUGGAUUUUUGUAGAGAGCUCUGCCACAUUGAAGUUUGACAACUGCUAAUAUUAUCAGACCAGGUCUGACUCUUCUGCCUACUACAAUGUUUUGCUGGUGCCACUGGUGGGAAAAAGUUUCAAAGCAUAUGAAAUUAAUACAUUCCCUUUUGCAUUUCCAUUGCAGAUCCACAAAUAAAUCUCUACAGAGAGAGCUCUACCGCGUUGAAAUUCAGUGUCUGAUCAUGGUUUUUUCAGACCAACAUCUUGUGCUGCUGAACUGGAAUUGAGCUCAUAAUUGGGGUAACUUCAAAGCAGACUAAUGCACCAUGAACAGGAGGCUAGUAGUCGUUUGGUUCCAUUAGAUGAUGUGGAGGCGAUGAAUACUUAACAGUGCAACUGGACAGGAAUCAGAGUUGUCAUUAGUUGAUGACUGAAGGCGUUGUUGCUUUGUUCAUGACUGAAAAGGAGAGUACAGCUUCAAUUGGACGUGAACAAGCAGUGUUCCCACAGAAAACUGUGCAGACAUUCUCUUUCAUUUGAUGCUCAACACUUGUUCGAGCAGAUCUGAGUCGCUACUUCACUUUGAUGCUCUCAACCUUAAUCUGAUAAUGAGCCUAUAUCUGACUCCUUUGUUCACUUCCAUUAUUUUUCUUCAAUCACGUGCAGCACAACUUGUGGGGACCUACUUUCACCCGGUUCAUGCAUGAUAAAUGUAUGAACAUGUAAUCUAUAUGAUGAACUCACCCUUCGAGAGGUGACAAUAUGGUCGUAACUCUUGUAUGAUGGACAAGAAUCGUGAUUUUUGCCCAAACUCUACAAUGAAAAUUUUCGGAGCAACGACCAAUGUGUCACCCACAAGUCUUGAGUUCAAGAUGCUUCAAGAAGGGUUUGCCCUUAUGCAAAAAACGAUAGCACAUACAACCUAAGGACAGGUUCUAUUCAUUAUGUGAACAUGGGUAAGUUUUCUAUCUGGUCUCAAAAGGGUCUCAUAUCUGCCCAGUGACGUUCUUCGUAAAGACAGUAUGGGGGCGUUGCAAGGAAUGGUUAAGGCACGUAUACCCACCAUUACCAAGCAGGCACUCAGAUAUGAGUUGGGUGUUUCACGCAUCUGAACCCUGACCAAUAGUCUUAGGGCAGAUCGCUAGUUCCCCACCUAACCUAGAAGCUUGUGUGUGCUUUUAAAAAUAAAUACAGGUGAUGCAUGAGACAAUUCUAUAAAAUGCAUGGAAAUAAAUAUUAACAAAAAGAUAAAAAUGCAAAAACUUAAACACAUCAAAUACACAAAGCUUAGUCCAAUAAUCGAAAAAAUACCUUCCCCAGUGGAGUCGCCAUUCUGUCGCACCCCAAAAAAAAUCAGCGCGCGGCAUCGGCUGGCGAUUUUUUUUUUUUAUCGUUGUUGCGUUUUGCUUGAAUUUGGUUCGUUGGAGUCGCCACCUAGUAAUUGAUUUGGGCUACUAGGAAACCGGAUGUACUGGUCUUGUCAGAGAUUCGCGGGUAAGGGACUGGUUGUGGUUAGGGAAGGUAUUAGCACCCCUAACGCACCCUACCUGAGGUAAGCUGCUUCGCUUUGACGUGUUAAAGAAGUUUUAAUAAUUGUCUUUUCAUCGGAAAUUAGAAAUAUCACUUACGUAUAAGUUAAUAAUUCUUAACCGUGAUCCGAUCAAAAUAUUAAAUUCUUCUUUAAUAUAUUUGCAAUUUUAUCAUUAAAAUAUAUAAAUAAAUAAAAAAAAAUACAACACAACAUACAUUCACUAUUUUAUUUUUUUUCUUUUCUUUUUCUUUUCUUUUCUUUUCUUUUACAUCCAUAUUUACAAAUACAAAUACAAAAAUAAAAACUAAACAAUUACAUAAACAUAAAUUACAAAAAUGACCCAAAACAAAUUCAGGAACAAUUCUGGGCUGCCUGAACAGUAACGGCGUGGACCCCACCACCGCCGUGACUGGCGGCGCGUGGGCUCACGCCGCCCGAAAAUCAGGCCGCGUGAGGGGGCUGUAAUGCUUCCUCCUCUCUCGAUCUCUUCACCUGCAAAUCCAAAAAAACACAGCAAGGGCAGUCGAUUUUAAGUUUUCUUAGUUUUUCAAAUCUGUUUUUUUGUUCUUUCUUUCUCCGCGUCUUCGAUCUGCCCUCUCUGCAGCUUGUUUAUGUUUCCUCUUCUUCUGUUCAGAUGGCCGGCAGUUGUGGGUGUCUUCUUCUCCUCUAUUUCUGGUGGUGGAUCCGGUGGUUGCAAAGGGGGAGCGACGCUGCUGCUGGAGGAAGCUUCGGGUUGAUGGAGAUGAAAGAUCGGUCUGGGUCUUGUCGGAUGUAGGCUGCUGGGUUGUCUCCACUUCUGUUGGUUGCAGCGGCGGAUGGCCCUGCUGCUGUUGUCUGCGUCCGGUGGAGCCGCUGAAGAUGGAGGGGUUGCCUUGGCUUCUCGGGUUUUUGGCUGCUGAAUCCCCAGCGAGGACGGCUGCUCCGGGUGGUCUGUGCGGCUGAAAGGGGAGGGGUUUCUUGGCUGGUGAGAGGCAGCAAUGGGGUUGUCGGGUUGAAGAUUGAGGGGGCGGCUUCGGCUGUUGUUUUGGAUUUGUUUGUGGCCGAGAGAAAGGGAACGGCGGAGAAAAGAUGUAAACAGGGGGAGGCUGGUUCGGGUGGGCCGGUUUUUUUGGGUCAGAAAAAAUCAAACCGAGGAGCAACUCCGGGAGACCAAAAAUGAAAACCAGGGGGGGCGGCUGGUGUGAAGAAAAAAGUUUUUUUUUUUUUAGGGUUAGGGUUUCUGUAUUUUUUUCUUCUAUAAGUGUCAAAAUUACCCCCCCUUUUGCAAGUGUUGGAAACAGUAUUUAUAGACAAAAUUUUUGCUAGGUUUUCAACUUGGUCCCUCAACUUCUUUUUUUUUUUGUAAAUUUUAUUUUUCUUAUUUUUGUAAUUUUUUUGAAAAACGAGCAAUAUCAACGUCGACUCAAAAUGCGGAAAAUCAAUGAUUUUAAAAAAUGACGCGUGAAAAGUCGAACGCGUUUGAAAAAUUAAAUUAUUUAAAUCAAAAUUAAUUCUUUCUAGACGACGCUGAAAAUGCUAAAGACGGGAAUAUAUUAAAAAACAUAUUUUUUGGAUUUUCAUUGUUUUUCUCUAUUUUUUGGAUUUUUUAAAAUAUAUCAAAAACAUGGGUCAAAAAUUGGGUAGCAACAGGAGCAUGACAUUGCCCAAAAAGAGUAAGCCCAUUUGACAAUAUAUCUAUGACGACGUUCAACCAUGCCAUUUGUUCAUUGGUGUGCGGGUAGAGUACACGUGAUGAAUACCAAUUGGUUUUAAAAUACAUAUUGAGUUUUCGGUAUUCACCACCCGCCAAUCUGUUUGACAGAUUUUAUUUUUAAAGAAAAUUGGUGCUCAACAAGCGCUUGAAAUUGAUGAAAAUAUUAAAAAAUCAAACUUGUCAACUGUUGCUACCGAAUUUUGACCCAUGUUUUUGAUAUAUUCAAAAAAAUUCAAAAAUAGAGAAAAACAAAGAAAAUCCAAAAAAUAUGUUUUUUUAAUAAAUUUUCGCCAUUUUAGCAUUUUCAACGUCGUCUAAAAAAGAAUUUAAAUUUUUAAGGGUUUUUCGAAUGCGUUCGACUUUUCACGCGUCAUUUUUAAAAUCAUUGAUUUUCCUCAACGAGUCGACGUUGAUAUUGCUCGUUUUAAAAAAAAUACAAAAAAAUUAAGAAAAAAUCAGAUUUAUAAAAAGAAAGAAAUUGAGGGACCAAUUUGAAAACCUAGCAAUAUUUCCACCUAUAAAUACUGGUUUCCUCAACACAUUCAAGGGAGGGGGGGCAAUUUUGAGAAUUGAGGGGAGAGACAACCCAAAAACAAAACCCUAAUUCUAUCUCUUCUCCAAGCCGCCGCUUGGGACCCCCCCGGCUCCCUUUGAAUUUUUUUUCUCCUGAAGCCAAGCCGGCCGCCCCCCUCCCCUGCCUUGAAUUUUUUUUUGAUCCCCCACACAGACCCCUCUAACGAAAACAGCCACAACCGCCUUACCAUCUCCUCCCACUCUCCCUCACCCUUUGCCAAACAAACCAGCCGCCACUCUCACUCUCCCUUUCCCCGGCCAAGACGCCUAAUCUCCCUCAUCCCUCUCUCGGUUGCAAAAAAAAAAAAAGGGACCAAACCAGCCUCAUUUCCCUUCCUUCUCCCCUCAACCGCAACCUCUGACCAUCUCUCGAUCACCCACACUCCCCUCUCUUUCAGACCAAACAAAUCACCUUCUAAUUUUCCUUCUCAGCCGCCAACCCCCACCUGGAUUUUUUUUUCUUUCUUCUUCCUCUUUCCUAGCUGGCUUGCUAACAACCACAGCAGCCAUCCACUUCCCUCUCUCGGGUGCACUCUGACCGACCUCUCUCUCAGCCACCGAGAACACCGCCUUCCAGCCCGCAGGCCACGGUCUCCCUCCUCAACACAGACGCGAUGAAGCUUCGUUCAUCGGCGCAGAUCGGCCUCCAGCAACGCCGUCCAUAUCCGGCCACAAAUCCACCAUCCACCAGCCGCCGUCCAACUACCUGCAACAGAGAAGAAGACGGCGAAGCCUCAAAAAUAGAUCCCAAAACCGAGAAGAAACCGACCACCUGAAGAAGGAGAAAAUGGCAAACUGAGAGAGAACAUAAGGAUUUGAACGGAUCUGAAAAAUAACCAAAUAAAAUCGACUGCUUGUGUUCUUUUCUUUGUUUGCUGGUGAUGCUGGUGUUACCACCAGCAGAGAAGAGAAGAGAAGGAGAAAACAGGGCAGAUCCGCCCGUUUCCGGCAUGUUCGGCGGCACGUGAACCCACGCGCCGCCAGUGACUGGGGCGCGUGUGAAGACGCGCCGCCGCUGUUCCAGCGGGUGGCCGAAGGGCUUACCUGUAAUUUUUGGAGUUUAGGGACUAUUUUGUAAUUUGUAAAUUAUGUAAUGUAAUUUUUGUUUAAUUUGAAUUGUUUUUUUUAUAUAUAUAAUUUGUAAUGUGGAUGUACAAAAAGAAAAGAAUAUAGAAAAAAAGAAAAGAAAAGAAAAGAAAAGAAAAAUAUAGUAAAAGUGAAUGUGGGUGUUUGUAUUUUGUUUUAUUUAUUUGUAUAUAUUUUUUUAUGAUAAAAUUGCAAAUAUAUUAAAGAAGAAUUUAAUAUUUUGAUCGGAUCACGGUUAAGAAUUAUUAACUUAUACGUAAGUGAUAUUUCUAAUUUCCGAUGAAAAGACAAUUAUUAAAACUUUUUUAACACAUCAAAUUCGUGAAGCAGCUUACCUCAGGUAGGGUGCGUUAGGGGUGCUAAUACCUUCCCUAACCACAACCAGUCCCUUGCCCGCGAAUCUCUGACAAGACCAGUACAUCCGGUUUCCUAGUAGCCUUCAAUAAAUUACUAGGUGGCGACUCCAACGAACCAAUUCAUGCAACCACAACAACGAUAAAAAUUGCCAGCCCGAUGCCGAGCGCGGAUUUUCCGACGUGCGACAUCAACCAUCGGAUAAAACCAGAUAAACUUUGUAUGGGGCAUCCACAAAAAUAACAAAAUAGAGAAAAUUGUAUGAUGACAACAUAGGAAAGGGACCCAGGCUUCACUAAAAUUAAAUCAAGAGGAGCUAGAGUUUGAUGACCUGUAGUUUUAAAGUCAGACGACACAACUUGCCGAGAGGACACAAGACAAUUAAAAUUAAAUUGUUUUGACUUAUAUAACAUCUUUUUAUUUUUCACCAAAAAAUGCAAAAUGCAUGGACUGGGAUGCCCAAGCUGACGAUGUCAAAUAUUAGUGGAAGUAGAGAGGCAUGUAGAUGAGAAAGCCUGAGGCAUCGACAUUACAGACAACUCGGACCAAACAUAUAGACCAUCUCUACUCUAACCGGAAAGAAGCACUUUCUUUGUCAUGAGGUCCUUAACAUAAAAUAGACAGAAAUGAAAUUCAAAAAACACGUUAUUCUCAAGGAAAAUUUUUUUAACAGAUAGCAGAGGUUUUUUAAUGGCAAGAACAUGUAAAAUAUUAGAUAAAGUAAAGGUGCGUUUUUAUGAAUGAAUUUUAGAGUGAGCAAUAUUGGAAAUAACAAGGCCCUUACCAUCACCAACAUGAAGAUGAUCAUUACCAAGGUAACGUUCUGAACUCAUCAUACUAGCAAGAUUUGGCGUUACAUGUUGAUUUGCACUCAUAUCAGGAAACCAUGUGAUAAGAGACGUUGUAGGGGCAUUAUUAAAUGCGAGAUUGACAUUGGCUUGGAGAGGAUGAUUAGCCAACUAAGAGCACUGUUGGGCAAUGUGCCCAUAUUUAUAACACAGCUGACACUUUACAUUGAGAUUAUCCCCACCAAAAUGGUUACCUUACUGCCUAAAUUGUCCUGUUGUCUAAGAGGGAGAUCCAGAAAACUGUCUUGAGGAGAAUUAGUGUCCCUAUUGCCUAAAUUGUUGACCUGAGGUAUAACUGCUAUUGCCAUUAUUUCCACAAUAAGCAUUUUUUGCGAUUAUUAUUAUUUCUCUAGCCCCCACGAAAAUUGCCUCAUCUAGCAGUAUUGAAGCCAAAGUGAUUCUGCACAAAGAAUGCAGUUGGUUGUUGCGUUGUGGGUGUCGCACGUGUGCGGCGGCGCGGCGAUCGUCCACCCUCAAGGAAAAAUCAGAAUAUUUAUUCCAAGCAAAUAGGGAGAGACAAGGAAUUCUUGUGUCUAUAAGUGAAAAUAUGGAUUGCGAGUCGCCACCUAGUAUUCUGGUUACUAGGAACCUUAACUGGUCUUUAGAGAUCGGGUACGGAGACUGGUUGCGUAAAAGGAAGGUAUUAGCACCCCAACUACGCCCUACCUAAGGUAGGCUGCAUUGUUUUAAUGUCUGAUAAAAUCUAAAAUCGUGUUGUGGUUUUUGAAUUGUUGGUUCGUUUACAGUUUAAGAAAAGUCCUCCUCUGUAAGGAGAUCCUUAUCUUUAUCGGGUAAAAAACUAACUAUUCGAAGUCGUCAAAAGAAAAUAUCUUUUUAAUAUCAGGAAUACGAUUUAUGUAUAAAUUCAUAAUCCCUGAUACUAAAAUCAAACAAAAUAAAAUAUUUUGUUGUUUUUGAGAUUUUGGCCAAUGUUCUCUUGACUUUAAUAAACUGGUUAUUAAAACCAAAAUGCAUGCUAAAAUAUUGUUUUUUGACAUAUGAAAAAUACGAUAUGAUUUUUUGAUUUGAGACACUUGGCCGUAUGCACAAAAACAUUUUUUUUCUCUUUUUUGUUUUUAAUUUUUUUGUAAUUUUGAAAGUUGUGACGAAAACCGGGUAUUUUAAUACUGGAUUUAUAUUUUUACGAUGUAAAAUACUACCCGAUAUUAAUCAAAAUGACAUAAAAACUGCACGGAAAAAUUAUAAAAUGCUGAAGCAAAUAUUUUUUAUUUUUUUCUUUUUGAAUGGGCCGAGUCAGGCCCAAAUACAUGUGUGAACAGUGCUGUAAAAUGCCACCUGAUAUUAAUAAAAAAAAUGUGCUGGAAAAAUUAUACAAUUUUGUAUAUAAAAAAAAAAUGAAACUGAAAUGGGCCGGACCCGGCCCAAAUGCAUGGGCUGGGCCAACGGCCCAGACCAGGCCCAAACGGGCUGGCUACUGUGCAUAAGCACAGUAACCAGCCCUUCGUUAUUUGCAGAACGUGAAUUAAUUCACGUUUUGCAUGAAGGUGUUGGCGACCAUAAGCAAAGGGAGGCAGAGGCGGGGCAACAGGAUGGCGUACCUGCGGUGGCGUCGAGGUGAUGCUGCUGGCGGCGUUGGCACGGUGGCCGGUGGUUUUCCUUCUCUUUCUCUCUUCUGUUUUUUUCUCUUUUUCUUCUGUUUCUGUUUUGUUUCUCUUCUCUCUUCUCUUCUCUCUUCCCUCUCCCUUUUGCUGUGUUCUCUCUCUCUCUUCUGUUUUUUUCUCUUUUUCUUCUGUUUCUGUUUUGUUUCUCUUCUCUCUUCUCUUCUCUCUUCCCUCUCCCUUUUGCUGUGUUCUCUCUCUCUCUCGUCCUCCCUCCUGUUUGGUCUGCUUCCCCUGUUUUAAUAGGCAAAAACAGGGGAAGGACAUCAUGGUGGGGCGGCCACUGUUGGCCGCCCCCUCCACUAUCGAUCAGUGGAGAAAAAGGAGGCAAGUGGGCGUCGAAUGGUGGGCGUAUUAUUGCGUAAAAAAUGAGAAAGAAAGUUCGGCGAAAAGUGGAGAAAAAAAUUAUUCUCCCCUGUUCUCUGCGUGCGCAGGGAAGAAGACGAUGGUGCCAUUUCAAAAUGGCAUGAAACAAUGCAUGAAACGGCGCCGUUUUGGUCAAAACGUGCCGUUUGAUUUAAAAGAAAAAGGCGCCAAGAUGCGUCAGAUAUCAAAGAAGUCCCUUAAUUGGCGCGCGUUUUGCAUUUUAGUCCUUGGUCUCGGAUUUCUUCAAUUAAGUCCCUAAUUGGGCAUUAAACUUCAAUAUUUAUGCAAUUAAGCCCCUGAUUUGACCAAUUUAACUUCCAAAAAUUAUAAUUUGACCCCAGAAAAUUAAUUUCUUCUAAUUAAAGCCCAAAUUAACUCCAAAAUCAAUUUUUUUUUGCAAUUAAAACCUCUAUAAAUUCAAUUAAACCUUCAAUAAAAUUUAAUUGAGUCCAUAAACUUCUAAUUUUGCAUUUUUCUUCCUCAAAUUGAAUUUUCUUUAUCAUCGGGGCUCUCAUCAGUCAAUGAUAUACUGUCAAAAAUUAAUUUUUAUAUUUUUGAACAUCCUCAAUCAAUUUUGAGCAUUUUUAGGGCGCUCUGACAUUUUUUUCACUGUUAUAUUUUUUUAUAAUGUAUUUUUUUUAUUUUUUGUAUUUUAUUAUUUUUUAUGUGGGGACCUAAAAAUGGGUUACAACAGUCGGUAACAGAGGUGCUAUUACGAUUGGUUGGAGAAUAGCUUUAUGGAGAAAUUCAUAUGUAAGUAGUUUGCUAUGGAGAUCAGUGUAGGAGAUGGGAUCAACCUUAGUAGACAAGUUGGUGACAAGAUCUUUAAACUCGCAGCGUAACCCUCGAAACACAUGCAGGUAGAAUUCUGCCAAGGAGAUUGGUCUGUCAGCCACCACAAGUUCAUCAAACAAUGCAUUUGCCUUCUACAAGUAGGUGCUAACAAAAUCAUCAUGCUGGCGUAACUCUUGGAAGGAACCGUGAAGUUGCAUGAUCAUGGAAUUCGAAGGAGAAGCAAGAGUUGUUUCUAGCGUUCUCCAGAUAUCAUGGGAGGUGUUAUGUAGGUCAAAAAAAUUUAAUUUUAAUUGUCCUGCAUGUCCUACUUGGUCAUUAGUGCCCUGUCAUCCGUCUAUAAAUGUGAUUGGUAAUAGAUGGGUGUACAAGAUUAAACGCCACGCAGAUGGUCGAAUUGACCGAUAUAAAGCAUGGUUUGUUGCCCGCAACUUCUCUUAGCAAGAAGGGAUUGAUUAUUUGGAGAUGUUUAGCCUGGUCGUUAAACCUACAAUGGUUCACCUUGUGCUCACUAUUGUUGUCUUAUAUGGUUGGAAUAUUCACUAGUUGGAUGUUCAUAAUGCUUUCUUGAAUGACAUUCUUCAAGAGGAGGUAUACAUGGCAUAACCACCUGAGUUUGUUGAUUCUACUAUUUCAUCUCAUGUGUGUCGUCUUCACAAAUCUUUGUAUGGCUUGAAACAAGUACCUCGAGCUUGGUACAACCGGUUGAGCGGAUUUCUCCUUUCCAUUGGAUUUCAAGCAUCCAAGGUUCACACUUCCCUGUUUAUUCUCUCUCUUAAUGGUGCCAUGAUUUAUUUGCUUGUGUAUGUGGAUGAUAUUUUACUGAUCGGGAGUAACUCAGCUUUGCUUCAUAGAUUGAUUAUUUUACUACAAACAGAAUUUAAGCUUCGGAAUUUGGGUUCUGUUCAUUUCUUCUUGGGUAUUGAAAUUAAACCUACAGCUAUGGGUAUCUUAUUAAGUCAACACAAGUAUGCACUCGAUAUUAUCCAAUGAGCAGGUAACUGGUUGAUACAGAUUGUUGGAGCACUGCAAUAUCUUACUUCCACUAGACCUAAUAUUUGCUAUGUAGUCAACAAAGUAUGUCAAUUUAUGCAUGCCCCUACUAAAGAUCAUUGGGUUGCCGUUAAAUGUAUCCUACAUUACCUGCAGGCUACAGCAACCUAUGGUCUGUACAUUACUCGAGACUUUCUCUUAACUCUUCAUGGUUUCACAAAUGCUGAUUGGGCAGGUAGUAUUGACGAUCGCAAAUCCAUAGGUGGGUAUCUUAUGUACCUUAGUUCUACCCCUAUUUCAUGGAAAUCCAGGAAACAACACAUUGUUGCUAGAUCUUCUAUGGAAGUAGAAUACAAAGCCUUGGCUAAUGGUACUGCUGAAAUUUUGUGGAUUCGUUCUUUAUUGGCAGAACUUUGGAUUUCCGCUUCAUCCAUGACUACGUUAUGGUGUGAUAACUUAGGGGCCACUUUCUUAUCUACCAAUUUGGUGUUCCACGCUCCUAAACAUGUUAAAGUUGAUUAUCACUUUGUUUGUGAUUGCGUUGCUAAGAGAGAAAUUCAGAUACAAUUCAUCUCUUUAAAGGAUCAACUUGUUGAUGUUCUUACCAAGCCUCUCCCUCCAGUCUCGUUUGGUUAUGUUUGAUCCAAUCUUCAGGUGGAAUCUCCACCUUCAGCUUGACGGGGUGUAUUAAGAAAAGAGACCACAUAUAUGUAAAUACAUUAUAUAGGGAUAGUUAUCAUGUGUAGUACAUUCCACCAUUGUAUUGUAUACAACCCUAAAGGUAUAAAUACAAAGGGAUGGUUGUUUUAUCAAUCAUUGAUCACAAUUAUACAAAAGACUAUCUUUCUAAUCUUGACAUGGUAUUAGAGUCUUGAUGACCAAACGGUCACGAGUUCGAAUCUCACCAUCCUCAUUUAUUUGAUAAAAAUUAAGCACAAGGUAAUAUAGGUUUGUGCAAUUUUCAAGCCCAAAGGGUUUUUACUUGAAGGGGUGUGUUAGAAAAUAAUGUAAAUCAUAUCAUGAGACCUCACCUAACAGCUUAAGCUAUUAGGUUGAGAUUAUUCUUUGAUACCAAGAUAAUUGGUCUAUCAAGACUAACAAGAGUUCUCUUAAGAUUGUCAGUUAUUUCUUCAUCAGUUCAACAUCCAAUCUGCUCAAUAUUGUUACUUACAAUUUUUCUUUAAGAAGAAAAAAGAAUACAGUGCUUAUAACUGGGAUGGGGGUCCUACCAGAUCUUUAGUUUUCCUCAAUAGAUUUUGUAAGAUUAUCUAAUUGCUUCAAGUACAACACUUAGAAUAGGAUUUUGAAGUCUAAGUAAGUUCUUAGUGAAAGCUGGAUGCUGUAAAAACAAAACACUACAAAAGACAUUAACCUAACCAACUUGUGUUAACUAGAAUCCCGCUUUUUGAUCAAUUAAUUUCCAAACUAGAUUUACUAACUAUAAUUUUGAGGAUAACAACAUAUUUAAGCUAAGGUAGUGGAAGACUUUAACCAAUGAGGCAGUUUCUGAAAAUUUCUUUUCUAAAUAAAAACUAAAUAUUUUUCAUUAAAAAAUAUAAAAAUGGCUCCGUAAGUGAGGGAAGAUGAAGUCGUGUUGUGUGCAAGCAGCAUAAGAAGAAAGAUGAACUAGGUUUGACCAACCUUGACAAGCAUUCAGUUGAGCUACCAAUUAAUUUCUGUUGGCUAAAAGAUGCAAAUAAACAAUGAAUUGAACUAAAUACUCAACAAUAAACAAGGUCCCGUUGGAAAAAAUGCUCCUCGAAUUAUUAACAAAUACACUAAAAGAACUUGACUGCGCAAUAUUCAUAUAAUAACCUAAUUUAAAAUAGAGAGAUACUACUAAGAGUUAAGAGGAGAGAUGGGAGGAAAAGUUGAAUAGAAACAAAAGCAUUUCACACCUUUAAAGUUUGAAAGUUACUGAAGUUUGAAGGAGAUAAUUGAAGGGAGGAGAAUGAGUGCAGGCGGUGAGAAAAAAUAUAAUAGAAAGAAGGGGAAAUGUUAUUUAUAUAAAAAAAUAUUUAAGAUUAUUUAUAUAUUUAGGAGGCUGCUUUUGCGUCAACUGGACAACAAGAGGAACUUUAGAAGCAUGGGCUUCUUUCACUCACGAGGAUUCACACCAAGAAAAGCUUGAAGCUUUGCAUUUUAAUGGAAGAAUUGAGCCUAGAGGUGUAAGUAGCUUUUGGGACCCAAUUUCUUGGAAUCAUAUCUCUUGCAAACAUUGCUCUUCCUGUUGAUAGUGUUGUUAACUUCACAGAUAAUGGUCCUUUCUAUUGAUAAUUAUAGGUAUAUAAAGAAUUGAAUAUUGAUGAUAAUCAGAAAAACAAAGAACAGAGAAUUUGAGCAAAGAACAAAGAGCAGAAUGUUUUUUAUAAGUUACUGCCAUCCCUUAGCUUUUAUUUACAAAUGAAAUCAAUCACAACAAAAUUAAAAAACGCAACUAACAUAAACUCCUUCAUUUAAAGAGUUAUGUAACUUAUCCUAAAGAAGUUUCAAAUCGAAAAAAGUAAAAAUUGACUAAACAACAUCAAGAUAAUGAUGUUACUAAUAAAUAGAUAUUAAUGAAAGAUAACCUACAACUGAUACAUUAAUUUCAGCUUUGGUGCCAUAACUUCAACACUCCUCCUUGGUUCCAAAGCUGCAUAUCCAUAUCCUCUCCCUUAGAUCUUCAAAUCUAUCUUUAGCUAAAGGCUUGUUGAACAGGUCUGCUAAUUGCUCUUUUGAAAUGCAGUAUAUCAUCUUUAGUUCCCCUUCUUGCUGGAAUUACUUGAUAGCAUGGAACUUAAUCUUCAUAUGCUUGGUCUUGUCAUGAAAAAUAGAAUUCUUUGAAAUAGCUAUUGCUGAUAUAUUGUCACAUAACAAUUUUAUGGGACUUCGUUGAUGAAAGUCUAGAUCAUUCAACAUUUUCCUUAGCCAUAUCAAUUGCUUUGUUGCCACAUAUGCUGCUACGUAUUCUACCUCUACAGUGGAAUGUGCAACCACUGAUUGCUUCUUUGAGUUCCAACAAAAAAUGCUUCCUCCAAUAGCAAAGCAAUAACUUGAGGUGCUCAUCAUUUUUUCAUUUCUUCCAGCCUAAUCACUAUUAGAAAAACCAAUUAGUUUAACAGAACUUGAUUUCACAAAAUGCAUGCCAAACUCUAAGGUCCCUUUUACAUAUCUCAGAACUCUCUUGGCUGCAACAAAAUAGAUUUGAUUUGGACUUUGCAAGAACCUAGAGAUGUAAUUGACAACAAAAACAAUGUCUGGACGUGUAGCAGUUAAAUACAACAAGCUGCCAACUAAACUUCUAUAGGUUUUUCCAUCAGUUUUGGGAGAUUCAUCCUCCUUCAUUAGCUUUUGUUCCAGUACCAUAGUACCAUAGGUGUACUGACUGGUUUGCAAUUUUCAAUUGCAAAAUUUUUAGUAGCUUUAUUGUAAACCUCUUUUGACAUAGAAAAUAACUUUGCUCUAACUGAGUUACUUCCAUGCCUGAGAAUUAUGACAGCAAACCAAGUUCAUUAAUCUCAAACUAAUCAUCAAAUGACAACGUGGGACACAAUCUGCAUUAUAUAUUGUAUUCUCUUCUGUUGAUGGAGGGUGGUGUUUGCUGUAUUUGUUAGAACAAAAUAUUUUUUUAAAUUGCUCGUCCUUUUACCUUGAAAAAAAUCCUGCAGCAGGGAUGGGAUGGAUGUUUGUUGAUUUUAUCGUAAUGCACCGUGUCAAUGAUUUUGGGACGGCCAUUUUAAUACUGUUCAGACCAACCAAGCUGUUGAUAUCUUUAAUUAACAUUCGUAUCUUAAUUUGAUUAUUAUUAUUAUUUUUUUUACUCAAUCAAACAACAACAACAGGAGUCUAGUAAAUACAUGCUUAAAAUAUAUAUAUAUAUAUAUAAGUAGAAGUGCGCAUACAUUCAAUUGGAAACUCAAGAGUUAUUACAAAGUUCAAAUUAUUACCACAAUCGCUAGCCAGACACAAUCCAAGAUGUGAUCGAUCCCAAAAUCCCGACCUCUGAUCUUACUAAAGAUUGUGCUUUAUCUUGUGAUCAGAGAGCUUUCUCUUGAGAUCAGAGGGUAUAUUACGCAGCCACCACCUACUGUAGAAAAACAAGAAAAUUAAGUAGUAGAUAUAAUGCAAGAGCACUAGUAGAAGAACCGGGUUGCCAAAUAGCAGGAUAAUCGAAGGAAAAACAAAGGCCACCCCUGCAAUGAUGAUUGUUAACAUCCAACCAUGGGAUCCUAUUAAUGCUAUUCUCACAGAAAAAAGGAAUGCCCCGAACAUCAUGAAAAUAGCCAAACAAACCAUGAUAAUUGAAAACCCAACUGUAGAGAUUUGAAAUCUGGGAAUAUUAAAGUUUGCACAAGAAGGAAUAGAGCUGCCGCCAGAGAGGUAGAUAAAGCCCCCACAUCGAGAAACAAAUAACCAUACAGAAGAUUCUCAUAAGUGCUGUAAUCGGAGGCAGUAUAAGUGACGUUAAAUUCAUGACGAUGAUCACUUGAGUUAUUGUUAUCCCUUAAUUGUGGCAAUUGUAUAGCACCCGCAAAGGUUACUCCAGCAACAAGCACUGCCACCACUAGAAGAUUCCCUGUCAUGCUCUUUGUUUCCUCUUUUGCUUUUGACAUGGGUAGUGGAGUAACAUGGAAAAACCUCUUUAGGGAAUUCUUAGGUCGGGCAUUGAAGAAUAAGAUCGAUAAUGUCAGCACCUGCAUAUAUAGCACGGGGAAAUUAAAAACUUAAUUGUUUAAUGAGUUCUUGGCACUUCCUCAAUUGCAUCUAAAAACGUUGACCUUCGAAUGCCUUUCCCAGAACAAGUAAUUUUCUGGAAUGGUUUAGAAUGUUUUAAUAUAAUGGUUUACGAGUUAAAUCGAUUGUUUUGUUAAAAGAUUAGGGAUGGCAAGGAAAAAAGAAGAAGCAAUAAUACCAAUGGGAGAUACAAAACCGUUAUUUCGUCCUUUGGUGAUGCCUCUUUUGUAUCCAUCUUAUUUGAAUCAAUUUCUUUGCCCUGUCAAAAUAAUAAUAUUAUUAUUAUUAUAUGUGAAAAUGCAGUGCUCUCCUGUGUGCUAUGGCUAGACAACAAUCGAAGCAAAUGAAACUGGUUCAUGUUUGAAAAAAAGUCAUUUGACAUUAAAUGGUUUUGAUUAAAAUAAUAUAUUUAUUGAAGAUUUUUUAUUUCGUGUUGCGAGAUACUUUUAAUUUUUUUAUUUAAUUACAUGACAAUAAAAAUUAAUUUUAUUAAAUAAUUUAAAUUCUAUUAUUGAAAAAAAAAGGUAUCUAUAUUUUUUUUAAUCAAAACCAUUUUCCUUAUUAAUACGUUCCAUUUUUUUUACUAAUGUUUUUAUAAAAUUGUUUUUUUUAAUAACAACCUAUCAUAAUCUUAUAAAUAAUUUUUAAUUUAAAAAAUAAAAUAAUUAUGGAUUGAUGAUUUUCUUGAAAAAAAAAAUAUUAAAUCAGUAAUACUCCUAAAAUAUAUAGACUUUUGUAGCUCGAUAAAUGAUGAUCAAAUUAGUAGCUUACCAUUUCAUCUGUUUUUAAGUAUUCCUCUUCAGAUCUUUUGGAAAAUUGUUCAGCCCACUCAUAUGGUGUCCAAUUUUCAUUGUUAACAAUGAAAUGUUCGACGCGAUUGUCACGCACAAGAAGAAAUGUAGCCGCGCAUCGGCCAUAACCUGCUGCCAAGUGCAAAGGUGUAUUUCCAUCCUCAUCUAUCGCAUUUAGCAGCGGUGCGAUGAGCUUCUGGUCCAGCUUGAGUAUGUACCUAACCACACUGUCAUUUCCAUAUUUGGCCGCUACAUGAAGAAUGUUCUGCCCUUUUUUAUUUAUGAAUUCGUUUGGAUAGGGGAUAACUUUCAGGAAUUCCUUUAACAAAGCAACCGAGCCUCCCUUGCAUGCAAGAUGAAUAGGAUAGUUGCCCUCUUGGUCAGUUUCAUCAGCACCGGGAUGAUACUUUUGUAAUAGGAAUUGAACUCCUUCCACAUAGCCUGUAGAUGAUGCAUAAUGGAGUGGAUUUCCAAACUCUUUGUCAUGGAGACGUAAUAACUCUGGCUUUGCUUCUUCGAUUUUCUGCAAUAUACCUGAAAAUAAAAAUAAAUUGUUUUGAAUGAAUUUAAAGAUAGGUUUGCAAGAUUGGUUUGUAUGUAUAUCACUUUUCUGAUGAGAGGAGACAAUGUGAUCACCUAUGUUACGGUUCUUGAUGGCAGCAUGAACAGGGGACUUUCCUUGUGGUAGCAUGCCAAGUGAAUCUCCAUCUUCUCUUUCUCUAGGGAUCGAAGCUUCCUCAUUCAAGAGAUCAUCAAGAAUCCCCUUCAUAUUGCGAUUUUCAACAGCCAGAUAUAAAGGAGACCUGCCAGUCUUGUUUUUGUAAUAGGCCACUUCUGGAUCUCUGGACAUGAGGAAUUUGGCAACAUCUUUGUUACCAUUGAUCACUGCAACAUGCAAAGGAGUGUUUCCUUCUCUAUUUGUCGUCCUCAGCAAGAAAGCAUUCGAAUUGACAAGGUUUCGAAUUGCAUGACUAAUACUUCCCUCUCUGGCAGCAACAUGAAGGAUUGUGUCUUGCUGGUCGUUUCGGCUGGUGAUUAGAGAAGGGAUCUCUUUAGCCAGGUAAGCAGUAAUAUUAUUACUUUCAUACCUUAUGGCUACAUGAAGUAGCGAAUUCCCACAGGGAGUCACUAGCUUCUCCGCUAAAUGUUGCUGGACACGGCUUUUAAAUUCCUCAAUAUUGUCCUGCUUCACGUACUCAUAUAACUUACUAUCUAUCUUUUUAUUUGCCAUGUGAUCUCUCGGAAUCGAGCUUCCAACUAUGUUUAUUGCUACGCUAGACAUAGCGAAAGAAAAUAUUAUUUGACCUGAAUCAGCUAUACAUAUCAGACGGCAGGACUUCUAAUUUAAAUAGACCAGACUGCAUGUCAAUGGAAUCUGAAAUAAUGUGAAUCUUACUCUUUUUUUUUAUUUGCAAGGAUAUAUACUUUGAUUACUCAAAUACUUCACGCAUUUGUUCUGGAAUCCAGAACAUAGCAAGAGAGAGAGAGAGCAGUCUUGGCUAUGGUUAAAGCAGCAUCUUGAAAAGGAAAAGGGGAAAAUCUGUCCCCUAACUCAAAAAAGAUGAGUGUUCCUAGGGAAAUUCUUAGCUUAAAUUUGUAACUCAAAAAAGAUGAUUGUUGUUAGGAAAAUUCUUAACUUGAAUAUAUAACGCAAAGGAAAUUCUUAACUUGAAUAUAUAACUCAUAUACACUGUGCAGGUGGGAGAAUCCAUGGUUUAAUGAACAUGAUGAUGCACGAUGGCAUGAGAGUCCACAUCUUAUACCUUCCGGUGAUUUAACCAAUUAAUUCAAAAGUUUUAAACUCUCAUGUUAAAAUCCAAGAAUACAGUUUUAUAAUUUUUAUUAUUUUAAUGGGAGAUCUCGUGUGCGUUGGACUGCAUUAUAUAUGUAUAUAUAAACGAAUUUUCAACUAUUGAUUUGGAGUGUCGAUUUAAAGUAUUGUAAUAGCUUAAGAUGUUUAUUGAAUAAGAUGAAUCUAGCUAAGUCUUGGCUUUACCCAGCAUGAACAUUUUCUUUUUAGUUACAUACCUAAUAUGAAUUUCAUUUUGUAGUAAAAGUAUGGAACUGAUGGUAAAAAAAAUAAUAACUAGUUUUUUUAAAAAAAAAAAAAGCUUUGGAACGUUCUGUGCCUUGCCCAGACACUUGUUGGUCGCCCAUUGGACAGCAAGACCGAUUGGUUGCCCAACUUGCCUAGCAACCAACCAACUUAUCUCUCUCUCUCUUUCUUUUUCUUAUUUUUUUUCUCUUUUUAAUUUUCUCUCCUCUGUUUUUCAACAAAUAAAACUACAUGCCACGAACUCUAUAUAUUAUUUUUUUAUAAUAUAAUUUAAUUGUCUUAAUACAAGAGUUAAUAUAUUUUCAUAGUUUUGGAGCACUAAUUAGACAUAAAAAAAAAGAUACAAAUUACAUUAAAAAGCAGGUUCGGAAGGUUCAACAAAAGUAACCUGCUAUCAAGCUAUAAGCCUGAAAAGAAUAAUAAUGAGAGGGUGAGUUCAACAACUCAGUGAGUAAAUAAUAUUCAAUAUACACACACGAGGUAAUACAACAAUGAUAAUACAUAUACAAUUAUGGCUCUAGGUUCUUAUAGGAAGGUUUCUCAAAUAGAUCAUAACAAGAAUAUCAUAUGGUAAAGCUCGUCAAAAAAUCAAAAUGCAAUAAGCAUGAGCUCCGUACUGUGGGAUGAUCAGUCACACAGGUUGGUGACUCCCCGACCAACUAGGGUUCAUAUACGAUAUGCAAAGACUAACAUUACCCUGUUAGCAUGGUAUUCUGACUGACAUACAUAGGUUCAUAAUCAUAAUCAAACAAACAUAUUCAUAUCUCAAAGCUCAACUCAUGACAUCAAUCAAAUGAGGAGCUAUCAAUUCAAAAGUCAAUUCAAAAUAUAUACUGGUUCAUAUCAAGAAUUCAGAUUCAAUAAUUGAUCAUGCUUUAUCAUAACAAGGAUAAUAAUCAACAUAUAUAUUAUCAAGAAGCAUGAUCCAAUUCAUAUUAACAAAUCAAAUAUUUAUAAUAUUUCUCAUGCAUAUGAAAAAUUAUCCACUCACCUGACUCAAAAGCAAACGGCACUCAAAAGUUGAUACCGAAGGAAAUCCUACUAACGUCCCGCUAGUAAAAUAUCAGGAUUAUCUGAAUACAAAGGAGACAUAUUCAAGAACGACUCGAAAAACAUUUAACCUAUUUAAUACACUUAACUAAGGUGUAUUCCGUAACCCUAUAUGUUUUGAACUAACUAGUCAAUUUUCUCAAAAACCCAAAAUUUAAUGGUUUUCCCGAAAUCUAAUCCAUAAUAAAACAACUAAUAAAAUUGGUAAUAAUUCACUAAAUAACCUUAAUUAUUCACAAAAUAAUCUGCAAAAGCUAAUAUUACACUAGGGACUAAUCUGAAUUUAUCAUAUUUUUAGGGCCAAAUUGUAAUUUUCAUCUAAUUGGAGGACCAAACUAAACAUAUCAUAAAUUCAUGACUAUAGUGGAAUUAUGUCCAUAAUUCAUCCGCAUUUCUGUCCAGAACCUCUAAUUAUGCUCCAGGGACCAUUCUGGAUUUUUUUCCCAAAUUUUAGGGUCAAAUUGUAAUUUUUGUCAAAUGGAGGACCAAACUAAAAUUGUCAUAAAUCCAUGACUAUACUGAAAUUAUGACCAUAAUUAAUCCUCAAUUAUGUCCAGAAUAUCUCAUUAUGCUCCAGGGACCAUUCUAGAAUUUUACCAAAUUUUUAGGGUCAAAUGGUAAUUUUUUCAAAUUAGAGGACCAAAUUGAAAGUUUAAAAUUUCAUAACUAUACAGUAAUUCUGCCCAGAAUUCAUAUGUUAUUCUUUCAGAAUCUCGGAAUAUGCUCCAGGGACCAAUUUUUAAUUUUCCAAAGUUUGGGACUAAACUGUAAUUUUCACAAAUUAAGGGACCAAAUUGAAUUUUCGUCAUCUUCAACCUCCAACCCAGAAUUUUAAUAUAAAACCCACUGUUCUCUCCAAAUUUCUAACACAAAUUAACCAUUCAAACAAAAUCAUAACUCAAAAUCAUCAUCUUUCAAUUCAAUCUCUCAAAAUCAACCAAAUAAUCAAAUAUCAACACAACAAUUAACCCUGGUUUUGUUAUGUUAUUUAUUACCUCGACACUCCUGCACUUGGGAUAAGACAUUAAUCUUUUAAUCAUGUUGAAAAUUUAGAUUCCUUUUAUUUCUUAUCAUGAUCAACGACUUGUAGAUGUUUUUAUUAAGUUAUUUUCUAUUGUUUUUCAAUUCAAAUUUCGGGUCGAUUCUUCACCAUAUAUAUAUAUAUAUAUAUAUAUCAAGGAAAUAUUAAUAUGUUUAAUCACUGUUAUAUAAGGUGUUGGUUAACUAAUAAGUUAAUAUAUAAUUCCAUUCACAACAUGACACUUUGACUAUUUGUUUUUUGUUUUUGUUUCUUUUAAUAUAAGAACUUAUAUAGCCUAUCAUUGAUAAAUAAAUAAAUUAAAUUUGCUUUAAUGGAGUCAUUUUAAUUUGCUUUAACUCAACUUAUUGACAAUUUUCUCUUAAAAUUUAUUCAUUUCUGAUAAUAUAUUGAUAGAACACACAUAUUCAAUUCAUUAUUUCAACUGGAAACUCAAAAGAUAUUACAAGUUCAAAUUAUUAUUACAACAUCUAGACACACAAUAUUCCAAGAUGCUUUUUCACCCCUAACCUUCUAAAAAAAGGCGAUCACACAAAAUCAUGACAUCUGUUGAUGAAGAUCAACCUGGAUAGUUACUUGGGCUUUGUCCAGAGAUCACGAAGUNNNNNNNNNNNNNNNNNNNNNNNNNNNNNNNNNNNNNNNNNNNNNNNNNNNNNNNNNNNNNNNNNNNNNNNNNNNNNNNNNNNNNNNNNNNNNNNNNNNNNNNNNNNNNNNNNNNNNNNNNNNNNNNNNNNNNNNNNNNNNNNNNNNNNNNNNNNNNNNNNNNNNNNNNNNNNNNNNNNNNNNNNNNNNNNNNNNNNNNNNNNNNNNNNNNNNNNNNNNNNNNNNNNNNNNNNNNNNNNNNNNNNNNNNNNNNNNNNNNNNNNNNNNNNNNNNNNNNNNNNNNNNNNNNNNNNNNNNNNNNNNNNNNNNNNNNNNNNNNNNNNNNNNNNNNNNNNNNNNNNNNNNNNNNNNNNNNNNNNNNNNNNNNNNNNNNNNNNNNNNNNNNNNNNNNNNNNNNNNNNNNNNNNNNNNNNNNNNNNNNNNNNNNNNNNNNNNNNNNNNNNNNNNNNNNNNNNNNNNNNNNNNNNNNNNNNNNNNNNNNNNNNNNNNNNNNNNNNNNAACAAUAGAAUGUGUGAAACUCUUCUUACAUAAUCAUCAAAGAUCCAUUCGUAGUACAGUCAUAACGUCUGUAUCCAAUAAACUGCAAUUAAUCAUUAGGGACUAAACUUCAAAUCUGAUUCAACUCUUAGGGACCCAAUUUAAAUCUGAUUAUAAAAAUUAAGGACCAAAUCAUAACAAUUCAAACUCAAGGACCAGGCUAUAAUGAUUAUAAAUUUCCAUGGAUUAUAUUGUAUCUUUACCUUCUCCUUCUCGAGAGUUUCUGCCGAUUCUCCUUUAUCGACAUUGGCUUAAUCCUUCUGAAUCAUCUUUUAUUUCUUUGGGACAUACUAAUUGUGCGGUAAACGUAAAUGCACAUGCAAUGACCAUUACUAUCUUUUUUAUUUUUUUUAUCUUAAAAGUUAAUUUUAGUUGCUAAGAAAUGAUUAUUAAUCUAUAAAUAGUCAUAUAAAUUCAAUUUAUUUAUAUAAAAUAUAUUAAAAAAAAAGAUAAAUUACAAUAAUCUCUUGGAAGCAUUACAAAAUAAAUAAAUAAAAGAUUAAUUAUUUUUUAAAAAAAUAUAAACUAAACAAUUAAAAAAAUUAUUAAAAAAUUUAAAUAGAAAUUAAUAAAAUAUUUUUUUUAAAAAAAAAAUAUUAAGCAAUGCUGGGAAUAACAUACCAAGCCCACGCGCUAGGCGAGGAUAAAAAACAUAAGUGUGCUUGAUACUAGAAGCCCAAGCCAGCAUUCCGGCUAAAUUUUUUUUUUCUUUUAAAGUUAUUUCUUGAAAUAGACAAGUUGUUUAUUAUGCAAAAAUUAUUUUUAUCCUCUGCAUCUUUUUCCUGUUACCUCCUGUGUUUGAAAAAUAAAAGCUCAAGUUUUGAAACAUCAACUUCAUUAAACUUUCAUUAAAAGAUAAAUUUAUUAAUAACAAAGUCAAUCUUUUUAUGAUUGAAAUCUGUCCAUUAAAGUACUUUUUCUCUUUUUAAUAUUUUUCGCUAACUUUUUCUCUUCUCUUUCAAUGUUCAGACGCUAAAUUUUAUUUUAUUUUUUUUAAAAGGACUAAAAUGUGAAAUGCUAUAACAACAAGGAUUAAAUAAUAAAUAAGUUGAAACUUUAUAGAGAAAAUUAAAGUUUUCCAUACCAAUAUUCAAAUGGGGUUUUUUUUUAUUAAAUUUGGUCAAGUUCUUAAGUUUUGUUUUAACUAAACAUAAAAUUGUAUUUUGCAAAAUUAAUUUUUAAGUUAUCGUUGUAAAAUUUGUUGACAUUUUGUAUAUGUAAGACAAUGAAAAUUAAAAAAAAAAAAAAACAGAUCUUAACAUGUAAAACUGUUUUAAUAUAAUUUUGAAAGAUUAAAUUGAAAAUAUUAUAGUUUCAUGAUCAAAAUUAAAAAAAAAUAACAUUUGCAUGAAUAGUGUAAUGAAUAAUGAAUCUCGAUCGAGAGGAAGAGUAACAAUACACAGUAUUAAUAUUAAUUCCAUAAAGUAAUAAAUCGUAAUCCACUUUAAUUAUUCAAUUAAUCUAAAACUCAUAACAAUACAUACAAUCCCUUUCCUUUGAGAGUGCUUUUAUUUAUUUGCGAAAUUGCAAAUAAGUGAAUAACUACGAAAUGAGCAUUGUACCUCUAAAUCAAUGCUAGUUAUUAGGGGUGAAUAAAAAAAUUAAAAAAUCAAGAAAAUAAAAAAAAAAACGAUUAAAAUUUUUACAAAAAAACCGGCAAGUUCGGUUCAGUUUCAAUUUUAUAAGCCUAAAACUGAAAAAAUCGAACCGAACCAAACCGAACCGAACCCAAACCGAAAAAAACCGAGCCAAACCAGUAAAAAACGGAGCCAAACCGAGUCAAAAGCUAGUCAAAUCGAAAAAACCGAGCCAAACCAGUUUGAACCGGUUUUGAUCCUAAAAAACCAAACCGAAACCGAUCGGUUUGACCCAGUUUCGGUUCGGUUUUGGUUUUUUCUAAACAAAAAAAAUUAAUUUUUUUUUUUUUUUUAUAAAAACCGAAUCGAACUGCAAAUAAUCAUCCCUACCGCCCAUUAAUUUUCAAAUAAAGACAAUAUAGUCUAUUCACUCUAAUUAUUAUUUUUUAAUUCCAUCUAAGUCCAUAAUUCCUAGAGUUUUGUUGGGCCUUGGCGUUUUUUUUAGUAGGUUUCUACAGUUUUGUUCACAUUACAGCCUACCAUUUUCACGAUGUCUCCCUAUGGAUAAUCAUAUCUCACUUGAUUAUAUUUGAAAGCCUUUUGAGGUAAAGAUGAUAAGGUUUUUUAAUUUUUAUGGAAGGUCCAUCUAAUUUUUUAAUAUAAAAAAUCUUAUUUCUUAUCUUUAUUUUCAACGUAAAGUAUAUUAAUAAAAAGAUAAAUCUUAAUUUUGUUUCUUAUAUUCUUAAAUAUAAUAAUGUUCAUUGUAUUAUACAAAGGAGACCAACUUCCUCAAUGCAUAAGAAAUAAAGGAAUCGAAAAAGUGAAGUGAGGCUCACUUUCCUUCACCAGCAUAUACCAUGCGUUUACCUUUCCAAUAAUUAGAAGAAAGCGACUUGUAUGGAGAGAGCUUUCUAAAUUUCUUAUAUUGAAAUUCUAUAGGUGUCUUUACAUUUUGAUUACAGUUUUUUUUAUGCUUGCUUCAAUUAAAAGAAUUUUAAAUUUUAAAGUUAGAUAUUAAGUUUGAUAUUGUUAACAAUCUAAACUUCAGACAUUAUCCAUGUAAUUCUAAACUUAUAGUUCUAGGCUUAAAAUAAUGUUUCUCAAAUAUAAAUUUAAAACUUAAUGAUCUUUUUAUAUAUAUAGAAAGCAAAUUAAAACUUGUGAAGUAGUCAAAUAACCUAAAUAUUUUGAAUACAAAAAAUAACUUAACAACUCAAGAUUAUAGAAUUUACAUUCAUUGGAUGAUUCUUCAACUUUGGCUAUCAAGGUUGUGCAUGAAGAUCAAGUAGAUGUUGCUAAAGAUUUUACAAUUAGAUAUACAAGGAAUAUUUGUGGUAUUGCUAAUGACAUCUUCACCACAAAUCAACUAAAAAUUCAUAUCAAGAAGGCCAUCAUGGACUAAAUAGAAAUUUCAGUUUAACCUUUAUAUUAUUAUGCAAAGCCAUACACACAAAAGUUGAGCUAUCAACCAAUAAAGGUUCAACAAUUAGAUAGCAAAAGGAAUCUAAGGCAACAUGUGGCUCACUUUAUAGAGGCUUGUAACAAUACUAUAAUUGAUGGUGAUCUCAUGGUAAAACAAUUCAUUCAUUCUUUAAAAUGCAAUGCAUGACUUGGAGUCUUUUUUAAGUUAUUGUUGGGAGAAAUUGAAACAUAUGUUUCUUCAACACUCAUCAUAUAGUUAACAUGAUUAAACUUACCAAUGAACAUUAAUAAAUAGAGAAGCAUGUCACUAACUACAUUCAUCAAUGGAAAAAUCUACAACACUUAUCACAUGGUUAACAUGAUUGAACUUAUCAAUGCAUAUUAAUAAAUAGAGGAGCAUGUCAUUGAUUACAUUCAUCAAUUGUAAAGAUCAACUCAUCAAAAGUUUUACUCUAGAUAUAUGCAUUGAAGGGAUGCAUUAGGGGCUUUGUUGUAUUCUAUAAAGCAUUAAAAACCCAAAUCUUUUAAAGAAUUAGCUACUAGAACACAUAAUAUAGGACUUAAUAUUGCUACAACGGAACCUUAUCAUUACCUAUGUAAGAGCCUAAAAAAAAUAAGUCUGAAAGUCAUAGAUUUGAAAAGAGCACGUCAAAGGUUCAAGGAAAACAAUCUUUGGUAAUUAACUUCGUUGUCAUAAAUGUACCUACUAGAGGUAAAAGGAAUGAUUGUGCAACCCUAAAUGCUUUUCAAAAGGGUGAAAAGAAAACGUAAUCCUUUAAAGAGUGACAAUAAAAAAAGUAUCAAUUCCCCAACUUGGAUAUAUCAAGUACACUAUAAAUCCAUGUUUGAUUUGCAAAGUAAAUUUCAUUAAGCUAUCAAAGUUGAAACAUCAUAAAAAAAAAAAAAAAGCAAAUCAACAUCAUUGAGUUCACCUACGCACUAAGCCCAAGUAUAUAUGGGCAUGACAAGUUGUUAGAUCAAACACAUUGGAUUCACCUACAUGUUGAGCCCAAACAAACAUGGAUUUAUCAAGUUGUCAAACCCAAUAUCCUAGGGUUCAACUACGUGUUGAACCCAAGUACAUAUAGAUCUAGCAAACUCAAUGAUAUUAGGUUCAGCUAUGCACUAAGCAAAAAAAAACGUGGGUUUAGCAAGUUGUUAGACAUAAAAUUCUUGGGUUUAACUAUGCACUGAGCUUAGGCAUAUAUGAGUCUGGCAAGCUACCAAAUCCAACAUCCUUGUUGCUAAGCCCAAAAAAAAAAAAAUUGUGUGGCAAGCUUUCAAACACAACAUCAUUGGGAUCAGCUAUGUGCUAAGACCAAGUACAUAUAGGUCUGUCAAACUACCAAACCUAAUGACCUUGGGUUCAACCACGUGUUGAGCUUAAACAGACAUAGGUUUAGCGAGCUAUCAGACCCAAUAUCCAUGAGUUUAACUAUAUGCUAAACUUAAGUACAUAUAAGUUUGGUAAAUUGUCAUACCCAACAUCUUUAGGUUUAAUUACAUGUUAAGCCUAAACAGAUGUGGGUUUGGCAAGCUGCAAGACCCAUUGCUAAUGGACUUGGCAUCAUGUCAAGCCUCAGUGGGUAUGGGUCUAAAGAUCAUUAUAAGCCUCAUAUUGGGCUAUAAGGCUUUUUUGUUUAUUCUUAUGAUUUUUAAUAUGAAAUGUUAAUGUUAAGAAUACUCAUCUCUCUAUACUUAUAAAUAUAUAAAAGUCUUCUAAGACCUACCAUAUUUUCAUUAGUAUUAAAUAUUGUAUAAGAGAUAUUCAUCCCUCAUUAAUGAUGUGUAAGGAAUAUGUAUCCAUUGUCCAAACACUCAAAAACCUCUUUCUUAAACAUAUUGGAUUUUGAAAUAUCAUAAACUGAUGAACAAGAAAUAGAUCUUUUUUCCAAGAGAAAAGUAGAGAGGAAGGAAAGGAUUAAAAAAUAACAAAAGAAUCAGCUGCAAAACAUGAACCAUAUGACAAAAGUUGAUGCUUUGCCAAGCCAUGUUCACCUAGUAGCCGCAUCCUUGCCUAUAACAGAAACCAUAUCCACUCAAUUAAUUAAGGAAACAGAAGAGGUUUAGCAAACAUGCAUCGAGUAAAUUUUAUAAUUUACACUUUGGUCCCUAAAUCAAUAAUUGCUUUAAAUUAGGCAUCAAACAUUGAUUCUAUGAUUUUAUUUAAUAAAAUUUAAUUGAAAUUGAUCCCUAAAUUUCUGAUUUUGACAAUUAUAUUUUAUUUUUUAAUAAAAAUAUCUAUAUUAAUUUACUUUGAAAAUUUAAUACGAUCAAAUCAAGUUUUAGUUGAAAAAAAGAUAUUCAAAGUUCAAAAAUCCUCUUAACCAUAUUUUUCAAGACAUGUCUACUUAUUUUAAGGCUAAGUGAACUUGUAUCGAAGGGCAACAUCUGUAUCAACAAAAUAUUGUACAAAUUCAAUUUUUUCAUGUCUUUUUUUAUUUUAUUUUGACCUAAAAAAUUAAAAUAAUUGACAUGGAAAAUAAAUGGGCCUUUAUGUAUUUCUUAGCCAACAAAAAGUUGAAAAAUAGGAUGAGAUAUUUAAUUUAUUUUAUCAUCAAUGCAAGAUUUUAUAAUUGAAAAUCAACCAAUAACUGAUAAUAAACUUUAAGUAGAAUUGAACAUUAUUAUUUUUCUAAUGAUAUGGUGAAUUUAAAUAUCCAAUACAAAUUUAUUUAUAAAUGUGUCCACAUAUUUACCCAUUUAAACAUACUUAUUCAACAUUAUUAAUUUUUAAUUAAAAUUAUUUAUAUGAGAUUUAUUUAAAAAUAAAAUAAAAAGUCUUAAUGUAUAUUUGAUUUAAAUUUGAAUUAUACUCAAUUUUUGAAAAUAAUAAUGCAAAUUAUGUCAUUAUUUUUUGCUUCAGUCAAUGUAUCCAAUUAUCGAAUAAAACUUUAUUCAUGAAUGUGUUCGCACAUGUACCUAAUUUUUUUUUAUGAAUAUGUUCAGUACUAAUGUACCUACCAAAGCAUAUCUAUUCAACAUAGUUAAUUUUUUAUAGAAGAAUUUAUUGAUUAGUUUAAGAAAUCACAUCCUAUAAUAAAAUUAAAACUCUAGAUGCAUAUUCAAUUUAAAUUUAUAAUUAUGCUAAAUUUUUUAAAGUACUAAUUUAAACUAUAUCACUUGAUUUUGUUAGUUUGUUCUUAGAAAAAGAGCUCAACUGAAAAUUAAUAUAAUAAGAUGUAAUUUAAAUCUUUUAUUAUAAUAAUAUUUAAAGCAGCUUAAAUGAUAUGAUCAUUAUUUAUAUCAUUUUAUAUUUUUUUAAUAUUUUUUAUUAAAUUAUGAAUUAUUUAAUAUAAAUAAGGAAGGAAAUGAUUAGGUUAAAAGAAUUACACUAAGUUGUGAUUAGAAUGUAACCAGAAAAUCCGCAAAAUUAAUUUUUAGAAAUUUUGAUAAUUAGGUCUGGUAAACUAUCAGGCCCAACAUCUUUGAGUUCAAUUACAUGUCAAGUCUAAACGGAUGUAGAUUUGGCAAGUUGUAAGAUUCAUUGCCAGUGAACUUAACAUCGUGUCAAGCCCAACUGGGUAUUGAUCUAAUGAUCAUAAUAAGCUUCAUGUUGGGCUAUAAGGCUUUCGUUGUUUAUUUUUAUGAUUUUUUAACAUGAAAUGUUAAUGUUAAGAAUUUUAAUCUCUCCAUACCUAUAAGUAUAUAAAAGUCUUAUAAGCACUUAUUAUAUUUCAUCAUUAUUAAAUAUUAUGUAAAAGAUAUUUAUCCCUCAUUAAUAACGCGUAAGAAAUAUUUAUCCAUUCUCUAAACACUUAAAAACUUUAUUUGGAAGCAUGUUAAAUUUUAAAACAUCAUCAACUACUGAACCAGAAAUCGAUCUUUUUGGCAAGAGAAAAGUAUAGAAGAAGGAAAUGAUUAAAACAUAAUAAAAAAAAAUAGUUGCAAAACAUGAACCCCAUAACAAAAGCUUAUGCUUUGCCGAGUCAUGUUCAGCUAGCCACCACAUCCUUGCCUAUAACAGAAACCCUAUCCACACCAUUAAUUAAAGAAACAGAAGAGGUUUAGCAAACAUGCAUAGAGUAAAUUUUAUAAUUUACACUUUGAUCCCCAAAAUCAAUAAUUGCUUUAAAUUAGGCAUCAACCAUUGAUUAUAUCAUUUGAUUUGAUAAAUCUCAAUUGAAAUUGAUCCCUAAAUUUCUAAUUUUGAUAAUUAUAUUUUAUUUUUACAAUAAAAAUAUCUAUAUUAUUAAUUUACUUUGAAAAUUUAAUAUGAAGUUGGGAAAAAAUUUAUCAAAGUUCAAAAAUCCUCAUAACCGACAUGUCCACUUAUUUUAAGGUUAAGUGAACUUACAUCGAGGAGGCAUUUAUAUUAACAAAAAAAUUAUAUGAAUAAAAAAAAAUUAUAUGUCUUUUUUAUUAUUAAUUUUUACCUAAAAAAAUUGAAAUAAUUGAGAUGAAAAAUAAGUGGAACAUUAUGUAUUUUUGAAGACAUGUCCACUUAUUUUAAAUCUUUUAUUAUUAUAAUAUUUAAAGCAGCUUAAAUGAUAUGAUCAUUAUUUAAUUAUAUCUUUUUAUCUUUAAUGUGGAUAAUUAAAGAUAUCAACUUGGUUGGUCUUAACAGUAUUAAAGUGGCCGUCCUUAAAACAAAGAAAAAAGGACAUGGCCAAGCAUUGACACGUUGCAAAUACGAUAAAGUCAACCAACAUCGUCCCACCCUUGCUCUAAUUUGAUGCAAUAAUGUUUAAGGGUGCGUUUAUUUCUGAAAUCCUGCAGCAGGGACGGGAUGGAUGUUUGUUGAUUUUAUCGUUAUGCACCGUGUCAAUGAUUUUGGGACGGCCAUUUUAAUACUGUUCAGACCAACCAAGUUGAUAUCUUUAAUUAACAUUGAUAUCUUAAUUUGAAUAUUUGAUUUAUUUUUUUUACUCAAUCCAACAACAACAAGGUUAACAGGAGUCUAGUAAAUGCAUGCUUAAUAUAUAUAUAUAUAUAUAUAUAUAUAUAUAGAGUAGAAGUGCGCAUACAUUCAAUUGGAAACUCAAGAGUUAUUACAAAGUUCAAAUUAUUACCACAAUCGCUAGCCACACAAUCCAAGAUGUUAUCGAUCCCAGAAUCCCGACCUCUGAUCCUACUAAAGAUUGUGCUCUUUCUUGAGAUCGGAGAGUUUAUUAGGCAGCCACCACCUACUGUAGACAAACAGUAAAAAAAGGCCGUAGUAGAAAGGGUGCAAGUGCACUUUUAGAAAAACUUGGAUGACAAAUAGCAGAAUAAUCAAAGGAACAACAACGGUCACCCCUGUAAUGAAGUUUGUUAAAAAUGAUUGAUGGGAUCCUAUUAAUGCUAUUGUCACAGACGAAAGGAAUGCCCCGAACAUCAUGUAAAUAGCCAAACAAACCAUGCAGCUUGAAAACCAAACUUGAAAUCUGGGAUUACUAAAGCUUGGCACAAGAAGGAAUAGAGCUGCCAACAGAGAGAAAGAUAAAGCCCCCACAUCGAAAAUCAAAUAAUCAUACAGAAGAUUCUCAUAAGUGCUGUAAUCGGAGGCAGUAUAAGUGCCGUUAAAUUCAUGACGAUGAUCACUUGAGUUAUUGUUAUCCCUUAAUUGUGGCAAUUGUAUAGCACCCGCAAAGGUUACUCCAGCAACAAGCACUGCUACCACUAGAAGAUUCCCUAUCAUGCUUGUUUCCUCUUUGCUCGUGACAUGGGUAGUGGAGUAGCAGGGAAAAUCUCAAAUCGGUAUUUCUUGGGCGGGCAUUAUUGAAGAAUAAGAUUGAUAAUGUCAUCGCCUGCAUAUAUAUAGCACGGGGAAAAUUAAAAGCUUAAUUGUUUAAUGAGCAAUUGCAUCCAAAAGCAUUGACCUUCAAAUGCCUUUCCCAGAACAAGAAAUUUUCUGGAAUGGUUUAGAAUUUUUUAAUAUAAUGGUAUACAAGUUCAAUCAAUUGGGCUUGAACUAGAAGUUUAAAAGAUUAGGGAUGGCAAGGGGGGAAAAACAAAAAAAGGAAAGAAGAGAAGCAAUAUUAAUACCAAGUGAAAAGACCCAAACCGUACUUCGUCCUUUGGUGAUGCCUGUUUUGUAUCCAUCUUAUUUGAAUCAACUUCUUUGCCCUGUCAAAAAAUAAUAAUAAUAUUAUAUGUUCAAAUGCAGUGCUCUCUCUGUGUGCUAUAGAUAUAUAUUGAAGAUAUUUGAUUUCCUGCUGCGAAAUACUUUUAAUCUUUUUAUUUAAUUAUAUAAUAAUUAAAUUAAUUUUUAUAAAUAAUUUAAAUUCCAUAGGAUAAAAAAUUAAUUUAAAUUGAUUUGAAAAAAAAAAAAAAGUAUCUAUAUUUUUUAAAACAAAACCAUUUUCCUUAUUAAUACGUUCCAUUUUUUUUACUAAUGUUUUUAUAAAAUUUUGUUUUUUUUUAACAACAACCUAUCAUAAUCUACAAAUAAGUUUUAAUUAAAAAAUAAAAUAAUAAUGGAUUGAUGAUUUUCUUGAAAAAAAAAUUUAGCAAUGUUUUUAUUGCAUAAAAACUAAAAGCAAUUAAAAUAAAUAUGGACAAAAAAUUUCAUGAUUUUAUUGCAAUAAAGAUAAUAAAUAUAUAAUAUAAAUAUAUAUAUAUCUAUUUGAAAAAAAAAAAGCUUUUUUUUAUUAAUCCAUCCUCUCUUUUUUCUGGGGUAGUAUUUUAUAAAAAAUAUUGUUUCUUAAAUAAAAAACUUAUCAUAAUCUUAACGUAAAUACCUUGAUCUCGUGCGCAGGGGUACUACUGUUCUUUGAAUCAAUCGGCUUUCGUUCCUCGGCAGGCUGGCAACAAAGUGGAAGCCCAGAUACCAAAAUAUUAAAUCAGUAAUACUCCUAAAAUAUAUAGACUUUUGUAGCUCGAUAAAUGAUGAUCAAAUUAGUAGCAUACCAUUUCAAUAUCUGUUUUUAUGUCUCUUCAGAUCUUUUGGAAAUGUUCACCUAAGUACUCAUAUGGUGUCCAAUUUCUAUUGUUAACAAUGAAAUGUUCAACGCGAUUGUCACGCACAAGAAGAAAUGUAGCCUGCAUCGGCCAUAACUGCUGCCAAAUGCAAAGGUGUAUUUCCAUCCUCAUCUGUCGCAUUUACCAGCGGUGCGACGAGCUGCUGUCCUUUGAGUAUGUACCUAACCACACUGCCAUUUCCAUCUUUGGCCGCUACAUGAAGAAUGUUCUGCCCUUUCUUAUUGAGGAAUUCUUUUGGAUAUGGGAAUUUAUCAAGAAAUUCCUUCAGUGCAUCAGCAGAGCGACUUUUGCAUGCUAGAUGGAUAGGAUAGUCGCCUUCAAGGUUUGUUUCAUAAGCACCAUCGUGAAACUUCUUUAAUAGGAAUCGAACUCCUUCCAGAAAACCUAUGGAUGAUGCAUAAUGCAGAGAAUUUCCCAACCUUCCUCGGUGAGACGUAAUAGCUCUGGCUUUUCCUUUCAAUUUUCUCCAAAUAUCUGAAAAUCAAAAGAAAAUGUUUCAAACGAAUAUAAAGAUGAUAGCCUUGCAACAAUUGUUUGUAUGUAAUUCAUUUUCUAGUGAGUAAUGACAUUGUGAUCACCUAUGUUACGUUGCUCGAUGGCAGCAUGAACAGGUGACCUUCGUUUUGGUAGGGCAUCGCCAUCUUCACUUCUUAUAGGGAACGAAGCUUCCGUUUUCAAGAGAUCAUCAAGUAUCCCGUUCUUAUUGCCGUUCUCAACCAGAUAUAAAGGAGACUUGCCAUUAUUGUUGUUGUAAUAGGCCACUUCUGGAUCUCUGAAACUAGGAGUUUGGCAAGUUCUUUGUUAUCGGCGAUCACUGCAUCAUGCAAAGGAGUGUUUCCCUUUGUAUUUUUCUUCAUGAUCAAGCUCGGAUUCGAUUCCACAAGAGAUUUAAUUGUAUUACUGGCCUUUCCUUCUCUGGCAGCAAGAUGAAGGAUCGUGUCCUUCUGGCUGUUUUGAAUGGUGAUCAGAGAAGGAAACGUUCCAGCCAGAUAAGAUGUAAUAUUGUCACUUCCAUAGCUUACAGCUACGUGAAGUAGUGUAUUACCGCAGGGUGUCACUAGCUUCUCUGUUAAAUGUUGCUCGACAAGGGUUUUAAAGGCCUCAGGAUUGUCCUGCCUCACACACUCAUGCAACUGACUAUCUAUCAUUGCAUUUGCCAUGUGAUCUCUCGGAAUCGAGUUUUCAUCAAUGUUUAUUGCUACGCUAGACAUGGCAAAAGAAAUUAAAUAUAGUGUUUGUUGAAUCAGCUAUACAUAUCAGACAUCUGGACUUCUAAUUUAAAUAGACCAGACUGAAAUAAUGGAAUCUUACUUUUUUUUAUAUUUGCAAGGAUAUAUACUUUGAUUACUCAAUUAAUUACUUCACCCAUUCGUUCGGGAAUCCAGGACAUAGCAAGAACAAGAGAGCAGUCUUGCCUAUGGUUAAAGCAGCAUCUAGAAAAGGAAAAUUCUUAACUUGAAUUUAUAACUCAUAUACAGAGUGCAGUUGGGAGAAUCCAUGGUUUAAUGAACAUGAUACACGAUGGCAUGAGAUUCUAGGUGAAAUAAACAUUCAAUUCAAAAUUAGUCUCAAACUCUUACGUUAAUGAUAGCAAGUUCCUUUCCUCUAAUUUAAUUUACAUAUAAUUAGAGGAAAGGAACUUGUAUAGACCGAGCUUCUUGAUGUUCUUCUAGGGAAACACUUCAAGCAUCUUUACUUUUCCCUCUUUCUUAUGAAAACUUCAAGUGCGAGUUUGUCCUUUUUUGGAUGCAGUAGUUCUUUUUCUCAUACUUUAUUCUUUCUGCGUCUUUUUUUUUUUAAGUGAUUUUAAUUUAACUUCUACUAGAAAUUGUGAUGAACGUGCAACACAUUGGCUUCCAAGGUAGAGUGAUCAGGUUGUUUUUAUAAGCAAUACUUUUAUUAUAUCAAGCUUUGAAUCUCCUGAAAAUUAUUAUUUAUAUUGUCAAGCUCUUUCAAUUUCAGUGUAGAAUUGACCUCAUCUUUUGCUUAUUCUAGCGUAAAAGUUUGACAUUUAAUUUAGCGUAAAAAUGACUUCAGCCACAAACUACAUAAAUUCACAAAAUUUCAAGAAUUUCAGAAUCUUCAAAACCACACACCCACCAUAGGAACAAUCUUUUCAAAAUAUUAACAGUUAAAAGAGAUGUUUUGACUGUUUAGACAUGUUCAUGAACUAAGUGAUUUCUUUAUAUAAAUCAUUAUUAGCUUAAAUUAUUUAAGUACAAUAUUCAUCAAAAUACAUUAAAUAAAGGUCAACAUUGUGGUUAGUCUUGUUGCCUGUUGGUGAAUUUAGUCUUUUAUCUGAUCUUCAACAGGUUAAUAACAUCACAUUCAGAUGGAAGCUAUGGUAGAAUAUGCAUGUAGCACAAACCAUGUAUAGUAAUUUGACUAGAUGAUUGUCUCACGCAAUGUGGUAAAUGUUGUAGGUCAAAUUAAAUUUAUUUCUUUAACUAAAAAAUUAUCUAGCUAAAUUAUUUUUUUGUGGAAAGAAAUUUAAACUAUAUAGAGAUUGAUCUAAUGUGACCCGGUUACUUUGGCAGGUUUAAAGACAAUUGAACAACCAUUAGAAACGUAAUUCAACUCAAAAUAAAUAUUUAAAAUGAGAUUUGUUUUUAUAAAUAUUGAGACGACAACAUAUUGGAUCAAUUUGGGUUAACCUUUCAAUUCAUAUACUAAAUCAUGAAAUAAUGAUAACCUCAUAGAAUACAAAUAAAAAAAAAGUUAUAAAGUUUAAUUUUCAAUCAACUCAAUUUUGAAUGAUGAAAUUUUUUAAAAAUAUAUAACAAUUAAAGAAGGAUAAAAAAAAAUAACAUGAGUCAACUUGAGUUAAGUUGCUAAACUCGUGACCUAGAUCAUGAGACUAUAAUAACCCAAUAGAAAAUAAAUUAAAAUAAAUUAUAAAGCUUAAUUUCCAAUCAACCUGGUGUUAAGAUGAAAUUGAAAAAAAAAUUGAUAAAGGACAAAAAAAAACCGACGCAAUUGAACUUAGGUUAACCCAUCACCCGAGUCAUGAGACAGGAAUAACCUCAUAGAAAACGAAUCAAAACAAAUCACGAAACAUAAUUUCUAAUUAACUCAAUGUUAAAUGAUGAAAUUGAAAAAAAAAAUCAAUCAGGAAAAGAGAAAAAAAUCAAGUCAACUAAGCUAACAUGUUAAACCUUGAGAUUAACAUUUUUAAUUUGGAAAUUUUUCAUCAUCUUGGUUCCUCACGGGUAACUUCAAGAAUAUAUCAAGCUUCCUUAGCUAUCUCAUACAUGGAGGUUCUUUUAAAUUCAUCAAGAGGCUAUAUAAAUAUAGCAUUCAAGCCUUUAUUAUUCCAAUUAUAAUGAGUGGAUUCAUCUCCGGUCCAGUGAUUGAAAGGAGUUAAUUUUAGGCUUAAUCCAUCUUGAAAUAUUCACAAAAUGAGAGAUUUAAGUUGAAAGAUAUCUUAGUUGAUUAUUUAUUGAAAGUUGAAACAGGUCGAAGAUUUUUUAUUGUGGAAGGAAAAUUGUAAACAAAAUUUUUUUUGUUUAUUUGUGAAUGAAAACUUUCAUCCCCUUUUGUAUGGAAGAUGAGAACUUUUAUUAAUCAACUAAUUUAGUCAUGAAAAGCAUGGCUAAAUAGGAGAAGUAAAGUAACAAGAGAUAGGCUAGAAAACAUACAAAAUAAAACAAAGACCAAUCAAACUUAACUACGUUUCUAUUUACUUAAAAAAACAUAUAAAUCAUGCAAAAUAUAAAUAUAUGAAAGAGGCUUAUAACCAUACAACCAAAUCAGCUUCUUUAUAAACUUUUUAUUUGGCCAAAUGAUCCGCUACAUGGUUACUUUCUCUAUAAAUAUAUGUAAAACUCGUGUGAGAAAGCCUAAGAGAGACAUUAGAGAUGUUAUUAAAAUCACAUUAUAAUCACAACAAUCUCAUAACAUUGCUUCCUUUUAUCCAAGCAAUUGCAUUAUAUAAAUUAAACUCCAUAAUACAACCCUUAAAGGAUGUACAACAAUAUUAAUCAAUACAUAAUACUUAAAGUGAAAGCUUUUUGAAUUCUCAAAACCUCAGCUCCAUUGGAUUCCCUAUACAUAUAGGAAUAAAAUAGUUACAAAGAAAUUUUCCUACGUGAUCCCUUAGAACACCCUUAAUCCCUGAGGGUUUAGGCUUGUUAUUUGUAAAAGCAUCUACAUUUCACUUAAGCAUACUUUGAGGAGGAGGAAUUUAUGAUGAUUCACUAUAUACUUUUUCCUUAUUUGUCCAUAUAAGAAUAUUAUUUGGUGAUCUUAGUAAGUAUAUCCUAGUAUAGCAGAAACUCCCAUCAUAAUAUGUUUUCCAUGUUACAACUCUAUAAAAAAGUGAGUAGUAUAUAUCAUCCAAAUGGUUUUUAACUCAUUAAAGAUCAAUUAUUGUGAGCAUUUCAAAUGGAUCAAACUAUUCCAAAGAAAAAACAAAGGCCACAUCUCUUUGUUUUUGCAUAAAUCCCAAGAUCAUUUCAUGUCACUAUAAGUAAAAAUUAUCGAAAGACUUUAGAAGAUUCAUUGUUGGCCAAAUCAAGACAGUACUACCGUGACCAUAACUGCCAUACCACCUCACAAUAAAAGAAGACAUGUUUUGUAGUCUCAAUUUUAUUUUAUUUUAUUGAAAUGGCAACUCAAAUCACUCACUUGUAACAACUUUGUUGGUGGUGAAAAGCUUGUAUAGAUAGUUUAUUCAUAAUUGUAAGCUAGAUAUUAAACUCAACCUUUGAAGGAGCAAAAAAGGACCACAAAUCAAAAUUAAAAUGUUUAUUUAUUGAAGAAGAAUCGUCUCAAUAAAGGUUGGCAACUUUUCAACUGAAAAAAUACAUUUAAAUAAAGCUGGAUCAAAUUGUUUAUUUAAAAAGCUAAGUGAAUGGCUCAUCGUUUUAUGAAAUGGAUUAGGUAUGAUAAGUGUAUGCCAAAGAUUGUUCAGCUUUUGGUGAGGAGGGUGGGAACUCUAACACUAGAUUAUGGAACGAUAUUGUCUCAAAUAUCCAUAAUGAAAAGGUUGCAUUAAAUUUAUCUUUGAAAAGGUUAAUGCAAGGGGAAGUACAUGGUGUAGAUUGUUAAUGUUUGUGCCAAGGAUGUGAGACUUUAGAAUAUUGCAAACCAAGAAAUUUGUGCGUUAAUUAGUUGGUAAUGGUAAAGUUAGUACAAAAACUUUUCUCCAGCACCGGAAUGUUUUACCUGCCUCACAAGCUUCAUAUGUUUUUGCAGUUUAGAUUUGGAAACCUCGUAGCAUCGUUUUAUAUACUGUAACUUUUCUAAGAGUGUUUGGAUGAAAGUUUUGGAUUGAUGGACUAUCCAAUGUUGUUUACCGAGAAACACUUGACUCACUGCUUAUGCAGUGGCCCGAAAUGGUGCACGGCAAAUUCCAAAGAUCAGUUUGGAGACUAAUUUUCAGUAAUACUUUUGGAGUGUUGGUUAUUGAGGAACAAAAUUGUUUUUGAGGAGGGAACUAUAAGCUUAUUUGAUUGUCUUUCCACCAUCCUUCAUCAGGUUAUUAUUUGUUUGCAUAUUUUAUAUUCAAAUUUCACUUAUACAAGAAAUGACCUCUUAAAAUCUUCUGAUAGCAUUAAAUUGUGGUGUAAUAAGAAAUCUUAGGUAAUCUCUUUGUUAUUUAUUGUAGGAGAUCAUUUUUUUCCUUUUUUUUUCCUAAGUCUUUUUUUUUAUAUAUCCUUGUAUUUCAUUUUGACUAUUGGUUUUAUAGCCUUUUCAAUAUAAUCCAAAAAAAAAAAAUUAUAGAUGGUAAUGGUUGCGGGCUUGGCAAUUCUUGUCUUACUGUACAGUUUCCAAGAUUAUAUAUAUUACCUUUCGGAAGACAAAACCACUUCAAUUCCUAAUAUGGGUGUGUGGGAUCGAUGACUUGUCUUGGAUUUGGAAUUUCUAUGUUUGGUAUGUUGUCCAAAUUAACGUUGUCCAGCAAGGUUUUGGACAAAUUGAGUUAGAAGUCAAUCUCUAAUGGGAUGUCUUCUUUCAUUUCCUAGUCAGCCUAGUUCAUGCAUUUCCUUCAAUGGUGUAUGAAAAGGAUGGUCCCUCCUAAAGUUGAUUUUUUUUGUUCGAUGGCUAUCCUUAAUAAAAUCAACACCAGAGGUGUAUUGGCUAGAAGAAGUAUUAUAUAUUGAGUCUGAUGAAGCAACAUGUUUUGUCUGUUUGUUGGCUGAGGAGAUUGUUGAUCGCCUUCUCCUACGUACAUCAACACCGGAGGUGUUUUGGCUUAAAAUGGUAAGAAAAACUAGAUAGUGUAGCGCAUCAUAUCCCAUUCAUUCAACAUAAAAAUGUAUAAGCAUUGAAUUGAGAAUUUUAAUUUGAAUUAGUAAUGAUAAAAAUGUGUAGUCUCGUGCUUAACAUCAUAGUUUUGAAACCCGGCCCGGCCCGGCGGGUUGACCCGGGACCCGGCUGCCCCGGGCAUGAAACCGGUCCGGGUGGAGGCCAAAACCCGCUUGGGAAUUGGCCCGGCCAGACCUGGUCGACCCGAAACCCGGCAAGACCAGGCCGUAAACCCGUUGACUUUUAUUUUUUUGUUUUGUUUUUACUAAAACGACGUCGUUUUAAUUUUUUUUUAAAAAUAAAAAAUAAAUUUUGACCCGGCCGACCCGGUCAAAACCCGGAACCCGGGCUUUGGACCGGGCCGACCACCGGGCCGGGUCUUAAAACUAUGCUUAACAUUCGUCAAAAGUGCCCAUCCAAAUAAUCUGUCCAACCACUAUCAUAAACAUCAACAUUUAAAAUAAUUAUAAUUAUAAGAAAAACUAAAAGAGAUGGGAAAAGAUAAAAAGCAGCCCUUAUAGGAAGGGGGAAAAAAAGCUGCAUAAUUCAAGGGAAAGUGAGAGGGGAAAAAAAAAAAAAGGAAAAUUGGUUGUCACAUUGGGAAAUAGCCGCCACACGCUGCCUAUAAUGAAUGGCCUUGUCCAGACACUUCCAGAUCAGACGCCAAGAAAGAUCAUUUUUGAAGGCAAGAGGAUUUUGAACGCGCCGUCAUAAUGUGGCAGGUCCUCCACAUGCUGGUGUGUUCCCAUGCGCAACAUUUUUUUGUCAUUUUCGUUAACUUUGGUCUCUAAUUGUAUAAAUGUUUUUUCAUUUAGUUUCAAAUUUCUUCCCAUCUAAAUCCAAGUUAUUUUUUUUUUUCAAUUUAAUCUCUAAUUUUUUUAUAUAAAAAAAAACCCUAAUCAAUCUAGUAUACAGAAAAAUGAACAAAACCCCCCACCAAGAUUCCUAAAUUGAGAACUCAAAUUUCCAAAUUAGCAAAAUUCAAAAAGAAAUAUUUAUGGAAAUGACAGUUACAAAGAAAAAGCUGAAAACACCUAAUAAUUCCAAUAAAACAAAGUUAUUUACAGGUGGGAAAAAAAAGCAAUAAAAAUGCUAACUUUCAACUUAAAAAGUCAAACUUUAAUAACCAAAGGCAGUUAGAUUAAAGAGAUGCAAUAAAUAAAAGUUGGGUUGUGCUCUAAGCAGUUGCAGAUCUAAUUAAUAAUCACCACAAAAGUUGAUAGAAAGAGAUAAGCAUAGAAAUAAAAAGGAAAUGCUCCUUAGAGUGUAAGUUUUUAGAAACUUUAAACACAAGAGAACUACAGAAAGCUGGAGGAAAUAAAAGAAGAAAAACUUGCUAGUUCGAAAACUAAUUUGCAAAGAACACCUACACUUAUAUACAGUGAUGCGAGGAGCUUGAAAACAUAAGCACCAAAAACUUUAGCCAGGCAAGGCCGGCAUGCUUUUUCACCUACAUUACUUACUCGUAUCCAAAACCAUUAUAUGUAAUUGGAAUAUAUAUUAUACAUAGAGAAGAUCCGUAAGGUUGUAGUAUUAGCAAAUUUUAUUGUUGUUAUGUAUAAUUUAUUAAAAAAUAAUAUAAAUUAUAUCUUAAAAAAUUCUCCUAACAACUUAACCUCUUAACCUAAAUACAAGUCAAAGAAUAUUGAUGAAGAACCAUGGUAGUAUACAAUACAAAUUAUCUAAUUAAAAGAAAGUGAUUUGGAUCCAUAGACUAGUCAUACACUAAAUCUCAAUAUUGAUUCUGAAUUCAAUGAUUUAUAUUAGUUUAGGAACAAAAAAUAAUUAAGAUUUGAAUUAUUGUUAUUUUAUCGAGCACUACAUCAUGUCCAUUCCAUUAGAAUAUAAAUUUAUUGAUCAAAGAAAAUGAACUAAACUUGACAUUUUUCUCUUAAAAUAUAUUUAUCUAUGAGAGAACAUAUUGAUAGAACACAUUCAAUUCAUUAUUUCAACCGGAAACUCAGAAGUUAUUACAAGUUCAAAUUAUUAUUUCAAUAGCUAGGCACACACAAUAUUCCAAGAUGUUUAUUCAUCCCAAAAAUAACCUUUUAAAAGAGGGCAAUCCCUCAGAAUCCUGACUUCUCUUGACGAAGAUCAACCUGGAUAGUUACUAUUUCUUUCUACGGAGAUCAGGAAGUUUAUCAGUCAGCCACCUCCAACUGUAGACAAGCACGAAAAGAGAUGUAGUACACAUAAUGCGAGACCAAUCCUUCAAUAAUUUGGUUGACGGAUGGUGGAAGAAUCCAUUGAAUAUAAAGCAAUGUUUGGGCAACGAAAAACGCGAUCCCCACCACUAUAAUGGUGAUCGCGAGCACCCCAUAAUUGGAUCCACCUAAUGCGAUGCUCACGGCAAAAAAGAAUGACAAGCACAUCAUGUAAAUAGACCCACCCACCAUUAACGAUGUAAACCAAAGUGCAAAUGGUGCAAACUUGACAUCAUUCAAGUUUGUCCAAAGAAGGAUUAUAGCUGCCACCACAGAGGUAUUUAAAGCCCACACAUCAAGACAUAAAUAACCAUCCAAAAGAGAUGAACCAGUAGGACUAUCAAAGACAGUGCUGUUCCGGGAGGCAGUAGCAGUGCUGUUAAGUUCAUGAAGAUGCUCACUCUUGUUAUUUUUAUCCCUUAGUUGUGGCAUCUGUAUAGCACCCGCGAAGGUUACACCAGCAACAAGCACCGCCACAACAAGAAGAUUCUCUAUCCUUCUCUUUGUUUCCUGUUUCCUUGGCGGCUUGCCUUGAGUCCUAGUGAAACGCUCAUAUAGGGAUUUUUUAGGGCGGGCAUGGAAGUAUAAGAUAGAUAAUGUUAUCAUCUGCAUAGCAAGGGGAAAUCAAGAUUCUGGAAUGAUUUCAGAAUUUUGAAUAUAAUUGUAUAGAAUCUAAAUUAAUCGGUCUUGAACUAGAUGUUUAAAAGAUUAGGGAUGGCAAGAAAAAAAUAGGAAGGAAGAAGAGAAAUAAUACCGCUCCAUAAUAAUCAAGCAGUUUGUAGUGCUUUUGUGAUGCCUUUCUUGUGUCUUGCUUCGUUGAAUCAACUGCUUUGUCCUGGAAAACAAAAACAAUUUUAUGUUAAUGAAUAUAAGCAAUGCAUAACACAUAAUGGUUCAAAUUACAUGACAUCAAUAUACUGAUCGAGAAGCCUUCUGAUAAAGAAUGAUGAUGGAGUAUAAAAAAAAAAAAAAAAAUUCAAAACAACUCUUAUACCUUGGUCUUGUCCGCAGGGGUACUGUUCUUUGAAUCAAACUGCUUUCGAUCCUCAGCAAGCUGGCAACAAAUAGGAAUCCCACAUACCAAAAUAUUAAAUCAAUAAUACUCCUAAAAUAUAUGCUUUUGUAGCUCAAUAAAUGAUGAUCAAAUAGCGUACCAUUUCAUCUGUUUUUUCAUAUUGCUCUACAGCUAUUUUGGAUUGUUUUUCAGCAAUAUCAUAUGGUGUCAAAUUUUCAUUGUUAACAAUCGAACUAUCAACGCGUUUGUCACGCACAAGAACAAAUGCAGCCACGGAAUGACCAUGAUUUGUUGCCAAAUGCAAAGGUGUAUUUCCAUCCUCAUCCAUCUCAUUUAGCAGCGUCUUCUCUUGUCUGAGUAUGUACCUAACCACAUUGCCAUUUCCAUUUUCCGCCGCUACAUGAAGAAUGUUCUGCCCUUUUUUAUUGAGGAAUUCUUUUGGAAAUGGGGUAAUCUUCAGAAAUUCCUUGACUACAUCAACAGAGUCAUUUUUGCAUGCUAGAUGGAUAGGAUAGUUGCCUUGGUUUCUUUUAUAAGCACCAUUGAGAAACUCUUGUAAAAGGAAUUGAACUCCCUCCUGAAAACCUCUGGAUGAUGCAUAAUGCAGUGAAUUUCCCAACUCUUUGUCAGUGAGACAUAAUAGAUCUGGCUUUGCUUUUUCAAUUUUCUCCAACAUAUCUGAAAACAAAAGAAAUUGUUUCAAAUGAAUAUGAAGAUGAUAGGUUUGCAACAACUGUCUGUAUGUAAAUCAUUUUCUACUGAGUAUAGACAUUGUGAUCACCUCUGUUACGUUGCUCGAUGGCAGCAUGAACUGGUGACUUUCCUUUUGAUAGGGCAUCACCAUCUUCACUUUCUAUAGGGAACGAAGCUUCUGUUUUCAAGAGAUCAUCAAGUAUCUCUUUCUUAUUGCCGUUCUCAACUGCCAGAUAUAAAGGAGACCUGCCAUUCUUGUUGUUGUAAUAGGCCACUUCUGGAUCUCUGGAAACUAGGAGUUUGGCAAGUUCUUUGUUGCCCUUGAUCACUGCAUCAUGCAAAGGAGUGUUUCCCUUUGUAUUUGUCUUCCUCAUCAAGCUCGGAUUCGAUUCCGCAAGAGAUUUAAUUGUAUGACUGGCCUUUCCUUCUCUGGCAGCAAGAUGAAGGAUUGUGUCCUUCUGGCUGUUUUGGAUGGUGAUUAGAGAAGGAAACGUUUCAGCCAGAUAAGAUGUAAUAUUGUCACUUCCAUAGCUUACAGCUACAUGAAGUAGUGAAUUCCCAGCGGGAGUCUGUAGCUCCUUUGCUGAACGUUGCUGGACGCGGCUAUUAAAUUCCUCAAUAUUGUCCUGCUUCACAUACUCAUAUAACUUACUAUCUAUCUUUGUAUUUUCCAUGUCAUCUCUCGGGAUCGAGUUUUCAUCAAUGUUUAUUGCUACGCUAGACAUGGCAAAAGAAAAUAUUGUGUUAGUUGAAUCAGUUCUACAUAUCAGACUGCUAGUCUACUAAUUUAAAUAGACUGCUUGCCAAUGGAAUCUGAAAUAACGUGAAUCUUCCUUUUUUUAUAUUUGAUUACUCAAUUACUUCACCCAUUCGUUCUGGAAUCCAGGACAUAGCAAGAACGAGAGAGCAGUCUUGGAUAUGGUUAAAGCAGCAUCUAGAAAAGAAAAAGGAAAAGGAAAAGAGGAAAAUAUGACCGCUAACUCAAAAAAAGAUGAUUGUCCCCGAGUCCCUGGGUAAAUUCUUGACUUGAAGUUAUAACUCAUAUACACUGUGAUGCAGAUGGGAGAAUUCAUAUUUUAAUAACAAUUUUUAUUAGUUUUAUAGGACAUCUAGAAAUUAUUUUGCAACCUGAAACAUCUACGUAUCACACAACAAGACCUCUAAUUCAAAUAGAACUUACUCUGGUUUUAUAUGCAUGGAUACUUUGAUUGCUCAAAUACUUCACCCAUUUGUUAUGAAAUCCAGGACAUAGCAAGACAUAGGGAGACCAGUCUUGCCUAUGGUUAAAGCAGCAUCUAGAAAAGGAAAAGGAAAAGGAGAAGAGGAAAAUAUCUCCCCUAGCUCAAAAAAAGGAAAAUUCUUAACUUGAAUUUACAACUCAUAUACAGGAAAAUUCUUAACUUGAAUUUACAACUCAUAUACACAAAAAUAUACAAAAUGCAGGUCUUUCCUAUCCGCGACAGGAGUAGUAUCUUAGUUGUUGCAUUUUCUUUUAUGUUAUUUGGAUUCAAUAGGUGCUGAUGUAUUUUGUAUCGAAGAACUUUAGAACUUGUUCAGAUGACAUCUUGUAAUCUAAGUACUUGAAUAAUUAAAAAAUCUCGAGUUUAAAUUUUAUUUUUUUUAUUUUUUAUUUUUAUUUAAAAAUAUAUAUUAGAUAAUAAUAUAAUUUAUAUCUUAAAAUUUUAUUUAAUAAUUAAAAUUUUUAAAUUAAAAUGAUUCUUUCUUAUAUAUAAUAGCAACCAAAACUAUAAAAAAAAAGGAAAAAAAUGUUCCAUAAGCGACUGAUUGUCCUUAUUCUUAACUUGAGAAUAUAACUCACUUAGCGAAUACUCAAAGAUUAAAAGAACAGGAUCCACAAUGGCAUCAGAUUGGUUUAGGUAAAAAUAUCCAAAAUUUUUAACUGGUUAUCAGGAAGCCCAAGGGAUGUUUUAUGUUGUUUUCUUAUAAACUAAAAACUUCUAUAAAUUACUAUGUUGCACGAAAAUACCUUAAAUGAACUUUUUUUUAGUUAAGUUCUCAAAGAAAAAAGUUUAUUUCAGCAUGAAUUUUUAAAUGAAGUUUUUGGAUCGUUUUAAUUCAUUAAUUUAAAAAUAAUUUUUAUAAAAUAAAAAUAUAUCAUUUUAAUAUAUUUCAGUAUAAAAAAUACUUCAACAAUUAACCGCAACCAUCGAAUAGGCAUACCAAAACCUACUUAAUUUAAAAUCAUCACUUGUAGAAUGGUGAUCAAGUAGAUCGUUGAUUGAAUAUAUAAGACCAAUAGUUAAGUAUUUGCUUUUACACUGUACGAGUUUAAUUGCCUUUGUGUCACACGUUUGGAACCUCGUUCUUUCUAAAGUGAAGAUGUAGGUGGUUCUUUUUUUCUUCUUUUUUAAUGUUCUAUGUGCUUGUCCCCGUUUAUAGAAAACAUAAUGACAUGGGAAACAAUAGAAUGUGUGAAAUUCUUCUUACAUAAUCAUCAAAAUCAAUAGGUUAUAAAUCUAUCCAUUCGGAGUACAGUUAUAACGUCUGUAUCCAAUAAACUGCAAUUAAUCAUUAGGGACUAAACUUCAAAUCUGAUUCAACUCUUAGGGACCCAAUUUAAAUCUGAUUAUCAAAAUUAAGGACCAAAUCAUAACAAUUCAAAGUCCGAGGACCAGGCUAUAAUGAUUAUAAAUUUCCAUGGAUUAUAUUGUAUCUUUACCUUCUCGUUCUUGAGAGUUUCUGCCGAUUCUCCUUUACUGACAGUGGCUUAAUCCUUUCUGAAUCAUCUUUUUAUUUCUUUGGGACAUGCUAAUCUUGUGCGGUAAACGUAAAUGCACAUGCAAUUAUUUAACCAUUACUAUCUUUUUUUCUUUUUUUUUUAUCUUAAAAGUUAAUUUUAGUUGCUAAGAAAUGAUUAUUAAUCUAUAAAUAUGUCAUAUAAAUUCAAUUUAUUUAUAUAAAUUAUAUAAAAAACAUUUAAAGAUAAAUUACAAUAAUCUCUUUGAAGCAUUAUAAAAUGAAUAAAUAAAAACUUAAUUACUUUUAAAAAAAUACUAAAAAAUUAAAAAAAAAAAAACAAGAUAGAGUAUUAAUUAAAAUUUAAAUAAAAAUUAAUGAAAUGUAUAUUAAUAAAAGUUAAGCGAUGCUGAGAAUACCAUACCAAGCCCACGCGCUUGGCCAAGGAUCAAAAAACAUAAGUGUGCUUGAUACUAGAAGCCCAAGCCAGCAUUCCCGGCUAAUUUUUUUCUUUCUUUCUUUUGAAGUUUUUUCUUGAAAUAGACAAGUUGUUUAUUAUGCAAAAAUUAUUUGUUAUCCUCUCCAUCUUUUUACUCUUACCUCCUGUGUUUGAAAAAUAAAAGCUGAAGUUUUAAACUAUCACCUUCAUUAAACUUUCAUUAAAAAGAUAAAUUCAUUAACACCAAUAAACUUUCAUUAAAAAGAUAAAUUCAUUAACACCAAUUUCAAUCUUUUUAUGAUUGAAAUCUAUCCUUUAAACCAUUUUUUCUCUCUUUAAUAUUUUUUGCUAACUUUUUAUCUUCUCUCUCAAUAUCCAGACACUAAAUUAUUAUUAUUAUUUUAAAAAAAUAGGACUAAAAUAUGAAUUGCUAUAACAACAAGGAUGAAAUAAUAGAUAAGUUGAAACUUUAUAUAGCAAAUUAAAGUUUUCCAUACCAAUAUUCAAAUGGGGUUUUUUUUAUUAAAUUUGGUCAAGUUCUUAAGUUUUGUUUUAACUAAACAUAAAAUUUUACUUUGCAAAAUCAAUUUUUAAUUCAUUGUUGUAAAAUUCGUUGACAUUUUGUAUACGUGAGACAAUGAAAAUUAAAAAAACAAAUCUUAACAUGUAAAACUGUUUUUAAAUAAUUUUGAAAGAUUAUAUUUUAAUUAUAUAUCAUGAUCAAAAUUUAAAAAAAAAAAUGACACUUGCAUGAAUAGUGCAAUAAAUAAUGAAUCUCGAUCGAGAAGAAGAGUAACAAUACACAAUAUUAAUAUUAAUUCCAUAAAGUAAUAACUCAUAAUCCAUUUUAAUUAUUCAAUUAAUCUAAACCUCAUAACAAUACAUACAAUCCUUUUGAGAGUGCUUUUAUUUAUUUGCGAAAUUGCAAAUAAGUGAAUAACUACGAAAUGAGCAUUGUACCUCCAAAUCAAUGCCAUCCAUUAAUUUUCAAAUAAGGACAAUAUAGUCUAUUCGCUCCAAUUUUUUUUUUUUUUUAAUUCCAUCUAAGUCCACAAUUCCUAGAGUUUUGUUGGGCCUUGGCGUUUUUUUAGUAGGUUUCUACAGUUUUGUUCACAUUACAGCCUACCAUUUUCAAGAUGUCUACCUGUGGAUAAUCAUAGCUCACUUGAUUAUAUUUUGAAAGCCUUUUGAGGUAAAGAUGAUGAGGUUUUUAAAAUCUUUUGUGGAAGGUCCAUCUAAUUUUUGAAUAUAAAAAAUCUUCUUUCUUAUCUGUAUUUUCAACAUAAAGUAUAUUAAUAAAAAGAUAAAUCUUAAUUUUGUUUCUUAUAUUCUUAAAUAUAAUAAUAUUCGUUGUAUUAUUUGAACCUUUUAAUUAGAGUGGAAGUUUAAUUUCAUCACUUUCUUACAAGGUUUUUUUUUUAGUGGAUAAUCUGAAAAAAAAUCUAAGAGAAGCUAGAUUCGUUUCAGAGGGUAAAUUUAUGCAUGGAUAUACAAAGGAGACCAACUUCCUCAAUACAUAAGAAAUAAAGGUAUCGAAAAAGUGAAGUGAGGCUCACUUUCCUUCACCAGCAUAUACCAUGCGUUUACCUUUCCAAUAAUUAGAAGAAAACGACUUGUAUGGAGAGAGCUUUCUGAACUUCUUAUAUUGAAAUUCUAUAAGUGUCUUUACAUUUUGAUUACAGUUUUUUUUAUGCUUGCUUCAAUUAAAAGAAUUUUAAAUUUUAAAGUUAGAUAUUAAAUUUGAUGCUAACAAUAUAAACUUCAGACAUUAUCAAUGUAAUUAUAAACUUGUAGUUCUAGGCUUAAAAUGAUGUUUCUCAAAUAUAAAUUUAAAACUUAGUGAUCUUUUUAUAUACAGAAAGCAAAUUAAAACUUGUGGAGUAGUCAAAUAAUCUAAAUAUUUUGAAUACAAAAAACAGCUUAACAACUCAAGAUUAAAGAAUUUACAUUUAUUGGAUGAUUCUUCAACUUUGGCUAUCAAGGUUGUGCAAGAAGAUCAACUAGAUGUUGCUAAAGAUUUUACAAUUAGAUAUACAAGGAAUAUUUGUGGUAUUACUGACGAUAUCUUCACCACAAAUCAACUAAAAAAUCAUAUAAAGAAGGCCAUCAUAGACCAAAUAAAAAUUUCAGUUUAACCUUUAUAUUAUUAUGCAAAGCCAUACACACAAAAGUUGAGCUAUCAACCACUAAAGGUUCAACAAUUAGAUAACAAAACAAAUCUAAUUAAAGGUUCAACAAUUAGAUAGCAAAACAAAUCUAAGGCAACAUGCAUGUGGCUCACUUUAUAGAGGCUUGUAACAAUACUAUACUUGAUGUUGAUCUCAUGGUAAAACAAUUCAUUCAUUCUUUAAAAUGCAAUGCAUGACUUGGAGUCUUUUUUAACUUAUAGUCGGGAGAAAUUGAAACAUAUGUUUCUUCAACACUCAUUAUAUGGUUAACAUGAUUAAACUUACUAAUGAACAUUAAUAAAUAGAGAAGCAUGUCAGUGACUACAUUCAUCAAUGGAAAAAUCUACAACACUUAUUAUAUGGUUAACAUGAUAAAUCAAACACAUUAGAUUCACCUAUAUAUUGAGCCCAAAUAAACAUGGAUUUAUCAAGUUGUCAAACCCAAUAUCCUAGGGUUUAACUAUGUGUUGAACCCAAGUAAAUAUAGAUCUAGCCUCGUAUUGGGCUGUAAGGCUUUCUUUGUUUAUUCUUAUGAUUUUUAAUAUUAAAUGUUAAUGUUAAGAAUACUCAUCUCUCUACACUUAUAAAUAUAUAAAAGUCUUCUAAAAACCUACCAUGUUUUCAUCAGUAUUAAAUAUUAUGUAAGAGAUAUUUAUCCAUCAUUAAUGAUUAAUGAUGUGUAAGGGAUAUAUAUCCAAUGUCCAAACACUAAAAAACCUUUCUUAAACAUAUUGGAUUUUUGAAAUAUCAUAAACUGAUGAACAAGAAAUAGAGUUUUUUUGCCAAGAGAAGAGUAGAGAGGAAGGAAAGGAUUAAAAAUCAACAAAAAAAUCAACUACAAAACAUGAACUGUAUGACAAAAGUUGAUGCUUUGCCAAGCCAUGUUCACCUAGCAGCUGCAUCCUUGCUUAUAACAAAAACCCUAUCCACUCAAUUAAUUAAGGAAACAGAAAAGGUUUAGCAAACAUGAAUAGAGUAAUUUUAUAAUUUACACUUUGGUCUCUAAAAUCAAUAAUUGCUUUAAAUUAGGCAUCAAACAUUGAUUCUAUAAUUUGAUUUGAUAAAAUUUAAUUGAAAUUGAUCCCUAAAUUUCUAAUUUUGACAAUUAUAUUUUAUUUUUACAAUAAAAAUAUCUAUAUUAAUUUACUUUGAAAAUUUAAUACGAUCAAAUCAAGUUUUAGUUAAAAAAAAAAAAGAUAUUCAAAGUUCAAAAAUCCUCUUAACCAUAUUUUUCAAGACAUGUCUACUUAUUUUAAGGCUAAGUGAACUUGUAUCGAAGGGGCAACAUCUGUAUAAACAAAAAUAUUGUACAAAUUCAAUUUUUUCAUGUUUUUUUUUUAUAUUUAUUUUGACCUAAAAAAUUAAAAUAAUUGACAUGGAAAAUAAAUGGGCCUUUAUGUAUUUCUUGGCCAAUAAAAACUUGAAAAAUAGGAUGAGAUAUUUAAUUUAUUUUAUCAUCAAUGCAAGAUUUUAUAAUUGAAAAUCAACCGAUAACUGAUAAUAAACUUUAAGUAGAAUUGAACAUUAUUAUUUUUCUAAUGAUAUGGUGAAUUUAAAUAUCCAAUACAAAUUUAUCUAUAAAUGUGUUCACAUAUUUACCCAUUUAAACAUACUUAUUCAGCAUUAUUAAUUUUUAAUUAGAAUUAUUUAUGAGAUUUAUUUAAAAAUAAAAUAAAAAGUCUUAAUGUAUAUUUGAUUUAAAUUCUGAAUUAUACCCAAUUUUUGAAAAUAAUAAUGCAAAUUAUUUCAUUAUUUUUUGCUUCAGUCGAUGUAUUCAAUUAUCGAAUAAAACUUUAUUCAUGAAUGUGUUCGCACAUGUACCUAUUUUUUUUUUAUGAAUAUGUUCAGUACUAAUUUUUUAUAGAAGAAUUUAUUGAUUGCUAAUUUUUAUGUUCAGUACUACCAAAGCAUAUCUAUUCAACAUAGUUAAUUUUUUAUAGAAGAAUUUAUUAAUUAGUUUAAGAAAUCACAUCCUAUAAUAAAAUUAAAACUCUAGAUGCAUAUUCAAUUUAAAUUUAUAAUUAUGCUAAAUUUUUUAAAAUACUAAUUUAAACUAUAUCACUUGAUUUCAUUAGGUUGUUCUCAGAAAAAGAGCUCAACUGAAAAUUAAUAAAAUAAGAUGUAAUUUAAAUCUUUUAUUAUAAUAAUAUUUAAAGCAGCUUAAAUGAUAUGAACAUUAUUUAUAUUAUUUUAUCUUUUUAUCUUUUUUUUUAUUAAAUUAUGAAUUAUUUAAUAUAAAUAAGAGAGGAUAUGAUUAGGUUAAAAGAAUUACACUGAGUUGUGAUUAGAAUGUAACAAGAAAAUCCCCAAAAUUAAUUUUUAGAAAUUUUGAUAAUUAGGUCUGGUAAACUGUCAGACCUAAUAUCUUUGAGUUAAAUUAGAUGUCAAAUCUAAACGGGUUUAGAUUUGGCAAGUUGUAAGAUUCAUUGUCAGUGAACUUAACAUCAUGUCAAUCCCAAGUGGCUAUUAAUCUAAUGAUCAUAAUAAACCUCAUGUUAGGCUAUAAGGCUUUCUUUGUUUAUUUUUAUGAUUUUUUAUCAUGAAAUGUUAAUGUUAAGAAUUUUAAUCUCUCCACACCUGUAAGUAUAUAAAAGUCUUAUAAGGGCCUACUAUAUUUUCAUCAUUAUUAAAUAUUAUGUAAGGGAUAUUUAUCCCUCAUUAAUGACUUGUAGUGUAAGAGAUAUUUAUCCAUUCUCUAAACACUGAAAAACUUUAUUUGAAAGCAUAUUAAAUUUUAAAACAUCAUCAACUAUUGAACAAGAAAUCAAUCUUUUUGCCAAAAGAAAAGUAGAGAAGAAGGAAUAAUGGUUAAAACAUAUAUAUAUAUAUAUAUAAAAUCAUUUGCAAAACAUGAACCCUAUGACAAAAGCUUAUGCUUUGCCGAGCCAUGUUCAGCUAGCUCCCACAUCCUUGCCUAUAACAGAAACCCUAUCCACACCAUUAAUUAAAGAAAAGAAAAGGUUUAGCAAACAUGCAUAUAGUAAAUUUUAUAAUUUACACUUUGGUCCCCAAAAUCAAUAAUUGCUUUAAAUUAGGCAUCAAACAUUGAUUCUAUCAUUUGAUUUGAUAAAUCUCAAUUGAAAUUGAUCCCUAAAUUUCUAAUUUUAAUAAUUAUAUUUUAUUUUUACAAUAAAAAUAUCUAUAUUAAUUUACUUUGAAAAUUUAAUAUGAAGUUGGGAAAAAAAUACCAAAGUUCAAAAAUCCUCUUAACCAACAUGCCCACUUAUUUUAAGGAUAAGUGAACUUACAUCGAGGAGGCAUUUAUAUCAACAAAAAUAUUAUACAAAUCAAAAAAAUUUAUGUUUUUUUAUUUUAUUUUUCACCUAAAAAAAUUGAAAUAAUUUGAGAUGAUAAAUAAGUGGAACAUUAUGUAUUUUUGAAGACAUGUCCACUUAUUUUAAAUAUUUUAUUAUUAUAAAAUUUAAAGCAGCUCAAAUGAUAUGAUCAUUAUUUAUAUCUUUUUAUCUCUCUUUUUUUUUUUACUUUUUAUUUGAUUAAAUUAUGGAUUAUUUAAUAUAAAUAAGGGAGGAAAUGGUUAGAUUAAAAGAAUUACACUGAGUUGUGAUUAGAAUAUAACAAGAAAAUCUGCAAAAUUAAUAAUUAGAAAUCUUGAUGAUGAACAACGGUUUUGGGACAAACAAGAUCAGAAAGGUGGACAAAAUGGUUGAAAUAUCACAAGGAGCCUGGUUUGAUAAGCACCGAAGACAAAUCCAGAGUUGUGUUUGAGAAUGCUUAGAGCGAGCCACAAAUGAUAUCCUAGCUUUAAUAUUGUUGUCCUUCGUCCAUAAAUGAAACAAUUUAGGACAACAAUGUCUUUAAUUUGGAUCAUUAAAGAUAUCAACUUGGUUCGUCUUAACAGUAUUAAAAUGGCCGUCCCAAAAUUACCCCUUAAAACAAGAAAAAAGGACAUGGCCAAGCAUUGACACGUUGCAAAGACGAUAAAGUCAACAAACAUCGUCCCACCCUUGCUCUAAUUUGAUGCAACAAUGUUUAAGGGUGCGUUUCUUUCUUAAAAGUAAUUUUCAAGAAUUUAUUUUUUAAUUUUUUCCUGUAUUUAUUUGUUAUUAAAAAAAUUAAUUAAUAAAAAUAUUUUUUAAUCAAUGAAAAAUACUUUCUUAUCAAAGAAAAAUUUAGCUUGAUUUUUUAAAAAAUAUAUAUAUUUAUUUAUUUUAAACAGAAAAUACUUUUUAAAAGUUGACAAACAUAGAAUCAAGAAAAAGUUGGAGUUUUUUUUUUUUCUUCUAAUAGAAAGUUUUCUAAUCAACGAAAAAUAUUUUUCUAUAAAAACAAAUUUAAUUUAAUUUCCAGAAAAAUAAUUUUUUUUUAUUUUAAACGGAAAAUACUUUCAAUAAAUUAACAAUUAUGAAGUUAAGGAAAAGUAGGAUUUUUUUUGUUAAUAGAGAGUUGUUUAAGUGUAUGGCAAUUUUUUUUGUUAAAAUAUAUUAAAAUAAUAUAUUUUUUUAUUUUUUUAAAUUUAUUAUUAACAUCAAUAUAUUAAAAUAAUUUAAAAAUAUAAAAAAAAUUAAUUAUAAUUAAAAAUUUUAAUUUUUAUAACAUACUGUUUAUAAGCAAUUCUAAAAUGGAAUACCUAUAGACAACAAAAAAAAAACUUAUCAUCAAAUGACAACGUGGGACACAAUCUGCAUUAUAUAUUGUGUUCUCUUCCGUUGAUGGAGGGGUGGUGUUGGCCGUAUUUGUUAGAACAAAACAUUUUUUAAAAUUGCUCGUCCUUUUACCUUGAAAAAAAUCCUGCAGCAGGGACGGGAUGGAUGUUUGUUGAUUUUAUCGUUAUGCACCGUGUCAUUGAUUUUGGGACGGCCAUUUUAAUACUGUUAAGACCAACCAAGUUGAUAUCUUUAAUUAACAUUGAUAUAUUAAUUUGAAGAUUUGAUUUUUUUUUUUACUCAAUCCAACAACAAGAAGAGGAGUCUAGUAAAUCCAUGCUUAAUAUAUAUAUAUAUAUAUAUUCCAUGCUUAAUAUAUAUAUAUAUAUAUAUAUAUAUAUAUAUAUAAGUAGAAAUGCGCAUACAUUCAAUUGGAAACUCAAGAGUUAUUACAAAGUUCAAAUUAUUACUCCAAUAGCUCGCCAGACACAAUCCAAGAUAUGAUCGAUCUCAAAAUCCUGAACUUUCUCUUGAGAUCAGAGAGCUCUCUCUUGAGAUCAAGAUCAGAGAGUUUAUUAGGCAGCCACCAGCUACUGUAGAUAAACAAGAAAAAAAUGCCGUAGUAGAAAUGGUGCAAGAGAACCCGUAGAAGAACUUUGUUGAAAUAUCCCGACCUCUGAUCCUAGAGAGUUUAUGAGGCAGCCACCACCUACUGUAUAUAAACACUAAAAAAAGGCUGUAGUAGAAAUAGUGCAAGAGCACUUUUAGAAGAACUUCGUUGCCAAAUAGCGGAAUAAUCGAAGGAAAAACAACGGCCACCCCUGUAAUGAUGAUUGUUAACAACCAACCAUGGGAUCCUAUUAAUACUAUUCUCACAGAAAAAAGGAAUGCCCCGAACAUCAUGAAAAUAGCCAAACGAACCAUGAAUAUUGAAAACCAAACUGCAGAGAUUUGAAAACCUUUCGUAACGCUUGGCAAAAGAAGGAAUAGAGCUGCCGCCAGAGAGCAAGAUAAAGCCCCCACAUCGAGAGCUAAAUAAACAUACAGAAGAUUCUCAUAAGUGCUGUUAAAUUCAUGGCGACGAUCACUUGAGUUAUUGUUAUCCCUUAAUUGUGGCAAUUGUAUAACACCCGCAAAGGUCACUCCAGCAACAAGCACUGCUACCACUAGAACAUUCCCUAUCUCGCUCCUUGUUUCCUCUUUUAGUUUUGACACGGGUAGUCCAGUCCAGGGGAAAAGCUCCUUGAGGGAUUUCUUAGGGCAGGCAUUGAAGCAUAAGAUCGAAAAUGUCAUCACCUGCAUAUAUAUAGAAUUUUCCUCAAUUGCAUCCAAAAGCAUUGACCUUCAAAUGGGUUCUUGGCACUUCCUCAAUUGUUUAAUGGGUUCUUGGCACUUCCUCAAUUGCAUCCAAAAGCAUUGACCUUCAAAUGGCUUUCCCAGAACAAGUAAUUUACUGGAAUGUUUUAGAAUUUUUUAAUAUAAUGGCAUACAAGUUCAAUCAAUUGGGCUUGAACUAGAAGUUUAAAAGAUUAGGGAUGGCAAGGGAAAAAGAAGGAAAGCAAUAAUACCAAGUGAAAAUACCCAUCCACUAUUUCGUCCUUUGGUGAUGGCUCUUUUUUAUCCAUCUUAUUUGUAUCAACUUCUUUUCCCUGUCAAAAAAAAAAAAACAUAUUAUUUGUUAAAAUGCAGUGCUCUCUCUGUGUGCUAUGGAUAUAUAUUGAAGAUAUUUGAUUUCCUGCUGCGAAAUACUUUUAAUCUUUUUAUUUUUAUAAAUAAUUUAAAUUCCAUAGGAUAAAAAAUAAUUUAAAUUGAUUUGAAAAAAAAAAGAAAAAAGGUAUCUAUAUUUUUUUAAAACAAAACCAUUUUCCUUAUUAAUUAUACGUUCCAUUUUUUUUUACUAAUGUUUUUAUAAAAAAAUUUUGUUUUUUUUUUAACAACAACCUAUCAUAAUCUAUAAAUAAGUUUUAAUUAAAAAAUAAAAUAAUAAUGGAUUGAUGAUUUUCUUGAAAAAAAAAAUUUAGCAAUGUUUUUAUUGCAUAAAAACUAAAAGCAAUUAAAAUAAAUAUGGACAAAAAUUUUCAUGAUUUUAUUGCAAUAAAGAUAAAAAAGAUAUAUAUCUAUUUGAUAAAAAAAGCUUUUUUUUAUUAAUCCAUCCUCUUUUUUUUUUGGGGUAGUAUUUUAUAAUUUUUUAUUAAUCCAUCCUCUUUUUUUUUGGGGUAGUAUUUUAUAAAAAAUAUUGUUUCUUAAAUAAAAAACUUAUCAUAAUCUUAACGUAAAUACCUUGAUCUCGUGCGCAGGGGUACUGUUCUUUGAAUCAAUCGGCUUUCGUUCCUCGGCAGGCUGGCAACAAAGUGGAAGCCCAGAUACCAAAAUAUUAAAUCAGUAAUACUCCUAAAAUAUAUAGACUUUUGUAGCUCGAUAAAUGAUGAUCAAAUUAGUAGCUUACCAUUUCAUCUGUUUUUAUGUAUAAUCCACGUGGCAACCUCCCUCUCUCUCACACACAGCUACAGUAACUUUAGCUUUCCCUUUCGUCCCCGAUCCCCUUCUCACCAAUCCCAUCAGGCGACCACAACCAACUUCAUCAACAGCAGCCCCAGUCAUCAUCCUCAUCUAAAGCACUAUCGACUGCCUGUAUCGGCCAGCCUUCUUUGCUACAAUAGUUCCUACCAUCAAUGGGGAUUCUAGAAACAAGCAAACCUCUCAACACCAGCAUCGUGAGCAGCAGCCUUGAGUGACGGAUUCACUUUUCUUCAUCUACACACGACCACAAGUUUCAUCACAGCAUCCACGCUACAGCUUCACAGUCCCGCCGAAGUCAACCAGAAGACCCAUCCUUUUAGCAAAUCCACACUUUUCUUGCACUCUCAACACCACAUCAACACCCAUCUUCCCGAUCUCUCAUCUCCUUUAGCACUGAGAGAACCGAACGGUGGAGCAGAGAACACAGACAGCAGAGGAGCCAGCAUCACCAUCGAUUUCCUUUCUCCAGAAGCAGGGGUCUACCGCCACAUCAACACCCAUCUUCCCGAUCUCUUCAUCCCUUUUAGCUCUGAAGCUUCCUCCAGCAGUGGCCAACACACGGCAGCCCCUACGGACACCUCAUUUACUUCUGGUGCUCGACCCAAUUCUGAAAACCAUGGAUUGCACUCGCCCCAUCUCCUCUUGAAAUGCUUUUCAUGAUCCAAUAAUGCUACAGCGGCUUCAGAUGGAUCCACCUCAUAGAAUACUGGCAAGUCUCUCUCUUUCUGUACUGCUACUUCAAGCUUGAAUUGCUUUGCUCGUUGGCUAGACGAUGAUGUUUGGUUUUCUUUGAGAGUUUGGUUUUCUCUGCUUCUAAGUUACAGCAGCUAGUCCUAAUCAUUGAUGUUUAUGCGUGUCACUGGCUAUAUGAGAAUCCAUUAUGUUUUGAUGAGUUUAUAUUCGGGAACAAAUAUUGGGCCAUUAACCUUUUCAAGCACUGAUGGAGUAGGGUGCAGUUAAAACACGCCCUAGCUGUUUGAUAGAAUGCCAUUGACCAGCGAAAGCUAAACAAUAAUGUUGUAAGCAUAGAAACAAACAAUCAAAAAUCCCUAAAAAACUCAGAAUGCUCCCCUCCAAAAACCUCCCCUGCUACCUAGGUCUUAGAACCUGCUUCAACCUUCCCCUUACAAUUCACCCCACACUGUAAAUGCCCCUAUUAAACAUACACAACACCACCCUUCAUCCGCCUAGCAACCUAUGUAUUACACAACAACAGCCAAACAACAAACACUUACCUAAAACAGCUUUCACUCCCUCUGUCUCUACUAAGAUUUAUUUUGAAUGUUUCCCGUCUUGGCUCGAUUACCAAGAUCUCAAAAAGACUUUUUCAAAGAUUAGUCUUGUCACCAACCUCUUUGUUUCCAGGAAAAAAACAAAACGAGGGAGACGGUUUGGUUUUGUAUCUUUCUUCUCCCAUUUAGAAGAUACAGACCUUUGUGAUAGAUUGAACCUUGUAUGGUUCGACUCUUUCAAAAUUCGUGCAAACCUAGCAAGAUUUCAACACCUACAGAUUCCAAGGAAAAGACAGUCCCCUCCACAAAGCCAGAAAUCAAAAUCCCACCCAAACUAGCCCUUAGAGACAACAGGACCUUUGUUGAAGCUCUUUUGGUCCAACAACCAUCAAAGAAGACUGUGAUGUAUGAGUCUACUCAGGAUGACAAGGAAUGGCUGUUGAGAAGUCUAGUCGGUUCUAUAGCCACAGAAGUGGACUAUGCAAAACUGGAGCAUAUGGUUUUGAAAACUGUCAAGAAGGCAAUUGGAUUUCGUUUCCUAGGAGCAAGCCAAGCAGUUAUCACCUUCACAGACAGAGAGACUAUGGAGAAGAGUUAACAAACAGUAGCUCUGCCUUGGCAAACUACUUCUCUAGUAUCAAACCAUGGAAGAGGGAAGUAAAAGCAGUGGAUAGAUUUGUUUGGGUGUCUAUUAUGGGACUUCCUCUAAUUGGCUGGAACCGAAGAUGUAUUGAAUCAAUGGUUGAAGAUGCAGGCAAGAUGAUUGGUUACGAUAUUACAAGUGUGAGUCAAGGUUCACUUAUGGGAGUCAAGGUUCUUUUGUGCACAACCUCUUUCACGAUUUUAAACAAACAGAUUUCACUGAUUCUAGACGGAGAGGAAUUUGAUAUAUCAGUCAUGGAAAUGAAGCCAGGUUUUAGCCCCCUGCUUACCACAAUUAAAUACUCAAUGGAUACAUCAGGCACUGAAGAAUCAGAUGAAGAGUCAUGCAGUAAAAUCACACCUCCAGAUGAGUUUCCGCUAGCCAGUAUAAAUGAACCAGAAGUUGACCGAACCUCAACAGAGCAACAGGAUAAGGACAUGCAAAAUGACCCCUCUCUCAUUCUCUGCACAAGAUACACUGAAUCACUCAACAACCUAGACCAAACUGACACAACAUACAAAACCUUCUGCCUCUUUCCUGAAACUAAGGAAACACACAAGCUACAAACAAAAAACCAGCAACUGCACAUCGCCUCUCACCAAUUGCCCUCUAUAGAACCAUGCUAUGACACCAUUAAGGAAAAAAUUCAAGUGGUAGAAACCAGCUACAGCAACUCAGAUGACUCAGCAUCAAUAUCCUUUUCGAGAGUAGCCCUCGAUAAAAAACAAACACAAACUAAAGCCUCCUCUGUCCAAGUUACAAGGCCUACCCCAAAACUAACCAGACCCAUGAUACUAGCACAGAGCCGGAGCCACAAUACACAUCAGCAAUCUUUCUCUGCCUUCAUACGUGACCUAGCAGAACCACAAGAAGUAGUGGAAAUGGAGUUGGAAGGAAAGAUGAAAGAUAAGAAGCUUAGAAGAGCUAGAAGGGUUGCGCCUAAAUCUUCUUUCAACAAAAAGAAGAAUGUGUUGAAAGUUAAAUCAUUUGCAGCUCAUAUACCUAAUGGAGCACCCAACCUUUUUGCAAUGAAGGUAACCAGCACCCAAAACAACACACCUCUACAAGACACCACACCAUCCCCUGUUAUUAAGUCAUUCGGCAUUGGAAAGAACCAUAACUAUGCCUCCACGGAUGAUGAAACCAGUGUCAUGCAUCUCCAUUUACCACCCCUGUUGAACCCUCAAAGCAACCCACAAACAUUUUCAGAUGCAACCAAUGAAAACACAAACGAGAAAAGCAGCAAAACAAGAAAACUGAAGUUGUUGCAAGCCAAUGGUAGUGUUGCUAACACUAUGGAGGAUUGUGAUUCUUCCGACUCCUUAAACUCAGGAAUCCAACAAGGAAAUAUUCGGUUUCAGAUCACUUGUACGAAGCAUCAAGACAAUGGGUUUGACAGUGAAAAGGAGACUCAAGAAAUGAUACAAGAUGCCGUGGCUCUAGGUUUGGGAAACCCGCAAGAACUAAACGGGUUCAAAGAAGGAAUAAUGAGAAAUAUUGAUAGAGAAGUUGAUGAGUGGACAUCAGUUAACCAGUUGUAAGUUCUCUAUCUUGAUAAGUCUAGCCUGCCUUGGUUUUUGCUCUUUUUAUGAAUAUCUUUGCUUGGAACAGCUGUGGUUUAGGCAUGUCACACAAGCAAAAUUCAAUCCGGAAUAGGCUUAUAAAAAUAAUAUUGGCAUCUGUUUUCUUUUAGAAACAAAGAAAAACUGUUGUGACUCCUUCAUUAGAAAUCUGUGGAAUAUUGCAACUGUCAAAUGGGCUUUCUAGAAUCUAUAGGGAAAUCAGGAGGGAUUAUAGCAAUGUGGGAUAGCUCUGUCUUUGAAGUUAGCUCGGUAGAAUUUGGGGGGCAGUGGAUCAGCCUAUGCGGCACAUAUUCCUUCUUCCUUUACUUGUAUGAUAGUUGGUGUAUAUGCUGCAUCUUCAGUGAAGGAUCGUGCUGAUAUGUGGGAAGAAAUCACCACUCUUAAGUUUGCUUUUGAACUUUGGUGGUGCUAGGCGACUUCAACGAAACUCUACACGCUCAUGAGAGAAGUAGUGGUCACCUCAAUUCAUCAGGUUCAACUUCAUUCCACAAAUUCAUAUCAGACUGUGAACUGGUUGAAUUCAAUUUGCAAGGGCAUCGGUUCACUUGGUUUAGGGGUGGUUCUAUGAGCCGCAUUGACAGAGCUUUCGCUUCUCCGGAUUUUCAGCUACAGUUCCCGUCUCUAUCUCUCUGCCGCUACCCUAGAGGGAUGUCCGAUCACUGUCAGCUGCUUCUCCAAAGCCCGGAGGUAGACUGGGGGUGGAAGCCGUUUCGUUUCAUAAAUUGCUGGCUGUCGCACCCUCUUUCUUAACAGAUUUUGAGGCCCUCUGGUCUGAAAGCUGCAAGGAAUUUCCAGGUGAGUUUAGUUUGAUUAAGAAGCUGGGGAACAUGGGAAAAAAGCUGAGACAAUGGAAUAAAUCCACUUUCGGGGAUCAAAAUCUAAAACUUGCAGACAUCCAGAACUCCAUCACAACUUGAAACUUAAGCGAAGUGCGUCCCUUGUCUGAGACCGAAAAACAAAGCUCCAGGGGCUGAAUUCUGAGCAAUGGGAGGUUAACAGAAGGGUGGAAGAUAUGUGGAGGCAAAAUCUCGUCAAAACUGGUGUAAAAUGGGGGAUAAGAACACUCUUUUUUUCACAUAUCAGCAAGUCUAAGGAAGGGCCGCAACUACAUUAGUAAGAUUGAACAUAAUGGCAGUCAUCUAGUCUCCUCAAAUGAUAUAAAAGAAGGCGCUGUCAACUUCUUCUCAUCCUUGUUUCGCAAACCAACAUGUAAAAGAAUUGAAAUGGGAGGCUCGGGGUUCUCUAAAAUUUCAGAAGCCAAAUCAAUUUGGCUAGAAAGACCACCUUCAAUGGAAGAAGUGAAGCAAGCUGUGUGGGACUGUGAUGGUUCCAAAGCCCCUGGCCCCGAUGGUUUCACCUUUUGUUUCUAUAAAAAGGUAUGGAAUAUCAUCAGCUCAGAGGUUUUUAUGCUGGUUAAAAGUUUUUUCAGAACUGGUAAACUUCCAAAGGGUAUCAACUCUUCUUUUGUAACUCUGAUUCCGAAAUCAAAGGGCCGAGCAGAUUCUCCCAUUUUCGUCCGAUAAGCCUGAUUCACGGGCUAUACAAAAUAGUGGCAAAGCUACUGUCCACUAGGCUUCGACAUGUCAUGACAGAUGUGAUCAGUGUUAACCAGUCUGCAUUUAUUGCGGCGUCAGAUUCUAGACGGGUUCAUGAUAGCAAAUGAGGUUGUCCAUGGUGUGCGCAGCAAGAAGAAGCAUGGCCUCUUACUGAAGGUAGAUUUCCAUAAAGCCUUUGACUCAAUUUUAUGGGAACAUAUUGACACAAGUAUGGGAUACAUGGGUUUUGGCUCACACUGGAGGAAGCUGAUAUUCGAAUGCUUAUCCACUUCAAAAUUAGCCAUCUUGAUAAACGGUUCUCCUAGUAGAGAAUUUAGUUUGGAGAGGGGUCUCAGGCAAGGGGACCCACUCUCUCCAUUCCUAUUUGACAUCGCAGUUCAGGAUUGACAGUUUUAUUCAAUAGGGCAUCAGCUUCAGGUUACUUCAAAGGCUUACAGACUACCCCAGGACAUUACUUAACUCAUUUGCAAUAUGCCGAUGACUCUCUGAUUUUCUUGCCAAAUGAUUUUCCCUCUCUUCUACAUGCCAAGAGGAUUCUACGUUGGUUUGAGAUCAUUUCCGGACUGAAAGUUAACUUCUAUAAAAGCUCACUAAUAGGUAUCAACUUGGACAACGACUACACCUCUAGCCUGGCGAACUCAGUUUUCUGUCGUAGUGAUACUUUCCCGGUUAGGUACCUUGGACUACCUCUUGGAGCCAAUCCCAGCAGACUCUCUACUUGGAAACCAGUGUUGUCCACUAUCAGAGCAAAGCUACUCACAUGGAAAGGGAAUUUUUUGAGCAUGGCGGGAAGGUUAUGUCUAAUUAAAUCAGUCUUGAGCUCUCUUCCUCUGUUUUACAUGUCAGUUUUUGCUAUGCCAAAGGGUGUUACUAAAGCCAUCUCUUCUCUAACCCGGUCUUUCCUUUGGAAAGGAAGCUCAACUUCUCAUGGCCUUUUUAAGGUGGCUUGGCACAAGGUAAUAAAGGAUAAAUCUUCUGGUGGUCUCGGGCUGGGAUCCAUCCACAACAAAAAUCUGGCUUUGCUUUUAAAUGGCUAUGGAAUCUAGACAAUGGAGUGGCAGGAGGCUGGCAAGAACACAUUCUUCUAAAAUACCGACCUCACUUUAUAAAUGGUAUCCCUGAGUUUGCAGGUUCUUUAUCUCCAACUUGGCAUGGCAUUGUUUCGGCAAUCUUCUCAACACAAAACAUAGCCAAUCUUUUACAUGCAAAUGUCGGGUUCAAGGUGGGUGACGGGAGGAACAUACGGUUUUGGACUGACUCUUGGCUCGGCUCUGCAACCACUCUCCAGCUCUUAUUCCCCAAACUUUAUAACCUCUCCUUGCAGCAAAACACCAGCCUUGCAGAUAUAUACAAUUUGACAGAUGCAUCUUUAAACCUAUCCUGGAGAAGAACCCUUCGGCCUCGUGAGAUCUGCCAGAGGGAGAGCUUGAUCGCAGAGGUGCAGCGUGGUCUCCUUUUCUCAGAUGGUGCAGACUGCAAGUUAUGGAAAUUCCACAGCUCUGGCAUAUACUCAGCUCAAUCAGGUCGCCUCUUCUUUGAUAGUCUAUCGGCCACUAAAAAUAAUCACUCCCCUACUCUGCUAUGGAAUGGUUAUGCCCCCCCAAAAGUGGAUGUGUUCAUUUGGCUUCUUCUUCAUGGAGGUUUGAGUACAAGAAGUUUUUUAGCUGAGAGGAGAAUCAUUAAUUAUGAGGAAUCUCACUGCCCAUUCUGCUGCAAGGAAACCGAGACAAUUAAUCAUCUUUUCCAUUGGUGUCCUAUAACAUGGUCUCUUUGGGGUCGUUUCUUAAAUGGUUCGGGUGCUCAGGUUGUCUGCACAAAGACCCAAAUCAAAAUCUACAGGAAUGGUCCGGAUUGAUUAAUGGAAAUUUUCAGCGACGUGCUAUUACCCUCCUCUGUAAAGGUCUGUAUUGGUCAAUUUGGAUAGCGCGCAACCGCUUAAUCUUCGAAUCCAAGGCUCCUGAUUGGGAUAUGAUUUUUGAUCUCACUUUUCACCGUUUGGCUUUCUGGUUGAAGUCCUCAGUUACAAAUUUCAGCUAUACAGGUUCAGAUCUUUUUAGAAAUCCUGAAUGUAUUAUGAACUGGACUAACUAAUUAAGUCCCUCUUCACUUUGGUCUUUUCUUUCUUUAUAUUCCCAUUGUAUUCUAUCUUUCGUUCAGCCCCACUUACUUGAUGGGCCUGUUUAUUUAAUAUAUAAUUAUCUCGUUUACUAUAAAAAAAAAAAAGAAAUUCCUUUCCAGAUCUUUUGGAAAAUUCUUCAGUCAAGUACUCAUAUGGUGUCCAAUUUCUAUUGUUAACUAUGAAAUGUUCAACGCGAUUGUCACGCACAAGAAGAAAUGUAGCCGUGCCUUGGCCAUAAACUGCCGCCAAGUGCAAAGGUGUAUUUCCAUCCUCAUCUAUCGCAUUUACCAGCGGUGCGACGAGCUUCUGAUCCUGCUUGAGUAUGUACCUAACCACACUGCUAUUUCCAUAUUUGGCCGCUACAUGAAGAAUGUUGUGCCCUUUCUUAUUGAGGAUAUGGGAAUAUAUCAAGAAAUUCCUUCACUACAUCAACAGAGUGACUUUUGCAUGCUACAUGGAUAGGAAUAGGAUAGUUGCCUUCAAGUUUUGUUUCAUAAGCACCAUCGUGAAACUUCUUUAAGAGGAAUCGAACUCCUUCCAGAAAACCUAUGGAUGAUGCAUAAUGCAGUGAAUUUCCCAACUCUUCCUCGGUGAGAGGUAAUAGCUCUGGCUUUUCCUUUUCAAUUUUCUCCAAAAUAUCUGAAAAUCAAAAGAAAAUGUUUCGAACGAAUAUAAAGAUGAUAGCUUUGCAACAAUUUUUUGUAUGUAAUUCAUUUUCUAGUGGGUAAUGACAUUGUGAUCACCUCUGUUACGUUGCUUGAUGGCAGCAUGAACAGGGGACUUUCCUUCUGGUGGGGAAUCACCAUCUUUUCUAUUUUUAGGAAUUGAAGCUCCCAAAUUCAAGAGAUCAUCAAGUAUCUCGUUGUUAUUGCCAUUCUCAACAGCCAGAUAUAAAGGAGACUUGCCAUUAUUGUUGCUGUAAUAGGCCACUUCUGGAUCUCUGGAAACUAGGAAACUGGCAACUUCUUUGUUGCCCUUGAUCACUGCAUCAUGCAAAGGAGUGUUUCCCUUUGUAUUUGUCUUCCUCAUCAAGAUCGGAUUCGAUUCCGCAAGAGAUUUAAUUGUAUGACUGGCCUUUCCUUCUCUGACAGCAAGAUGAAGGAUUGUGUCCUUCUGGCUGUUUUGGAUGGUGAUUAGAGAAGGAAACGUUCCAACCAGAUAAGCUAUAAUAUUGUCACUUCCAUAGCUUACAGCUACGUGAAGCAGUGUAUUCCCGCAGGGAGUCACUAGCUUCUCCGCUGAACGUUGCUGGACACGUCUUUUCAAGGCCUCAGGAUUGUCCUGCUUCACACAAUCAUGUAACUGACUAUCUAUCAUUUCAUUUUCCAAGUGAUCUCUCGGAAUCGAGAUUUCAUCUAUGUUUAUCUCAACGGCGCUAGACAUAGCAAAAGAAAAUAUUAGGUUACUUGAAUCAGCGAUACCUAUCACUUAUCAGACAGCACGACUUCUAAUUCAAAUCGGCUAGACUGCAUGUCAAUGGAAUCUUAAGUACUGUGAAUGGAAAUUUAGCUUUAUGAUUGUUUUGAUUUGUUUUGUACAAGGUAAUUUUAAUUUCAUGAUUAAAGUUAUGUGUAUAGCAAAUUAAUCUAGUUUAAAUCAUGUUUUUAUUUUUUAAUUUUUUUUUUCAUGAAGUUAUAUUGGUUUGAAGACUUGGGUCAUGGAUUUGAUAAAUUGACUUGGUUUUUUUUUUUUUAACUUCUUUUUCUAAUUAUAUCCUUUAAUAUUGGUUUUAUUGGGGAUUGAAAUUCAUCAUUUAUUUUUAUUUACUUUACAUUAUAUUAUCUUGGUUUUAUGACCCGAGUGAGUUUGGCUGGUUAACUAGGAUUACUUUUUUAGAUCUUUUUUUAAUUGAUUUUUUUUCAAUAUCAUCCUUUAACAUUGAGUUAAUUGGAAAGUAGACUUUAUAAUUUAUUUUGAUUUACUUUCUAUUGGGUUAUCAUAAUCUCAUAAUAUAAGUUGCAAAUUUGACAUGUUAACUCAAGUUAACUCAAGUCAAUCCAAUAUGUUGUUAUCUUAAUAUUAAAAAAAAAAUUAUCAUCUUGAAUUGUUUUAGUCAUACUAUGUUCUUACAUGUCUUAUGAAUUGUUUUUAGAUCCACAAAGUCAUUCAAGUAUAUCGGGUCAACACUUACAUGGUUUUAAUUUUUUAUUUUAUAAAUAUGUAAAAAUAACAUUAUUUUGGUCAUACUUUUUUUAAAAAAAUUCAAUGGGUUUUCAGCAGGGUUUUUAAAAAAAUUAAAAAGAAUUUAACAAAAAAAUUAGGUAGUACAAAUUCUAAAUAAAAAAUAAAUAUCACGGUUAAUUAAAAACAUUGAAUAAUUUUUAAUAAAUUUCCUUUUAUAAAAAAUCCCUAAAAAUCUAAUAUGUUUGGCAUUGCCUUUUAAAUGGCAUUGGAUAAAUUUUAAUGUUUUUAUUUAAAAUUAAUUUUUUUAUGUUUUUAGAUUGUUUUUAUGUACUAAUAUAAAAAAUAAUUUUUAAAUAAAAAUAAAAAAUUAUUAGUUUUAAUAUAUUUUCAGUAAAAAAACACAAUUUUUUUUUAUUCUAACCACAAUUUAAAACGCUACAUAGCAAAAUUGAAAACUUAUUACAAGCUGGGGUAUGAAAAGGACAUCUGAAAUAAAAUAAAUACAGAAAGCCGUAAUCUGAUCGCAUUAAUUCCCAUAAUUUAUUACACCUUGCCAGUUGUCCUUUCUCAUAACUUUCUAAUUCACUCAUUAAGCUGAGACAGAAAAAAUGCACUGAUCGGAGUGAUUUUAUAAGGGAUGAAAGAGGUUUAAGUUGUGUUUUUAAAAAAUUUAAAAGUUUUGUUUUUUUUUGUUAAAAUUAAGUGUGGUUUGUAUUUUUUAUAUCAUUUUAAUGUGCUGAUAUCAAAAAUAAUUAAAAAAAAAUAAAAUAAAAUCAUUGGCAUGCAUUUCGAUAUAAAAAGUUAUUUGAAAAGCAAUCACUACCACGCUCCCAAACACUCGACAGAUUCUGUGAUAUGCAAGAGGUGUGUCUUCUUUAAGAAGACCAUGUGUUUGAAAUUAAUACCUUUUGGAACAGAUAUGGGAAUUGAUACAGAAAAAACCUGGAUUACUCGAUUAGUUUAAAUUAAUUAUUUAAAUUUUUUUUUAGAAUUGACCUAAUCAACUAGCUAGCCUAGUAAGGUAUAGUAGGGUUAGGUCAACUAGAUUACGAGUAAAUUAUAUUUCACUAAGUCAAUUUCUUUUUUGUUUUAAUUUAAAACCUCGGCCAAGCCACACAUCGGUGAAUGUUUAAGCCACACUUCCGGCGUUAACGUUCCAAGUCAACCCAUUAUACUAGGCUAGGUUUAACAAGAAUGUUUAAGACAUUUUAUUUAACAAUAAAAUAAGUAAUCCAAUAUUUCUAACAUCCGAUUCAACAGACUCAAUGUCUUUCCAAUAUGUUUGAAGGCUUAAACACCGAUGUCAAGGCAGUUUUUUCCUGUCUACCAGCCUUCGGACCCCUGACCUAGUUGUGACAAGGCAUAAGAGCUGUGCAAAGAGCUUGCCAUGCUCUCUGCUUAAACCUCUUGAGAUUUUGAGAUAUUAGUCUGGAAAUUUCUUGAUUCCCUCAUAAACAAGAAGGAAAAUCCCAUGACUUUUCAUCUUCCUGCCAUUUCAUGACCAUACUUUGUAUUCGUAGAAGUUAAAACACUUUUACAUUUUCUUAAUUAAAAGAUUCAAAGAAAGUAAGUUUAAUAUAAAAAAAAAAAAAAACAUUGGUAGAAGACUGGAGCAUGCAGCUAGCCUAGACAGAAAAUUAAUUGAUGUACAAUCAUAGUCUUAAUUAAUACUCAGACCCACCUGUACAGAUUCGGGUUGACGAAAAAAUAAUAUAGUUGACCUAGUUAAAAUCCGAAUAUCAAAUAUUUUUUUAAAUAAAAUAAUACUGUUUUAAUUUUUAUUUUUCUAAAUCUUCUUUAGUAGCCUCGUUAUUCAAAUAUUUCCUCAAGUUUGACACCGGGUUGAUUUUUAAAACAUGUGUACAAUUGCUACCCCACUAUCAGGUCAUUAAAGGGUUCCCCUAGAGUACUACUGUUAUUUCACUUAUUUCUGAAAAAGACUCCAUGCAUGCAUGCGUUCAUAUAUUUACAACUUUAAUUGUACAAGUUAGACCGUACGUAUUCAGUUAUUGGCAUCACCUACUGCUCUCCACCUUCCAUGUCCUCUCCACUUGAUGAUGAGGCCUUGCUGUCCAUCCUCCUAAUAAAAGUUGCCCAUCCGUAAAUUUAUUACACACCCUGCACAAUUCCCUUUUUUUGUCUGUUUACUGUGUUAGAAAAUAGUAUGAAAUCAUUCUUGUGAUUUUACCUAAUAAUCAUGAUUUUAAAACUCACCUCACCACCUCCAAUUUAACUAAAAUAAAAUUAAAUAUAAAGUAAUGUUGAGUUUCUGCAGAUUUUGUUAUAUGAAACUAUGACAGAAUAGAUUAAUUGAAGAAGUCGGUGUUGACGCUGAAGAUGCAAGAAAAGCACUAUUAUGAGGCUUAAUCUGCAGUGGACAAGGACUCUCCUUUGUAACCGGCUUGAUGGCCCCCUGUAUUCCAUGUCUUCUUUGUGAACGCAUCUUUGUGAACGCAGGUUUGGAAUCCAGGAAAGUCAUCACCAGAAUCCCCCGUUUUCCGUCAGUGCCUCACUCCUUAUAUAUCUCUUAAAGGACAACUGGCCAGGUGUAAUAAAUAGUUUACUAUUUUCUAACACAGUAAACUGCAGAAUUCCAAACCCAAAACCAUUAACUUAUUCCCUUUUUUUAUAUGGUGCAUACAAGAAAGAACAUUGAACAUCCAUCUCUCUUUGAGGACUCUGGCUCUCUACAAUUUCCUUCUUCCUUUUUCUAGAUGAACAACACUGCUCUCUACAAUUUCCCACUCCAGAUUUCUCAUAAAAAAGGUUAAAAAACAGAAUAAGCAACGUGUAAAAUUAGAGGUUAAAGCAUGUUGUUGCAAGUAGCUUCAACGCAUCCAAAACUUAUUUAAUUAACACCAUAUAAAGUUAGAGCAAAGGGGAAAAAAAAAACUCCUAGAAAACACUGCUAUUUCCACUAGAAAACAGUUCUCUCACUUGAAAACUUGAAAUUAUUGGUUGUACUGUGGAAGCAUUACUGACCCCGAAAAACAUGCAUGAAGGCAAUUAGAUGUAAAACUCCUGGGACCCGAAAUAGUAGAAAUGACUAUUGACGAGGACAAUAAGAUAAAAAAUAAAGAAAGUUUGAGAUAAAUAGAAAAGUUAGGUGGACAAUCAAAUAAAAUCUUUGAAAUUUCAAACAAGAAAUAAAGUGUUUUUGAAGGUGACACAUUAGUAUCAUUUAGUUGGAAAUGCAAGAAAAACUUAUUUUUUAGAAAAAAUAUAUAGUUUAACUAAUCAAGUUCUAAAUUUAUUUUAUAGAAAUUAUUAGUUUGAAUUUUACAAACUUUAAAUUUAUUGAAAGCUUACAUAAUUAUUAAUUUUAAAAUAUUUAAAAUUAAUCAAAAUAUACACAAACAAGUCUAAACAUUCACAUUAAUAAAACUUUAAUCAUAAAAUAUCUGAUGAGGUAGCAUAAAAUUGUUUGAAUAAUAAUGUAUGGUAUCUCCUCGAGGCCCUGUCAAAAUGAACAUUGAAUUGUAAAUUAUUCAUCAACUGUUAUUUCCAAAAGAAAACAGUUCUCUCACUUGAAAUUAUUGGCUGUACUGUGGAAGCAUUAUUGACCCUAGAAACAUGCAUGGAGACAAUUAGAUGAUGUAAGACUCCUGGGACCCGAAAUAGUAGAGAUGACGAUUGACGAGGACAAUCAGAUAAAAAUUAAAGAAAGUUUGAGAUAAAUAGAAAAGUUACGUGGACAAUCAGACAAUCAAAUAAAAUCUUUUAAAUUUCAAACAAGAAAUAAAGUGUUUUUUUAUGAAGGUGUCACAUUAAAAGGGUACCAUUCAGUUUGGAUUGAAAGAAAAACGUGAUACAAUGAUCCUUUUGAAAUUAUAAAAAGGAUAUGGCUAGUUGCUUAUUGAUUGGAGCUACAUAUAUAUUUUGAUAACAUUCACAAUAUAUUUCAUCUGUCUUUAUUGUAAAAAGUAAAGAUGAAUUUCUCACAAGUGUUAUUACCGGUUGAGGUUACCUAUUUUUGGAUUCCUCGAAAAAAAAUCGAAAGGAAUAAAAAUAAAAAAAAUGAGAAAAUGAUGCUGGAACGCUCAUAAAAUAACUAGGAAUUGGUUGAGAAGGUUCAGAAAUAUAAAAAUUAAAAUUUGACAUUAUAUUUUUUUUUACUGAUAAGAGCCUUAUUGACAAAGAAAAUUCAAGUUCAGAAAGAAAAAUCCAAAAUAAAAUGUUUAUAGACUCAAUUAAAUUUUAUCCAAGGUUUAAUUGAAUUUAUGGAAGGUAUGAUUGCAAGAAAAUUGAUUUUUUAAAGUCAAUUAUGGCUUAUAUUGGAAGUAAUUAAAGUUAUGAGGUCCAAUUAUAAUUUUGAAGAGUUGAUUUGGUCAAAUCAGGGGCUUAAUUGCAUAAUUAUUGAAGUUUGGUGGUCAAUUAGGACUUGAUUGAAGCAAUCUGAAACAAAAGGACCAAACCGGAAAAGAUACUAAAAUCAAGGGAUCCAAUUACAAUUUAUCCGGAGGGCUUGAUUACAAAAUUGUAAGAACAUCCAAGGACCAAAUCAGAAAUAUCCAUUUUGAUAGGAAGACGGCGCCGUUUCAGAGCACAAUUUCAUCACCUUUCUUCACAGCCGUUUCAGCAGACAGUGGAGCCAUUUCAGCAACAAAAACAACAGAUUGCUUCAAUUAUAGAGAAUGUUUCAUGGCUACCAUUCCUCUACAUGCCGUUACCAAGCCAAACGUUGCACCACAGGGCAUUCUUUGGCUUAUAAAAGCCAGAGAAAGACGAUGAAAGAGGGGAGGGAGGACAGCGGACAGAAAAGAAAGGAAAGGGGGGAGAGAAAAGGAACGAGAGAGGAGAAGAAGAGAAAACAGAGGGUGGGAAAUAUUUUGAAGAGAACGAAAGAAACAGAGAGACGGGGAAAGAAAGUUACAGAGGAAGAAAGAAGGAAAAAGGAGAACCACCGCUGGUCUUCCUCUCCACCGCUGCCACAACGCCGCCACUGAGAAGGGAGUAUCGAUCAACAGAAAAAAAGAAAACAGAGGCUCAUGCCUCUGUACAGAGAGGAGAAGAGCCACCAUCGCCCCCCACAGCAACUCCACCGGCCAGCAACCUCCACCACACCGUCUGAAAGCCACCAGCAGCUCCACCCACACCAGUGACCAAAAGGAUAAGAACCAAACAGAAGUAGACGAGGAAGGCAAAAAAAAAAAAAGAGGCUGGUGUCUCUGCACGGGGAAGAAGAAGAAAAGCUGCAACAAACACUGCCCGCCACUGUCAUAACCACCGUGAACCAUCGUCGGCUUCCUCUCCACUGCCACCAACAUCACUGUGAGCGUCAGCAGGUCAGCCUUCCUCCCCUUCCCCAUUUCCUUCUUUUCUUCACUGCACCGUCUCCACUGUUCUACAUGAACAGUGGAGAGUGAAUUAAUUCAAAAUUAAUAUAAUAUUAAAGGAUAAAUUUGAAUAAAAAAAAUCUAUAAAAAAAUUAAUCAAAAGAUAGAAAAAAAAAUUAUCUCCUUCACUAUUGAUAUUUACAUGAACAAUAUUUAUAUUUACAUAAAGAAAGUUCUUUUAGUAGAGUUGCUAGAGUAGAUAGUGAAUACAUUAAUUCAAAAAAUUAAAAUAACACAUUAAAAUAAGCAUAAACAGUAAAAAAAUUGUUUCGGGGUUUAAUCACAAAAAAUUUCAUUAUUGAAAGGAGGGAGAAAUCAUUUGGGAAGCAGCUGCUCAGCCCAUAGAAUCACACAAACAAGCCCCCAAGACAUCUAAGCAUUCAAGCUAAAGCUAAAUAAAAGAGCAGGAAAACUGAAACCCUAUUAUUCAUUGGGCUACAACAUGCUCGACCUCUCCUACUUGUACUGGAAGGAGAAAUUACUGAUAUAGUGAUAUUGGUGUCAAUUUCAAGCUGUAAUACAAACUAGUCAGAUUCAGAAUCCAAGUACAUUCUAUAAGCAUUUCUGUCUGAAGAGUAAUAACCUUCUACCAAACUAUCAACUUGAAAACCAAGUUUCUUGUAUAGAGUCAUAGCUGCAGUCCUCAGGGGAUCAACGUGCAGUGAUAUACGUUGAACCUUUCUCUCUUUGCAUUUCUCAAUUGCUGCUUUAAGCAAUGCCUCUCCAUGACCUUGCCUUCUAUAGUUCUCCUUCACUGUUUUAUACUUGCCAUUUACAAAGAAAAACACCCAUGUAAGAAAUCAAGUCCUGGCCAAUCAGAUAACAAGAAAAAGAAAUUAUACUAAAUGGAUUUUAGUGGGUUUUGCCUAAUCAAUCCCUCUAUUCAGAGAAAAGAAAACCAUGCCUCUUUGAGUACUUUCAUCAAACAGGUUAUGGGUUUGUUAAACAGCAAAAAGAGAAAAAUACAACCCGAAAACAAUGAGGAGAGAGGAAGAAAUAAGUAAUGGGUAUUGAAACCUGCAAGUUUUGUGAUAGAAGCACACAAAGAAGAGGGCCAGGAAUACAUGACAUAGCCAGCAACUUCUCCAUUUAGUUCUGUAUAUAGAAGCCCUGAAUUCUUCUUUCUAAGCUCUUCAUCAAAUGAUCUAGCAAGUGAUUCAUGUUUCGGGAAGAUCUUUCUUUCUAUCUUCACAAUCUCUCCCACAACGUUGGCCCAGUUGGUUGACUUUUUUUGCAACUCCACUAUGACCUCACUCCCCAUGCUUCAGGUGAUAUUUUGCUCUUGGGUUCCGCUGGGACAAAUUGUUGUCUCGGUUUUAACUUAAAAUAAUCGUUUAAUUUAAAACCUAGCACAAAUCAGACCUCUUGAUUAACAUGCUCGAUAUUGCCAAAUUUAAUAACAAUGCUUUAAAUAAAAAUGUGGAUAUGAUAGCAGGUCGUAUGCAUUGCAUAGGUGGCCUGCUAUGUGACAUGACAUGGACUUUGUUAAAUUUUUUCAAACAUAAAAAAAAAAAAAAAACCUCAAGCAAUGAUAAUAUUUUAAAAAAAAGUAAGAGAAAUUUAGGAUUUGAAUAGAUUUAAUAAACUUGUUUGAUUUAAUAAUAUGAUUAUAUAAAAAAAAGCUAGUGACAAUUAAAAAAACAAAGAAAACAAAAAAUAAUGACUAAUAAAAAAAAUUAAUGCUUGCAAAUAUUAAAAAAAUACUCUUUAAAUAUUCUUAAAAAGUCUCAAUAAUCUUAUUCAAUAACAAAAUAAAAAUUAAAAGAGAAUGAAACAACCUCAUAAAAAAAAAAAAAACUCAAUUACUAGCAAAUCAGAUAUUGAAUUAGAAAAAAAUCAAUUUUAAACAGGAUAAAAAUCUUGACUCUAGUUAGCAUAACAAACUCAUAGCCUACUUGUGAGGUCAAAAUAACCACAUAUAAAUUUUUUUGAAUAAAACAAGUUAACUCUCAAGCAAACUAAAUAAUAAAAGACGAAACUGAACAUUAAUCAAUAAAAAAUGUCAAGAAAAACCCAAAUAAACUUGGAUUAACUCGACUAACUUAUGGCUCGAGAUAUGAGAUUUGGAUAACCCAUAGAAAAAAAAAUGACAAUAAUCACGAAGCUAAAGGCCUAAUAACUUAAUGUCGAAUGAUGAAAUUGAAAACAAUAUUAUUUUUUUAAAAAAAAGAACCUAAAAAACAUCAAAGUCAAAUUAAGCUAAUUUUCAAAACCCGUGACCCGGGUCAAGAGACUAGGUUACCCCGAUAAUACAAACCUAAAAAAAUCAUAAAGUAAAAUUUCCAAUCAUCCAAAAUUAAAAAAUAAAAACAAAUAGAAAUCAAAAGAAUGAGGACCAAAUCUGGUAUAAAUAUUAAAUGAAAUAAAACAAUGAAUUUGAGUGCAUUAAUUUCUUCGUUGAAAGCAAUAGGAUCAACUUAUUUUGAGUGCAUUAAUUUCUUGUUUUUCAAUGGAUGUGCUGCAUCUUGUUGUCGAUUGUUAGUCCUCUUAUUGUGUUUGGCGUACUAUUGAGUAAGCUCUCGCUUCCCCAUCUAAUUCUUGCAUUAUACAACUUCUUGGUCCUUUCAAAAUCUUUGGCAAGGUGAUGCUUCGGUUGCUAUAUAUAUGCAGAAGGAAAUAUCAUUAUUUGAUGAGUUAGCUGCUACUAGUCGACCAAUCUCUCUUGAAGAUUUCAAUUUAUAUGUGGUUCGUGGUCUUUGUUGCUACCCAAUUUUUGAUCCAUGUUUUUGAUAAAUUUUUAAAAAAAACCAAAAAUAGCAAAAAAAAAAAAACAAUGAAAACCCAAAAAAAUGCAUUUUUGAUAUAUUUGCAUUAUUUUUAGCAUUUUCAACGUCAUCUUAGAAAUAUUUUAACGCGUUAAUUUUACAAUCAUUGAUUUUCCUUGUUGAGUCGACGUUGAUAUUGCUCGCUUUCAAAAAUACAAAAAAAUAAGAAAAAAAUUCAAAAUUGACAAAAAAAUAAAGAAGUUGAGGGACCAAUGUGUUUUGGAGACCAAGCCACUUUGCCUAUAAAUAGAGGUCACAACACACAUAAAAAGUGGAAAAAAUUGUCAAGGGGGUAAUUUUGCACAUUUGAAAGCAAAAAAAAAAAAAAACCCCUAAUCCUAAACCCAUUUAAUCUUUCGCCCGCACCCCUUUCUAACAAAAAUCUAGAGAAACUAUUCUCCCCAUGGAUCAGAGUUGUCGCCUCCCUCUUUUGAAGCCAAAGACAAACCAGAAGAUCAAGGCAGCCACCCUUGAUCUCCCUCAUUCCUCUCUCAGCUAGCCAAACAUAUCUUCACCCCCUUUUGCUCUCCCUUCACUCUCUCGGCUACACACAGACCAGCCUUUCCCUCUGCAGCCAGACAACGACAGCAAAAGCCAACCAUUGCUGCCACCAACAGGAGUGAAGACCAUCCAGCAGCGACGGCCUGCUCCCCGAGCAACAACGUCUCAUUCCCCGCUAGCAGCAUCACAGACACGACCAGACUUGCUGCUACCCACUGACACAUGAGACCAGCCCCACAUCGGCUCCUUUCUUCCUCAGGCCAAACACAACGGCAGCCCCCACUGUCUUCUCUCAAUCCCACCGGGACAACAACACCAUAGCAACACCCUAGUGCCACCAUCAGCUCGAGUAUCGCCGAGGCCACCACUAGCAAUCCAAGCACGGCGUAACCGAGCCCGCCAACUAGAUCACCACUUCCAUCUCCGCUGGUCAGACCUGACAAAAUCCUAGCACUUGGCGAUCCCCUUGGUCUUGCCGCCACCUAAAACAAAGAAGAAUGGGAAAGAGAAAGAAAAGAGCAGAUAUGUAGAUAUAAGCAGAUCCAAAACAGAGAAGAAGAGAAAGAAAAACAGAUCUGUGAACAAGAAACAAAAACUAAAAUCAACUGCUUGCUGUGUUUUUUGGUGUUUUGCAGGUCAUCACCGACGAGGAAGGGAAGAGGGGAGGAAGUCGUUCUAGAUCGACCCCUCCCUUGGUUUUUUUCUUGCGGUGGCGCGUGAACCCACCGCUGCCAGUGGCGGUGGUGUGUGGAGAAGACGCGCCGCCACUGUUCCUGCGUUCCCAGAAGUCCUUCUCAACAAUUCCUGAAGUUUUUGGGACUUAUUGUGUAAUUUUUGAAUUGUAUUUGGUAUAUUUAAAUUUUUUGUUAUUUUGGAACAUGUAAAAAUGAUGUAUGUAAGUGUGAGUGUGUGAGUAAACAUACUAAAAGGUGAUGAAUGUGUGUUUGUAUUUUUUUAUGUAUGUUUUCUUUUAAUGUUAAAAUUUUAAAAAAAGAACAAAAAAAUAAAAAGAAGAAAAAAGAAUUAAGUGUUUUAAUUUGUAUAUAGUCAAGUAUUUUAAGGACAAAUAAAAUCAUGUUGUACUUCCCGUGAAAAUGUAAGAACACGUUUCUACAUAUAUUUUUGGAUUUAAUAAUUGAUUUAUUAAAGCCUUAAGAAUUUGAUUAAUAUUUAAAAUUUUCAAAUCACAUCAAACCGCAAAGCAGCUUACCUAAGGUAGGGUGAGCUAGGGGUGCUAAUUAAUACCUUCCUUAGCCAUAAUCAGUCUCUUACCUAUAAAUCUCUGACAAAGAUAAGUACAUCCGGGUUUCCUAAUAACUCUCAAUCAAAUACUAGGCGGCGACUCCCAAAUCAAGCAAAUGAGAUGAAAAUCGCCAACAAACACUGAGCGGAUGACAUGCGACAGUCUUCGUGGUGAGUUCAAAGAUUUGGUAACCAGCCUUAUGACCAAGACAAAACCUCUUUCGUAUGCAGAUCUCCAUAGCCAUCUUCUUACUCAUGAGUUCCUUCAUAAGACCUCCCUUCAAUCCAUGGAUGUCAAUCCUUCUUUGUUGCCAAGCCACCUCUACCACCCUCAGCGAAUGUUGCCCAAUAUCAAUCUUCUGCCACCUAUAACAACAAUCCCAAUCCUCUUCCACCUAUAACAACAAUCCCAAUUUCGGCCAUAAGAGAGGACAUUUUCAUAAUAACCACCAACACAAGUCUGAUUUUCAUGGCUUUCAGAGGUCUACUAACAAUGACUAGAAGCAGGGCAAUUGACAACAAAACAAAAGGAAUACCGGUCCUUCACAGUUGUCCCCUAACUGAUCCUUUGAGAAUCAUGUCAAAUGCCAGCUCUACUUCUCCUUUGGCCACACAACCCCUUAAUGCUCUUAGCUUUGUAGCCAUGGACAACAGUCGACUGCCAAUCUUGUUCUUGGUAAUGGCUCUUCUCCUAACAUUGUGGAUUGGUUCCCGGACACUAGAGUGAAUCAACACAUUACAUCUGAUCUUGCGACUUUGAUUGGGUUUGAACCCUAUCUUAGUAAUGAUCAUUUACAUAUUAGUGAUGAUAAAAGGCAUUUUCAUAUCCAAUAUUAGACAUACCAUGUUACAUACCCCAAAAUACACUUUUGCCUUAUCUAUUGGUCUUCAUGUGCCUCAUAUUACAAAACCUUUAUUUUAUGUUCAUAAACUUUAUCGUGAUUAUAAUGUCUAUUUUGAAUUUCAUGCUUCUAUGUUUUAUAUAAAAGAUCUCACCACCAAGGCAAUACUUCUUUUGGGUCAGAGUAACAAUGGUUUCUAUGUUCUAUUUGAGUCUUCUACCAUGCAAUCCCUCAGGCUUACUGGUCUUCUUGCAUCUCUACAUUUGCUGAUAUCUCGCAUCGUCAAUUGGGUCAUCUUACUUCCGUGUUUUUAAUUUUUUAGUUUCCAAAAAUAAAAUAGCUUGUACCUCUAGAUGUUCUCUUGUUCAAUGUCAAGCUUAUCUGUUAGGCAAGUUUCUUUCAUGAAAAAUUAAAUAUGUUCAAACUGAUUGAGGUGAUGAAUAUCACAAGUUAAAAAGUUUCUUUCAAACUAUCAGUAUUCAUCACCAUUUAAUUUGUCCUCAUUCUCAUGAGCAAAAUGGCACUUGUGAACGUUACCACUGACAUAUUGUCAAAACUGGCCUUACCCUCUUAGGAUAAUGUAAUGUCCUAUUAUGGUUUUGGAAUUAUAUGUUUGAAUCAUUGGUGUAUCUUAUCAAUCGUAUACCUAUUCUUGUUCUUCAAAAUCAAUCCCCAUUUAAGUGUCUAUUUAAUCGUACUCCUGAUUAUGAUUUCUUGAGUACCUUUAGGUGUCUUUGCUUUGACGAAAACCGAGUAUUUUAAUACCGGGUUUGUAUCUUUAUGGUAUAAAAAUACAAAUUAAUAUUAAGCAAAAUUUAGUAGAAAAAAACAGGUAGGUUCUCUAUACCUAUACUUUCUUAAAUUACAAUAAUUUUGGUAAUCUGUUCAAUUCUUGGAUUUUAUAUCUAUGGGUGAAGCCAUGAAGAGAAAAAAAUAAGGUGAAAUAAGUGAGAAAUGAAAUUAGACUUGAUUAAUUGAUUUGAUAAAAAACAUGAGCUAUAUUAAUGGACUUUAUUGAUGAUCGCUUCUUGAAUUUGAUUAGCCGGUCUCGAGCAUGAGAGGCUAAUGAUGUUAGUAAAGUUUACUAACAUUGGCAUGAUCAUUCCAUAAAAUAAGAGAUACUGAACUUGAUUAACUAUUUAGGUUAAGAAUAGUUAAUGAUAUUAAUAGGUGACAUUGAUAUCGACAAUCAUAUGAAACUUGAUUAGCUGAUGUGGAAGCUAAUGAUGUCAAGAAUCUUUGACAUCAACAUUCCAAUAAAUACUCCAAGGUGUUAUGGAAAAUUGAUUAACUAUUUUAGGUUGGAAAUAGUUAAUGACAUUAAUUGGUCGCGUUGAUGUCGGCAUUUACAAUGAACUUGAUUAGUUGGUUCCGGUAAGGGUGACUAAUGAAACUAAUGAGAUUCAUUAGUGUCGGUAUUACCUUCCAAGUUUUGGGAAUUAAUGUUAUGAUGAUAUUAUCAAUGAAGAAUGAUUGAGGGUGUUAAUGAAAUGGGGAUUGAUAUUUUGAAAGAAUUAGUUCUCCGGCCUUAAAAAUAAGAAUGUUGUUGAAAUUUGUGGAAUGUAAAAAAGAGGAAGGAAAUGUUUAGUGAUUCUCGGAACAAUAAAUUCAGAAAUAUUAGAUGGAAAUUAUGUAAACCCUCAUAAUUAAAAAAAAACAUAGGAUCGAAGUAAUGACUCUUGAUGAGUAAUAGAGAUUUUGUAUGAAAUAAAUGAAUAAAUAGUAGGAAUGAUAAUAAAUGUGUCAUGUGAGAGAGAUAAUAAUCUCCAUAAAUAAAUUUAAAGGGAUUGUUGAAUUCGAAAUGAGAGUCAUGAUUUUUAGUUUAAAACUCGUAAUGUUGGUGAAACCAGUGACGAGUUUCAUUGGAUAAAAGAAUAAGAAAAAACGAGAAGAUAUGUAAACCCUGAUAAAAAAAAAAACUUAUUUCGACAAAUUAGUGAUAAAUGUUGUAAUAUUGAAUUUAUUGAGCAUAAAUUAAGGGGAAAUGUCAUGAUAAUCUAAGUAAAUAAAGUAAUGGAUGAAAUUCAGAGUUUAGCGUAAAAGAAACUGAUUGUCUAGUUUUAUGGUAUCAAUAAUAUAUCUCAAUCCAAUCGUUGGAUCGGGCUGAAAUUGUAUAAGGAAUCUUUAGAAUUAUUGGUUUAUCUUAGGUUAAAAUUUUAUGUCAAUUGGAGUUUAGGAAGGCUUUAUGAGAGUACUCAAAAUCGGGUAAAUUGAAGAAGAUGACACGAGGGACAUUAAUAAGGGCAUUUUGGUAAUUUUAUAUAAAACAAUAUCCCCCUCUCCUUUUUUAAACACAUCUCAUGUUCUUUGCAAAAGGAGAAAAUAGGAGGGAGACCAUUUUUCUCCCAUUUUCUUCAUCUCCUCUCCAUUUCUUCAAGUUAAAUAAAAAGGGAGUGUUCUUCGGAGGAUUAUAUCCAAGAAAACAAAUCAAGUGACCAUACUUAAAGAGUUAUAAAGCUUGGGAAAAACAAUAAUAAUAAUAAUAAUAACACUCCCCGAUUGAUGUGUUAUAUGAGAGAGAUAAUAAUCUACAUAAUAAUAAUAAUAAUAGUAAUAGUAGUAAUAAUAAUAAUAAUAAUAAUAAUAAUAAUAAUUCUUAUCCUUGAAUUGUCAUAUCCACUCGUCUGAGGGUGAUAAGGGUGGCAACUUUGUUUGUGAUUCCGUAUUUCUUCAUUAAAGAUUCAAAUGGCUUGUUGCAGAAAUGUGUUCCACCAUCACUUAUCAUGGCUCGAGGGAUUCCGAAUCGACUUAAAAUGUUUUCUUUCAAAAAUUUUAUCACUAUUUUGUGAUCAUUGGUUCUACUUGGAAUUGCCUCUAUCCAUUUUGAAACAUAAUCUACUGCGACCAAUAUACAAGAAACCAAAUGAUGGAGGAAAUGGACCCAUAAAAUCUAUACCCCAACAAUCAAAGAUCUCAAUGACAAGAAUAGGAUUUAAAGGCAUCAUGUGACGAAAUAGAUCCCAACUUUUGACAAUUUUCACAAGUCUUGCAGAAUGCAUGUGAGUCUUUGAACAUGGUGGGCCAGUAAAAUCCACUUUGUAAGAUUUUUGCAGUUGUCUUUCUUGAUGAGAAAUGACCCCCACAUGCCUCAGAAUGACAAAAUUUAAUGACACUACUUACCUCAUUGUCAGGAAUGCAUCUUCGAAAUAUUUGAUCAGGACAAUAUUUGAAUAAAUAAGGGUCAUCCCAAUAAAAGUGCUUCACUUCGUUCAAGAACUUUCUUUUGUCUUGGGUACUCCAAUGAGCUGGCAAUUGUCCUGAAACAAGAAAAUUAACAAUAUUAGCAAACCAAGGCAUCGUAGAGACAGAAAAUAAAGAUUCAUCAGGAAAGUAGUCAUCGAUUGGUGUGAUGUCAGAUCUCGAAUCGGUUGUCAAUCUUGACAAAUGAUGCGACAACAUUUUCGGUGCCUUUCUUGUCUUUGAUUGUGAUAUCAAAUUCUUGAAGUAACAAAAUCCACCGCACCAAUCUAGCCUUAGAAUCUUUCUUAGAGAGAAGAUAUUUCAAUGCUGCAUGAUCACUAAAAACAACAACAGGUGAGCCAACAAGAUAAGAUCUGAACUUGUCACAUGCAAAUACUACUGCAAGUAAUUCUUUUUCAGUGGUAGUGUAAUUCAUUUGAGCACUAUUUAAAGUUUUACUUGCAUAGUAAAUCACAUAAGGUUUCUUAUCUUUUCUUUGUCCCAAGACAGCACCCACGGCAUAAUCACUAGCGUCACACAUUAUUUCAAAAGGUAGUGACCAAUCAGGAGGUUGAAUGACAGGAGCAGAAGUAAGCAAGCUUUUAAGUUUAACAAAGGCUUUUUCACAAUGUUCAGUCCAUUCAAAAACAUUUUCCUUUGUUAGAAGGUUACACAAUGGUUUAGAUAUUACACUAAAAUCUUUGAUGAACCUUCUGUAAAAACCAGCAUGUCCUAAGAAUGAUCUAACAUCUUUAACAGAUUUUGGUGUUGGUAAGUUGGCAAUUAACUCGAUUUUAGAUUUGUCAACCUCAAUUCCUUCGAUGAAACAAUGUGACCAAGUACAAUGCCGUUUGUUACCAUAAAGUGACAUUUUUCCCAAUUCAGUACAAGAUUCUUCUCUUCACACCUGUUCAAAACCUUUUCAAGUUAGUUAACAAUCAUCAAAUGAAUCACCAAAAACAGAAAAAUCAUCCAUAAAAAUCUCAAGAAAACGUUCAACCAUAUCACUGAAUAUGCUAAGCAUGCAUCUUUGAAACGUGGCUGGUGCAUUACAUACCCAAAAGGCAUUCUUCGAUAUGCAAAAGUACCAAAUGGACAUGUGAAAGUAGUCUUCUCUUGAUCUUCCAAUGCAAUUUCAAUUUGAUUGUAACCUGAAUAGCCAUCUAGGAAACAAUAAAAUUCAUGACCUGCAACUCUUUCUAGGAUUUGAUCCAUGAAAGGUAAAGGGAAAUGAUCUUUUCUAGUCAUUGAAUUAAGUUUCCUAUAGUCAAUGCACAUGCGCCAACCAGUAAUAGUCCUAGUUGGAAUUAACUCAUUUUUCUCAUUUGUUAUCACAGUGACUCCAGACUUUUUGGGUACAACUUGGGUAGGACUUACCCAUUUGCUGUCAGAAAUAGGAUAAAUGAUUCCAUUAUCUAGAAGCUUAAUGACUUCAUUUUUCACUACUUCUUUCAUAUUAGGAUUAAGUCUUCGUUGCAUUUCUCUAGAUGGUUUAGCAUUUUCCUCCAAAUAAAUCUUGUGUGUGCAAAUCAAAGGACUAAUUCCUUUUAUAUCAGCUAUAGUCCAUCCUAAUGCGUUUUUGUGCAUUUUCAGAGUCUGUAAUGACUUACCUUCUUGAUAUGCAUUAAGUUUGGAAGAGAUUAUUACUGGAAAAGUUUCAUUUUCUCCCAAAAAUAAGUAUUUGAGAUUGACUGGUAACGGCUUCAAAUCAGGUUUUGGUGGUUGAACACUUGAAGGUAUGGACUCAAUUGAUUGUGGUGGCAAUUCUUCAAUUUGUGGUCUCCAAUUACAUGCCUUUGCUUCUUCCUGAAAAUAAACCAUUUGCAACUCGUCAGGUUCAUCAAUCUCAGUUUCACUAGAAGUGGUUUGAAAUUGAUCAUGAACUAAUUUUUCAAUAAAGUCCACUUCCUGUAAAUCAUUAUCAUCUCCAGGUUGCUUGCAAAUGUUGAAAAUAUUCAUCUCCAAUGUCAUGUUUCCAAAUGAUAGCUUCAUCAGUCCAUUCCUACAAUUAAUCAAUGCAUUAGAAGUUGCAAGAAAUGGACGUCCUAAAAUAACAGGAAUUGAAUUACAUGCUUCAACAGGUUGUGUAUCCAAGACAAUAAAAUCUACAGGGUAAAUGAAUUUAUCAACUUGUACUAACACAUCCUCAACUAUUCCUCUAGGCACUUUUACAGAUCUAUCAGCAAGUAAAAGAGUUACAGAAGUUGGUUUUAACUCACCUAGAUUGAGACUUUGAAAAACCGAAUAUGGAAGUAAAUUCACACUAGCUCCAAGAUCAAGUAAAGCUCUUUCAAUUUUAUGUUCUCCAAUAAAGCAAGAAAUUGUAGGACAACCAGGGUCUUUAUAUUUCAAAGCAUUAUUGUUCUGAAGAAUAGCACUUACUUGUUCGGCUAAAAAUGCUUUCUUUUUCACAUUCAGUUUUCUCUUCACAGUGCAUAGAUCUUUCAAAAAUUUAGCAUAGGAAGGUACCUGUUUAAUAGCAUCCAACAAAGGUAUAUUGAUCCUUACCUGUUUAAAAGUUUCAAGGAUUUCAAAAUUGUGAUUGACUUUCCUUUGUUUGGUCAUGGCAUGAGGAAAUAGAAGUGCUGGCGGUGAAUCAAUUUUUUCUUUACAAUGUUCAGAUUCAACCCCUUCCUUACCCUUAGAGAUUGACUCAUCAUCUUUCUCACAAGGUUCAAGAGUGGGUUUUUCAAUAACCUUACCACUGCGAAGAGUGAUGACUGAUUUGACUUGAUCCAUGUGUUGGCUUUCGGAACUACUUGCAUUUGCAUUGUAUUGCCCCUUUGGAUUUUGCUGUGGUUGAGAUGGAAACUUACCUUUCUCUUGAAAACUGAGAGCAGAUGUGAAUUUUGCAAGAGCAUCUUUAAAAUUUGUCAUGCUUUGAGUAAGUUGAGUGUUGAUUGUCUCUUGCUUUUCAAUGAAUGCAUGUAAUGUUUCCUCAAGAUUUCUUCUAGGAGGGGGAGCAUAAGGAGGUGCAUAUCCAUGAGAAUUUUGAAAAUUAUGGUGUGCUUGAAACGGUGGCUGUGAAGUUUGUGCAUUAUUGUUAUCACUCUUCCAACUGAAAUUUGGGUGAUUUCUCCAACCAGGAUUGUAUGUUUGCGAGUAUGGGUUAUGAUUGGGCCUUUGGAAACUGUUUAAAGCAUGGGCUUGUUCAUGGAGGCAUUCCUUGAAAGAAGGCAAAGUUGGACAGUCAUUGGUUGCAUGUUCAUUUGUUUCACAGAUUUGACACACAAUGUCUUGAACAGAUUUUAAUUGACCACUCUUUUUCAAUUCUAGUGCCUCGACUUUUCUAGCUAAAGAUGUAAACUUGGCUUGGAGGUCAUGAUCUUCCCUAAGGUUAUACAUACCUCCACUAGAUGUAUGAGGUUGUUUUACUUGGUGCCUCAUAAGUACCUUAGUGUCCCAAUUUUGCGCAUUUUCAGCUAGCAAGUCUAGGUACUCCAUUGCUUCAUUAGGGUCUUUAUCUUCAAAAGUUCCAUUGCACAUCAAUUCAACCAUUUGCCUAUCUUUAGGUGUUAAUCCUUCAUAAAAUUGUGAAACCAAUCUCCAUGUUUCAAAACCAUGAUGAGGGCAAGUAUUAAGCAAGUCUCGAUACCUAUCCCAACAUUGGUAAAAUGUUUCUCCUGGUUUUUGAGUGAAAGUGGUGAUUUGUCUUUUGAAAGAGUUGGUUCUGUGAGAUGGAAAAAACUUCUUUAAAAAUUGUUGUUGCAUUUCAUCCCAAGCACGAAUGGAUCCUGACCUAAGAUUUUGUAGCCAUGUUUUAGCUUUAUCUUUUAAUGAAAAAGGAAAAAGCUUUAAUCUAAUGGUUCAUGCUACAAUUUAAGUCAUUAUAGUGUUACAAACUUCUUCAAAUUCUCUCAAAUGCAAGUAUGGAUUUUCUAGAUCUAAGCCAUGAAAAGAGGUAAAAGUUGAAUAAUGCCUGGCUUAAAAUUAAAAUGAGAUGCAUCAGGAGGGAAAACUAUGCAUGAGGGUGCACUUGUUCUUGUGGGAUUCAUGUGGUCUCUAAGUGUCCUAACACGGUUAUUCUCAUUAUUCUCAUUAUGAAGUGAUUGGUUAUCUUCUUCGGCCAUAUUUUCUGAAAAUGAUGAGGAUACCCUAAAAGUCUACCACUUAAUGUACGUGACCAAACACUCAUGCACGUGUAGAAAGAGAAUAAAAGGAAGAAGAAAACAAAAGAAAAAAAAACAAACAAAAGAAACAAAGUUAGAUACAAGAAAAGUGAAAAGAAAAAAAAAAUACUAAAUUUGUAAGAAUUUACCUCCCCGGCAACGGCGCCAAAAACUUGACACGACCAAAAGAUUGAUGUCUUCUCCCAAGUGCAGGAGUGUCGAAGUAAUAAAUAACCCGGCAAGACCGGGGUCGAACCACAGAGAGGUUAAUUGUAUAAAUUAUAAAUAACAAGACAACAACAAAAUAAUAAUAACAAAAUAACAACAAACAACAACAACAACAACAACACAACAAUAAUAAUAAUAAUAAUAAUAAUAAUAAUAAUAAUAAUAUAAUAUAUAUAAUAAUAUAAUAAUAAUAAUAAUAAUAAUAAUAAUACUCAGUACGUGGCGUUGUUAUACCUGAGAAUGAUCUAAAAGAUCGGGUCACAGGUUUCCAGCCUAUAUACUGAGUUUAUGAAAAGAUCAAAGAGAUAUAUUAUAUAAUAUAAACAGAUUUCUGAUGCGAAUGAACAAGGCAAGACCAACAAUAUCAGGAUCCUUGAUCAAACACAGAGCAUACUUAACGUACAUAAAAUAUAACAAGAAUGUAAAUUAAUAAUAAUAAUAAUAUAAUAAUAUAAUAAUAACAAUAAAAAGGAGGAGGAAGAAAUUAAUGAGAACUUUGAGAUGGAAGAUUAAUGUAAGGAUUAAACAAUGAUAAAGACAAAUGUCAAGGUUAGAGGAUCCACCAAUGGUAUUUCAAACAAGUAUAGUAUAAACUCUUAUUACUCAAUUUGGAAACCACACACGAAGGAGGUUCCAGUCGGAUGAUUUGUCAUUAAUAGCUCAUUAUAAAUUAUUAACAUGAUCAUAUUAAUUAUCUUACAUAACACCAAACUUUUAAAUAUUGUCAGGAAUUCAUGAUGUUAACUGAUGUUAACAACAAAUCAAGUACCUUUCAUAGCCCAGGUGUAGGUAAUACCAUACGGUUGGGCUAUGAGAGUGCCAAGCAUUUGUUGUACCAAGUAUUAUACAACACAAAUUUAGAUUAACCAUUUAACAAGCAAGGUAUUAAGAAUUAGUAAGAUAAAAAGAUAAGACAUGUUAAUAUUAAACAUUAAGGUCCAUAUUGAGUUUACACCAUACUUGUUCUUACACCAUUAGUGUAACCUUUUCACCUUGACAUAAUAAACUUAGCUAAACAUAAUGAAGAAGAAAAACAUAAAUAAAAAAAACAAGAACAUAAAUAAAAUACAAGUUAACUAAGGAAAGGAAAGGAAAUGAAAAGCAUAAACAAGAAAUUAAUGAAAGCAAAACUUAAGAAUUACAAAAAAUAUAAAGAGAGAAAUAAAGAGCAUGAACUUGAUCUGAACAACCAAGCCCCUAAAUACAUGGCAAAUGCCUCCUUUUAUAGGCCAAAAUUCGGAAUUAUUGAUUUGAUGACUAAUUGUUGAGUGGGUGGCCACUUUUGACUUGGUGAAAAUCCUUAUCUUCUUGUCUUAAUAAAACAAAUGCUAGCAUCAGAACUGGGUCCAGAUGUCCAAAUGAAAGUUCUGAAAUUCUCUUAGCUUUCCAGAAAAAAAAGAUGAGGUCAUUUGGACUUCUAGAACUCAAGAUAUGGGCUGAACACUGAAUAGUGUUUGGGCUGCAGGACAGAUUCGGACUUCUCCGUUGUUGCUAUAAUUUGGACUUGAAAAGGCCUUCUUAGAUCUUGAUGUCCAAAUGAAAGUUGUAGGCCUAUGUCUUAUCAAAUCUCUGUAAAACAUUUCAGAUCAUUUGGAUAUCUAGAACUCGAGAUAUGCUGAACACUGAACAGUUGUUGGGACUGCAGAACAUCUUCUUUUCUAAGCUUCACCCUUCUUUAUCUUCAAAAUUUCAGUAGUUAAAUUCAUCAAUCAAUCCUUAGAUUUAUGUGAUAUACCUGCAUUUAAGAUGAACAUUUACCAUAUAUUAGGGUAUUUUAUAGUAUUAGACUUGUUAUUAUAUAACAUGCUUUAGUUAAGGAGUUAUUGAUACUUUAAGUGCAAAAUGAUGAUAUAAACCCUUGAUAAACAUGCACUUUUAAGUACUAAUCAAUUAUAUCCAAGAAAACAAAUCAAGUGACCAUACUUAAAGAGUUAUAAAGCUUGGGAAAAACAAAGAGUAGGAGCUGGAACUUGAAAGAGGAAGACAUGAGUUUUGUAGAUUUUUGCAAGAAUUCAUUGAAAUAAGUUAAGGUAGCAAAGGUAAGCAACAUACCCUUUAGUAAUUUUGUUUUUCUCUCUUGUUCUUGCAUGAGAAGAAGAAAACCUCCAAGUUUAAAAUUAUAGGGUUCAUGUAAAUAUUUUGGGGGAAUAAUUGUUCUUGUGAAUUUCGAGAUUAAUUGCAUGAUAAUGGCUUGAAUUGCAGAAAAAUAUAGAAGGAAUAAGUUGAUUUGAAACUAUAGGUUUUGGGAUGGCAACAGGGCAGGAACUUCGGCAGCCAUAUCUUGGCUUUCCACUGUUGGCUUAGGUUGUGUUUUGGUUAUGUUAUUAUGCUCAAUGUCACCUACAUUCUGAUCGGAGGGAUUGUCAAUAAUAGACUUUGUUUGAGGGUUGCCGGAGGAACAUUUCUGGAAAAUCACCCUUCAAGACAGCCUCGUUUGUUGGCUGUUAUAUCAUCUUUUCACCGUUGGAUUGGUCUGGCUUUUUGAUAUGUUGUUCGUCUAGAUGUUGUAUAAAUUCUGAACGGUUACGAUCGGAAACAAACACUCAUCUGAGUGAUCACGACAUAAACUAGUAUAGUACUCUCAUCUGAGUGAUUAUAUGUUCUCUUUUGGCUUCCAUGGUUCAAAGUUUGACACAUUAUUAUUUAUAUUGUCUGAUGAUGUUGAUCUCUUUUACCUUCUAGUUUAUGUCGAUAAUAUCUUGCUUAUAGGCAACAACUUCGUUCUGCUUCAAAAACUAAUAUAGUUACUGAGUUUAGAGUUUAAGCUUUGAGAUUUAGGAGCUAUUCAUUAUUUUUUGGGAAUUAAGGUUUAAUCCACUAGUAUGAGUCUAUUCUACGAUAGGAUAAGUAUAUUCUUGACAUACUUACUCGAGCUGGAAUGACAUCAUUUAAACCUGUUGAUACUCCUAUUUCUACCUCUAAAGUUACAAUGAUGCUCGAUUGCUUAUUUUGUGAUCCUACAUGGUUUUGUCAAAUCAUUGGGCUCUUCAAUAUCUCACUUUUACGAGACCAAACAUUUGUUUUACUGUUAACAAAGUCUGUUAGUUUAUGGAUGCUCCUACAAAUUCCCAUUGGGUUGUUGUUAAACACAUUCUGCAUUAUCUUCGGGGUAUGGUUUCUCAUGGCUUACAUAUCACUCAUAGUUACUCCGUUGCUUUAUGUCGCACGUCGAAAAAAAUCCUCGCGCGGCAUCGGGCUGGCGAUUUUUCGUUGUUGCGUAGUGUUUGCUUGAAUUUGGUUCAUUGGAGUCGCCACCUAGUAAUUAGUUGCGGGCUACUAGGAAACCGGAUGUACUGGUCUUGUCAGAGAUUCGCGGGUAAGGGACUGGUUGUGGUUAGGGAAGGUAUUAGCACCCCUAACGCACCCUACCUGAGGUAAGCUGCUUCGCGAAUUUGAUGUGUUAAAGAAGUUUUAAUAAUUGUCUUUUCAUCGGAAUUUAGAAAUAUCACUUACGUAUAAGUUAAUAAUUCUUAACCGUGAUCCAAUCAAAAUAUUAAAUUCUUCUUUAAUAUCUGCAAUUUUAUCAUUAAAAAAAAUAUAUAAAAAAAUAAAACAAAUACAAACACCCACAUUCACUUUUACUAUUUUUUGUUUCUUUUCUUUUCUUUUCUUUUCUUUUUUCUUUUUUUCUUUGAUAUUUCCACAUUUACAACAUACAAAUAAAAAUUCAAAUUAAACAAAUAUUACAUCAAACAAAUAAAAAAAAUACAAAAUAAACCCUAAAAAAUCUUAAAGCUUCUAGAACAUGCAGGAACAGUGCACGGGAACAGUGCUGGGAAGACAUCUGAGGGCAAAAAAUAGUGGCGGCGCGUGGGUUCACGCGCCGCCGAUGAAGGCCGAAAGCCAGUGGAUCGGGAGCGCCUUCUUCUUCCCUGUCUUCCUCCACCGGCGGUGAGGGUCAUCGUCGCCUGCAACAAGGACAAAAAACACACAACAAGCAGUCGGUUUUAAUUUUUUUCUUUCCGUUACAGAUCUGCUUCUCCUCUCCAUCUUCGACUUCACGGCGGGCCAAUUUGUUGUGGGUUUCGUCUUCUCCUCUACUUUGGAUGGCCGACGGUUGUAGGGGGAGCUGUCGGUGGUCGGUUGAAGGAGGAGAUCAGUGGUUGCUUGAUGCUGUGGUCGGGUCUGUUCGUUGACCCGGAGAGGGAGAAAGGGGUAGUGGCCAGCUGUUGUGGUGGCCGUCGCUGCUGUGGAGGUCGAUGGGUCGACUGUUGCCUGGUGGCUGAGGGAAGGGAGGCCUGAUCCGGUCGGCGAUCGGAGAAGAAGAGUUAAAGGACAGAUCGGGGGAAAAGGAGAAGUGAUGUCUAUCUUGUCUGCAGAAGAGAUAGGGGCGAAAAGAUGAGAGGUCCGGUGAGGUGGGGUGAGGGGCUGCUGUGUUUUGAUGGCUCCCGGAUUCUGUCCAAAGGAAAACAAAAUGUGGGGGUUGUCCGGUGGAAGAUUGAGGGGCCGGUUGAGAGGGAAGAAGAGCUUCAAACCGGCUGGGGGCUGCUGUUUUGGCCGGUUCAGGGAGAAGAGAAAAAAAAUUCAAAAGGUGAGGGGCUGGCUUGGGUGAGCGGCUGCGGGGAGAAAAAAAAAUCUUUUAGGUUUAGGUUUUUUUGUUCUUGUGUUGUCUCUCCCUCCAAUCUCAAAAUUGCCCCCCCCUUUUGUGUGAGUUAAAGACCAGUAUUUAUAGGCAAAAAUGUUGCUAGGUUUUUCAACUUGGUCCCUCAACUUCUUUCUUUUUGUAAAUUUUGAUUUUUCUUAUUUUUUUGUAUUUUUUGAAAACGAGCAAUACCAACGUCGACUCGAUGAGGAAAAUCAAUGAUUUAAAAACUGACGCGUGAAAAGUCGAACGCGUUUGAAAAUCUUUUAAAAAUUUAAAUUCUUUUUUUAGACGACGUUGAAAAUGCUAAAAUGACGAAAAUAUAUUAGAAAACAUAUUUUUUUGGAUUUUCUUUGUUUUUUUGCUAUUUUUGGAUUUUUCAAAAAUUUUAUAAAAACAUGGGUAAAAAAAUGGGUAGCAACAGAUGCCCCCUCUUUACAAUGCUUACGAAGCAAAAACUCCUCAAAAUUUUGCAUAGUAAGCUUUGUAAAGAAAACAAAAGGAAAAUGAUUUCAUUAUCUUGGGCGACCUGUCCACACACUCACACUGAUCUAUUUUCACGGGCGACCUGCCCACACAUACUCAAAGUGGUCUAUUUUCAUGGGCGACCGGUCCACACUCACACUGGUCUAUUUUCACGGGCGACCUGCCCACCCAUACUCACUGUGGUCUAUUUUCACGGGCGACCUGCCCACCCAUACUCACUCUGGUCUAUUUUCACGGGCGACCGACCCAUACUCUCACACUGGUCUAUUUUCACGGGCGACCUGCCCACCCAUACUCACUCUGGUCUAUUUUCACGGGCGACCGGCCCACACUUUCACACUGGUCUACUUUCACAGGCGACCUGCCCUUUUAAUUGGGUUUACCUGAGAUCCCAUCUGGCGACCUCAUUCAACUGGAACAAAAAUAUUGUGUAACUCGGUUAACCUGAAAUCCCAUCUGGCGAUUCCCUUUAACCAAAGCUACAUGAGAUCCCAUCUGGCGACCUCAUUCAAUUGGAAUGAAAUAUGCGUAACUCGGUUAACCUGAAAUCCCAUCUGGCGAUUCCCUUUAACCAAAGCUACAUGAGAUCCCAUCUGGCGACCUCAUUCAACUGGAACUAAAUUGUGUGUAACUUGGUUAACCUGAAAUCCCAUCUAGGGAUUCCCUUUAACCAAAGCUACCUGAGAUCCCAUCUGGCGACCUCAUUCAACUGGAACGAAAAUAUUGUGUAACUCGGUUAACCUGAAAUCCCAUCUGGCGAUUCCCUUUAACCAAAGCUACAUGAGACCCCAUCUGGCGACCUCAUUCAACUGGAACAAAAAUAUUGUGUAACUCGGUUAACCCGAAAUCCCAUCUGGCGAUUCCCUUUAACCAAAGCUACAUGAGAUCCCAUCUGGCGACCUCAUUCAACUGGAAUGAGAAUAUGUGUAACUCGGUUAACCUGAAAUCCCAUCUGGCGAUUCCCUUUAACCAAAGCUACAUGAGAUCCCAUCUGGCGACCUCAUUCAACUAGAACUAAACUGUGUGUAACUCGGUUAACCUGAAAUCCCAUCUGGCGAUUCCCUUUAACCAAAGCUACAUGAGAUCCCAUCUGGCGACCUCAUUUAACCAAAACAAAAGAAAGUGUAAAAAACGGUCUCAUUGUAUGGGUGACCUACCCAGAUGGAAAAAUAUGAAGUGGGUCUCAUUGUAAUGGGUGACCUACCCAGUGGAAAAAUAUGAAGUGGUCUCAUUUGUAUGGGUGACCUACCCAAAUGAAAAAUGUGAAGUGCGGUCUCAUUGUAAUGGGUGACCUACCCAAAUGGAAAAAUAUGAAGUGGGUCUCAUUGUAAUGGGUGACCUACCCAGAUGGAAAAAAUAUGAUGAAGUGCGGUCUCAUUGUAUGGGUGACCUACCCAGAUGGAAAAAAUGUGAACGUCUUAUUAUGAUGGGCGACCUACCCAGAUGGAAAAAUGUGAUAUGACAAGUGUGAAAAAUAGGACUUACCUGGCGAAGUCCUGAGGGGAUGACAGAAGAAGGGCUGGAAAACUUGGUGCUUCCUGAUAAUUCCCGAUCAUAGGGUUUGAAAACUCGGUGUUUCCUGACUGCAAGGGUUGAAAACUCGAGGCUUCCCGAUUGCAAGGUUGAUCUAUUCAUUUCUUUGGGAUUUUCCUAAUGGUAGGGUUCAUCCCAUCGUCCUUUUAUUCCAUGAUCAAAACCGAUUCUUUAUUAUCAUCACCACAAUGCUUCUUUCUCUUUCCACCAUCUUGCUGGACCUCAUUAAGGAUUUUCCUGUAACAAUUCAAAAAUAUGUGCAAAUGUUUUUUUUUUUUUUUUUUGAGGUUAGAUGAUAUGCAUGCAUCCUUACCUGAUUUGAAAUAUAGGUCCCCCCCCUCUUUGAUGCUCCAUCGUCAUAGGGUGCCCUUGUUUGUAUCCCAAAGCUUUCUUUGUUCUUCCGAUGCAUUGGCUCAUUCAUGUAGCCAUCCACUCAGCUGUAAAUGCAGUGCCCAUCCCGGGUUGUCUUCGACAAUUACUGCUUGCAUCGUUCAUCAAGCUUGACCCUGCCCCCAAGUGUGGUACUGCUUGAUUCAUCAUGAAGGAUUUUCUCUCCUGGCUUCUUCUGAGAAUUAUCCUUUGAUUGAUUGUGUGCAUCAUGCCAACACCCAUCAAGAUUGUUAAUCAGUCAUGAACUUGCCUUCGGUUGAAACACCAUUCAAGUAUGUAUGGUCACCAGCCUUCAUGGAACUGUCAAGUCAUCCAGACAUGAAUCUCAUGCUUUGCAGUAAACAACUCAUCAUUAAGCGCGAUGUAUUUCUCUAUGGAUUCCUCUUAGCUUGUCAAAUCAGAUCGUGAAAAUAACUGUUUUGGCAUCAUCAAUGAUGUUCAUGUUAUCACCCAUAUUCAUGCGGUGAAGUGCGCAUUUGAGCUUCAGAAUAGAUGGUCUCAUAGUCAAUCUUAGUGGUAUGCAUAUGUUCGAUGUUCAUCCAAAUGCACUCACCCGAUAACAUCUGUCCGGAGUCAUAGCCAUGUUUUACAGGGUAACCUAAGAUGAAGAUAUGAAAAUAUCUUUCUAGUGCAGCGUUGCUCAUCAAUUGCUGCUGAAGUGCACUAGAUCAUGGAUUGUCUUUGAACAACAUUGGCCCCAGUAUGAUCUGAAGGUUCAUUCAUCGGUUUAUACUCAAGAAGGUUUUUCUUUGUCAUUGUCAGAUGCUAAACAUAACUUUGAUGAACUUUGACGACUCAUCAUCAUUGUUUGUUUUUCUUCUAAGGGUCCACUGUAUUGCCCCCAGGUGAUCAACAUUUCAAGGAGUGUCGAGAAAUGUUGAUGUCAUUUUUGUCAAGGAUUUUGCAAACUCAAUUGAUGUUCUUGUUUGAAAAUCUUUCUUGUUCUGGAAUCAAAUCUCAAUUUCAACGAUCAUGUCUAUUCAAGUCUAAUUGUUGAAAUGAAAUCAGAGAGAUAUCAGUUUUUUGAAAAGUUAUUUUUGAAAUUCAAGCUUCUUUGGUCAAAGACCCAACACACUAUUCAAUGCAGUCCUUUGAUUGUCUUGUAUUUUGAAAACAGAAAUGACCCGUUGUAAGAUUUAAAAUGACUUUUCAUGGUUCUUUGUGUCCACUUUAAACUCUGAUUUUGGGUAUAUCUUUUGAUGGUCUGUGAUGAGGUGACAUUUUUGUGAAUUUCAAAAAACAAAGUCAGGCUUUAUCAAGAAAGGUUGUUUCUUUUCUUAGCAUUUAUUUUAUCAGCAUGCAUAAUAACCAGUAGCUUAAUUCAUGAAGUCACGACCUUAUGGAAAAACUCUUCAAGUUUUGAGAGCGCCAUUUAUCGGUUCAAUUGCUUGCUUGAUUAAAAAGGGCUUUUAAAAGCACGUAAUGCAGGCUAUGGUUCAUGGCUAUGAAAGAAAGGAAUUUCAAAGGCUCAAAAGGUGUUUGAGGGUUUCAAAGACCUAGGAUCAACAUCAAUAUUCAUCAACUCUUUUCUAUUGUUGUCUUUGUAGAGGAAACGACUAUAACCUUGUUAACCUCAAAGUUCAGACUUUUCUUAACAUAAGUCAUAAUGCAAAUCCACUUUCUUGAUGAAUAACCAACCUUAAUCAUCUGAUAACAUCGUAGGCUUUAUAAUGGAUACCAAAAGUCAACGCACGUUUAUAGCUUAGUCUUUUUUUUUUUGAUUGAAAUUUCUUUUGCUUUCAUAGACUUGAUAGGCGUUCUCCUUCCUUUAUCUUUGACUUGUAUUUAAGUGAAGGCAAUUUCAACUUCCUUUUUUUUCUCUUUUUUUUUUCAUAGCCUUCCUCAAAAUUUCUUAUAUGCCCCCAGUCUAUGUGUUUUUUUUAGCUCUCUCUCAAUCAUUGGACCUUUUUCUAAGCCUUCCCCUUUAUCCAUUAAUUAUAUCAAUGUCUCCAAAAUAUCUCUCAUUUGCCCCCAGUGUGGGGUGUGAUCCUAGUCAGGGUUUUUUUGAAAGAAAAUAUUUUACCAGGCUCAAAAUGGGACUACAAGGGAUAUAAUCUUUAGAAAGUGAAGGGAUAUCAAAGAUGGCCUUUUCUCAUUUCAAGCAAGGUCGGUUAGAACCGAUAAAUUUUGACCUCAUCCAGUGUAAUGAUUGGGACUUGUAAGAAUCAUGAUUCACGAGUCCAUAACUACCGAAUCCACUACAUGUCAUUAUGCAUACUGUUAAACUUAGCUAUAUGUGUCAGUUUCAGGAGGUAUGAGUUCAAAAUGUUUAGUCACCUCAUGUUAUUUCCAAGCAUAGAGUCAUUUCUGUAAUCAAAACUUUUAAUCUUUCGGAUUGAUUAACCUUUAUCGCAUGUUAGAGUUUAAUCAAAAUAUUUUGUCAGAAUAAAAUGCUAAACAUCUGUUGAUUUCAACACAACAAAAAGACAAAAGCAAGACAUGUUUCGUUGAAGGACGAGAUGUGAUCCCAAAACAAAAUGCAGAAUUCCAUAACAAUAUGAUUGAUAAUUCAUCACCAUUCUUGAAUCAGCUUUUCUGGCAAUAUUUGCGUUUUGCCAAGCACUUUCGAUCAACAUGUCAUUCUGAAGAUGUUCGGGGGGCAUUAUAGCCAAUGACACCCUCCUUCACCGACUCCACUUGUCUCUUGCUCACCAACUUGCAGAGCCAUAAAUGGAUUUUUGUAGAGAGAGCUCUGCCACAUUGAAAUUCAGUGUUUAAUCAUGGUUUUUCAGACCAUCUUGUGCUGCUGAACUGGAAUUGAGCUCAUAAUUGGGGUAGCUUCAAAGAAGACUAAUGCACCAUGUGCAGGAGACCGGUAGUUGUUUGGUUCCAUUAGAUGAUGUGGAGGCGAUGAACAUUUAACAGUGCAACUGGACAAGAACCAGAGUUGUCAUUAGUUGAUGACUGAAGGCAUUGUUGCUGUUGUUCAUGACGGAAAAGGAGAGAUACAGCUUCAAUUGGACGGGAACAAGCAGUGUUCCCACAGAAGACUAUGCAGACACUCUCUUUCCAUUUGAUGCUCAACAUUUGUUCGAGCAGAUCUGAGUCCAGCUACUUCACCCUUGAUGCUCUCAACCUUAAUCUGAUAAUGAGCCUUUAUCUGACAUCUUUCUUUGCUCCCAUCAUCUUUCUUCAAUCACAUGCAGCACAGCUUGUGCGGGGGACCUACCUUUCAACCCGGUACAUGCAUGAUAAAUGUAUGAAUAUGUAAUCUAUAUGACAAACUCGCCCUUCGAGGGGUGACAAUAUGGUCGUAACUCUUGUAUGAUGGAACAAGAAUCGUGAUUUUUUCCCAAACUCUACAAUGAAAAUUUUCGGAGUGACGGCCAAUGUGUCACCCACAAGUCUUGAGUUCAAGAUGCUUCAAGAAGGGUUUGCCCGUAUGCAAAUAAUGAUAGCACAUACAACCUAAGGAUAGGUUCUAAUCAUUAUGUGAACAUGGGUAGGUUUUCAGAGAUUCGCGGGUAAGGGACUGGUUGUGGUUAGGGAAGGUAUUAGCACCCCUAACGCACCCUACCUGAGGUAAGCUGCUUCGCGAAUUUGAUGUGUUAAAGAAGUUUUAAUAAUUGUCUUUUCAUCGGAAUUUAGAAAUAUCACUUACGUAUAAGUUAAUAAUUCUUAACCGUGAUCCAAUCAAAAUAUUAAAUUCUUCUUUAAUAUCUGCAAUUUUAAAGAAGGAGCUGUCGGUGGCCGACGGUUGUAGGGGGAGCUGUCGGUGGUCGGUUGAAGGAGGAGAUCAGUGGUUGCUUGAUGCUGUGGUCGGGUCUGUUCGUUGACCCGGAGAGGGAGAAAGGGGUAGUGGCCAGCUGUUGUGGUGGCCGUCGCUGCUGUGGAGGUCGAUGGGUCGACUGUUGCCUGGUGGCUGAGGGAAGGGAGGCCUGAUCCGGUCGGCGAUCGGAGAAGAAGAGUUAAAGGACAGAUCGGGGGAAAAGGAGAAGUGAUGUCUAUCUUGUCUGCAGAAGAGAUAGGGGCGAAAAGAUGAGAGGUCCGGUGAGGUGGGGUGAGGGGCUGCUGUGUUUUGAUGGCUCCCGGAUUCUGUCCAAAGGAAAACAAAAUGUGGGGGUUGUCCGGUGGAAGAUUGAGGGGCCGGUUGAGAGGGAAGAAGAGCUUCAAACCGGCUGGGGGCUGCUGUUUUGGCCGGUUCAGGGAGAAGAGAAAAAAAAUUCAAAAGGUGAGGGGCUGGCUUGGGUGAGCGGCUGCGGGGAGAAAAAAAAAUCUUUUAGGUUUAGGUUUUUUUGUUCUUGUGUUGUCUCUCCCUCCAAUCUCAAAAUUGCCCCCCCCUUUUGUGUGAGUUAAAGACCAGUAUUUAUAGGCAAAAAUGUUGCUAGGUUUUUCAACUUGGUCCCUCAACUUCUUUCUUUUUGUAAAUUUUGAUUUUUCUUAUUUUUUUGUAUUUUUUGAAAACGAGCAAUACCAACGUCGACUCGAUGAGGAAAAUCAAUGAUUUAAAAACUGACGCGUGAAAAGUCGAACGCGUUUGAAAAUCUUUUAAAAAUUUAAAUUCUUUUUUUAGACGACGUUGAAAAUGCUAAAAUGACGAAAAUAUAUUAAAAAACAUAUUUUUUUGGAUUUUCUUUGUUUUUUUGCUAUUUUUGGAUUUUUCAAAAAUUUUAUAAAAACAUGGGUAAAAAAAUGGGUAGCAACACUUUACAUGAUUUUACGGAUGCAAACUGGGUUGGUAGUAUUGAUGAUUACAAGUCUAUGGAUGGUUACCUUGUUUUUUUGGUCAUAUACUGAUUUCAUAGAAAUCAAGUAAGCAACGCAUGAUUGCUUGUUCUUCUACCGAGGCCAAGUAUAAAGCUUUAAUAGAUGGCAUUGUUGAGGUUAUAUGACUUUUGUAUUUAUUAUUAGAUCUGCAGAUUACUCCUAGUUCUGCUUAGACACUUUGAAAUGAUAAUCUCGAUGCUACUUAUUUGCCUACUAAUCCUAUCUUUCAUGCUCGUACUAAACAUGUUGAGGUUGAUUAUUAUUUUGUAUCUGAUAGGGUUGCCAAGAAGGAAAUUCAGAUUCAUUUUAUCUCUUCUGAGGAUCAACUUGUAAAUGUUUUUACUAAGUCACUUCCUACUGCUUCUUUUACUGCUUUUCGAUUCAAUCUUUGAGUCGAUUCUUCACCCUCAUCUUGAGGGGGCAUAUUAUAGGAUGUAUAUAUCAAUGAAAUAUUAAUAGGCUUAAUCACUAUUGUAUAAGGUUGGCUAACUAAUAAGUUAAUACAUAAUUCCAUUCAAAACAUGAACGCGAUCUUCGCAUUACACUUUGGCUAUUUGUUUUUCAUUUUUUUUUCUUUUAAUUUAAGAACUUAAAUAGCAUAUCAUUAAAAAAAAAAUUAAAUUAAAUUUGCUUUAAUGGAGUCAUUUUAAAUUUGCUUUAACUCAACUUAUUGACAAUUUUCUCUUAAAAUUUAUUCAUUUAUGAUAACAUAUUGAUAGAACACAUUCAAUUCAUUAUUUCAACUGAAAACUCAAAAGAUAUUACAAGUUCAAAUUAUUAUUACAACAUCUAGACACACAAUAUUCGAAGAUGCUUUUUCAUCCCAAACCUUUUUUUUUUUAAAAGGCGAUCCCACAAAAUCAUGACAUCUGUUGAUGAAGAUCAACCUGGAUAGUUACUUGGGCUUUGUCCAGAGAUCACGAAGACUAUCAGUCAGGCACCUCCAAUUGUAGACAAACAUGAACGAGAUGUAGUAGACAUAAUGCGAGAGAUUUCCUUCAAUAAUUUGAUUGACGGAUGGUUGAAGAAUCCAUAGAAUAUAUAGCAAUGUUUGAGCAAGGAAAAACACGAUCCCCACCACCAUAAGUGCUAUGGUCAUAGAACUCCAUGAAGCGGAUCCACCCCAUAAUGCUAUGGUCACAGCAAAAAAGAAUGACAAGCACAUCAUGUAAAUAGACCCACCCACCAUUAACGAUGAAAACCUCACUGCAAAUGGUGCAAACUUGACAUCAUUCAAGUGUGUCCAAAGAAGGAUUAUAGCUGCCACCACAGAGGAAUUUAAAGCCCACACAUCAAGACAUAAAUAACCAUCCAAAAGAGAUUGAACAGUAGAACUGUCCAAGGCAGUGCUGUUAUUUUUAUCCUUUUGUUGUGGGAUCUGUAUAGCACCCGCAAAGGUUACACCAGCAACAAGCACCGCUACAACAAGAAGAUUCUGUAUCCUGAUCCUUGUUUCCUGUUUCCUUGGCGGCUUGCCUUGAGUACUAGUGAAACGCUCAUCAUAUCGGGAUUUCUUAGGGUGGGCAUGGAAGAAUAAGAUAGAUAAUGUUGUCAUCUGCAUAGCAAGGGGAAAAUAACUUCAUAAUAAUGAGUUUCUGGCACUUCCUCAAUCGCAUGCAAAAGCGUUGGCCUUGAAAUCUUUUUUUUUUUAAGAACAAGCACGAUUCUGGAAUAAUUUCUGAAUUUUGAAAAUAAUUGUAUAGAAUAUAUAUUAAUCGGCCUUCAAGUAGAUGUUCAAAAGAAUAGGGAUGACUAGAAAAAAUAUAGGAAAGAAGAUGUGUAAUAUUACCGUUCCAUAAUAAUCAAGCAGCUUGUAGUCCUCUGAAUCAACUGCUUUGUCCUGUAAAAAAACAUAAUUUUAAGUUAAUGAAUAGAGCUACCUGUUUUUUCUUUCUUUCCUUCUUUCCUUUUGUGCUAUGGCUAGCCAACAAUAUAAGCCACUGAAACUGAUGAUCAGCCCAUGUUUGGAAAGUAGUUCUUUGAGCUUAGAAGAGAUAAUUAACCUCGAUCUGAGGAAUGAAGACAGAAAUCAUGAAGCAACUCAGAGCAGAUAAUUGUACAAAUUACAUGACAUGAGCUCUUCUGACAAAAGAUGAUUGAGUAUAUCAAAGAACCACUCAACCCAAAAGCUUCAACAGCUAAUUGAGGUUUAAGGAUACGAUUUUAGUCCUGAAUUUCAGCCAGCUUUUAAGAGUGCUAAGUUAUAUACUCUGUUUCCAUUUUUUCAUGACAUCAUCCUUUAUUAUGUAAAAUAUGAUAUCCUUUAGUGAAAUGGAAUCCUUGUCUACUUAAAAUGUAAGAACAUUGUUUUUCAAUUGAACUCUCAUACCUGGAUCUCGUCCGCAGGAAUACUGUUCUUUGAAUCAAACUGCUCUCGUUCCUUAGCAAGCUGGCAACAAAGAGGAAGCCCAGAAACCAAAAUAUUAAAUAAAUAAUACUCUUAAAAUAUGUAGUUUUGUAGCCUCGAUAAAUGAUGAUGAAAUAGCAUACCAUUUCAUCUGUUUUUUCAUAUUGGUCUACAGCCGUUUUAGAUUGUUGUUUCGCUACAUCAUAUGGUGUAAAAUUUUCAUUGUUAACAAUUAAAUUUUCAACGCGUUUGUCACGCACAAGAGCAAAUGCAGCUAUGGAUUGACCAUGUCGUGCUGCCAAAUGCAAAGGUGUAUUCCCAUCCUCAUCCAUCUCAUUUAGCAGUGGUUCUACGAUCUUCUGAUCGUUUCCGAGUAUGUACCUUACCACAUUGCCCUGUCCAUUUUCAGCCGCUACAUGAAGAAUAUUCUGCCCUUUUUUAUUGAGGAAUUCUUUUGGAAAUGGGGUAAUCUUCAGAAAUUCCUUGACUACAUCAACAGAGUCAUUUUUGCAUGCUAGAUGGAUAGGAUAGUUGCCUUCAUGAUUUCUUUUAUAAGCACCAUUGAGAAACUUUUGUAAAAGGAAUUGAACUCCCUCCUGAAAACCUCUGGAUGAUGCAUAAUGCAGUGAAUUUCCCAACUCUUCGUCAGUGAGAAAUAAUAGCUCUGGCUUUGCUAUUGCAAUUUUCUCCAAUAGAUCUGAAAAUCAAAAGCAAAUGUUUCAAAUGAAUAUAAAGAUGAUAGGUUUUCAACAAUUGUUUGUACGUAAAUCAUUUUCUAGUGAGUAUAGACAUUGUGAUCACCUAUGUUACAUUGCUCGAUGGCAGCAUGAACAGGGGACUUUCGUUUUGGUAGGGCAUCACCAUCUUCUCUUGUUAUAGGAAUCGAAGCUCCCAAAUUCAAGAGAUCAUCAAGUAUCUCUGGAGACCUAUUGAAAUUCUCAACAGCCAGAUAUAAAGGAGACCUGCCAUUCUUGUUGCUGUAAUAGGCCACUUCAGGAUCUCUGGCAACUAGGAAUUUGGCAACUUGUUCGUUACCCUUGAUGACUGCGUCGUGCAAAGGAGUGUUUCGCUUUCCAUUUGCCAUCCUCAUCAAGCUCGGAUUCAAUUCCACGAGAGAAUUAAUUGUAUGAAUAGCCUUUCCUUCUCUGGCAGCAAGAUGAAGGACUGUGUCGUUCUGGCUGUUUGCCAUGGUGAUCAGAGAAGGAAACUCUUUAACAAGAUAAGCUAUAAUAUUGUCACUUCCAUAGCUUACAGCUACGUGAAGCAGUGUAUUCCCGCAGGGUGUCACUAGCUUCUCCGCUGAACGUUGCUGGACAAGCCUUCUAAAUUCCUCAGUAUUAACGUUGCUGGGCAAGCCUUCUAAAUUUCUCACACACUCAUGCAACUGACUAUCUAUCAUUUCAUUUUCCAAGUGAUCUCUCGGAAUCGAGAUUUCAUCUAUGUUUAUCUCAACGGCGCUAGACAUAGCAAAAGAAAAUAUUGGGUUACUUGAAUCAGCUAGACGUAUCACUUAUCAGACAGCACGACUUCUAAUUCAAAUAGGCUAGACUGCAUGUCAAUGGAAUCUGAAGUACCGUGAAUGGAAAUUUAGCUUUAUGAUUGUUUUGAUUUGUUUUUAUAGGGUUAUUUUAGUUUUAUGAUUAAAGUUAUGGAUUUGGCAAGUUAAUCUAGUUUAAAUUAUGUUAUUUUUUUUAUUAUCUUUUUAUAAGGUUAUGUUGGUUUGAAGACUCGGGUCAUGGAUUUGAUAAAUUGACUUGGUUUGUUUGUUUGUUUUUUUUUUUUACUUGACUUCUUUUUCUAAUCAUGUCCUUCAACAUUGGGUUUAUUGGGGAUUGAAAUUCAUAAUUUAUUUUUAUUUGCUUUCCAUUAGAUUAUCUCGGUUUUAUGACCCGAGUGAGUUUGACUGGUUAACUAGGAUUACUUUUUUAGGUCUUUUUUUAAUUGAUUUUUUUUCAAUAUCAUCCAUUAACAUUGGGUUAAUUGGAAAGUAGACUUCAUAAUUUAUUUUGAUUUGCUUUCUAUUGGGUUGUCAUAAUCUCCGAAUACAAGUUGCAAAUUUGACAUGUUAACCCAAGUUGACUUAAGUCAAUCCAAUAUGUUGUUAUCUUAAUAUUAAAAAAAAAUUAUCAUCUUGAAUUUUUUUAAUCAAACUAUGUUCUUACAUAUAUGUCUUAUGGGUUGUUUUUAGAUCCACAAAGUCAUUAAAGUGCGUAGGGUCAACACUUACAUGGUAUUAAUUUUUUAUUUUACAAAUAUGUAAAAAUAACAUUAUUUUGGUCAAACUUAAAAAAAAACAAAAUUCAAUGGGUUUUCAGAAGGUUUUUUUUUUAAAAAAUUAAAAAAAAUUAAAAAAUAAUAAUUAGGUCGUACAAAUUUUAAAUAAAAAAUAAAUAUCAUGGUUAAUUAAGAACAUUGAAUAAUUUUUAAUAAAUACCCUUUUAUGAAAUAUCCCUAAAAGUCUAAUAUGUUUGGCAUUGCUUUUUAAUCGGGGAUGGAUAAAUUUUAAUUUUUUUUAUUUAAAAUUAAUUUUUUUAUGUUUUCAAAUCGUUUUGAUGUACUAAUAUAAAAAAUAAUUUUUAAAUAAAAUAUAAUUAUUAAUUUUAAUAUACUUUCAGAUAAAAAACAUAUAUUUUUUUUAUUCUAACCCCAACUUAAAACGCUACGUAGCAAAAUUGAAAACUUAUUACAACCUGGGAUAUGAAAAGGACAUCUGAAAUAAAAUAAAUACAGAAAGAUGUAAUCUGAUGGCAUUAAUUCCCAUAAUUUAUUACACCUGGCCAGUUGUCCUUUCUCAUAACUUUCUAAUUCACUCAUUAAGCUGAGACAGAAAAAAUGCACUGAUCAGAGUGAUUCUCUAGAGGAUGAAAGGGAAAUUAAUCUUAAUUUAAUUUCUUGCAUCUCAUUCAACAACUUCACAGGCACGGCUGUCUAUAUCCACAUCCCAUGAGCGGAAUCGAAAAGGCAUCAACCAGACCUAACCAUAACUAGGCAUGUGAAGAAGAUCGUUUCACUGCAUGGGUGCUUUGGGAGGUUUAGUUUGACAGAUUCUGUGAUAUGCAAGAGGUGUGUCUUCUUUAAGAAGAAACCAUGUGUUUGAAAUUAAUACUUUUUGGAACAGAUUUGGGAAUUGAUACAGAAAAAACCUGGAUUACUCGAUUAGUUUAAAUUAAUUAUUUAAAUUUUCUUUUAGAAUUGACCUAAUGAACUAGCUAGCCUAGUAAGGUAUAGUCGGGUAAGGUCAACUAGAUUACGAGUAAAUUAUAUUUCACUAAGUCAAUUUCUUUUUUGUUUUAAUUUAAAACCUCGGCCAAGCCACACUUCCGGCGUUAACGUUCCAAGUCAACCCAUUAUACUAGGCUAGGUUUAACAAGAAUGUUUAAGACAUUUUAUUUAACAAUAAAAUAAGUAAUCCAAUAUUUCUAACAUCCGAUUCAACAGACUCAAUGUCUUUCCAAUAUGUUUGAAGGCUUAAACACCGAUGUCAAGGCAGUUUUUCCUAUCUACCAGCCUUCGGACCCCUGACCUAGUUGUGACAAGGCAUAAGAGCUGUGCAAAGAGCUUGCCAUGCUCUCUGCUUAAACCUCUUGAGAUUUUGAGAUAUUAGUCUGGAAAUUUCUUGAUUCCCUCAUAAACAAGAAGGAAAAUCCCAUGAGUUUUCAUCUUCCUGCCAUUUCAUGACCAUACUUUGUAUUCGUAGAAGUUAAACACUUUUACAUUUUCUUAAUUAAAAGAUUCAAAGAAAGUAAGUUUUAAAAAAAAAAAAAAAAACAUUGGUAGAAGACUGGAGCAUGCAGCUAGCCUAGACAGAAAAUUAAUUGAUGUACAAUCAUAGUCUUAAUUAAUACCCAGACCCACCUGUACAGAUUCGGGUUGACGAAAAAAUAUAUAGUUGACCUAGUUAAAAUCCGAAUAUCAAAUAUUUUUUUAAAUAAAAUAAUACUGUUUUAAUUUUUAUUUUUCUAAAUCUUCUUUAGUAGCCUCGUUAUUUAAAUAUUUCCUAAAGUUUGACACCGGGUUGAUUUUUAAAACAUGUGUACAAUUGCUACCCCGCUAUCAGGUCAUUAAAGGGUUCACCUAGAGCACUCCGGUUAUUUCACUUAUUUCUGAAAAAGACUCCAUGCAUGCAUGCAUUCAUAUAUUUACAAUUUUAAUUGUACAAGUUAGACCGUACGUAUUCAGUUAUUGGCAUCACCUACUGCUCUCCACCUUCCAUGUCCUCUCCACUUGAUGAUGAGGCCUUGCUGUCCAUCCUCCUAAUAAAAGUUGCCCAUCCGUAAAUUUAUUACACACCCUGCACAAUUCCCUUUUUUUGUCUGUUUACUGUGUUAGAAAAUAGUAUGAAAUCAUUCUUGUGAUUUUACCUAAUAAUCAUGAUUUUAAAACUCACCUCACCACCUCCAAUUUAACUAAAAUAAAAUUAAAUAUAAAGUAAUGUUGAGUUUCUGCAGAUUUUGUUAUAUGAAACGAUGACAGAAUGGAUUAAUUGAAGAAGUCGGUGUUGACGCUGAAGAUGCAAGAAAAGCACUAUUAUGAGGCUUAAUCUGCAGUGGACAAGGUGCUCUCCUUUGUAACCGGCUUGAUGGCCCCCUGUAUUCCAUCUCUUCCUUGUGAACGCAGGUUUGAAUCCAGGAAAGUCAUCACCAGAAUCCCCCGUUUUCCGUCAGUGCCUCACUUCUUAUAUAUCUCUUGAAGGACAACUGGUCAGGUGUAAUAAAUAGUUUACUAUUUUCUAACACAGUAAACUGCAGAAUUCCAAACCCAAAACCAUUAACUUAUUCCCUUUUUUUAUAUGGUGCAUACAAGAAAGAACAUUGAACAUCCAUCUCUCUUUGAGGACUCUGGCUCUCUACAAUUUCCUUCUUCCUUUUUCUAGAUGAACAACACUGCUCUCUACAAUUUCCCACUCCAGAUUUCUCAUAAAAAAGGUUAAAAAACAGAAUAAGCAACAGGUAAAAUUAAAGGUUAAAGCAUGUUUUUAUAAGUAGCUUCAACGCAUCCAAAACUUAUUUAAUUAACACCAUAUAAACUCAGAGCAAAGGGGAAAAAAAAAAGACCAUGCUGAAGUCAGAGGUGGGAUAUCCCAUCAAUACAUGCAUUUUGGUAAAAAUUUAGGAAAGCAGUGGAAUAUUUAUGAUUUGUUAUGGGUAUGUAAAAUUUGACAAAAAGCUAAUGUAAUGACAACUGAGAAUAAUAGAAGACUUUGUUAAACUAAUUGAGAUCAAACACAAAAAGGAGGCUACAAUUCUGAAUAAACUAUAUAUUAUGAAUGCAUAGUCUUAACCUAAUUACAAAUAAAGUAUAUAUAGGUUAAACUGAAAGUACUAUUCUACCCUUAAUAAAUAAGACAACAUAAAUAUUAUUUAACAUCUCCCCUCAAACUCACGAUGCGGCAGCUACAAGCAUCGAGAGUUUGCCGACUAGAAAACGAAAACGAGAUAUGGAAUGCGCCUUGGUAAAGAAAUCUGCAAUCUGCAAUGAAGAAGGAACAAAAGGCAAAGUAAUGGUUCCAUGCUUGAGAUGAUGACGAGUAAGAUGACAAUCGAUUUCAAUGUGCUUAGUCCGCUCAUGAAAAACCGAGUUGUGAGCAAUCUGAAUAGAACUCUGGUUGUCACAAUACAUAGGAGUAGGAUGGGAAAAGGAAACUCCCAUAUCAGCAAGUAACCAACGUAACCAAAUAAUCUCUUUGGUAGUAGAUGCCAUGGCACGAUAUUCUGCUUCGGUGGAUGAUUGAGAAACAAUAGAUUGUUUCUUGCUCUUCCAAGAAAUAAGAGAAUCACCUAAAAAGAUACAAAACCCGGUAACAGACUUGCGAUCUGUGGGAUCACUACCAUGAUCAGCAUCAGAGUAUGCACGCAACUCCAAGGAAGAGGUGGAUGAAAGUAAAAGACUUUGAAAAACUGUACCCCGAAGAUAUCGCAAAAUACGAAGAACAGCUGCCCAAUGAACAGUAGUAGGAGAAGCAACAAACUGACUAACAACAUGAACAGCAUAUGCAAUAUCUGGACGAGUAAUGGUGAGAUAUACCAAACUCCCAACAAUAGUGCGGUAUAAAGUAGGAUCUAUCAAAGGUAAACCAUCAGAAGAAGAGUACCUUGCGUUAACCUCAAUAGGAGUAUCCACAGUCUUGUUAUCAGUAAGUCUAGCCCGCUCAAGAAUAUCUGCAACAUAUUUCGACUGAGAAAGAAGGUAACCUCUAGGUGAGUAUGCUACCUCAAUACCCAGGAAAUAUCGAAGAUAACCCAAAUCCUUCAUCUCAAAUCGUCUAGCCAACUCUGUCUUCAAAACUGAAAUACCAUCAAUGUCAUCACCAGUAAUAAUCAUGUCAUCAACAUAUAAAGACAGAAUGAUACGACCUGCAUCAGUGCACUUAAUAAAAAGAGCAGAAUCAUGACUGCUAGAAACAAAGCCAAGUGACGAGAUCACAAUAGAGAAUUUCUCAAACCAAGCACGGGGUGCUUGUUUGAGACCAUAUAAUGCUUUCUUAAGCUUACAAACAUAUCCAGAGUCAUGUGAAAUACCAGGAGGGGGUGCCAUAUAAACUUCUUCUUGAAGAUCUCCAUUCAAGAAGGCAUUUUUAACAUCAAGUUGAGAAAUAUGCCAUUGACGAAUCGAAGCUACAAUAAGAGUACGAAUAGUAGUCAUUUUUGCAACCGGAGCAAAUGUCUCCUCAUAGUCCAUACCAUACUGUUGAGAGUAUCCUUUGGCAACCAACCUAGCUUUAUAUCGCUCAAUAGACCCAUCAGAAUUAGUCUUGAUCUUAUACACCCAACGACAACCAACAACACUCUUACCAGGAGGUAGAGGAACCAGAUCCCAAGUAUCUGUCUUAUGCAAUGCAGAAAGUUCCUCAUCCAUAGCUUGCUGCCAAAGCGGAUCAAGAAUUGCCUCUUUAUAGGAAGAGGGCUCAACAAGACAAUGAAUAGAGGCUAAAAAGGAAGUAAAUGAUGAAGAAUAACAAGAAUAAGCAAAAUCUGGUAGUUUUGUGGACUUACGAAUACGGAUGGACUGACGUGGAGGUGGAUCCACAAUCUCAGAUGAAGCUUGAGGGGCUGUAGAUGAGAAUGGAGCUUCAGGUGUGCCAGAGAGUAAAGUACCAGUACCUGCAGAGUUAUGAGUACAAAUUGAUCGAACAUGGGGAGAGCUAUCAUUACCAGAAUCCUCAGAAAAUGGAUCUAUACUAAUAAGAUCAGAUUUAGUCAGGUUAUGAGUAGUGGAUGGAAUAGAAAAGAAAGGUAUAUGCUCAAGGAAGACAACAUGACGAGACACAUAAAGUUUCUGAGUUAUUGGAUCAAAACAACGAUAACCCUUUUUACCUUCACCAUAGCCCAAAAAGACACAAAUAGCGGAUCGAGAGGAUAGCUUACUUCGUUCUACAUGAGGACGAAGAACGAAACAAGUACAACCAAAGACUCUAAAUGAGGAAUAAUCAGGGACAUACCCAUAUAACUUUUCAAAAGGAGAUAGACCCGAACUAUGAGAAGAUGGAAUUGUAUUAAUCAAGCUUACAGCAGUAAGAACAGCUUCUCCCCAAAACUCACUAGGAACAAAAGCAGACAACAAGAGAGAACGAGCAGUUUCGACAAUGUGCCUAUGUUUUCUUUCAGCAACACCAUUUUGCUCAGGAGUAUCUGUACAUGAAGUUUGGUGGAUGGUUCCAUCUAGGGCAAGCAAUUGGCAAAAUUUAUUAGAAGUGUAUUCCCCACCUAAAUCACACCUAAAGCAUUUGAUCACAGUAGAAUAUUGAGUUUUGAUAAGAGCUCGAAAAGCUGCAUAUAUCUCAAAGAAUUCAGAACGAUGUUUCAUUAAAUAAACCCAACAAUAACGAGUAUGAUCAUCAAUAAAAGAGACAUAAUAUCGAGACCCUCCUUUUGUGGCAACAGGAGAAGGUCCCCAUACAUCAGAAUGAAUCAAAUCAAAUGGUGAAGAAGAAACAAAAUACUUCGAUUAAAAGGUAAGGCGGAAAAUUUUGCCAAUUUACAUCCACUACAAUCAGAAAUGUCACAAGUUUUCAAAUUUCCUAAAGCUCCUGUGGAUGCCAAAAAUCUCAAACGAGAAGACGAAACAUGACCUAGACGAGAAUGCCAUAAAUAAAAACUAGAAGAUGAAAUACUCAAACGAAAGGAAGACAAAUCAAUUGUAGGAGUAGCAGCAGCAGCAGCAGCAGCAGCAGCAACAGCAACUGGCACUUUUAACUCAUCCAAAAUAUAUAGUCCAUUCUCCCUACGGCCUGUCCCAAUCAGCUUCUGAGACUGCAGAUCCUGUAUACAACAAAAGGAACCAGAAAACAUGACUAAAUAAUCACCAGAAUCACAUAUUUGACCAACAGACGCAAGAUUCAAUUUGAGUUGUGGAAUAAGAUAAACAUUAGGGAGAGACAUGUGAGGUGUGACAACAGAACCAACACCUGCUAAUGGCAUUUGAGUGCCAUCAGCAGUCAUAACAGGAAUGGAGGACAAAGGUGAUACAGAGGUAAAAGAUGAGGAAUCUGGAGACAUAUGAUGAGAAGCACCAGAAUCCAAGACCCAUUCAGAAUGUGACAUACCUGAGGAACUAUGAGGCAACUGACCUAUGGAAGAAGAAGCGGACAUUGCUUGUGGCUGCAAGGAGAGAAACUUCUGAAAUUGCUCAGCCAAAAUAUUAGGAUCGGUAAUAGAACUCGAGGAAGCUACUGCUGCAGUAUUGUGGUGUUGUGGUUUAUAACCCUGAGGUGGUCUAUGAGCAUUAGAUUGUGACUGAUUGCCAGGCUUCCAAGCUUGAUUCUGAUGUCUCAACUUAGGACACUGAGCCUUCCAAUGACCUUUCUGCUUACAGAAGCUGCACUCAUCGAAGCCAACCCUUGUGUGAGACUUAUUCUGAUGAUUAGAGAAUGACCUAGAAGGUACUGCUAGUACAGAAGGAUUUGAAGCAGAAAGAAUUCCUUUUUCAGAAUAAGACUGAAAACGUAUUUCUUCAGCCAAUAACUCACUGACAACAGAGUCAACAGAAGGCAGUGGAGAACGAUGCAGAAUUGAACCUCUAAGUCCUUCGAAAUCACUGCGAAGUGCUGUUAAAAACUGUACCAAUCUUUGCUGCUCUCUACGCUCAAUAUAGGCACCACAUGCCUUUAAUUCUGUCGAUUCUGUAAGAGCCAAUUGAUCCCAAAGAUCUGUCAUAGCAGAAUAAAACUCUUGAAUACUCAUAUUCUUCUGAUGAAGAGCUCGUAUGUCAUUCUCUAAUUGAUACUGUUUUGCAAAAUUUGAUUGUGUGAAUAACCUUUGCAGAUGAUCCCAAACCUCUUUUGCUGUCUCAUAUUUCGCCAACUGCGUACCUAUUGAAUGCUCAACAGAAUUGUUGAUCCAAGUAAUGAUCUUUGCAUUAUUUGCUUCCCAUGUAUCUAUCAAACCAGCAUCCCCCUCCUCAAUAUUCUUAGGUAUCACAUAAGUUCCACUAACAUACCCCCACAUCUUCUUACCCUUAAGGAAAUUUCUCAUUACAUAACUCCAAUAUGAAUAGUUCUUCCCAUCCAACCUCACACUCACAGACUGAAGCGAAUCAUCUCUUUCAGUAGCCAUAAUCAACAAUCACAGAUAACCAGAAUGCAAAGCAGCAAAUACAAGCGGAAGACAAAAUACUCAAUUGCAGAAACUAAACAAAUAUCUUCUCGAAAUUAUACGAUUACUCCCAAAACACAAAACAAAUUUGCAAAAACUGAACGCAGAUACCAAAUUGCAGAAGCUGAAGGGAAGACGAAAUACCAAAAUAAUUGCAGAAACUGUCGAAAUACCAAAAUAAUUGCAGAGACUGUCGAAAUACCUAAUUUUGCAGAAGCGGAAGACAAAAUAUCACUCCAAAAAAAAUUGGAUCCGCGAAGCUGUAUUUGGGAUUAAGCUUCGUUCCAUAAAACCAGCUCUGAUACCAUGUUAAACUAAUUGAGAUCAAACACAAAAAGGAGGCUACAAUUCUGAAUAAACUGUAUAUUAUGAAUGCAUAGUCUUAACCUAAUUACAAAUAAAGUAUAUAUAGGUUAAACUGAAAGUACUAUUCUACCCUUAAUAAAUAAGACAACAUAAAUAUUAUUUAACAGACUUAACAUAUUAGUUAGUUAACUUGUCUGUUUAUAUAUAUAUAUAGUAUAAUAUUCAAUAAUAAAAGUAAAGAUUACAAUCCUAGAGUAACUUAUAAUAUUUUCUAUAGACACACAUUCCAUAACAAGGACGUAGUUACAGGUAAAUGACCCUACCAGCAUGCAUGAUUUAUGGCAGAGGUGGGAUAUACAAAGCGAUAAGAGUCAGAAAGCAACCCUUCAGGUAGGGCUCGGGUGGAGAAAGUCUCGAUACCUAAGGGAUCCACAUCAAACAGACGGGCACAUGGGAGCAUUACGGAGGACAUCCCAUCAAUCAAUACUAAUAAUUACUUUCACAAUGUGUUUUGCCAUUCCAUUUCAGUAGUAACUUAUAUCCAAUUACAAUAAACACUAAUAAAAGAAAAGGAACAUUUUAAACUUGAAGAAGAAGUAUAAAUGUAAUUGCAGGGAAGAAGUAAAAAGAAGUCCUACAAAAUAACAACAUAAAUGUGAAUUACCGCAGCACUUGCAGCCUUCUCUCCAAAUCCCUCAUGCAGGGGGUAUCUAUAAUGCUUGCUUCAAUUUUUGAACACGGAUUCAGAGUUUCAGCUACAGUUAAUAAUCAAAAGAAAGGAAAAGGUUAAUUGAUUGUUGAUUGUCGCACGUGUAUGGCAUUGUGACGAUUAUCUUUCUGGAUUGAGAAUGGUCUAGAAGAAAAGAUAACAAAUUAUUGUUCUUUAUCAAUAAAUAGAGAAAAUGAAAGUUGUCAUUUAGUAUUUUAGUUACUAUAAAACCUAACUAGUCCCUAUUAUAGAAAAUAUUAUAACAUAGGAAAUAUUAUGUUUCCUCUUGUAUAGUUUUAUUCUGUGUAAUAGGUUACACCAUAACAUAUAUACAAUGCCCUACUUAUAUAAAUAGUAGAGGAACUGCUCUGAUUAAGGCACUCACCAAAUUAUUACAUAUCUUUACUUUAACUUGGUAUCAUAGCCUCUCUAUCUUAAAUAGGUUUUUUUUCUUCUACUCUGUUGUAGAUUCUUCUCCCUACCGUGAUCCCUGCUCUUUUAUUUUCUACUGCAGAUCCAUCUCUCUACUGCUUGCUAUUCACCCUCUGCUACAGCCUCAAUGUCAACAUCGUUUCUCCAUCUGGGUACUUUGCUCAGUCCCUGCCCGAUCUGGACUUGUGCGUGGAUCUCUCCACAUAUUCUCUUCCACAAUAGACCUUCAUUGAUCUGCCUUCUGCUCUGCCACCCAUUUGGCAGUUUCCCAUGGUGAUGCAUCAUAGACAGCAGAAGAUUGCCAACAUUAGCUCUGCUUCUGCUCCCUUCGCUAGUUUCAGCUCCACAGGUAAUGUUCCCCUCUUCUUUUGAGCCUCUAAGUUUCAAGGAAGUUGUCCAGUACUUGUGUUGGCAUACUGCCAUGAAGGAUGAAAUUGCAGCCUUACAUGCCAAUGUCAUUUGGUCAAUGGUGCCGUUUGAUCCAUCUAUGAACAUUGUUGGUUGUUGAUAGGUGUAUAAAAUCAAGCGUCGAGUUGAUGGGGCCAUUGAUUGUUACAAGGCUCGCUUGGUUGCGCGAGGGUUCACUCAACAGGAAGGUAUAGAUUAUUCAGAAAUAUCCAGUCUUGUUGUUAAACCGAUUACUGUUAGGCUAGUCCUCAUGAUUGUAGUCUUAAAAGGAUGGCAGAUUCUGAAACUUGAUGUUCAUAAUGCUUUCCUCAAUGGCUCAUUCCGCGAGGUUGUUUACAUGCAACAACCCUCAGUUUUUGUCGACUCUACUUUGCCCACUCAUGUCUGUCGCCUUCACAAAUCUCUUUAUGGCUUAAAAAAAGCAUCGCGGCCCUGGUACAUGCAAGUGAGUGAUUUCCUCCUGACUAUUGGUUUUCGGGCUUCAAAGGUUGAUACCUCCUUGUUUAUUCUAAAUGUGAAUCAUGCUAUCUGUUACUUACUUGUCUAUGUGGAUGGUAUCUUACUUAUCGGUAAUAAAUCUCAAUUGAUUCAUCGCCUCAUUACUUUUGUGAUUUGGGUCAUGCAUAUUAUUUUUUGGGGAUUGAAGUUGCUCCCAACAAUGUGGGUCUUACGCUUAGUCAACACAAGUAUGUUUUUGUUAUUCUGAGUCAUGUGUGUAUGUCAUUGUGUAAACCUGUUGAUACACCAGCUUGUGUUUCCAAACUUGAUCUGUAGCAUACUGAGUUGUUUUUGGAUCCCACUCGCUUCCACCAAAUUAUUGGUGUUCUUCAGUAUCUCAUAUUUACUUGACUAGACAUCUGAUAUGCUAUAAAUAAGGUAUAUCAGUUUAUGCAUGCUCCUACUGAAGGUCAUUGGGCCGCUGUUAAGCGUAUCAUGCGAUACUUGAAAGGUAAUCCACCUUUGGUCUCCACCUUUCUCGCGACUCUACUUUAACUCUUCAUGGUUUUAUUGAUGCUGAUUAGGCCCACAGUAUUGGUGAUUGAAAAUCCACGGGUAGUGUCGCACCCUCGCGGUGGAGCGCGGCGUCGCGGCGACCAUUCGAUUGAAUUUCGGGUUAUUUUUGUUUUAUUGUGAAUAUAGGAGUCGCCACCUAGUAUUUUGGUCACUAGGAACCCUAACUGGUCUUUUAGAGAUUCUAAGGUGAGGGACUGGUUGCGUAAAGGGAAGGUAUUAGCACCCCUAGUACGCCCUACCUAAGGUAAGCUGCUUGGUGUUUUGUUUGUGCUAUAAUUGAUAUGGUGUUGGUGUUUUCUAAUCCCAUCCAUUUUUCUAGAUUUGAUUCAAACUAAAUUUAUUAAGAUAGAAAUCCAAGGAGAUUCCAUGUGCUUCGAAAGCUCAUUUUCCCUUAGUAUUUCAAAAGUUUGUGACUCGUAAAUCGCAAGGAGGAGGGACAAAAACCUUAGAAAUCUAGGGCGCUAAAAAAAACCUAUAUAUAUAUAUUUUAGUGUUUUAUACUCUCACGGCUCGUAAACCGUGGAGUAAACAAAUUUAAAAUGUCAUCGAUUAUAAUCAAGGCUUCUUUCAAAGAUGUGUGCAGAUUUAUUACUCGCAAUAAUAUUUUGGAUAUUCGUCCUUUGAGGAUUUCUUUAUCCAAAAAUUAACGGUGAAUAAUAGAUGAAUUCUCCCCAAAAAUAGGAUUUUUAUUUUUUUUUGAAAUAUUGGCCAAUACCUUUUGGAGUUUUACAAACAUGUUGUAAAAUCCAGAAAUACAAGAAAAUAAUUUUUUGUUGUGUUUACGAAAUCCAUGCGAAAACACCUUUUUCGAAACUUCAAAUAUUUUUUUUUAUAUAUAUAAAAAAAAAUUCAAAACAUGUUAGGGUAUUGGCCGUAUGCAACACACAAGAAAAAAAAACAUUUUUUUCUUAAAAAAACAUGAAUAACAUGAUUAAACAAACAUCACAAAAAUAUUCACCUAUUCCAAAAUUCGCAAGAAGCUUAAAACAAUUUAUCUCAAAUAAACAAGGUUCGGCACACCAAUUUAAAAAACACAAGUCAGUGUGCACAAAACAUAAAAAAAAAAAAAAAACAAAGUCCUCAAGCUAAACAAAAUUACAACAUGAACCAUGACCCCUCCCUGCAAACUCAAAAACAAAAGAAAAGAAAAGAAAGAAAGAAAAAGGUGUGAACCCAGAAUCGGCAUUAACUGAAGAAAGGGACCCUCCCUCACGUUUUUUUCAACUCUCUCUUCUGCACCUAAUUAAACACUUGUUUCUAAUUAGCGUUCCAUUGCAAGAGAACGCUUAAGCGAUGGGAGAAAGGGAUGUUUAAAGCUUACAGUUUCUCAUCACUAGGGAGUAAAACACAAAAAACGCAGCUCUAACAGUGAUAAUAAACUAAACUCAAAGACAUGGGAUGGACAGUAGGCAAGCAAGCCACUUUGUUGCUAAGAUGAAAAUAAACGUCCCCAAAACAAAAGCAGAAAUAGAAAACAAAAACCAAACAAAGCUUUAAAUAUGUCAAAGAUGAAGGAAGUCGAGACUCAUACUUGCAGAUCCUGCACGUUUCAACUACAGAAGAUGAGACACAACCCGAUAGAAAAGCUCCUGCCUUUUGCCUCAGAAAAACCAAAGAAAGACUUCCUCUUUUAUUCUAUUGGCUUUUCUGGUUUUACUGUCGCCUACCUCCCUAUUCUCCUUUCUUUCUUUUUUUCUUUCACAGUGACGAAAGGAUCAAUGAUGCGAACCUCGUGAUCUCGUGGUCACGCAACCCACAAUCAAGAUUGAGAUUUGAUCCCGGAAAGCCGAAAUAGGUCUGAUAUGAGUGCGACACAAUGGAAACCUGCCCCAAGGCACCAACACUAUUGGAAUGAGUAGAAUGACGCCACGAAGCCAAUUAAUCUUCGAUAAGUCAGAUUCAGUUCGUUCAAGAACUGAAGAAUGCAAGAAUCACUCUCACACGUUAAAACUGAAAAAUUUAGAAUAAUAAUCAUCAAAGCUGCCGAAAUUUUUGGCCUACAUGAGUUUAAAUAGUUCUUGAAAAGUUAACCCUAAUGGACCCUUUAUGUGAACUUAUAUGAGGUCCACUCAAAACUAGCCCAAAACCCUAAAAUGAAAAGCCCAUAACUUAAUCCAAACAAGCCUUGGAUCCUAGCUUAAAACAAAGUAUGAAUUAAGCCCAAACAAGCCUUGGGCUGUAGCUAACAAAAUAAAAUAAAGCCCUUAUCUCAUGGCCCAAAUAAGGUUGUAUUGGACCCCUCUUGCACAUGGAUAAGAUGUACUAGGAUCUCCUCUUGAUACUCCAAUGGACCUUCCAAUUCUGACUUGGUGAAAACCUUCAAAACCAAUGCAUUCAAUGCGUCUUUCAAUGUCUUUGUCUUGGACCGAGUCAUUGGUCCAUUUGGAACAUGUAAUGGGUCCUUGCUGGUGUUUCUAGGCUGGUCCGCAUCAUCCCCUCUCUCCUCAAAAGGAUUCGACCUCGAAUCAAAAUCUGUGUCAAACAAAGUAAGAUCAACAACAUUAAAGGUAGCACUAACACUAUACUCACCUGGAAGGUUAAUUUUGUAUGCAUUUGCACCCAUACCCAAUCACCGGGUUGGAAAACAACCAGUUUACGUCCCUUAUUUGUUUUAGAAGCGUAAAGUCUGUUCUUUUUCUCUAUUUGUAGUCGAACUCCCUCAUGGAGUUCUCUCACCAUCUUUGCCUUCUUUUCACCAUCUAAACUUACCCUUUCUUCAAAAGGUAAAGGAAUUAAGUCCAUAGGAGUUAGUGGAUUAAAACCAUAAACAAUUUCAAAAGGAGAAAAAGUAGUAGUUGAAUGCAUAGUUCUAUUAUAAGCAAACUCAACAAAAAGGCAAACAUUCUUCCCAACUUUUCAAAUUCUUUUGAAUUACAGCACGUAAAAGUUGGGAUAAUGUUCUAUUCACUACCUCAGUUUGUCCAUAUGUUUGAGGAUGGCAUGUUGUCGAAAAUUAGAGUUUAGUUCCCAACUUUCCCUAUAAGGUCUUCCAAAAGUAACUAAGGAACUUAACAUCACGAUCUGACACUAUACUCUUAGGAAUGCCAUGCAAACGUACAAUCUCUCUAAAGAACAAGUCUGCGAUAUGAGAUGCAUCAUCUGUUUUAUGGCAUGCAAUGAAAUGCGCCAUUUUAGAAAACCUAUCAACCACAACAAAGAUAGAGUCUCUACCUUUCUUUGACCUAGGUAAACCUAAAACAAAGUCCAUAGAGAUAUCUACCCAAGGUUCAGUAGGCACAGGUAGUGGUGUAUAUAGUCCAUGCGGUUGUACUCUAGAUUUUGCCUUUCUACAAGCAAUGCACUGUUCACAAAUUCGUUGCACAUCUCUUUUCAUCUUUGGCCAAUAGAAAUGCUCAUGCAAUACAUCCAAGGUUUUCGCAACCCCAAAGUGACCCAUUAAACCACCCCCAUGUGCUUCACGAACAAGCAAUUCACGCAAAGAACUAGCAGGAACACACAAUCUAUUCUCUUUGAACAAAUAACCAUCCAUCAAAUAAAACUUACCGAAAGCCGAAUGUCCACAUGCAUUAUAAAUCUCAGCAAAGUCAGAAUCAUUAUCAUACAAUUCCUUCACAUAUUCAAAACCUAACAAUCUAGUAUUCAUGGUGUGUAAAAGAACAUACCUGCGCGAGAGUGCAUCAGCUACGAUGUUCUCUUUCCCUUGCUUAUACUUGAUUACGUAAGGAAAGUUUCAAUGAAUUCAACCCAUUUUGCAUGCCUCCUAUUCAACUUACCUUGUCCUUUCAGAUGUUUCAAGGACUCAUGAUCCGAAUGGAUUACGAACUCUUUUGGCCACAAGUAAUGCUGCCAUGUCUCAAGUGCUCUUACCAAUGCAUAGAGUUCUUUGUCGUAAGUGGAUAGUUCAAGGUCGCUCCACUUAACUUCUCACUGAAAUACGCAAUAGGUCUCCGAUCCUGCAUCAAAACAGCAUAUUCCUAUUCCAGACGCAUCACAUUCUAUUUCAAAUGCUUUCGUAAAGUCAGGUAAACCCAAAACAGGUGCAGAACAUAAUUUCUCUUUCAAAAGAACAAAUGCCAAUUCUUGUUCCUCCCCCCAUUUAAACCCAACUGAUUUUUUAACAACUUCAUUAAAGGGGCAGCUAUUGUACUGAAAUCUUUCACAAAACGCCUGUAAAAACUAGCUAACCCAUGAAAACUCCUUACCUCACUUACCGAUUUGGGUGUAGGCCAAUCCCGGAUGGCCUUAACUUUCUCCUCAUCCAUCUCGAUACCCUGUGCAGUUACAACAUAGCCAAGAAACACAAUUUUUCCAUGCAAAAGGCACACUUUGUAAAUUAGCAUACAAUUUCUCACUACGCAACACACUAAGUACAUUACGCAAAUGAUCAAGAUGCUCAGUUAAGUUCUUGCUAUAUAUCAAAAUGUCAUCAAAAUACACAACCACAAACUUACCUAUGAAUGCACGCAACACAUGAUUCAUUAAACGCAUAAACGUACUAGGUGCAUUUGUAAGUCCAAACGGCAUUACUAACCAUUCAUACAAACCAUGCUUAGUCUUAAAUGUUGUUUUCCACUCAUCACCUUCUUUCAUCCUAAUUUGAUGGUACCCACUUUUCAAGUCAAUUUUAGAGAAAUACAGGAUCCAUGUAACUCAUCUAACAUGUCAUCAAGCCUAGGAAUGGGAUGUCUAUACUUUACCGUUAUGUUGUUGAUGGCCGCAAUCAACACACAUCCUCCAUGUUCCAUCCUUCUUUGGCACAAGUAGCACGGGUACAGCACACGGGCUCAUACUCUCACGAAUGUAGCCCUUUUCCAUCAGCUCAUCAACUUGCCUUUGAAGCUCCUUCGUCUCCUCGGGAUUGCUUCUAUAAGCUGGUCGGUUAGGAAUUGAAGCUCCGGGUACGAAAUCAAUCUGAUGCUCUAUCCCCCUCAAUGGUGGUAAUCCGCUAGGAGUAUCGUCGGGGAACACAUCAUCAAAUCCCUGCAACAAAGAAAUAGCAACACUAGGCACAAUAUGAUCAAGAUCAUUAGUAUUAAAGUAAGCCUCUUUGUACACAAGUAAUCAUUGGCUUGUUAGUGAAAAAUGCAGAUCUGACCUCACCCUCUCUAGCAUAAAAAUUGGGUUGUUUCUUUAGUUUUUCCACACAAUUCUCAUCACACUUGCUGACUUUCUUCACUCCUCUUGUCUUACCUCCACUCUCGGCCAGAUUUGGGUGUUUUUGAGUUGUGGUCGAAUGGUUUGAUUUGUUUGGAGUGUUGGCCGAAUAUUUGCUUGUGUUUGGAUGGGUGGCCGAAUGGGUUGUAGUGGUUUGGGUUCUAGCCGAAUCUGAUGGUCUUCUCUCCCCUUGUUCCUCACCUUGAUUUUCUCUCCCCAUCGCCUCAUGCUCACUUUUUAGCUUUAUUUGAUCAUCAUACACCUGUUUGGGUGUAAGAGGUACAAGAGUGAUGGUUUUACCAUCUUUUACAAUGGUAUACCUAUUUUUAACCCCAUCAUGAAUUGCCUUCCUAUCAUAUUGCCAUGGUCUCCCCAACAAGAUGUGACUUGCUUGCAUUGGUACCACGUCGCACAGAACUUCAUCAACAUAUUUCCCAAUCGAAAAUGGAACCACAACCUGUUUAGUCACUUUCACUUCACCACUAUCAUUCAGCCAUUGCAAUCUAUAUGGUUUAGCAUGCUUAGCAGUACACAAAUUCAGUUUACUAACAAGGGUGGCACUGCAAACAUUAACACAGCUUCCACUAUCUAUAAUUAAACCACACACCUUUCUUUGUACGUAACAACGCGUAUGGAAGAUGUUCUCCCUUUGUUCAUUAGUAUCAUCUUCUUUGACCUGAACCUGAAGUGUUCGCCUUAUAACCAAGGACUCCUCAACCGGUAAUGCUAACUCAUCCCCAUCACUAUCCUCCAAUGGUGGCAUGCCUUCACAAUCAGAACUGUCACUUUCAGAUUCCACAUCACCAUUAUCUCUAAUCAUCAUGAUUCUCUUGUUUGGACACUCUGAAGCAUAAUGUCCAUGUCCCUGACACCUGAAACAUUUAACAUCACGAGUACGUUUAGGUUGAGUUUCAGAUUUACCUUUGGCAUCAGUAGGGACAUCAACUUUAGCCUUUGGUGGUUCAGUUCUAGAACCAAAGGAUCUUGGCCGGAUAGUACCCUCUCUCUUUAGAUUCGGCUUCCAAAAUGAUGACGAACCCGAAUUAAACGCUGGCCGAGCAUGCCCUUCCUAAGUUGUCUCUCCACCUUCGUCGCCAUGUGAACCAUGUCCUCUAGCUCCACAUAGUGUGUAGCUCAACCACAUUAGCAAUUCCCGAUUCAACCCAUUAAGAAUCUAGCCAUGGUGGCUUCUCUAUCCUCAACAACAUUAGCCCGAAUCAUUGCUAUCUCCAUCUCUUUGUGAUAUUCAUCUACUGUCUUAUAACCUUGAUUCAGACCUUGGAGCUUCAGAUAUAAGUCUCUGUAAUAGUGGUUUGGCACAAAUCGUCUCCUCAUUAAGACUUUCAUCUCCCCCCAAGUCUGAACGGGUCGCUCGCCAUUCCUCCUCCUACUGAUCACAAUCUGAUCCCACCAAAUAAUGCAUACUCCGUAAACUCAAUUAUCACCAAUUUCACCUUUUUUUGUUCAGAAUAGCUAUGGCAAUCAAAAAUCCAAUCCACCUUUUUCUCCCACUCCAAAUAAGCCUCGGAUCGUUUUUACCUUGAAAGCUAGGAAUUUUCAGUUUAAUGGUGUCCAAGUCCCCAUCCAUAUCUUCAUAAGUGCUCAUGCCACGAAAAUUCACAUUCCUCCUAGCCCUGUUCGGUCCAGACCUGAUUCCUUGGCCAGCUGAUGCAAAAUCAUAGUCAUCUUCACCCCAUCUGCGUUUUCAUCAACAAACUCUUCAAAAUCAGAUCUGACAUUCCGUGGCCAUACGGACCGUAUUUCCCCGGCGAUCAGCCCCACUAUUCUGUUGCUUUAUCGAAUUCACCUCAUCUUUCAGAUCCUUGUACGUCCUAGACAACAGCUCAAGUUGCUGGCCUAUGGAUCGCAAUUGGAAAGCUACGUCAACGUUUUGUGUCGCUGAUUCGUUGUUUUCAGACAUUCUUUGAAUCUAAAAUUUGGUAGUAGCACAAAUAUAUCCUCACACCUCUCGUGUAUCACACAAAAUAAAAUCAAGGCUUUUCACUCUAUUAAGCUCUCUACGCCUUUUACCUCACAACUUGCUUUCUUUUGGUUCUUUAGGAACUGAAAUCAACAAAUCAAAGUCAAUAGCUUUCGCGGCGCACUCUAAUUAUAAUUUUCAGACUCAAGAAGCAAAAAAUAUACUGAAAACAAAGCAAAACGAAACUACGAUUACGAUUUUGCGAGUAGCAAUGCAAAUUCGUGCGAAUUGUGGACGAAACGAAGACACGAAAUAAAACAAAAGCGAAUAUUAGCGAAAACAAUUACUUGACUCCUAGAUAACCCAAAUAUAAUAGAAAUAAAAAGAUUAAGACAAACCUAAACAGUAUAGAUCAUGUUCUCAAACUUGACGCAAAUCUAUCCUAUUACGCAAUUUUUACGUAACAGAAUUGAAACCCAGACCAAACGAUCUCGAAAUGACCUCAAAUUCAAUAUUUAGUAAUAUAAUACUAUGAAAACACUAAUACUCAAUUUAUAGGUCGUUCUCUUAUGUCUAGGUACCCAAACCCCUUGUAUGAUCAGUUUGCGGCAGAAUUGAACCUCCAAUUAAAACCUCCAGAAACCGAUAUCAAAAUAAUCCCAAAUUUAAUAUGUGGUGCAAUCGCAUACCCAAUACUCAGAAUAUGAAGUUUCAAUAGAUUCCAAGGUGUUUUACCUAGGGUUCACUAAGAGUAGUGUUUUGCGGCAGAAUUGAAACUCGAAUUAAAACCUCAAGCAAAUAAUAUCAGAAUAAGCCCAACUUUGAUAUAUCAUGCGAUCCCACCCCCAAUAGACUGAAUAUGAAGUUUAAAUUGAUUCCGAGGUGGUUUGCUUAUGGUUCACCAAGAUUUGUGUUUCUGCGGCAAAAAUUGAAUGAUCCUUCAAAUUUCAACUAAUCACUUUUCUCUAUUUCUUUCUGAUUUUUUUUUCUUUUUAACAAACUGAUAUGAUUAGAGACAGUAACAAGAUGAAAUAUAAACUUUUUUUUUUUGCUUAGAUGACACAGACACGAAGAACAAGAGGAUGGACGCAAACACUGAAAAACUUAAGGGACACUAAAAAAAAACGAAAAUAACAGAAUGAUAUGACCUUGUUUCGGAGCCUAGCUCCGAUACCAACUGAUGCGAACCUCGUGAUCACGUGGCCACGCAACCCACAAUCAAGAUUGAGAUCUGAUCCCGGAAAGCCGAAAUAGAUCUGAUAUGAGUGCGACACAAUGGAAACCUGCCCCAAGGCACCAACACUAUUGGAAUGAGUAGAAUGACGCCACGAAGCCAGUUAAUCUUCGAUAAGUCAGAUUCAGUUCGUUCAAGAACUGAAGAAUGCAAGAAUCACUCUCACACGUUAAAACUGAAAAAUUCAGAAUAAUAUUCAUCAAAGCUGCCGAAAUUUUGGCUACAUGAGUUUAAAUAGUUCUUGAAAAGUUAACCCUAAUGGACCCUUUAUGUGGACUUAUAUGAGGUCCACUCAAAACUAGCCCAAAACCCUAAAAUGAAAAGCCCAUAACUUAAUCCAAAAAAGCCUUGGAUCCUAGCUUAAAACAAAGUAUGAAUUAAGCCCAAACAAGCCUUGGGCUGUAGCUAACAAAAUAAAAUAAAGCCCUUAUCUCAUGGCCCAAAUAAGGUUGUAUUGGACCCCUCUUGCACAUGGAUAAGAUGUACUAGGAUCUCCUCUUAAUACUCCAAUGGACCUUCCAAUUCUGACUUGGUGGAAACCUUCAAAACCAAUGCAUUCAAUGCGUCUUUCAAUGUCUUUGUCUUGGACCGAGUCAUUGGUCCAUUUGGAACAUGUAAUGGGUCCUUGCUGGUGUUUCUAGGCUGGUCCGCACCAGACUUCCUCUUUUAUUCUAUUGGCUUUUCUGGUUUUACUGUCGCCUGCCUCCCUAUUCUCCUUUCUUUCUUUUUUUCUUUCACAGUGACGAAAGGAUUAAAGAAAAACAAACUCUCUAUGUUCCCCUGUUAUCUAUGUUUUUUCAAUCCCUGCCUCUCUUGCAUUUUUCCUUUAUUUUUCUGCUCUCUUUCUGCUAUUUUUUUGCUCUCUUUUUGGCCCCCUCCGUUAGGUCAUUAGAGGGGCUUAUAUAUAGUCUAAAAUGUCUCCAUUUAGGAAGGAUUCAAUGCACUAAUCCUAGGGCAUAAAUCCCUACUGAUUUGUAGUAAAAAAAACGCAAAAAAAUCCCUAGCAUAUUCUUAUUUUAUGCUAGUUCUUUACGUCUGAUUUCUUUCCAGUUUUAGAGGAAGGUGUGGCUAUUUUCUCUCCUUCCAUAGGGUCAGCUGCUCCCUUUGAAAUGAGGCAAGAAAAAACAUGGUUGCAGCUCCAAAAUUCAAGCAUGAUGAUAAAGGAAAAACAACAAGAAUUUGCAGCAAAAAAAAAGAAAGAAAUCAGAUGGAGGGUGCAGCUGCAAAGUCUCAUUUUCCUUAUUUCGGUGUGGAAAAAAUCUUGUCAUUUAUGAUGAUCCAGCCCCCUCUCCAGCUUUCCAUAUCCUUUUUCAAUUCAAUCCCUCAUUUUAACAAUUUUCGAUUCAGUCCUUGGUAAAAAACAAAUCCUUCGAAUCAACCUCGCGAACUUGGGCUAUAUCCUUUCUACGGCAGAAUUUGCUACCUUCACGUUAGAUAUUCAAAUGGGAAUAUCUUGAGCUUCUGAUAUCAAAAUCAAGUAAUUCAAAAACCAAAAUUCAUCUACGCGUCUAGGACUACAACUUUGAUGAAGGAGUCAAAGUGAGAUAAAAUCAUUUUAUAGAAAGAAACUGGCAGUAAUCUAGUUGGUCAAAAGGGAUCUCCAGGUCUAACUAAAAAAUUGACGAAUACCGAGCAUCCUAAUAUGACUGAAAGUAUGAACUAAGAACAAAAAUCACAAAAACUAGGCCAAAAAUAGAGUUUUUUUAGUGCAGACUUAGGUCAAUAUCUUUCUCGCGGCAGAAUUCUCUACCUUCACGUUAGAUAUUCAAACGGGAAUACCUUAAGCUUCUGUUAUCGAAAUCAAGCGAUCCAAAAGCCCAAAUUCAUCUAUGCAUCUAGGACUACAACUUUGAUGAAGGAGUCGAAGUGAAAUAAAAUCAUUUUAUAGAACAGAAUCUGGCAGUAAUCUAGUUGGUCAAAAAGGUUCGUUAUCUGACAAUGCUAAGCAUCCAAAUCUGACUAAGAAUCUGCUCUAAGAACAAUGAUCCCUAGGACUUAAUAAAGGUGUACGUCAAUUUUUCAACAUGUAAUAAGUGACAGAAUAUACCUAGGAUGGUCAUAUAUCGUACGAAACCAAGUCAAAAUCAGAGCCUAAAUUGGAACAAAAAAUUGCGACAACAGCAGAACCAUUUUUUAGUGCAAAUUCUAAAGGAUUUAUUCAACCUUAAAAACAAGAUAAUGAAGGAAUGAAUUUAGCAUUCUGAAGACUCCUGAUCAACCUAAGAAAACCUGAUGAUUUUGGUAGUAAAAGGGAAGGCUAAAAAAAGAGAGCAGAAAAUAGCUCACACUAGGUUUUUUUGGAAAAAAAUAAUAUUUCUUAUGUGCUUUUGUCAAUCUUCUGGCGAACAUGAGCUAAACUCCUACACUCUAUUCAAAAGAGGUAUACACUAUCUCUAGCAUGUGGGGGUCCAAAAAUGAGUAACAACAGGUGGAUACAUUGUAUUUCUUGGCAUCACUCCCAUUUCAUGGAAAUCUGGCAAUCAAUGCAUUGUUGCUCGCUCCUCCACUAAAGCAAAGUAUAAGGCCUUAGCUGAUGCUACUGUUGAGGUUGUUUAGCUUCGUUAUCUUUUGUUAGAUUUAUGUUCCUCUCCUAGUUCUGCUACCACUAUCUAGUGUGAUAAUUUGGGUGCUACUUAUCUAUCAGUUAAUCUAAUCUUUCAUGCUAGUACGAAGCAUGUUGAGGUCGAUUAUCACUUUGUUCGUGAUCGAGAGGCUAAGAAGGAGAUUUAGAUUUGAUUCAUCUCCUCCAAAGAUUAAUUAGUCGAUGUUCUUACAAAGUCACUUGCUUCCUCUUCUUUUACUUCUCAACGUUCCAAGCUUCACGUAGAUAACUCACCUUCAGCUUGAGGGGGUGUAUUUUAGGAAAUAUUAUAAAAUUAGAAAUAUUAUGUUUCCUCUUGUAUAGUUUUAUCUUGUGUAAUAGGUUACACCAUAACAUAUUUAUAAUGUCCUACUUAUAUAAAUAGUAUAGGAGCUGCCCUGAUUGCAAAAAUAAAAGGUAUUAGCACCCUUAAUAUAUCUUACCUAAGGCAAACCAUGUUUUUUAUUUGUCUGAUAUAAACUAAGGUAUUGUCGUGUUUUCUAAUCAUUGAUCUGUUUAAAAGUAAAGAAAAAUCAUUCUCAAUAAAGAGAUCUUCAUCUUAUUAGGGCAAAAACUUAACAAUUCUAAUGCUGAAACAUGAAAAAGAAAGAAAAUUGUCUUUUCAUUUAAUUUUAGAAAUAUAUCUUAUGUAUAAUCUUAUAAUUCCAGAUAUUAAAAAAAAUGUGUUUCUUCCGAUCACAAUUUUAUUUUCCAAGUGUUAAAGAAUAAUAUAAAUCAUAACCUAGGACCUCACCUAACAGCUUAAGCUAUUAGGUUGAGAUGGUUCUUUGACAUGAUAUCAGAGCAAACAAAUCGUCCAGUAGCCUUCUAUCAUCUAGCAGCCUUCUAUCAUCCCGCAGUCUUCUUUCAAAUUUCUCCCUCACAUCUAAUUCUCUUCUUCUAGCAACUUUUUUCCUUUAUUUCAUCCACAAUACUGCUAAACUUCUUUCUCCUAUGGACAAUCAAGAACUUCAUCAUUUUGUUGUCGUUGCAUCAGCACUUCAAUCUUCUUUCUCCAUUAUGGCGCUAAUAGCCACCUAAGGUGUAUCCACUCCUAUUGCUGCCAUCAUAUCUCUUCCUAACACGUAACAGGUAAUGUCUUUAAAACUCUCCAACACUAAUUUUAUGUAUUGGAUGAUGCAGAUGAAACCGUUCCUUUGGGCCAAGGCAUGUACUCUUUUGUUAAUGCCACAUCAUUAUGUCCUCCUUCUCAUCUGAAAUCUGUUGCAGCAUCUUCACCUGAUGGUUAUCAACACUGGCCGAUAUUUGCUGAAGCUGGAAUUUAGACAAAUCAAUACAUAGAUUAAUUCUAUAAGGGGAAUCAGAAGAAGAACCUGAUAGGGAGCUUAAUAUAUGUGCAGGAUGUGAGGGAGAACUAGCUGGAGAAUCUACAGAGUGACCGCCACAACAGGGGAACCAGCAGGGGAAAAACCAAGGGAGCUGGCAGGAGCGAUGGAUAAUGCAUGCGAGGGUGGUGAAUCUGAAGUUGUACCUGAAGCAUGAUUAUGAUAAUAACAUGCAAAUAAUGGUAAGGGAGCCAAUGAGAUGUAGGGGGUGUGGGGGGCAGCGGUGAAAAAGCUGAAGAUGGUGGCUCUGGAUGGUGUAAAGUAACCGGUAUAGUGGCAGCAUAAGGAUUUGUAGGUGGGACUGUAAUCUGUUCAGGUUUACCAAGAAGAAAAACAUGUUCAUGAAACUGGAUAUCACAAGCAAGAGAAAUACUUUUGCAUGACAAGUCAAGACAUCGAUAACCUAAAUGAGAGUUACUAUAUCCUAGAAAAACACAAGUAGAUAAACGAAAAUCUAACUUAUGAGCAUUGUAUGGACAGAGGAAUGGAAAACAAAGACACCCAAACAUACGAAGAAAAGCAUAAUCAAGAGAUGAUUUUAAAAGACAUUCGAAAGGACUCUUAUAAUUAAGAACCGGAGUUGGCAUGCGAUUAAUCAAGUAAACAGAACUUUCAAAAGUAUAACUCCAAUAUUUAAGGGGAGCAUGACAUUGCCCAAAAAGAGUAAGCCCAAUUUUGACAAUAUGUCUAUGACGACGUUCAACCAUGCCAUUUUGUUCGUGGGUGUUUAGAUUGAUCACACGGUGAUGAAUACCAAUUGUUUUAAAAUACGUAUUAAGUUUUCAGUAUUCACCAUCCCAAUUUGUUUGAAUAGAUUUUAUUCUUAAAGAAAAUUGGUGCUCAACAAGCGCCUGAAACUGAUGAAAAAUAUUAAAAACAUCAAACUUAUCAAUUAUCGAAUAAAACCAGAUAAAUUUUGUAUGAGCAUUCAUAAAAAUAAAAAAAUAUAGAAAACCAUCUGAUGACAACAUAGGAAAGGGACCCAGACAUCACUAAAAAUUAAAUCAAGAGGAGCUAGAGUUUGAUGACCCGUAGUUUUUAGAGUCAGACGACACGACUUACUAAGAGGUCAUACAGGACAAUUAAAAUUAAAUUGUUGACUUACAUGACAUCUUUUUAUUUUUCACCAAAAAAUGCAAAAUGCAUGGACUGGGAUGCCCAAGUCGAAGAUGCCAGAUAUUAGUGGAAGUAAAGAGGCAUGUAGAUGAGAAAGCCUAAGACAACGACAUUACAGACAACUCAGUCCAAACAUUUAGACCAUCUCUUCUCUGACCGGAAAGAAGCACUUCCUUUGUCAUAAGGUCCUUAACAUAAAAUAGACAAGAAUGAAAUUCAAAACACAUGUUAUUCUUAAGGUAAAUUUUUUUAACAAAUAGCAGAGGUUUUUUAAUGGCAGGAACAUGUAAAAUAUUGGAUAAAGUAAAUGUGCGUUUUGGUGAAUGAAUUUUAGAGUGAGCAAUAUUGGAAAUAGUAAGGCCCUUACCAUCACCAACAUGCAGAUGAUCAUUACCAAGGUAAGGUUUUGAACUCGUCAUUCUAGCAAGAUCUGGCGUUACAUGAUGAUUUCCACCCAUAUCAGGAAACCAUAUGAUAGGAGACGUUGUAGGGGCAUUAUUAAAUGCGAGAUUGACAUUGGCUUGGAGAGGAUGAUUAGCCAAUUAAGAGCACUGUUGGCCAAUAUGCCCGUAUUUAUAACACAAUUGACACUUUACAUUGAGAUUAUACCCACCAAAACGGUUACCUUAUUGCUCAAAUUGUCCUAUUGUCCAAGAGGGAGAUCCAGAAAACUGUCCUGAGGAGAAUCAGUGUCCUUGUUGCCUAAAUUGCUGACUUGAGGUAUAACUGAUAUUGCCAUUAUUUCCACAAUAAGCAUUGUUGUGAUUAUUAUUAUUUCUCUAGCCCCCACGAAAAUAGCCUCGUCUAGCAGUAUUGAAGCCAGAGUGAUUCUGCACAAAGAAUGCAAUUGGUUACUGCAUUGGGGUUGGUAACAGAAGUGUUGUUACGGUUGGUUGGAGAACAGCUUUAUGGAGAAAUUCAUAUGUAAGUAGGUUGCUAUGGAGAUCAGUGUAGGAGAUGGGAUCAACCUUAGUAGACAAGAUCUUUAAACUUGUUGCAUAACCCUCAAAACACAUACAGGUUGAAUUCUGCCAAGGAGAUUUGCCUGCCAGCCACAACAAGUUCAUCAAACAAUGCCUUUGCCUUCUACAAGUAGGUGCUGACAGAAUCAUCAUGCUGACAUAACUCUUUAAAGGAACCAUGAAGUUGCAUGAUCAUGGAAUUCGAAGGAGAAGCAAGAGUUGUUUCUAGCGUUCUCCAGAUAUCAUGGGAGGUGUUAUGUAGGUCAAAAAAAAUUAAUUUUAAUUGUCCUGCGUGUCCUACUUGGUCAUUGGUGCCUUGUCAUCCGUCUGUAAAUGUGAUUGGUAAUAGAUGGGUAUACAAUAUUAAACGCCACGCAGAUGGUCGGAUUGACUGAUAUAAAGCAUGGUUUAUUGCCUGCGACUUCUCUCAGCAAUAAGGGAUUGAUUAUUUGGAGAUGUUUAGCCUAGUAGUUAAACCUACAAUGGUUCACCUUGUGCUCACUAUUGUUGUCUCAUAUGGUUGGAAUAUUCACCAGUUGGAUGUUCAUAAUGCUUUCUUGAAUGGCAUUCUUCAAAAGGAGGUAUACAUGGCAUAAUCACCUGGGUUUGUUGAUUCUGCUAUUUCAUCUCAUGUGUGUCGUCUUCACAAAUCUUUGUAUGGCUUGAAACCAGUACCUCAAGCUUGGUACAACCGGUUGAGCGAGUUUCUCCUUUCCAUUGGAUUUCAAGCAUCCAAGGUUGACACUUCCCUGUUUAUUCUCUCUCUUAAUGGUGUCAUGAUUUAUUUGCUUGUGUAUGUGGAUGAUAUUUUACUGUCCAGGAGUAACUCAGCUUUGCUUCAUAGAUUGAUUAUUUUACUGCAAACAUAAUUUAAGCUUUGGAAUUUGGGUUCUAUUCAUUUCUUCUUGGGCAUUGAAGUUAAACCUACAACUAUGGGUAUCUUAUUAAGUCAACACAAGUAUGCACUUGAUAUUAUCCAACAAGCAGGUAUGGCUCCCUCUAAAUUGGUUGAUACAUAUUGUUGGAGCACUGCAAUAACUUACUUCCACUAAACCUGAUAUUUGUUAUGCAGUCAACAAAGUAUGUCAAUUUAUGCAUGCCCCUACUGAAGAUCAUUGGGCUACCGUUAAACGUAUCCUACGUUACCUACAGGCUACAACAACCUAUGGUCUGCACAUUACUCGAGACUCUCUCUUAACUGUUCAUGGUUUCACAGAUGCUGAUUAGGCAGGUAGUAUUGACGAUCGUAAAUCCACAUAUGGGUAUCUUGUGUACCUUGGUUCUACCCCUAUCUCAUGGAAAUCUAGGAAACAACACACUAUUACUAGAUCUUAUAUGGAAGCAGAAUACAAAGCCUUGACUGAUGGUACUACUGAAAUUUUAUGGAUUCGUUCUUUAUUGGCAGAACUUUGGAUUUUCGCUUCGUCCAUGACUACGUUAUGGUGUGAUAACUUGGGGGCCACUGUCUUAUCUACCAAUACAGUGUUCCACUUUUGUACUAAACAUGUUAAAGUUGAUUAUCACUUUAUCCGUGAUCGCGUUGCUAAGAGAGAAAUUCAGGUACAAUUCAUCUCUUCAAAAGAUCAACUUGCUGAUGUUCUUACCAAGCCUCUCUCUCUAGUCUCGUUUGCUUAUUUUCGAUCCAAGCUUUAGGUGGAAUCUCCACCUUCAUCUUGACGGGGUGUAUUAAGAAAAGAGACCACAUAUAUGUAAAUACAUUAUAUAGGGAUAGUUAUCAUGCGUAGUACAUUCCACCAUUGUAUUGUAUACAACCCUAAAGGUAUAAAAACAAAGGGAUGGUUGUUUUAUCAAUCAUUCAUCAUAAUUAUAUAAAAGACUAUCUCUCUAAUCUUGACAUGGUAUUAGAGUCUUGAUGACCAAGCGGUCACGAGUUCGAAUCUCACCAUCUCCAUUUAUUUAAUAAAAAUUAAGCGCAAGGUAAUAUAGGUCCGUGCAAUUUUCAAGCCCAAAGGGCUUUCACUUGAGGGGGUGUGUUUGAAAAUAAUAUAAAUCAUAUCAUGGGACCUCACCUAACAGCUUAAGCUAUUAGGUUGAGAUGAUUCUUUGACAUCAAGAUAACUGGUCUAUCAAGACUAACAAGAACACUCUUAAGAUCGUCAAUUAUUUCUUCAUUAGUUCAACAUCCAAUUUGCUUAAUACUGUUACUUACAAUUUUUCUUUAAGAAGAAAAAAGAAUACAGUGCUUAUAACUGGGAUAGGGGUGCUACCAGAUCUUCAAUUUUCUUCAAUAGAUUUUGUAAGAUUAUCUAAUUGCUUCAAGUAUGACACUUGGAAUAGGAUUUUGAAGUCCAAGUAAGUUCUUAGUGAAAGCUGGAUGCUGUAAAAACAGAACACUACAAAAGACAUUAACCUAACCAACAUGUGUUAACUAGAAUCCCGCUUUUUGAUCGGUCAAUUUCCAAACCAGAUUUACUAACUAUAAUUUUGAGGAUAACAACGUAUUUAAGCUAAGGUAGUGGAAGACUUUAACCAAUGAGGCAGUUUCUGAAAAUUUCUUUUCUAAAUAAAAACUAAAUAUUUUUCAUUAAAAAAUAUAAAAAUGGCUCCGUAAGUGAGAGAAGAUGAAGUCAUGUUAUAUGCAAGCAGCAUAAGAAGAAAGAUGAACAAGGUUUGACCAACCUUGACAGGCAUUCAGUUAAGCUACCAAUUAAUUUUUGCUGGCUAAAAGGUGCAAAUAAACAAUAAAUUGAACUAAAUACUCAACAAUAAACAAGGUCCUGUUGGAAAAAAUGCUCCUCGAAUUAUUAACAAAUACACUGAAAGAACUCGACUGAGCAAUAUUCAUAUAAUAACCUAAUUUAAAAUAGAGAGAUACUAUUAAAAGUUAAGAGGAGAGGAUGGGAGGAAAAGCUGAAUAGAAACAAAAGCAUUUCACACCUUUAAAGUUUGAAAGCUACUGAAGUUUGAAGGAGAUAAUUGAAGGGAGGAGAAUGAGUACAAGCGGUGAGAAAAAAUAUAAUAGAAAGAAGGGGAAAUGUUAUUUAUAUCAAAAAUAUUUAAGAUUAUUUAUAUUUAGUAGGCUACUUUUCCGUCAACUAGACAACAAGAGGAACUUUAGAAGCAUGGUCUUCUUUCACUCAUUGGAUUCACACCAAGAAAAGCUUGAAGCUUUGCAUUUUAAUGGAAGAAAUUGAGCCUAGAGGUGUAAGUAGCUUUUGGGACCUAAUUUCUUGGAAUCACAUCUAUUGCAGACAUUGCUCUUCCUGUUGAUAAUGUUGUUAACUUCACAGAUAAUGGUCCUUUCUGUUGAUAAUUAUAGGUAUAUAAAAAACUGAAUAUUGAUGAUAAUAAAAAAAAAACAAAGAACAAAGAAUUUGGAGCAAAGAACAAAGAAUUUGGAGCAAAAACAAAGAGUAGAAUGUUUUUCAUAGGUUACUACCAUCCCUUAGCUUCUAUUUAUAGAUGAAAUCAAUCACAACAAAAUUAAGAAACGCAACUAACAUAAACUCCUUCAUUUAAAGAGCUAUGUAACUUAUCCUAAAUAAGUUUCAAAUCUAAAGAAGUAAAAAUUGACUAAACAACAUCAAGAUAAUGAUGUUACUAAUAAAUAGACAUUAAUGAAAGAUAACCUACAACUGAUACAUUAAUUUCAGCUUUUGUGCCAUAACUUCAACACUCCUUCUUGGUUCCAAAGUUGCACAUUCCUAUCCUCUCUUUUAGAUCUUCAAAUCUAUCUUUAGCUAAAGGCUUGGUGAACAGGUCUGCUAAUUUCUCUUUUGAAAUGCAGUAUAUCAUCUUUAGUUCCCCUUCUUGCUGGAAUUACUUGAUAGCAUGGAACUUGAUCUUUAUAUGCUUGGUCCUGUCAUGAAAAAUAGAAUUAUUUGAAAUAGCUAUUGCUGAUGUAUUGUCAUAUAACAAUUAUGUGGGACUUCGUUGAUCAAAGUCUAGAUCAUUCAACAUUUUCCUUAGCCAUAUCAAUUGCUUUGUUGCCACAUAUGAUACUAUGUAUUUUGCCUCUGCAGUGGAAUGUGCAACCAAUGAUUGCUUCUUUGAGUUCCAACAGAAAAUGCUUCCUCCAAUAGCAAAGCAAUAACCUAAGGUGCUCAUCAUUUCUUCAUUUCUUCCAGCCCAAUCACUAUUAGAAAAACCAAUUAGUUUAACAGAACUUGAUUUCACAAAAUGCAUACCAAACUCUAAGGUCCCUUUCAGAUAUCUCAAAACUCUUUUGGCUGCAACAAAAUAGACUUCACUUGGACUUUACAAGAACCUAGAGAUGUAAUUGAUAGCAAAAAUAAUGUCUAGACGUGUAGCAGUUAAAUACAACAAGCUACCAACUAAACUUCUGUAGGCUUUUCCAUUAGUUUUGGGAGCUUCAUCCUCCUUCAUUAGCUUUUGUCCCAGUACCAUAGGUGUACUAAUUGGUUUGCAAUUUUUCAUUGCAAAUUUUUUAAUAGCUUCAUUGUAAACCUUUUUUGACAUAGGAAAUAAGCUUGCUCCAACUGAGUUACUUCCAUGCCUGAGAAUUAUGAUAGCAAACCAAGUUCAUUAAUCUCAAACUUAUCCUUCAUGUUGGUUUUAAACUCCUCUACUAGGUGCUCCUUGUCUCCUACAAUCAUUAAAUCAUCUACAUACAAUGAUACGAUUAGAGUAUGUUUGUCAAUAUUUUUUAAGUACAAAGUUACUUCAUUCAUGCUUCUUUCAAAGCCUAAGCUCAAAAGAUACGCAUCCAAUCUAUUGUACCAGGCUCUAGGAGCAUGAUUAAGUCCAUACAAAGCCUUCUUUAGCAAAUAUACUUUGUUUGAUGCUAUCUCUUUUUCAAAGCCACCAGGUUGUUCAACGUAUAUUUCUUCAUUUAGAACACCAUUAAAAAAUGCAGACUUAACAUCCAACUGAAAAAUAUACCAACCAUUUUGUGCUGCUAGAGCAAGCAAGAGCUUUAUUGUAUCAAGCCUAUAUACUGGAGCAAAUGUGUUAGUGAAGUUAAUACCUGACUCUUGUGAAUAACCCUUCACUACAAGUCUUGCUUUGUGCUUGUUGAUACUUCCAUAUGCAUUCAACUUGGUUUUAAAAAUACAUUUCACACCAAUUAUCUUCUUAUAAACGGGUCUAUCAACCAACAUCUAUGUUUCAUUCUUUUCUAUCAUCGUGAGCUCCUCCUUCAUUGCAGCUAUCCAUACUUGUGAGUUGAUAGCUUCUUCAAAAUCUAUUGGCUCUCCUUCAUUUGAGCCAGGUUUGAAUAUUUUUAUCCAUACUUUUUGUCGUAUGUCACCCGCGCGGCGUCGACUUGGCGAUUUUUUGUUUCUUGUUUGCUUUGAAUGGUUCGUUGGGAGUGGCCACCUAGUAUUUAAUUGAGAGCUACUAGGAAACCCGGGUGUACUGGUCUUAUCAGAGAUUCACGGGUAAGGGACUGGUUGUGGUUAGGGAAGGUAUUAGCACCCCUAACGCACUUUACCUGAGGUAAGUUACUUUGUGGUUUUUGAUGUGAUAAAAAAGUUUUAAAAAUUUUGUUCUUUCAUUGGAUAUUAGAAAUACGACUUACGUUUAAGUUCAUAAUCCUUAACCAUGAGCAUAUCAAAAUAUUAAAUUCUACUUUAUUCUUGCAAUUUUAUCAUAAAAAAAAUAUUCAUAAACAAAAUACAAAUCACAUAUUCACUUUCACUAUACUUUUCUUUUUUUCUUUUCUUUUUUUUUUGUUUUUUUUUUUGUACAUCCACAUACAAAUUAUAAAAAAAAAUUCAAAACUAAACAAAAAUUACAUUAAAUAAUUUAAAAUUUACAAAAUAGUCCCUAAAACUCCAGAAAUUGCAGGGAAGGCCUUCUGCAACCGCAGGAACAGUGGCGGCGCGUCUCCCCACGCGCCCCCAUCACUGGCGGCGCGUGGGCUCAUGCGUCGCUGCCACUAAACCCGGCCAAGCAGAGGUCAGUAACAACUUCCUCCCCUCUUCAUGUCCUCGUCGGUGUGACCUGUAAAAACACCAAAAAAAGGCCACAAACAGUUGAUUUUACCUUUUUCUUUCUUUGUUUUUUUUUAUCUGCUUUAGUCCCUUCAUAUCUUUUUCACCGAUGAUCCUUCUUUAGCUUAUCCUUCUUUGGCGGUGGCCGUGGACGUGGUGAUGGACGGAUCUGCCUAUGCCUGAAGGCUUCGGUGUGAAGGAGAAGGAAGUUUUCCUGGGCAGGGGAGCAAACUACGGUGGAGAUGUGAGUGGUUGUCUGGUCGGCGAGUUCAAUUGGAGGAAGUUGAGCAGCGGUUGGCUUCGGUGGGCGCCACCGUAUGGGGACUGUGGGUCUGUGGCCGGCUGCUGUGGUCGGGUCUGUUCGUUGACCCAGAGAGGGAGGGCAAUGGGUCGGCAGAGAGAGGGAGGAUAUGGUCGGGUCUGUGGGGAUGAGGGAGGGAGGGAGAUCAACGGUGGCUGGUUCUUUGGUGGCUAGGAAAGGAGUGGCUGAGAGAGAAGUGAGGGGUUGUUAAGAGAGAACUGGUUGAGGGGAAGGGAAGAAAAAGAUGGGGCUACGGUGUGGAGGGAGGGGCGGCUGUGUUGGGGUUGAGGGAGCUCAGCUCUUGGCUAGCGAGAAGAAAGGAAAUCUGAUAAAGGGGGAAGGGGCGGCGACUUGGAGAAGAGAUAGAUUUAGGGUUUUCCCUUUUUGGUUUUUUUUUUUACUCUCCAAACUGCCCCCUCCCCUUUGUGAAUUUUCUCCCCUCUUGGGAAAUUUUUUUGACUUAUAUUUAUAGGUAAAAUAUUGCUUGGUCCUCAAAAUUGGUCCCUCAACUUUUAUUUUUUGUAAAUUUUGCUUUUUUCUUGUUUUUUUUUAAAACGAGAAAUAUCAACGUCGAUUCAAUUAGAAAAAUCAAUUAUUUUAAAAAUGACACGUGAAAAGUCGAACGUGUUCGAAAAACUUUUGAAAAUUUAAAUUCUUUUUUAAACGACGUUGAAAAUGCUAAAAAUGAUGCGAAUAUAUAUAAAUUUUUUUUUUUUUGGAUUUUCAUAGUUUUUUGCUAUUUUUUAAUUUUUAAAAAAUUUUAUCAAAUAGGUAGGUCAAAAAUUAGGUAACAACACUUUUUUUGUGUCAAACCAAUUUUUAAUAUUUAAAAUCCUUCCCUGAAAUUCUAUAAUCCAAUCAAAGUAUAUUAAGACUUUGUGCGUAAGUCAAAAUACAUAAAUAGGAAAACCCAAAAGAAAAUAUUUAAAAAGAAGAAGAAAAAAGACCCGUGGAUCUAAAGUUUUCUGUUUAAAUUUAUUUCUUAUUUUCUCUCUCCAUAAAUUUUAUUGAUAUUUUAUUUUUUUUAUUAUUUCAUAGCUUUCACAUUUGACGUAAUAUUAUCAUUUCACAUGUGGACAGAUGUUCUGUCAAAAGCAAAUCUUUCAGCACAACAUUUCUUGAAAAUUGUUAUCGUUUUACUAUUAUUUCCAUACAAGUUAUUUCUUUCUUUCUUUUUUCAAGAAAAAUAAGUGCUAUAAAGUAUAAUUUGUAUUUUUAAUAUUUUUACAGCAAAAGGAGUCUAAUAAAUGCAUGCUUCAAAAAAAAAAAAAAACUUCAGAAAUGCGCACACAUUCAAUUGGAAACUCGAAAGUUAUUUCAAAUUCAAAUAAUUAUUACAAUCGACAGACACAAGCGAUCCAAGGUUUUAUUGAUCCCAAAACCUUUUAAAGGUGGGAAAUCCCAAUAAAGCCUGACCUCUGUUGGCGAAGAUCAUCCUGGAUAGUUUUUUGUGCUUAAUUUCUCUUGUAAAUUUUAUAAGGCAGCCACUCGUAAGUGUAGAAAAGAAACAAAAAAUAUAUGUAGUAGAAACAAUGCAAGAGCAUUCGUUGAAGAUUUGAGAUGCCUCCCAACGGAAGAGUCAUAAUGAAAACCACAGCAUAUACCAUCGUAAGGAUCUCCACUAAAUUGGUACUGGUGUUUAACCACGCAUCAUGGGAUCCUAGUAAUGCUAUAUUCACAGCAUCAAUGAAUGCCCCGAACAUCAUGAGAAUAGCCAAACCAACCAUGAAGGCUGAAGAUCCAACCGCAAUGAUUUCAAAAUUGGCAUUAGUAAAGUUUGCCAAAAGAAGGAUUAGAGAUGCCACCAGAGAGAGAGAUAAAGCCCAAACAUCGAAAGCUAAAUAUUGAUGCAGAAGUGCCUCAUAACCAUGAGGACUGAAAAGGUCUGUGAUCUUAUAAUGGGAGGCAGUAAUAGUACUGCUGUGAAAUUCAUGAUGAUGUUCACUUGAGUUAAAGUUACCCCUUAAUUGUGGCAAUUGAAUAGCACCCGCAAAGGUCACACCAGCAACAAGCACUGCUACCACAAGAAGAUUCGCUAUCCUUGUUUUUGUUUCCUUUUUCCUUGGUUGCAUGGGUCGAGUACCAGCAGUGAAAUGGUCACGGAAGGAUAUUUCCCAAGGGAAAGCAUGGAAGUAUAGGAUCGAUAAUGCCAUCAUCUGCACAUCAAGGGAAAAAGACUUGAUGGUUUUAAUAUGUUUUUGGCACUUCUAUUAUUGGAAUUUUCCCUAUUGCCUUUGAAGAUCAUUAAAAAGCGUUAGCAUCCCUUGAAAUUUCUUUUUCGUAACAAGAUAGCAAGAUUCUGGAAUGGUUUCGGAAUUUUGAAUAUUAUCAUAUAGAAGUUAAACUAAUCGGCGUAGAACUAGUUCAGAAACACGCAUCUAGUUGAUCAACACCGCUUUUAGCAAAGGUAUUGUCUUUGCAUUUUAAACCAAGACCCUCAAGAAGCCAUCCUUUUUUCUUUCUUAAAUUCUAUCUUCUCUUAAGCUCUUCUGGAAACCAAAAGACCAAAACUAAAAUGAUAAAAGAUAAAAAGAAGAAAAGAAGAAAGAAGAAAAGAAGUAAUACCCCUCCACGAAAAUCUGGCAGCUUGUAAUCUUUUAGUGAUGCAUUUUUCGUGUCUUGCUUGUUUUGAUCAGCUGGUUUGUCCUGUCUCAAGAAAAACGUUAACAUGUGUUACUUUUUAUUUAUUUAUUUAUUACAGCUAGACAAUAAUAUAAGGGGUAAUAUCAGCUGGUUUGGCCUCAUAUAUCUUGAUUCCCAUAACAUCAUAACAUAUUCCAUUAUUUUCAAAUCUUUUCAUAUCGUUUCUGUACGUAUAUGGAAUGUAUAUCUUUAAUCAAAAUAUUUAAAAUGCAAGCACAGCAAGUAUCAGCAGAUCUCUUAUACCUCGGUCCCUUCCACCCUGUUAUUUGAAUCAGAGUGCCGUCGCUCCUUGGCAAACUGGAAACAAAGAGGAAGCAUAGUUACCAAAUUAUUAACGCAAUUAUAAUACUAAAAAUUGUACUGUUGUAGCUCUUCAUACAGUUUCAUCUGUUCCUUCAUAUCGCUCUAUCGCUAUUGUGGAUUGUUUUCUACCAAGUUCAUAUGGUGUCAAACGGUCGUUGUUAGCAGGAUGAGGAUAAACGCGUUUGUCACGCACAAGAAGAUAUACAGAUGCGGGUCGGCCGUGCUGUGUUGCCAAAUGCAAAGGUGUAUUUCCAUCCUCAUCCAUCGCAUUUAGCAGUGUUUCUACGAUCUUCUGAUCCUGUUCGAGUAUGUACUUAAUCAAAAAGCUAUUUUCAUUUUGGGCCGCUACAUGAAGAAUGUUCUGCCCUUUUUUAUUUAUGAAUUCGUUUGGAUAGGGGAUAACUUUCAGGAAUUCCUUUAACAAAGCAACCGAGCCUCCCUUGCAUGCAAGAUGAAUAGGAUAGUUGCCCUCUUGGUCAGUUUCAUCAGCACCGGCACGAUACUUUUGUAAUAGGAAUUGAACUCCUUCCACAUAGCAUGUAGAUGAUGCAUGAUGGAGUGGAUUUCCAAACUCUUCGUCAUGGAGACGUAAUAACUCUGGCUUUGCUUCUUCGAUUUUCUGCAAUAUACCUGAAAAUAAAAAUAAAUUGUUUUGAAUGAAUUUAAAGAUGAUAGGUUUGCAAGAUUGGUUUGUAUGUAUAUCACUUUUCUGAUGAGAGGAGACAUUGUGAUCACCUAUGUUACGGUUCUCGAUGGCAGCAUGAACAGGGGACUUUCCUUGUGGUAGCAUGCCAAGUGAAUCUCCAUCUUCUCUUUCUCUAGGGAUCGAAGCUUCCAAAUCCAAGAGAUCAUCAAGAAUCCCCUUCAUCUUGCGAUUUUCAACAGCCAGAUAUAAAGGAGACCUGCCAGUCUUGUUUUUGUAAGAGGCCACUUCUCGAUCUCUGGAAAUGAGGAAUUUGGCAACAUCUUUGUUACCAUUGAUCACUGCAACAUGCAAAGGAGUGUUUCCUUCUCUAUUUGUCGUCCUCAGCAAGAAAGCAUUCGAAUUGACAAGGUCUCGAAUUGUAUGACUAACACUUCCCUCUCUGUCCUCUCUGGCAGCAACAUGAAGGAUUGUGUCUUGCUGGUCGUUUCGGCUGGUGAUUAGAGAAGGGAUAUCUUUAGCCAGGUAAGCAGUAAUAUUUUUACUUUUAUACCUUAUGGCUACAUGAAGUAGCGAAUUCCCACAGGGAGUCACUAGCUUCUCCGCUAAAUGUUGCUGGACACGGCUUUUAAAUUCCUCAAUAUUGUCCUGCUUCACACACUCAUAUAACUUGCUAUCAAUCUUUGUAUUUGCCAUGUGAUCUCUCGGAAUCGUGUUUUCAUCAACUAUGUCUAUUUCUACGCUAGACAUAGCGAAAGAAAAUAUUAUUUGACCUGAAUCAGCUAUACAUAUCAGACGGCAGGACUUCUAAUUUAAAUAGACCAGACUGCAUGUCAAUGGAAUCUGAAAUAAUGUGAAUCUUACUCUUUUUUUUUAUUUGCAAGGAUAUAUACUUUGAUUACUCAAAUACUUCACGCAUUUGUUCUGGAAUCCAGGACAUAGCAAGAGAGAGAGACCAGUCUUGGCUAUGGUUAAAGCAGCAUCUUGAAAAGGAAAAGGGGAAAAUAUGUCCCCUAACUCAAAAAAGAUGAGUGUUCCUAGGGAAAAAUUCUUAGCUUAAAUUUAUAACUCAAAAAAGAUGAUUGUCGUUAGGGAAAUUCUUAACUUGAAUAUAUAACUCAUAUACACUGUGCAAGUGGGAGAAUCCAUGGUUUAAUGAACAUGAUGAUGCACAAUGGCAUGAGAUUCCACAUCUUAUACCUUCCGGUGAUUUAACCAAUUAAUUCAAAAGUUUCAAACUCUCAUGUUAAAAUCCAAGAAUACAGUUUUAUAAUUUUUAUUAUUUUAAUGGGAGAUCUCGUGUGCGUUGGACUGCAUUAUAUAUGUAUAUAUAAACGAAUUUUCAACUAUUGAUUUGGACAGUCGAUUUAAAGUAUUGUAAUAGCUUAAGAUGUUUAUUGAAUAAGAUGAAUCUACAAGUCUUGGCUUACCCAGCAUGAACAUUUUCUUUUUAGUUACAUACCUAAUAUGAAUUUAAUUUUGUAGUAAAAGAAUGGAACUGAUGGUAAAAAAAAAAAAAAAAAAAAAACCUAAUUUAAUAUUGUCACUUCCAUAGCUUACAGCUACAUGAAGUAAUGAAUUCCCACAGGGAGUCACUAGCUUCUCCGCUAAAUGUUGCUGGACACGGCUUUUAAAUUCCUCAAUAUUGUCCUGCUUCACGUACUCAUAUAACUUACUAUCUAUCUUUUUAUUUGCCAUGUCAUCUCUCGGAAUCGAGUUUUCAACUAUGUUUAUUGCUACGCUAGACAUAGCGAAAGAAAAUGUUAUUUUACCUGAAUCAGCUAUACAUAUCAGACAGCUGGACUUCUAAUUUAAAUAGACCAGACUGCAUUAUAAUGGAAUCUGAAAUAAUGUGAAUCUUACUUCUUUCUUUAUUUGCAAGGAUAUAUACUUUGAAUACUCAAAUACUUCACACAUUUGUUCCGGAAUCCAGGACAUAGCAAGAGAGAGAGACCAGUCUUGGCUAUGGUUAAAGCAGCAUCUUGAAAAGAAAAAGGGGAAAAUAUGUCCCCUAACUAAAAAAAGAUGAGUGUUCCUAGGGAAAUUCUUAGCUUAAAUUUAUAACUCAAAAAAGAUGAUUGUUGUUAGGGAAAUUCUUAACUUGAAUAUAUAACUCAUAUACACUGUGCAGGUGGGAGAAUCCAUGGUUCAAUGAACAUGAUGAUGCACGAUGGCAUGAGAGUCCACAUCUUAUACCUUCCGGUGAUUUAACCAAUUAAUUCAAAAGUUUCAAACUCUCAUGUUAAAAUCCAAGAAUACAGUUUUAUAAUUUUUAUUAUUUUAAUGGGAGAUCUCGUGUGCGUUGGACUGCAUUAUAUAUGUAUAUAUAAACGAAUUUUCAACUAUUGAUUUGGAGUGUCGAUUUAAAGUAUUGUAAUAGCUUAAGAUGUUUAUUGAAUAAGAUGAAUCUAGCUAAGUCUUGGCUUUACCCAGCAUGAACAUUUUCUUUUUAGUUACAUACCUAGUAUGAAUUUAAUUUAGUAGUAAAAGUAUGGAACUGAUGGUAAAAAAAAUAAUAAACUAAUUUUUUUUUAAAAAAAAAAAAAGCUUUGGAAUGUUCUAUGCCUUGCCCAGACAACCUUGUUGGUCGCCCAUUGGAUAGCACGACCGAUUGGUUGGCCAACUCGCCUAGCAACCAGCCAACUUAUAUCUCUCUCUCUCUCUCUUAUUUUUUAUCUUUUUUUUCAACAAAUAAAACUACAUGCCACACACUCUAUAUACUAUUUUACUUGUAGCACAUACUUUUUUAAUCUACGCACACACAAGAUCAUUGCAGGACAAGCGUUGUAUUAUCAGCCACUUGAAGGUCAAUCAAAAUAAUUACACCUGGUGGCUUCAUUUUGUGUAAUGCCUAUCAUUUCAAAGUUAUCUUCAAACUUCUUUUUAUGUAUUGUAUAUAAUUUUAUAUAGUUAACUCUUUUUAUUAAUGCCUAUGUAGAUCGAUCCUAAUUUUGUUAGGUUAUUUAUUAUUUUAACAAUCCUGUAUUUAAAAUAAAACAUUAAUUUUUUAAUUAUAUUAGAAAUUUAGAUUUCAUUUAUCUCUUUUCAUGAUCAACUUGCAGAUAUUUUUGUUAUGUUAUUUUCUAUUACUUUUCCAUUCAAGUUUUGGAUUGAUUCUUUACCCUUAUUUUGAGAGGCAUAAUAUAUAUCAAGGAAACAUUAAUAUGUUUAAUCACUAUUAUACAAGGUUGGUUAACUAAUAAGUUAAUAUAUAAUUCCAUUCAAAACAUUACACUUUCACUAUUUGUUUUUUAUUUUUUUUCUUUUAAUAUAUAUAAGAACUUAUAUAGCCUAUCAUUGAUAAAUAAAUAAAUAAAAUUUGCUUUAAUGGAGUCAUUUUAAAUUUCCUUUAACUCAACUUAUUGACAAUUUUCUCUUAAAAUUUAUUCAUUUCUGAUAAUAUAUUGAUAAAACACACCUUUAAUUCAUUAUUUCAACGGGAAAGUACUUAAAAGAUACUACAAGUUCAAAUUAUUAUUACAACAUCUAGACACACAAUAUUCCAAGAUGCUUUUUCACUCCUAACCUUCUAAAAAAAGGCGAUCACAUAAAAUCAUGACAUCUGUUGAUGAAGAUCAACCUGGAUAGUUACUUGGGCUUUGUCCAGAGAUAACGAAGUUUAUGAACACGAGGAAGACUAUACGACGUCAGGCACCUCCAAUUGUAGACAAGCAUGAAAAACGAGAUGUAGUAGACAUAAUGCGAGAGCUUUCCUUCAAUAAUUUGGUUGACGGAUGGCGGAAGAAUCCAUUGAAUAUAAAGCAAUGUUUGAGCAACGAAAAACGCGAUCCCCACCACUAUAAGGAUGAUUGCGAACACCCCAUAAUUGGAUCCACCUAAUGCUAUGCUCACGGCAAAAAAGAAUGACAAGCACAUCAUGUAAAUAGACCCACCCACCAUUAAUGAUGAAAACCAAACUGCAAAUGGUGCAAACUUGACAUCGUUCAAGUUUGUCCAAAGAAGGAUUAUAGCUGCCACCACAGAGGUAUUUAAAGCCCACACAUCAAGACACAAAUAACCAUCCAAAAGAGAUGAACCAGUAGGACUGUCAAAAGCAGUGCUGUUCCGGGAGGCAGCAGUAGUGCUCGAGUUAUUUUUAUCCCUUAGUUGUGGCAUCUGUAUAGCACCCGCGAAGGUUACACCAGCAACAAGCACCGCUACAACAAGAAGAUUCUCUAUCCUGCUCUUUGUUUCCUGUUUCCUUGGCGGCUUGCCUUGAGUACUAGUGAAACGCUCAUAUUGGGAUUUCUUAGGGCGGGCAUGGAAGUAUAAGAUAGAUAAUGUGUCAUCUGCAUAGCAUGGGGAAACAAACUUCGUAAUAAUGAGUUUCUGGCACUUCCUCAAUCGCAUGCAAAAGCUUUUGCCUUGAAAUCCCUUUUUUUUUUGAAGAACAAGCACGAUUCUGGAAUGAUUUCUGAAUUUUGAAAAUAACUGUGUAGAAUCUAAAUUAAUCGGCCUUCAAGUAGAUGUUCAAAAGAAUAGGGAUGACUAGAAAAAAUAUAGGAAAGAAGAUGUGUAAUAUUACCGUUCCAUAAUAAUCAAGCAGCUUGUAGUGCUUUGAAUCAACUGCUUUGUCCUGUAAAAAACAUAUUUUUAAGUUAAUGAAUAGAGCUACCUCUUUUUUCUUUCUUCCCUUCUUUCCUUUUGUGCUGGCUAGCCAACAAUAUAAGCCACUGAAACUGAUGAUCAGCCCAUUUUGGAAAGUAGUUCUUUGAGCUUAGAAGAGAUAAUUAACCUCGAUUUUGUGUAGUCAAUGUAAACUUGUACCUUUCCUUGAGAACCAGUCGAAGCGGUCGCCUUUUCUGUUGUAGAAUUCUUCUUUCCAUCCUUCACAUCUUCUGAAUUAACUUCGAUCUGAGGAAUGAAGACAGAAAUCAUGAAGCAACGCAGAGCAGAUAAUUGUACAAAUUACUUGACAUGAGCUCUUCUGACAAAGGAUGAUUGAGUAUAUCAAAGAACCACUCAACUCAAAAGCUUUAACAGCUAAUUGAGGUUUAAGGAUACGAUUUUAUAUUAUAUCUUUAGUCCUGAAUUUCAGUCAGCUUUUAAGAGUGUUAAGUUAUAUACUCUGUUUCCAUUCUUUCAUGACAUCAUCCUUUAUUAUGUAAAAUAUGAUAUCCUUUAGUGAAAUGGAAUCCUUGUCUACUUAAAUUGUAACAACAUUGUUUUUCAACAGAACUCUCAUACCUGGAUCUCGUCCGCAGGAAUACUGUUCUUUGAAUCAAACUGCUCUCGUUCCUUAGCAAGCUGGCAACAAAGAGGAAACCCAGACACCAAAAUAUUAAAUAAAUAAUACUCUUAAAAUAUGUACUUUUGUAGCCUCGAUAAAUGAUGAUCAAAUAGCAUACCAUUUCAUCUGUUUUGUCAUAUUGGUCUACAGCCUUUUGAGAUUGUUGUUUCGCAACAUCAUAUGGUGUAAAAUUUUCAUUGUUAGCAAUUGAAUUUUCAACGCGUUUGUCACGCACAAGAACAAAUGCAACCAUGGAUUGACCAUGUCGUGCUGCCAAAUGCAAAGGUGUAUUCCCAUCCUCAUCCAUCUCAUUUAGCAGUGGUUCUACGAUCUUCUGAUCGUUUUCGAGUAUGUACCUUACCACAUUACCCUGUCCAUUUUCUGCCGCUACAUGAAGAAUAUUCUGCCCCUUUUUAUUCAGGAAUUCUUUAGGAUAUGGGGUAAUCUUCAGAAAUUCCUUUACUACAUCAACAGAGUCAUUUUUGCAUGCAACAUGGAUAGGAUAGUUGCCAUCACUGUUUGUUUCAUAAGCACCAUUGAGAAACUUCUUCAAUAGGAAUUGAACUCCUUCCAGAAAACAUAUGGAUGAUGCAUAAUGCAGUGAAUUUCCCAACUCUUCGGCAGUGAGACAUAAUAGCUCUGGCUUUGCUUUUGCAAUUUUCUCCAAUAGAUCUGAAAAUCAAAAGAAAAUGUUUCAAAUGAAUAUAAAGAUGAUAGGUUUGAAACAAUUGUUUGUAUGCAAAUCAUUUUCUAGUGAGUAUAGACAUUGUGAUCACCUAUAUUACGUUGCUCGAUGGCAGCAUGAACAGGGGAUUUUCGUUUUGGUAGGGCAUCACCAUCUUCUCUUGUUAUAGGAAUCGAAGCUCCCAAAUCCAAGAGAUCAUCAAGUAUCCCGUUCUUAUUGCCAUUCUCAACAGCCAGAUAUAAAGGAGACCUGCCAUUCUUGUUGCUGUAAUAGGCCACUUCUGGAUCUCUGGAAACUAGGAAUUUGGCAACUUCUUUGUUACACUUGAUGACUGCGUCGUGCAAAGGAGUGUUUCGCUUUACAUUUGCCAUCCUCAUCAAGCUCGGAUUCAAUUCCACGAGAGAUUUAAUUGUACGAAUAGCCGUUCUUUCUUGGCAGCAAGAUGAAGGACUGUGUCGUUCUGGCUGUUUCGCAUGGUGAUUAGAGAAGGAAACUCUUUAACCAGAUAAGCUAUAAUAUUGUCACUUCCAUAGCUUACAGCUACGUGAAGCAGUGUAUUCCCGCAGGGAGUCACUAGCUUCUCUGUUAAAUGUUGCUGAAAACGUCUUUUCAAGGUCUCAGUAUCGUCCUGCUUCACACACUCAUGUAACUGACUAUCUAUCAUUGCAUUUUCCAAGUGAUCUCUCGGAAUCGAGUUUUCAUCUAUGUUUAUCUCAACGGCACUAGACAUAGCAAAAGAAAAUAUUAGGUUACUUGAAUCAGCUAUACCUAUCACUUAUCAGACAGCAGGACUUCUAAUUCAAAUAGGCUAGACUGCAUGUCAAUGGAAUCUGAAGUAACGUGAAUCUUAAUUACUCUUUUUUUUAUUUGCAAGGAUACUUUGAUUAUCAAAUACUUCACCCAUUUCGUUCUGGAAUCUUGGCUAUGGUUAAAGCAGCAUCUAAAAAAGGAAAAGGAAAAGGAAAAGAGGAAAAUUCUUAACUUGAAUUUAUAACUCAUAUACAGAGUGCAGUUGGGAGAAUCCAUGGUUUAAUGAACAUGAUACACGAUGGCAUGAGAUUCUUCAUCUUCUCGCGGUGAUUUAACUAUUCAAUUCAAAAGUUUCGAACUCUAACGUUAAGCUCGAGUGGUUAGCGCCUGAAGCAAGCCGAAGUCGCGGGUUUGAUCCCCCUGGACGCACAAUUUUUAGUUUUCUAAAAAAUAAAACACAUACAAGUUUUUCCCCCUCAAAAAUAGGUUUCUAUUGAUUUUUUUCAUUUAGUAUUGAUUUCAAAGUAAAUUAAUUUUUUUAUUGAUAUAAAAAAAACAAAAACUCAAUCUAAUGAAUUUUGAAUAGUAAAUGUAGCGGAUUAACUAUGGUGAACUUGACUUGAUUCUUUACUUUUCUGUUUUUUUUUUUUUUUUUUUGCAUUUAUACAGUCAAUAAGAUCAUGUCAGAUAAUUUUUAUAAAAUUUAAUUUAAAACUAGAGUUGAGUAAAAUGUCGUGUCAAGUGUUUUUGACAUUUUAAUUUUUAUACCAAAUUUAUAUAAAGCUGAAAAAUUGAUACAGUUUAGUUAUUAUUUUUAAUGUUUAAAAAGAAUUAGGAUGAACUAUAUAUGGUAAUAUACAAUACAAGUUGCUUGUUCUGAAGGGAAAAAAAGAAGCACUAAAUCAUCUCCGAAUUUGAAUUCAAUGAUUUAAACUUAACGAACAAAAAGAUGAUAGAAGAAAACAUGCGAUGAUCUCAAUCCAAAAAUAAAGAAAUAAAGGUUCAAAUUUAUAAUUCUCUUAGAAAAAAGUUGAAUAAUUAAAGGUUUAUGAGCAAUUUCAUAUUUAAAAGGGUGUUUUUGAAAGUAUAGAAUAUAAACUUAUUGAUCAAAGAAAAUUUUGAUUGAAAUCAUUGGUCUUUUACUUCCUAAAACUCAACCUAUUGAUAAUUUCCUCGUAAAAUUUAUUCAUUUCUGGGAACAUAUUGAUGGAGCACAUCAAAUUCGUUAUUUCAACUGGAAAUGGAAAAGUUAUUACAAGUUCAAAUUAUUAUUACAGUAGUUACACACACACACAAUAUAUAUCCCAAGAUGUUUAUUCAUCCCGAAACGUUUUAAAAGAGGCCAAUUCCACAAAAUCCUGACAUCUCUUAUGAACAUCAACCUGGAUAGUUACUUCGGUUUCUCUUGAGAUCAGGAAGUUUAGGAAUCUUAAAGACCUACCUCCAACUGUAGAAAAGCAAGAAAAACGAGAUGAGGUAGACAUAAUGCGAGAGCAUGACUACAAGAAUUUGGUUGAGUACAGAGGGUGGAAGAAUCCAUUGAAUAUAAAGCAAUGUUUGAAUAUUAUAUGUGUGUAUAUUUAAUUCUACUAUAUUGUACAAGUUUGGAACCUUAUUCUUACUUACAAAAUUAUCUCAAUUUAAAAAUUUAUGGAACUUUAAAUUCAAGAAUGAUUUUUUUUAUUCCAAUAUAUUUUUUAUAAAGUUUUUUGUGCCGAAAUCUUCUUGUCCAAGCAUUUAAAAGUUCAAUAUCACUCUUAUUCUUUUAAAUAUAUUAUAUAAAUUUGAGUAAUGGAUUUGUGGAAUUUUCAAACUUGAAAAACUUUCAUUUAGUAUACUGUGGCAUAGUAUACUGUGGCAUAGAGUUAGCACAAAAUCAUUUUUAUGGCUACCUAAAAUUUAAAAUUUUGAUUGAUAUAGUAUUUGAUCGUCUUCACCAAUAUAGUGAAGCUGUUGCUAGUUUCUUUUGAAACAUUGAUGUUACUAUUCUGGCCUAAAUGCAAGUCAAAGAAUGAUGAACUAUAUAAAUGGUAGUAUACAAUACAAGUUGAUGAAUCUAAUUAAAAGAAAGUGAUUUGGAUCCAUAGACUAGUCAUACACUAAAUCUCAAUAUUGAUUCUGAAUUCCAUGAUUUAUAUUAGUUUAGGAACAAAAAAUAAGUAAGAUUUAAAUUAUUGUUAUUUUUAUCGAGCACUACAUCAUGUCCAUUCCAUUAGAAUAUAAACUUAUUGAUCAAAGAAAAUGAACUCAACUUGACAUUUUUCUCUUAAAAUAUAUUUAUCUAUGAGAGAACAUAUUGAUAGAACACAUUCAAUUCAUUAUUUCAACCGGAAACUCAGAAGUUAUUACAAGUUCAAAUUAUUAUUUCAAUAGCUAGGCACACACAAUAUUCCAAGAUGUUUAUUCAUUCCCAAAAAUAACCUUUUAAAAGAGGGCAAUCCCUCAGAAUCCUGACUUCUCUUGAUGAAGAUCAACCUGGAUAGUUACUAGUUCUUUCUUUCUACAGAGAUCAGGAAGUUUAUCAGUCAGCCACCUCCAACUGUAGACAAGCACGAAAAACGAGAUGUAGUACACAUAAUGCGAGACCAAUCCUUCAAUAAUUUGGUUGACGGAUGGUGGAAGAAUCCAUUGAAUAUAAAGCAAUGUUUGGGCAACGAAAAACGCGAUCCCCACCACUAUAAUGGUGAUCGCGAGCACCCCAUAAUUGGAUCCACCUAAUGCGAUGCUCACGGCAAAAAAGAAUGACAAGCACAUCAUGUAAAUAGACCCACCCACCAUUAACGAUGAAAACCAAAGUGCAAAUGGUGCAAACUUGACAUCAUUCAAGUUUGUCCAAAGAAGGAUUAUAGCUGCCACCACAGAGGUAUUUAAAGCCCACACAUCAAGACAUAAAUAACCAUCCAAAAGAGAUGAACCAGUAGGACUAUCAAAGGCAGUGCUGUUACGGGAGGCAGUAGCAGUGCUGUUAAGUUCAUGAAGAUGCUCACUCUUGUUAUUUUUAUCCCUUAGUUGUGGCAUCUGUAUGGCACCCGCGAAGGUUACACCAGCAACAAGCACCGCUACAACAAGAAGAUUCUCUAUCCUGCUCUUUGUUUCCUGUUUCCUUGGUGGCUUGCCUUGAGUACUAGUGAAACGCUCAUAUAGGAAUUUCUUAGGGCGGGCAUGGAAGUAUAAGAUAGAUAAUGUUAUCAUCUGCAUAGCAAGGGGAAAUCAACUUCAUUAUAAUGAGUUUCCGGCACAUCCUCAAUCGCAUGCAAAAGCAUUGGCCUUGAAAUCCCUUUUUUUUUUUUUCAGAACAAGCAAGAUUCUGGAAUGAUUUCAGAAUUUUGAAUAUAUUUGUAUAGAAUCUAAAUUAAUCGGCCUUGAACUAGAUGUUUAAAAGAUUAGGGAUGGCAAGAAAAAAAUAGGAAGGAAGAAAAGAAAUAAUACCGCUCCAUAAUAAUCAAGCAGUUUGAAGUCCUUUGGUGGUGACUUUUUUGUGUCACGCUCCUUUGAAUCAACUGCAUUGUCCUAUAAAACAGAAACAAUUUUAUGUUAAUGAAUAUAAGCCACUGAAACUGGUGAUCAGCAAAUUUUUGGAAAAUAGUCCUUUGGGCAAAGAAAAUUUCAACACAACUCUUAUACCUGGUUCUUGUCCGCAGCGGUACUGUUCUUUGAAUCAAACUGCUUUCGAUACUCAGCAAGCUGGCAACAAAUAGGAAUCCCACAUACCAAAAUAUUAAAUCAAUAAUACUCCUAAAAAAUAUGCUUUUUUAGCUCAAUAAAUGAUGAUCAAAUAGCGUACCAUUUCAUCUGUUUUUUCAUAUUGCUCUACAGCUAUUUUGGAUUGUUUUUCAGCAAUAUCAUAUGGUGUCAAAUUUUCAUUGUUAACAAUCGAACUAUCAACGCGUUUGUCACGCACAAGAACAAAUGCAGCCACGGAAUGACCAUGAUUUGUUGCCAAAUGCAAAGGUGUAUUUCCAUCCUCAUCCAUCUCAUUUAGCAGCGGUUCUACGAGCGUCUUCUCUUGUCUGAGUAUGUACCUAACCACAUUGCCAUUUCCAUUUUCCGCCGCUACAUGAAGAAUGUUCUGCCCUUUUUUAUUGAGGAAUUCUUUUGGAAAUGGGGUAAUCGUCAGAAAUUCCUUGACUACAUCAACAGAGUCAUUUUUGCAUGCUAGAUGGAUAGGAUAGUUGCCUUCAUGGUUUCUUUUAUAAGCACCAUUGAGAAACUUUUGUAAAAGGAAUUGAACUCCCUCCUGAAAACCUCUGGAUGAUGCAUAAUGCAGUGAAUUUCCCAACUCUUUGUCAGUGAGACAUAAUAGAUCUGGCUUUGCUUUUUCAAUUUUCUCCAACAUAUCUGAAAAACAAAAGAAAUUGUUUCAAAUGAAUAUGAAGAUGAUAGGUUUGCAACAACUGUCUGUAUGUAAAUCAUUUUCUACUGAGUAUAGACAUUGUGAUCACCUCUGUUACGUUGCUCGAUGGCAGCAUGAACUGGUGACUUUCCUUUUGGUAGGGCAUCACCAUCUUCACUUUCUAUAGGGAACGAAGCUUCUGUUUUCAAGAGAUCAUCAAGUAUCCCGUUCUUAUUGCCGUUCUCAACAGCCAGAUAUAAAGGAGACCUGCCAUUCUUGUUGUUGUAAUAGGCCACUUCUGGAUCUCUGGAAACUAGGAGUUUGGCAAGUUCUUUGUUGCCCUUGAUCACUGCAUCAUGCAAAGGAGUGUUUCCCUUUGUAUUUGUCUUCCUCAUCAAGCUCGGAUUCGAUUCCGCAAGAGAUUUAAUUGUACGACUGCCUUUCCUUCUCUGGCAGCAAGAUGAAGGAUUGUGUCCUUCUGGCUGUUUUGGAUGGUGAUUAGAGAAGGAAACGUUUCAGCCAGAUAAGAUGUAAUAUUGUCACUUCCAUAGCUUACAGCUACAUGAAGCAGUGAAUUCCCAGCGGGAGUCUGUAGCUCCUUUGCUGAACGUUUUCGAACACAGCUCUUAAAUGGAACAACGCUGUCAAGCUUCACAAAUUCAUAUAAUGAAGGAUCCAUCAUUUCAUUUGGCUCAUGAGGCUCAUCGUCUAUUUUUAUGAGUAGAGUACCCAUAGCAGAAGAAAAAUAAUUAUGUUAGCACUUGAAUCAGCUACAAAUCGGGGUGGAACUUUAUUUGAAUAGAACAGAGUGCAUUUCAAUAGAAUCUGAAGUGAUAUAGAUGUUACUUUGAUUUCAUUUGCAUGAAUAUACUUGGAGUACUCGAGUCCUUCUCCAAUUUGUUGCGCACAACCAUUACUCAGCAACAUUAUCAUUAUUAAAUAUUACUAGAGAAUAAUAUAAAUAAUAUUUUUAAUUUUUAAUUUUUUAUUUCAAUUUUUAAGUUGAGAUAAUUCUUUAAUAUAGUUUUAAAACUUUAAUAAAUAAAAAGUCUCGAGUUUAAAUUUUACUAUUUUUAUUCUUGAUUUUUUCUUAAAAAAAUAUAUUAGAUAAUAAUAUAAUUUAUAUCUUAAAAUUUUAUUUAAUAAUUUAAAUUUUUAAAUUAAAAUGUUUUUUUUUUUGUAAUAGCAACCAAACCCAUAAAAGAAAAGGAUAAAAAUGUUCCAUAGGCGACUGAUUGUCCUUAUUCUUAACUUGAGAAUAUAACUCACUGUCCGAACACUCAAAGAUUAAAGGAACAGGAUCCACAAUGGCAUCAGAUUGGUUUAGGUAAAAAGAUCCAAAAUUUUUAACUGUUUAUCAGGAAGCCCGGGGUAUGUUUUAUGUUAUUUUCUUAUAAACAUAAAACUUCCAUAAAUUACUAUGUUGCACAAAAAUACCUUAAAUGAACUUUUUUUUAGUUAAGUUCUCAAAAAAAAAAAGUUUAUUUCAGCAUGAAUUUUUAAAUGAAUUUUUUGGAUCGUUUUAAUUCAUUAAUUUUAAAAAUAAUUUUUAUAAAAUAAAAAGAUAUCAUUUUAAUAUAUUUAAACAUAAAAAAUAUUUUAAAAAGUAAUCAUAAACACAUAGACACAUCAAAACCUACUUAAUUUAAAAUCAUCACUUGUAGAAUGGUGAUCAAGUAGAUCGUUGAUUGAAUAUAUAAGACCAAUAUUUAAGUAUUUGCUUUUACACAGUACGAGUUUAAUUGCCUUUGUGUCACACGUUUGGAACCUCAUUCUUUCUAAAGUGAAGAUGUAGGUGGUUCUUUUUACUCUCUUUUUUUAAUGUUCUAUGUGCUUGUCCCCGUUUAUAGAAAACAUAAUGACAUGGGAAGCAAUAGAAUGUGUGAAAUUCUUCUUACAUAAUCAUCAAAAUCCAUAGGUUAUAAAUCAAUCCAUUUGUAGUACAGUCAUAACGUCUGUAUCCAAUAAACUGCAAUUAAUCAUUAGGGACUAAACUUCAAAUCUGAUUCAACUCUUAGGGACCCAAUUUAAAUCUGAUUAUAAAAAUUAACGACCAAAUCAUAACAAUUCAAACUCCAAGGACCAGGCUAUAAUGAUUAUAAAUUUCCAUGGAUUAUAUUGUAUCUUUACCUUCUCCUUCUCGAGAGUUUCUGCCGAUUCUCCUUUACCGACAGUGGCUUAAUCCUUUCUGAAUCAUCUUCUUAUUUCUUUGGGACAUACUAAUCUUGUGCGGUAAACGUAAAUGCACAUGCAAUUAUUUAACCAUUACUAUCUUUUUUUAUUUUUUUUAUCUUAAAAGUUAAUUUUAGUUGCUAAGAAAUGAUUAUUAAUCUAUAAAUAUGUCAUAUAAAUUCAAUUUAUUUAUAUAAAUUAUAUAAAAAACAUUUAAAGAUAAAUUACAAUAAUCUCUUUGAAGGAUUAUAAAAUAAAUAAAUAAAAAACUUAAUUACUUUUUAAAAAAAUACUAAAAAAUUAAAAUAAAAUAAAAACAAGAUAGAGUAUUAAUUAAAAUUUAAAUAAAAAUUAAUGAAAUGUUUAUUAAUAAAAGUUAAGCGAUGCUGGGAAUACCAUACCAAGCCCACGCGCUUGGCCAAGGAUCAAUAAACAUAAGUGUGCUUGAUACUAGAAGCCCAAGCCAGCAUUCCCGGCUAAUUUUUUUUCUUUCUUUCUUUUGAAGUUUUUUCUUGAAAUAGACAAGUUGUUUAUUAUGCAAAAAUUAUUUGUUAUCCUCUCCAUCUUUUUACUCUUACCUCCUGUGUUUGAAAAAUAAAAGCUGAAGUUUUAAACUAUCACCUUAAUUAAACUUUCAUUAAAAAAAUAAAUUCAUUAACACCAAUUUUAAUCUUUUUAUGAUUGAAAUCUAUCCUUUAAAGCAUUUUUUCUCUCUUUAAUAUUUUUUGCUAACUUUUUAUCUUCUCUCUCAAUAUCCAGACACUAAAUUAUUAUUAUUUUUAAAAAAAGAUUGGACUAAAAUAUGAAUUGCUAUAACAACAAGGAUCAAAUAAUAGAUAAGUUGAAACUUUAUAUAGCAAAUUAAAGUUUUCCAUACCAAUAUUCAAAUGGGGUUUUUUUUAUUAAAUUUGGUCAAGUUCUUAAGUUUUUUUUUAACUAAACAUAAAAUUUUACUUUGCAAAAUCAAUUUUUAAUUCAUUGUUGUAAAAUUCGUUGACAUUUUGUAUAUGUAACACAAUGAAAAUUAAAAAAACAAAUCUUAACAUGUAAAACUGUUUUAAUAUAAUUUUGAAAGAUUAUAUUUUAAUUAUAGUUUCAUGAUCAAAAUUUUUUUAAAAAAAAACAUUUGCAUGAAUAGUGCAAUAAAUAAUGAAUCUCGAUCGAGAAGAAGAGUAACAAUACACAAUAUUAAUAUUAAUAUUAAUAUUAAUUCCAUAAAGUAAUAACUGAUAAUCCAUUUUAAUUAUUCGAUUAAUCUAAACCUCAUAACAAUACAUACAAUCCCUUUGAGAGUGCUUUUAUUUAUUUGCGAAAUUGCAAAUAAGUGAAUAACUACGAAAUGAGCAUUGUACCUCUAAAUCAAUGCCAGACAUUAAUUUUCAAAUAAGGAUAAUAUAGUCUAUUCGCUUUAAUUUUAUUUUAAUUUUAAUUCCAUCUAAGCCUUGUUUGUUUCCCGGAAAAUAGUUUCCGGGAAACCAUUUUCCAAACUUUCCUGUGUUUGUUUGUCAUUAGGAAAGUUGGUCAACGGAAAACAAUUUCCGGUCAGCGAAAAACACUUUCUAGUCAACGGAAAACACUUUCCGGUCAACGGAAAACACUUUCCAGUCAAUUUUAGUAAAAAAAAAAAAUUGACUUGGUUUUCAGAAAUAUUAAAAAAAACACUUUCCGGAAGUUGUGAAAGAUUUAGAAAUAUCAUUAUUUGCUGAUUAUAUCAAAUUUGAUCCUCAAACGUUUGAUUGUUAUAUAUAUUUUGUUUUGAUUAUUUAUUUUUCAAUUUCAUCUCUUAAAAUUUUAUUUUUAUAUUAACUUUGGUCCUUAUUUUUAUAAUUGCUAUUUGCUUUUUUCUUAUCAUUUUUUUAUUAAAAAUUUUUAUUUAUCAAAUUUGAUCCUCAUUCUUUUGAUUGUUACUUAUUUUAUUUGAAAUAAUUUAUGAAAUGUUGAUUAUUAUUAUUUUAAUUUCUUCAUUUUUCAUUUUUUUUAAUUUUUUAGAUUUGAUCCCUAUUAUUUUGAUUAUUAUUUGUUUUAUUUGAGAUAAUUUAUGAAAUUAUAUUUUUUUUUCAAUUUCAUUCUCAUUCCACUUUUUAAUUUGUAAGAUUUGUUCCUUAUUAUUUUAAUAAACUUGAGAAAAAUAAAAUAUUAAUAAGUUAUUUUCAGCUCAUUUUCCAUGACAUAACCAAACACUGGAAAGUAUUUUCCAGUUUAUUUUCCAUAACAACCAAACAUCGGAAAAUACUUUCCGGAAUUCACUUUCCAGGAAUUCAUUUUCCCCGGAAUUCACUUUCCAAAAGGAAUUCACUUUCCUGCAAACAAACGGAGUUUUGUUGGGCCUUGGCAUUUUUUUAGUAGAUUUCUACAGUUUUGUUCACAUUACAGCCUACCAUUUUCAAGAUGUCUACCUAUGGAUAAUCAUAUCUCACUUGAUUAUAUUUUGAAAGCCUUUUGAGGCAAAGAUGAUGAGGUUUUUAAAAAUUUUUUGUGGAAGGUCCAUCUAAUUUUUGAAUAUAAAAAAUCUUAUUUCUUAUCUUUAUUUUCAACGUAAAGUAUAUUAAUAAAAAGAUAAAUCUUAAUUUUGUUUCUUAUAUUCUUAAAUAUAAAAAUGUUCAUUGUAUUAUUUGAACCUUUUAAUUAGAGUGGAAGUUUAAUUUCAUCACUUUUUUACGAGGUUUUUUUUUCCAGUGGAUAAUCUGAAAAAAAUCUAAGUAAGAGAAACUAGAUUCGUUUCAGAGGGUAAAUUUAUGCAUAGAUAUACAAAGGAGACCAACUUCCUCAAUGCAUAAGAAAUAAAGGUAUCGAAAAAGUGAAGUUAGGCUCACUUUCCUUCACCAGCAUAUACCAUGCGUUUACCUUUCCAAUAAUUAGAAGAAAGCGACUUGUAUGGAGAGAGCUCUCUGAAUUUCUUAUAUUGAAAUUCUAUAGGUGUCUUUACAUUUUGAUUACAGUUUUGACACGUGUGCGGCGAAAAAUUAUAUAGUGUUUGUUUCCAUUUUCUUAAUCUACCAUGUAAAUCUAUAUAUAUCUAUAGGGAUACAAAAAACAAUAUUGUCUUUUAUUGGUAGAAAAUGGAAUGGGAGUCACCACCUAGUAUUUUGGUCACUAGGAACCCUAACUGGUCUCAGAGAUUGGGUACGGGGACUGGUUGCGUAAAGGGAAGGUAUUAGCACCCCAAAUACGCCCUACCUAAGGUAAGCUGCGUUGUUUUAUUGUCUGAUAAAAACUAAGGUGUUAUUGUGUUUUCCUAGUUGCUGAUCUGUCUAUGGUUCAAGAAAAAUCCUCCUCGGUAAGAAGGUCUUUAUCUUAUCGGGUAAAAUCCUAACCGUUCUAACGUCCAUACCAAAAUUUCAUUAAUAAUAUUUAGGAAUACGUUUUACGUAUAAAUUCGUAAUCCCAAAUACUAAAAGAAAAGAAAAAGAUUUUUUUAGAAUUUUUGAAAUAUUGGCCUAGUUCUCAUGGCUUGAAUAAACUGGUUAUUAAAGCCAAAAUGCAUGCUAAUACAUAUAUUGUUUUGAAAAUUUUCUUUGUUGUGAAAAUAUGAUGUUAUAAUAUUUAUAUAUAUAUAUAUAUUGGAGAGACUAGGUUAUUUAUGCUUUGACGAAAAUCGGGUAUUUUAAUACUGGAUUUGUAUCUUUACGGUAUAAAAAUACAAACCAACAUUAAGCCAUUUUGACAAAAAUAUGUAGGAAAAUCAAAAAUAUUUUUCAAAGAUUUUUCAAAAUUUAUUAUUAUUAUUAUUAUUAUUAUUUUUAAUAUAAUAUAUACACACACAUAUAUAUAUUACAAUUUAUAAUAAUUUAUAUAAUAUAUUAUAUUAUGGGGCUGGGCCGGCCCAAAUAAAUGGGCCAGGCUCAGCCCAACAAGAGAGGUUGGGCCGAACUCGGCCCAGACUGAGUUGGGCCGAUCUCGGCCCAACAGGCCUCAUGCUUCUUCUGGUCUGGGCCGGACCCGGCCCAGAUCUAAAGGCUGGGCCAGAACCGGUCUGGCCUAGGGGAAAAAAAAGAAACGGGGAGGGGAAUUAAUUUUCCCCUCCCCUCCUCCUGCAUGCAACUGGCUUAUGCAUGCAGGAGGAGAACCUGUUUUAAAACAAAACGAUGCAGGGGAAGAGGACUUUACUUGGCGCGGAGGAAGCGGUCGCUGGUGGUGUUGCGGUGGCAUGGCUCGCGUACGGCGGCUCGGGGCGGUGCUGUGGCGGUUCGAACGGCGGAGAGAAAGAGAUUUCGCUUUUUCGGUGGUUCUCCUUAUGCUCGGUUGUUUUUUUUCCUUUUUUUUGUUUUCAGUUUGCUCCUUUUCUUCCCUCUCACUCUCGUUAGUUCUCUCUCUCGUUAGUUCUCUCUCUCUCCUCCCUUUCGGUCUCCUCCUCCUUUUUCCUUUGUUUUCGGGUAGUCCCCUGUAUAUAUAGGGGAAGAAAAGGUUGGGACCAUUGUUAGUGCAUCUUGGAGCGGGUUUUACGGGCACCUGGUUGGCCACCACCCGCGACAGCAAAGUGCCGCUCCCUUGCUUUCGGCGGGGCGAGCGACCGGUGGUCGAACAUUGGGUUCGGUCGGUGGUCCAGUGUUUCGGGUUGGUCGGUGGGUGCAAGGAGAGAGAGGCGGGAAGAUUUUGAGGAAAAAAAAAAAACAAAGUUUCCUUCCUUCUGUUGCAGGUUUGGGGGGGGGGAGGAAGAUGAACAGUGUCGUUCAAAACGACACCGUUCUGGUCUCUUUUUUUUUUUUUUUUAACAUGAAACGACGUCGUUUUGGACAAAACGCGUCGUUUCAUUAAAACAGGGCGCCAAAACGCGCCAAACUUCAAAUCAGCCCUCAAUCAUCUUUAAUUCAUUUCAAUUGCAUCCCUGCCAAUUUCGAUCUCCGUCCCUCUUGUUGGCCGCGUUUUUCACUUUGGUCCUUGGCCUCUGAUUUAUGCAAUUAAGCCCUCAAUUGAUCAAUAAACUUCCAAUUUCUUCAAUUAGGCCCCUGAUCCAAAGCAAAACAGCCCCCUCUAUUUACCCGGUUUUUCCAAAUUGGUCCCUGGUUUCGGUUUUUCACAAUGAAACCCCUAAUUGGCCAUUAAACUUCAAUAUUUAUUCAAUUAAGCCCCUGAUUUGGCCUAAUAAAUUGCUAAAAAAUAUAUUUUGGCCCCAAAACUUAAAUUUCUUCUAAUUAAAGCCCAAAUUGACUUAAAAAACAAUUUUUCUUGCAAUCAAAACUCCUAUAAAUUCAAAUAAAAAUCCAAUCAAGUCCAUAAACAUCCAAAUUUGGGCUUUUCUCCCCAAAAAUUCAAUUUUUCCUUCUCAAUAGGGCUCUCAUCAUUCAAGAAUAUAUUGUCAAAAAUCCAUCUUUGUAUUUUUAACCUCCUUGACCGAUUUUUCUGACCAUUUGCUGAGCGCUUCUGCCUCCUGUUAUUUUUCUAACCUUCUUUGGAUAUUUAUUUUAUUUCAUUUAUUUGGGGACCUAAAAAUGGGUUACAACAAUAGUUUUUUUUUAUGCUUGCUUCAGUUAAAAGAAUUUUAAAUUUUAAAGUUAGAUAUUAAAUUUGAUGCUAACGAUCUACACUUCAGAUAUUAUCCAUGUAAGUCUAAACUUGUAGUUCUAGGCUUAAAAUGAUGUUUCUCAAAUAUAAAUUUAAAACUUAGUGAUCUUUUUUAUAUACAGAAAGCAAAUUAAAACUUGUGGAGUAGUCAAAUAACCUAAAUAUUUUGAAUACAAAAGAUAACUUAACAACUCAAAAUUAAAGAAUUUACAUUCAUUGGAUGAUUCUUCAACUUUGGCUAUCAAGGUUGUGCAAGAAGAUUAACUAGAUGUUGCUAAAGAUUUGAAAAUUAGAUAUACAAGGAAUAUUUGUGGUAUUACUCACGAUAACUUCACCACAAAUCAACUAAAAAAUCAUACCAAGAAGGCCAUCAUGAACCAAAUAGAAAUUUCAGUUUAACCUUUAUAUUAUUAAGAAAAGCCAUAAACAUAAAAGUUGAGCUAUCAACCAAUGAAGGUUCAACAAUUAGAUAGCAAAAGGAAUCUAAGGCAACAUGUGGCUCACUUUAUAGAGGCUUAUAACAAUACUAUACUUGAUGGUGAUCUCAUGGUAAACAAUUCAUUCAUUCUUUAAAAUGCUGAAACAAUUAUUUUUUAUUUUUUUCUUUCUGAAUGGUAAACAAGUACCGUGGGACGAAAACCGGGUAUUUUAAUACCGGAUUUAUAUUUUUAUGAUGUAAAAUACAGACCGAUAUUAAGCAAAAUUGAUAAAAUAAAUAAAUAAAAGUGCUGAAAAAAAUUGUAAAAUUUCUAAAAAAAAAAUAAAAAAAUUGAAAUGGGCCGGAUCCGACCCAUUACUAAAUGGGUUGGUUACUGUGCAUAAGCACAGUAACCAGCCUCUCAUCAGUUGCAGAACGUGAAUUAAUUCACGUUCUGCAUGAAAACAGAGAAGGAGACGCUGGCGUCGAGGCGGUGCUGCUGGCGGCGGAGGCACGAUGCCCGGCGGUUUUCCUUCUCUCUCUCUCCUCUAUGUUUUUUUUUCAUUUUCUUCUCUGCUUCUUCUCUUCUUUGCCUUCUCUCCUCUCUUCUCUCGGUCUUCUCCCUCUUCUCCCUCUCUUCUCCCUUCUAUUCUCUUUUUUCUUUCUCUUCGAUCCUCCUUGUCCAACACGUGGAAAGUGGUCGGAAAUUCGGCGUCUUUUUGAAGGGGAGGCGGCGUCUUUUUGAAAGAAAAUGUGGCGGUGAACAGAAGAAGAAAAAAAAUUCUUCUUCCCCUACUUCGCUGCAUGUCCAGGGGAAGAAGAUGAUGGUGCUGUUCAAAACGGCACCGUUUUGCGUUUUUCCUUUUUUUAUAUAAACAGUGCAUGAAACGGCGUCGUUUUGCCCAAAACGCGACAUUUCAUUUAAAUGGAUUUUGGCGCCAAACACGUCAGAUUCACAUUUCGGCCCUCCAUUUGCGCGUGUUUUACAAUUUAGUCCUUGGUCUCGGUUUUCUUCAAUUAAGUCCCUAAUUGGCCAUUAAACUUCAAUAUUUAUGCAAUUAAGCCCCUGAUUUGACCAAAUUAACUUCCAAAAAUUAUAAUUUGACCCCAGAAAAUUAAUUUCUCCUAAUUAAAGCCCAAAUUAACUCCAAAAUCAAUUUUUCUUGCAAUUAAAAUCUUUAUAAAUGCAAUUAAACCUUUAACAAAAUUUAAUUGAGUCCAUAAACUUCUGAUUUUGCAUUUUUCUUCCACAAAUUGAAUUUUCUUUAUCAUUGGAGCUCUCAUCAGUCAAUGAUAUACUGUCAAAAUUUAAUUUUUGAUUUUUGAACAUCCUCAAUCAGCAUUUUAGGGCGCUCUGACAUUUUUCACUGUUAUAUUUUUUUGAUAAUAUAUUUUUUGAAUUUUGUAUUUUAUUAUUUUUUAUCUGGGGACCCAGAAAUGGGUUACAACAACCUACAUGUUGAGCCCAAACAAAUAUGGAUUAUCAAGUUGUCAAACCCAAUAUCCUAGGGUUCACACUACAUGUUGAACCAAGUACAUAUAGAUCUAGAAAACUCAAUGAUAUUAGGUUCAGCUAUACACUAAGCAAAAAAAAUGGGGUUUACAAGUUGUUUAGACCUAAAAUCCUUGGGUUUAACUAUGCACUGAGCUCAAGCAUAUAUGAGUAUGGCAAGCUACCAAAUCCAACAUCCUUGUUGCUAAGCCAAAAAAAAAAAAAUAUGUGGCAAGCUUUCAAACACAACAUCAUUGGGAUCAGCUACGUGCUAAGACCAAGUACAUAUAGGUCUGUCAAACUACCAAACCUAAUGACCUUGGGUUCAACCACGUGUUAAGCUUAAACAAACAUAGGUUUAGCGAGUUAUCAGACCCAAUAUCCAUGAGUUUAACUAUAUGCUAAGCUUAAAUACAUAUAAGUUUGGUAAAUUGUCAUACCCAACAUCUUUGGGUUUAAUUACAUGUCAAGCCUAAACAAAUGUGGGUUUGGCAAUCUGCAAGACCCAUUGCUAAUGGACUUGACAUCAUGUCAAGCCUAAGUGGGUAUGGGUCUAAAGAUCAUUAUAAGCCUCGUAUUGGGCUAUAAGGCUUUCUUUGUUUAUUCUUAUGAUUUUUAAUAUUAAAUGUUAAUGUUAAGAAUACUCAUCUCUCUACAUUUAUAAAUAUAUAAGAGUCUUUUAAAAACCUACCAUAUUUUCAUCAGUAUUAAAUUAUUAUAUAAGAUAUAUUUAUCCCUCAUUAAUGAUGUAUAAGGGAUAUGUAUCCAAUGUCCAAACACUAAAAAACUUCUUUCUUAAACAUAUUAGAUUUUUCAAAUAUCAUAAACUGAUGAACAAGAAAUAGAUCUUUUUGCCAAGAGAAGAGUAGAGAGGAAGGAAAGGAUUAAAAAAACAAAAGAAUCAGCUACAAAACAUGAACUAUAUGACAAAAGUUGAUGCUUUACCAAGCUAUGUUCACCUAGCAACCGUAUCCUUGCCUAUAACAGAAACCCUAUCCAUUCAAUUAAUUAAGGAAACAGAAGAGGUUUAGCAAACAUGCAUAGUAAAUUAAUUUACACUUUGGUCCCUAAAAUCAAUAAUUGCUUUAAAUUAGGCAUCAAACAUUGAUUCUUUAAUUUGAUUUGAUAAAAUUUAAUUGAAAUUUAUCCCUAAAUUUCUAAUUUUGACAAUUAUAUUUUAUUUUUACAAUAAAAAUAUCUAUAUCAAUUUACUUUGAAAAUUUAAUACGAUCAAAUCAAGUUUUAGUUAAAAAAAGAUAUUCAAAGUUCAAAAAUCCUCUUAAGCAUAUUUUUCAAGACAUGUCUAUUUAUUUUAAGGCUAAGUGAACUCGUAUCAAAGGGGCAACAUCUGUAUAAACAAAAAUAUUGUACAAAUUCAAUUUUUUCAUGUCUUUUUUUAUUUUUAUUUUGACCUAAAAAAUUAAAAUAAUUGACAUCGAAAAUAAAUGGGCCUUUAUGUAUUUCUUGGCCAAUAAAAAAGUUGAAAAAUAGGAUGAGUUAUUUAAUUUAUUUUAUCAUCAAUGCAAGAUUUUAUAAUUGAAAAUCAACCAAUAACUGACAAUAAACUUUAAGUAGAAUUGAACAUUAUUAUUUUUCUAAUGAUAUGGUGAAUUUAAAUAUCCAAUACAAAUUUACCCAUUUAAACAUACUUAUUCAACAUUAUUAAUUUUUAAUUAAAAUUAUUUAUGAGAAUUAUUUAAAAAUAAAAUAAAAAGUCUUAAUGUAUAUUUGAUUUAAAUUCUGAAUUAUACUCAAUUUUUGAAAAUAAUAAUGCAAAUUAUGUCAUUAUUUUUUGCUUCAGUCGAUGUAUCCAAUUAUCGAAUAAAACUUUAUUAAUGAAUGUGUUCGCACAUGUACCUAUUUUUUUUUAUGAAUAUGUUCAGUACUAAUAUACCUACCAAAGCAUAUCUAUUCAACAUAGUUAAUUUUUUAUAGAAGAAUUUAUUGAUUAGUUUAAGAAAUCACAUCCUAUAAUAAAAUUAAAACUCUAGAUGCAUAUUCAAUUUAAAUUUAUAAUUAUGCUAAAUUUUUUAAAGUACUAAUUUAAAUUAUAUCAUUUGAUUUUGUUAGUUUGUUCUCAGAAAAAGAGCUCAAUUGAAAAUUAAUAGAAUAAGAUGUAAUUUAAAUAUUUUAUUAUAAUAAUAUUUAAAGCAGCUUAAAUGAUAUGAUCAUUAUUUAUAUCAUUUUAUCUUUUUUUUCCUUUUUUAUUAAAUUAUGAAUUAUUUAAUAUAAAUAAGGGAGGAGAUGAUUAGGUUAAAAGAAAUACAUUGAGUUGUGAUUAGAAUGUAACAAGAAAAUCUGAAAUAUUAAAUUUUAGAAAUUUUGACAAUUAAGUUUGGUAAACUGUCAAACCUAAUAUCUUUGAGUUCAACUACAUGUCAAGUCUAAAUGGAUGUAGGUUUGGCAAGUUGUAAGAUUUAUUGUCACUGAACUUAACAUCGUGUCAAGCCCAAGUGGGUAUUGAUCUAAUGAUCAUUAUAAGCCUCAUGUUAGGCUAUAAAGCUUUCUUUGUUUAUUUUUAUGAUUUUUUAACAUGAAAUGCUAAUGUUAAGAAUUUUAAUCUCUCCACACCUAUAAGUAUAUAAAAGUCUUAUAAGAGCCUACUAUAUUUUUAUCAUUAUUAAAUAUUGUGUAAGAGAUAUUUAUCCCUCAUUAAUGACGUGUAGUGUAAGAGAUAUUUAUCCAUUUUCUAAACACUUAAAAAAUUUAUUUGUAAGCAUAUUAAAUUUUAAAACAUCAUCAACUACUGAACAAGAAAUCAAUCUUUAUGCCAAGAGAAAAGUAAAGAAUAAGGAAAUUGUUAAAACAUAUAAAAAAAAAAAUCAGUUGCAAAACAUGAACCCUAUGACAAAAGCUUAUGCUUUGCCGAGCCAUGUUCAGCUAGCCACCACAUCCUUGCCUAUAACAAAAACCCUAUCCACACCAUUAAUUAAAGAAACAGAAGAGGUUUAGCAAACAUGCAUUGAGUAAAUUUUAUAAUUUACACUUUGGUCCCUAAAAUCCAUAAUUGCUUUAAAUUAGGCAUCAAACAUUGAUUCUAUCAUUUGAUUUCAUAAAUCUCAAUUGAAAUUGAUCCCUAAAUUUCUAAUUUUGAUAAUUAUAUUUUAUUUUUACAAUAAAAAUAUCUAUAUUAAUUUACUUUGAAAAUUUAAUACAAAGUUGGGAAAAAAAUUAUCAAAGUUAAAAAAUCCUCUUAACCGACAUGCCCACUUAUUUUAAGGUUAAGUGAACUUACAUUGAGGAGGCAUUUAUAUCAACAAAAAUAUCAUACGAAUCAAAAAAAUUUAUAUGUCUUUUUUUUAUUAUUUUUUACCUAAAAAAUUGAAAUAAUUGAGAUGAAAAAUAAGUGGAACAUUAUAUAUUUUUUAAGACAUAUCCACUUAUUUUAAAUAUUUUAUUAUUAUAAAAUUUAAAGCAUGCAGCUCAAAUGAUAUGAUCAUUAUUUAUAUUUUUAUCUCUUUUUUUUACUUUUUAUUUGAUUAAAUUAUGGAUUAUUUAAUAUAAAUAAGGGAGGAAAUGGUUAGAUUAAAAGAAUUACACUGAGUUGUGAUUAGAAUAUAACAAGAAAAUCUGCAAAAUUAAUAAUUAGAAAUCUUGAUAAUGAACAAAGGUUUUGGGACAAACAAGAUAAGGUGGACAAAUUAUCACAACGAGCCUGGUUUGAUUGGAUCGAGUAGAUAAGGUGAUUGAGAAUGUUUAGAGCGAGCCACAAAUGAUAUGACCUCGCACUUAUAUGAAGAUGUUACAAGGGAUGAAGUGAAAGAAGUCUUAGAAUAGAUGGAACCGAUACAAGUUCCAGAACCAAAUGAUAUCCUAGCUUUAAUAUUGUUGUCCUUCGUCCAUAAAUGAAACAAUUUAGGACAACAAUGUCUUUAAUUUGGAUCAUUAAAGAUAUCAACUUGGUUCGUCUUAACAGUAUUAAAAUGGCCGGCCUUAAAACAAGAAAAAAGGACAUGGCCAGGCAUUGACACGUUGCAAAUACGAUAAAGUCAACAAACAUCGUCCCACCCUUGCUCUAAUUUGAUGCAACAAUGUUUAAGGGUGCGUUUCUUUCUUAAAAGUAAUUUUCAAGAAUUUAUUUUUAAAAUUUUUCCUGUAUUUAUUUGUUAUUAAAAAAAUUGAUUAACAAAAAAUAUUUUUUAAUCAACGAAAAACAUUUUUCUAUCAAAGAAAAAUUUAAUUUGAUUUUCAGAAAAAUAUUUUUCUUUUACACAACAAGAAUUCACAGUUUUACUAACGAAAAUAUUCCGUCGGUAAAAUAUUUACCGACUAAAUUACCGAUGGAAUACGUCUGUCGGCUUAUCUUUCGUCAGUGAUUCCCCAUUUCGUCGCUAUAUCGGUCGGCAAAACAAAAAAACCAUUUACCAAUGAUUUUAUAGACGGAAUUUGUGCGCCAAAAAAAAAAUUCCCGCUUCAAUAAUACCGAUGGAUUGUUAUUCCGUCGGUGAUAUCACAAUUCAUCGAUGGUUAAUUUCCGUCGGUAAGUUAGUCGGUGAAUUGUUGAAAUACCAACAGAAUAUACCGUCUGUAAAUUCGUCGGUAAGUUAUAAUACCGACAGAAUUAAUCCGUCGGUAAAUCUGUUGGUGAGUCAUGAAAACACCGACCGAAUUUAUCCGUCUGGAAAUUUGUCGGUGAUGGUCGCUGAUACUGUCUAAUGCCGACGGAUAUAUUCCGUCGGUAAAUCCAUUUGUAAUUUUUUUAUAUAUAUAAUUAUUUAGAAUACAUAAUAUAAAAUGAUAUAAAUUAAUGGUAAUAAAAACCAAUUAUGCAAAUAAAAAUUAUAUUAAGCAUCAAAAACAAAAAAUGAAAGAUAAAUAAUAUUCAUUACAAAAUGAAAUUGUUCAAAAAAACAUUAAAUGAAAUUUUAAAUAUAAAUAAUGUUUAUCAAAAAUUAAUAUAAAGGAGGUUGAGGAGGAUCAGGAGGAGGAGGAGGCUGACUGUUAUGCGGCCAACUUGGAUUGGGUGCACAUGUUCCACCUUGUGACAUGUUUAUGACCAUUUGACGAAGCUCUUCAUAGGCCGCUCUUUGUUGUGCAGAUUCUGCUGUAUUGUUCUUUGAGUUGUGUGUAUGCUCUGAUAGGUGGUCGCACCUUUGCUGCAAGGCCACAACUCCUUAGAUUGGGAGCUCGAUAUGAUUGGGAGCUCCCGACGGUUGAAGCAGUACGGGUCGUCCGCAAGUGUCGGCCCUAGUGUUGGAGAGCCCGUAAACCCGAUUCUUAUCGGGUCCACCUGACGAUCCAGCCUCCAUCCACAAAUCCGGAUCGAAUUCCGGAUGGGUCGAAGGAUCGUCCCCGUAUGUCUCCCUCAACCGAUUAUUAUAGGUCUCCUGAAAAUAAAAAAAAGUAAUCAUCAUAUUCAAUUCAAUAAACAUAAUAAUAACUUACAAAAUAAAAUGGAUGAAUAAAAUACCACAAAAUGUUGAGCGACUGUCAACGAACUGUUGCACCCCCUUUUGGCGGUCUUGACUCCGCACGUGCGUCUCCACAAACAGCUCCAUAGGGCUCGGCUCACGUCCAAGAGACGUAGCCUAUAAUGAAAAAAAUUAUUAACAACAAAUUAAUUGAACGAUAUAUUUCAUUUAAAUUAAUCUUACCAUCCGUUUCGCAUGAGCAGCAAACGGAACGGAGCCGCCGGUGUGCGUUGUCACCGAGCCAUGAAUUGGCCGAUUCCGGUUGCCAGCACCGGACUGUGAGCGUCGUGUGAACCACUCAGGCAUCACGUGCUCAAGAUAGUGCGGCCAUAUAUCCUCCGGAUGUAUAUCGGUUUGAAAUCCCUCCAAACCGCAACAUCGUUCCAGCCUUGGAACCCCCUAUCCCUCGCAGUUUUUUUUGCCUUUUUUUGGGCUUCGUACCAAAAAUCACGCAACCUACUUAACGCAAUCAAAAAUUACAUUUCGAAACAUAAAUUUUUUUGUAAAAAAAAGUUGUAUUGUUUUCGAUGUUACCUAGUUGCCGCGUGAUUUUCCCACACCCUCCUCACAACAUUGUUAUGUUCCUCGUCCCAGCAGAAUCGAUUCUGUGUAUAAAAAAUAAUUUUUAAAAAUGUUAAUAAUUUAUUUACAAUUAUAUUAAGAAUUUAUUAGAAAUAAGCUGAAAAUUAUAUAUUAACACGAACCUCAAAUCUGGAAAACCAUGCAUUGAUUUGAGGCAUCCAUUCAGGAUGCCUGGAUAUCUGACUCCAUUGAAACAAUGGAAUCUCCAUCGACGCUUUAAACGCCGAUGAUAUUACUCGGGCGGCCUCAAUGUUUGUGAACCUGAAAAGAAUUGAAAUUAAUUAAAUAGUGACUUCAUAAAUUUGUUUUUUAAAAAAAAAUUAAAACCUUAACAAACUUACAUUGAAAGAUCGUCCUUCCAUUGUGCCUCGUACUUGCGGGUCCAUCGAUUCGCUGCGAAGGCACGCCGCUUCUGCGAUGUGAAACAUCGCUGGAAGAGGCAGCAUCAGCUGACGGCGCAAGUGGUGUAGGUGCCUCUUCUUGAGAGGCACCUAAGGAAAUGUCUUCGUCGCUGCUAGACGAACUAGAUGCGACCGUACGUGAAGCUCUGGUUUUCAUUCUCUGCAUUAUCUAACCAAUUUUAUAUAAAUAAUUAUAUAAUUCAAUUGAAAUGUUAAAAAAAUUCGCAGCACCUCCCCUAUACUUGGAUACUACCCAAAUCCACAAACCUGCAAAUAUUAAUGUCGCACCCCAAAAAAAAUCUAGCGCGCCAUCAUCGAUGGCGAUUUUUUCUCGUUUUUGUGUUUGCUUUGAAUUUGUUCGUUGGAGUCGCCACCUAGUAAUUCAUUGAGGGCUACUAGGAAACCUGAUGUACUGGUCUUGUCAGAGAUCGCGGGUAAGGGACUGGUUGUGGUUAGGGAAUGUAUUAGCACCCCUAACACACCCUACCUGAGGUAAGCUGCUUUGUGUUCUGAUGUGAUUUGAAAAUUUAAAAUAUUAAUUAAAUUCUAAGGCUUGAAUAAAUCAGUUAUUAAAUCCCCGAAUAUAUGUAGAAACUUGUUCUUACAUUUUCAUGGAAAAUACAACUUGAUUUUAUUUAUCCUUGAGAUAUUUAACCAUAUUUAAAUUAGCAAUUAAUUCUUUUUGUCCUUUUUUAUUUUUAAUUCAAUAAUAUAAAUAAAAAAAAUAAAAAAAACAAACAUACAAGCACACACAAACAUUUUUUUUUGUUGUUAUUUAUCACUUUCUCUUUUCUUUUCCUUUUUCUUCCAUAUUUAAAAAAUACAAAAAAAAACUCAAAACUAAAUAAAUAUUACAUUAAACAAUUUGGAAAAUACAAAAAUGACCCAAAACAAAUCCAGGAACAAUUCUGGGCUACAUUCUAAGCUACCUGAACACUGGCGGCGCGUGGAUUCACGUGCCACCGCAGAAAAAAUGGGCAACCGGUGGAUCCGGCUCGUCUCUGUUUCCUCUUCCUUUCCUCGCCGGUGUUACCUGCAAAAACAAACCAAAACGCAACAGGCAGUCGAUUUUAUUAAGAAUUUUUUUUAUUUCUUUUGUUUUCCCAAUCUUCCUCUCUUCUCCUUCAAAUCUGCUUCGGUUUUUUGCUUCUUCUUGUCCGAUCUGGCUUCUCCUUCUCUGUUUCAGGCGGCGGUGGAGUUAUGGGUGUCGCCGCUGCGGUCCAGGCGUUGAUGAAGGGGCUCGACCGGUGGGGCUGUCUUGUGGUUGAAAGAGGAGAGAACCGGCUGUGGUGGCUGCUCCGGUUUUGUUGGCUGCAAAAGGAGAAGAAAAUGGGGCCAGGACUGGAAGAGUGAGGGGGCCGGAGAUGGAGAGGGCUGUGUGGGGAAGAUGAGGUCGGCUGAGAAGGUCUGUGUGGGGGAAAAAAAAUCAACAUGGGGGCCGGCGGCUGGUUUUUCAGAGAAGAACACUAGGGAGAAAAAUUUAAAACCAGUGGGGGGAGUCGCCGCCGGCCCCUUUUUUUUUAGUGGGGAGAAAGAGUUGGGUUUUAGGGUUUUAGGGUUUUUGUGUUUUUUUCUGAAUGUGUCAAAAAUGCCCCCCUUGUAAAUGUUGGAAACCAAUAUUUAUAGGCAAAAAAUAUUGCCAAGUUUUCAAAAAUUGGUCCCUUAACUUUCUUUUUUUGUAAAAAUUUAAUUUUUCUUGUUUAUUUGUAUUUUUUGAAAACGAGCAAAUCAACGUCGACUCGAUGAGGAAAAUCAAUGAUUUUAAAAAACGACCCGUGAAAAGUCGAACGCGUUUGAAAAUCUUUUUGAAAAAUUAAAUUCUUUUUAGACGACGCUGAAAAUGCUAAAUGACGCGAAUAUAUUAAAAAAACAUAUUUUUUGGAUUUUCAUUGUUUUUCUCUAUUUUUUGGAUUUUUUGAAAAUAUAUCAAAAACAUGGGUCAAAAAUUGGGUAGCAACAAUUAACAAUAGCCACAACCAAUUGACCCAAUCUAUACUAAUUAUUCCAACAUAUUCAAUUACUAAUCCUAAGGUAAAUUCUACAUUAACAAUUACAAUUCAACAAAUUAUUCAAUAAUUAUGUCAAUACAACAAAACUAUAAAUUCAAAAUAAAUAGAAACAAUUAAACACAAAUCAUCAAGUUAGAGUAAAAUUAAUAAUUCUUCCAACAUAUUCAAUUACUAAAUCUAAGAUAAAUUCAACAUUAACAAUAUUAAUUCAACAAAUUAUUAAAUAUUCAUUAUGGCAAUACAACAAUAAAAUUAUUCUAAGGUAAAUUCAACAUUAACAAUAUUAAUUCAACAAAUUAAUCAAUAAUUAUAUAUGGCAAUACAACAAUAAAUUAUAUUCAAUAAAUUAAAAAAAAAAUAGACUAACAAUUAAAAUCAAUGGAAAUAAUUAAAUACAAAUCAUGCAAUAAUAGAGUAAAAUUACUAAUUAUUCUAACAUAGUCAAUUACUAAUUCUAAGUUAGAUUCCACUUUAACAACAAACAUUCAAUAAAUUAACUAAUACCAAUUAUAACAACACAACAAUAAAAAAUAUUCAAAAAAUUCAAAAAAAAAAAAACCUACAUCAAGAAAAGAACGAAAUAUACAUACCUUAAUAUGUCCAAUUCAAAACUUUAUCUACAUUAGAAAAAAAUACACCAAAACAACAAAAAACAAAAUAAAAACAAGUACAACUAAAAUAAAAGAAAAUAAAAUAAAAUAGAAAAAACCACAUACCUUUAUUCAAAAUCUUGCAAGAGAUUCAAGGUGAAAGCCUUGAAGGAUUGAGAGCAAAAAACUGAAAAUUACAGGGUAGCGGAGGAGAAGAAAAAUGGAGGAGAAGACAAAAUGGGGGGAAGCGGCGGGCGCUAAAUAUUAUUAAUUUUUUAAAUCCGUUGGUAACAGGUAAACAAUCCGUCGGUAAUUUUUGAAUUUCACACCAAAUUUUUUAAUUGCGCUCCAAAUUUUUCGCGGUCCUUCGGUAAAUUUGACAUGGUCAGAGGUGCAUUCAAUUCAUACCCUUUGAAAUUCGCGCAUUCUGUCGGUAUUUUUGUCAGUAAAAUUUGCCACCGACAACUUACCGACGGAUAAAUUCCAUCGGUAUGGACGUCGAUAAAGUUGUCGGUAUGGACGUCGGUGAUUGUGACAUUUUGGUGUAAUUAUUUUCAAACUCUCUGUGAUAUGCCGACGGACUACUGUCCGUCGGUAUGGACGUCGGUGAUUGUGGCAUUUCGGUGUAAUUAUUUUUGAACUCUCUGUGAGAUGCCGACGGACGGCUGUCCGUCGGUAUGGACGUCGGUGAUUGUCAAUGUACAAGAGUGUUGUGUUUGUAUUUUCUAUUUACCUUCCUGCAAAAAAUUCAAUGAUAAACUGUCCAUCGCACAAAACAAUAGCAACAAUGCUUAAACAAUAAAUAUAUAUUUCAUGUUUCAAAAUAUAUCAUCCAUAAUGUAAAUUACAUGAAGAAAAGGGUUUUACACAGGGCUUCGUUUUGAUAGUUAGUCAGAAUUCUUCUUCUUCGUCAUCAAUUGAAUAGUCAUCACCUUCAUCGCAAUCUUCAAUAUGGAUAUCAUCUUCUUCAUCGACAUUUGCUUGUCCGCUAGAGCUCAAAACAACUUCAACUCCUCUCGUCAACAUCAACAAGACUAUCAUCGAAAACUCGAAAAUUUGAAUUUUCUUCCAAUUCAAUCGAAGGAGCAACUCGAUAUGGUUCAACCAACUCACGAACUUGAAAGACUUCAUCUUUGUGUCUUCAUCCUGAACAACCUCGACACGACCCCGUGGUUUCGUUUUUAAAACGGACAACCAAUCAACUCUUGAUCGAUCCUUUCUAAAUGAAGGGGUGUAUGUGUAAUAAACUUGUUGACAUUGCUUUGCGAAAACAAAGACAUCGUUUAUGUUGCGGAGUCUAGCUUUUGAGUUGAUUUCGACCAGACCAUGGUGCGGAUCAACUCUGAUUCCUCUGUCCGUCGUGUCAUACCAAUAGCAUUUGAAUAAAAACACUUUAUUCUGCUCGCUAUGAUAUUGCAGUUCGACGACCUCUUCUAAUCUACCAUAGUAGUCAACUUCUAACUCUACUUGUGGAUCCCUUAACACAAACACCGCAGUUGUAUGUCUUUCUUCCUUGCCCGUAUUCUUCAGUAUGGAAAACAUAUCCAUUGACAAAAUACCCGUUGUAGCACUUAACUUUUCUUUCAGGGCCGAGGCUUAGUGAAGACAAUGACUUGGGCGCACUCCUUCCCAUUUGAUAAACCUUGUAUAUAUGUAAUGUACAUCAAUAACGGUAAAUGAACGAGAAUCUCGUAAUGACAUGCAUACGUACAUACGUUAGAAUGAGUUUGUGAUAGUGCUUACAUGUGUUCUGAACCAUGUGGCAAAUUGUUCAUCUUGUAAUUGAAAGAUCUGGGAUUCGGUCAGCUGCGAGUUAUUGGAGAGCAAAUAUUGUCGAUGUUGCCUGCAAGUGAUAAUGAGUGUAUGAUAUUACAAUAUAUAAUUAACAGUAUAUUACUGACAAAGUUUAAUUAGUAUUACACAUAUAUAGACUUACUGAAUAAAUGGUCUCAGCUCAUCACAGUUAAAUAGAACAUAGUUGUGUGCUUGUUUGAAUUCUAUUUCCGACAAAUAUCUUCCUCUUACGGCAUUUUUAGGUGUGGGUCGUCCAGUAUUGGAGAAUAUUGACAAGUUCCCACUGGAAGGCACUUCACCGCCAUCGUCAUGCCGUGGAACGCGAUUGAUUCUUGUUCUCAGAUGAGGUUCGAAAUAGUACGAGAUAAAUGUUGAUAUCUCUUCAACAAUAUAGGCCUCAGAUAUCGAAGCCUCAACAUGCGCCUUGUUCUUAACCUUUUUUUUAGAUUAAACAAGUACCUGCAUUGAAGUACAAUUCAAGUAUUUUCAAUUAAGAAAAACAUAGAAAAUACUUUAAGAUAUGAAUUCCAUUGCAACUGUAAUAUCUCACCGUUCGAAUGGGUACAUCCAUCUAUACUGGACCGGUCCUCCAGCUUUUGCCUCGAACGGUAGAUGUAUAGGGAGAUGCUCCAUUGAGUCAAAAAAUGAAGGAGGGAAUAUCAUCUCAAGUUUGCAUAGUGUCUCGAUGAUAUUCGUUUGAAGCAUCUCAAUGUGCUCAACAUUCAUCUUGCUGGAGCAUAUAUCUCUGAAGAAAUGACUGAUCUCCGUUAGUGCAUCCCAUAUUCCCUUUGGCAACAAAUCACGAAAAGCUAAUGGGAUGAGUGUUUGCAUAAACACGUGGCAGUCAUGACUCUUCAUUCCAUACAAUCUGCAGUCCUCUAUGUUAACAAGCCUUGAUAUGUUCGAUGCAUGUCCAUCCGGGAAACGCAGACUCUUAAGCCAUUUGUAGACUAGCAGUUGUGCGUUUUUCUCUAACACGAAGCUUGCCCUUGGUUUUGCAACCCGUGACUCGUCAUAAACCAACUCCAUAUUUUUACGGUUACAGUAUAAAGCUAUAUCCAAUCUAGCCUUCAUGUUGUCCUUUGUCUUCCCCUUCACAUCCAUGACGGUGUUGAAAAUAUUCUCAAACACGUUCUUUUCGAUGUGCAUGACGUCAAGGUUAUGGCGGAGAAGAUUAGUCUUCCAAUACGGAAGCUCCCAAAAGAUACUUCGCUUUACCCAAUUAUGGGUCAAACCAAAACCAGGAAACUUUUGCUUACCUGAUUGAAGGCCAAACACAAUGUCACCGUACUCUGAUACAACAUGAUGCAAUUCUUCACCAGAAAGACGCGGGGAUGCAACAUCUUUUUCAACUCUACCAACAAAGAAAUCUUUUUGUUCUUUCUGAACCUGUGAUUAAGUGGCAAGAAGCGACGGUGACAGUAAAAAAAGAAGCUUUACCUCCGUUUGCUAGCGUGAAUGCCUUGUUGUUUUCCAUGCAGUAUGGACAUGCGAGUUUCCCAUGCGUGCUCCAACCAGAAAGCAUUCCAUAAGCUGGAAAAUCACUGAUAGUCCACAUCAAAGCCGCCCUCAUAAGGAAAUUUUGUUUCCUCGAUAUAUCAUAAGUCAGAGAUCCGGAGGACCACAACUGCGCCAGCUCAUCAAUCAAGGUCGAAGACAAACAUCUAUAUUCCGCCCCGGGCUGCUUGGACCGGGUAUGACAGUAGAUAAAAACAUGAACUCCGGCCUCAUACACAUUCCCGGUGGCAAGUUAUAAACUGUGAGUAUGACCGGCCAACAAGAAUAGGGAGCAGCAAAUGACCCAAAUGGGUUGAUCCGUCUGUACACAACCCAAGAUGGACAUUCCUUGAUUCAGCUGAAAAGUCAGGAUGCACACUGUUAAAGCGUUUCCACGCUUCGCCGUCAGAAGGAUGCACCAUCACACCAUCAACCGCAUCAUGUGUUUGGUGCCAUGUCAUGUGCUCAGCAGUCCUUCGUGACAUGAAUAACCUCUGCAGUCUAGGUGUGAUCGGGAAAUAUCUAAGUUUUUUAUACGCCACUAGAGUCUUUCCCCUGCUAGUUCUGGGUUUGUAACGCGAAUGCCCGCAUGUCAUGUACUCGGUCAUCUUAGCAUUUUCAAGGUAGUAUAACAUGCAGAAUGUCACGACCCGAAUCCUGGAUCCGUGAACGGCAACGUAGGAGCGGUGUCGAAAGGACACCUCACCUACGCUAAGCCUCAGAACGGACAUCAAAAGAAUAAUUUGUUCAAAAAUACGCAGCGGCUCAUAAUAUUCAGAAAUAUUAUAUUAUUCAAAUACUGAUGAAACUGAAAGAUAAUUAUUAACACAAAAAUAAUAAUUCAUAAUACUCAUUACAUUGUCAAAAUCCAAAUUUAAUUAAACCAAGGUAACAGUGGAGCGUCUAAGACAUCAAAUCAAAACUGAAAGGAAAGCCUCGCGAACAAGCAAGGCAUACCGACCAGAACUGAAGAAGCGGAAACACUCAACAAAGUCCCAGAAACUAAGAACCUGAAAUAAUAUUAAGAAUGAGGGUGAGUUCAACCAACUCAGUGAGGGAAUAACAUUUAAUAUACAUUUCAGAUAUUAUUUGCAAGAUGAUUUAUCUUGAUAUACAUAUACAUAUACAUAUACUUACUAAACAUAAUAUCAUAACGUAAUAUAUUAUCAUAACGUAGUGGAUUACAUGUCAGAGAUCAGAUGACACCCGAAGGUGACCAGAUGACACCCGUAGAUGACCAGAUGACACCCGUCGGUGACCACUGUGGGAUGAUCAAUCGCCACAGGUUGAUGCCUCUCUCACCAACUAGGUAUACAUAAUAUGUGCACACAGGCUAACUAUUCUCCGUUAGCAUGGAGUACUGACAAGUCUCAUAUCAAGGCAUAACAGAUAUUCACAUAAUCAUCAAAGAAACGUAUAUCAUAUCAAAUAGAAUUUACUUUAACAGAUUGCGAGUGCAAAUUCAAUAAUAAAUGAGUACUCGGAAAAUAAAGCAACAUAUAUAAAUAUUCAAAAAAUUUACUAGUUGUACUCAUUGUAUAAUCAUCAUACAUAUUUAUUUAUAUUAUAUGCAUAUUAAAGAUUAUUUCACUCACCCGGAAAAUACUGAACUAAAGGAAUGUCAGACGAAAGACCCAAAAAUCUAAUUAAGGAUCGUUAGGAGAACCUACAAUAAAUAUAUGAAAUAUACUCAAAAACAAAUCAAACAAAAGAUCCCAAUGCAUAAAAUAAAACCGGGCUUAAUCUCCUAGGUUUAGGGACUAAAACGACAAUUUUCCAAAACAGGGACCAAAACGUAAUUUUACCAAAAUUUGAGGACCGAAUUGUAAAUAUAUAUCCAUACUGAAAUUUAUCCAUAAUUCGUCCUUAUCUUUUUCCAGAAUCUUGAAUUAUGCCCCAAGGUCCAAAAUGUGAUUUUAUCAAAAUAUUAGGGGUCAAAUCGUAAUUUGUCAAAUUAGAGGACCAAACUGAAAAUAUUAAUUAUACUGGAAUUUUGUCCUUAAAUCAUCCUCAGUUCUGUUCAGAACCUCAAUUUAUGCCCCAGGGACCAAUCUGUAAAAUUUCCAAAGUUCGAUGACUAAACUGCAAUUUUCACAAAUUGAGGGACCAAAUUGAAUUUUCGUCAUCUUCAACCUCAAACUCAGAAUUUCAACAGAUCACCUACUGUUAUCCCCUGAUUUCUAACACAAUUUCACCAUUUAAACAAAAUCAUAACUCAAAAUCAUUAUCCUUCAAUUCAAUCUCUCAAAAUCAACUAAUUAAUCAAAUACCCACAAUAAUCAACUCCUAACCUUCAAAUUAAUUCAUCAAUUAACUCAAAAUACAAACUUCAAAACUCUACAAUUAAUCAAAACCGAAAUUUAACAUAUUAUACACUUCAAACCAUAAAUCUUACCUUUUUACUUAUUUCCUCUACUUCUCUUCUCCUUCCUUUCCUUCUCUCCUUUCUUUUCUUCUUCUUCCUCUUUUCUCUCUUACGGUUUGUUCUUCCAAUAUUCAGAUCCCUCUUUUUUUUUUUCUUAUUUAUAUUUAUCAACUAUUGGUCAAUUACCACACUACCCUUCAAUCAUUUAUACUUACUCUUUAAGCCACCAAGGGCUUAUUGUAUUUUCCAAUCGUUUUAAUACAAAACAUCACACAGAAGUUAGGGCACAUGUCAAUUUUCUGGUAUCCUAAACCGAAGGGUUUCAUCAUGGACUUCGCAGCAUAGAAGUUCUCUUUCAGCCUGUUCCCUUCAGGUAAAAUGCUUCUUGCCCAAUCAAUAAUUUUUUCAUACCCGGCCUCACUCGGCCCGUGAUCUGACUUGAUGGGGAACACUUGUGCCACAGCUGACAAUUUACUGUGGUUUGUGCAGCCAUCCCAUAAUGGUUUGUCAGAAUCUUUCAACAAAUCAAAAAACCUAGCUGCCUCUGCAUUAGGUUCUUCUUCUACGAUUGGACAUUGACUGACAUUACCUUGAUUCAUUCUCAUUGCAUCCAUAACCAUGUUUCUGUAAGGAUUAGUGUUGUCAUUUGCCGCUUCAUGCACGUUGCUACCACUAGAAGUUGACUCAACCACCAUUUCUCUUAUUCUCCUAUUACUAACAAAUACCUCUCCAUGUGCAUACCAACACUGGUAAUCCUCCACAAAUCCUUUGUGUAGAAGAUGCAUCAUUACAACAUCUGGAUGGAUAUACUUUUUAUUUUGACACUUCCUGCAUGGACACCUAAUACCGUCUCCAGUAAAAUUUCUGGGAAUAGAUGUUGCGAAAUUAAUAAAACCCUGAACUCUGUUACAAUAAUCCAUCCUCUGCAAUCCUUGGGGUGAAUCUAGAUACAUCCAUGAACGAUCAUCCAUGACUUCUAUCGAACCUCUAUAAAAUUAUGAUGACAUCAUGUAUAUAUUAAUUAACUAAGUUAGGUAAAUAAACUUGUACAUAUAUUACUUUACCUCGAAAUUAUCCAACAAACCAAUCACAACUUCUCAUAAAUAUUAAAUAUCCAUUAUCAUUUAUCAACGUCCAUACAAAUUAUUAUAUAUAUAUAUAUAUAUAUAUAUAUAUAAAUUAACAGAAAUUACUACUUUGCAAUACCAUCGAUAAAACUUAAAAAGGACUCACUAAGCAAGCUAUUAAUUAUUUCAAAACAUAACAUGUAAUUCGGUAAUUCCACAAAGUUUUAACAAUUUACAAACAAAUACAAUCUUACAAAAUCUAAAACAAACCAUAAUAGGUAUAAAAUUAUACAUUCAUAAACUACAAGUUUGUUUGAGAAAUAACAAUAAAACAUGUACAUCUACUAAUAAAAAUACAUAUACUAAAAAAACAAUAAAAUUGACAUUUAAAUGUUAAAAUUUAAAAAGAUAGAAUUACUUACAAAAAUUGAUAAAAUCCGUCGGUAAAUCAGAACACGGAUGUUGUGACCACAAAACUUCAAGAAAUACAAUUGCUGAGAUGAGAAAGAUUUUUGUUUGGGGGCGAGGGGGGGCUGGUUAUUUGCAGAUGGGGAGACUUAGGAUUAGGAAGAAGGAGAAAUGGGGAGGAGAGUGUCGGCAGGGCGGCCAUAUAUUCACUUUUUCUGACGGACUCACCGACGGAAUAACACCGUCGGUGACUCCGUUGCUAAUUGUGACGGGGAAUCGACACGUCACCGCACGGACCGCUUUUUCAAAUCCCUCGGUAUUUUUUUACGGUGAACGUGUCAUGUCACACGUACAGAUCUGGCAUUCAAAUCCGUCGGUGAUUCCGUCGGUAUUUUUGACGGUGAACCGGUCACGUCACCCGUAUGGGUCCCAGGGUUUGAAUCCGUCGGUGAUUCUGUCGGAAAAAUCACCCGCCAAAACCUCCGCCUCAGGUACCCGCCGUUUUUUCAUUAAUUCUGAACUUUCCGUCCAUAAUUUGGUCGGUAAUUACCGACGGUUAUAUUCCGUCGGUACUUACCGACAGAAUUACGGACGGAAAAAUUCCGUCAGUAAUUUCGAUCGAAAAAUACCGACAGAAAUAUGCCGUCGGGGAAUCCGUUGGUACUUUUGCAUGCUACAUGGAUAGGAUAGUCGCCUUGACGGUUUGUUUCAUAAGCACCAUCGUGAAACUUCUUUAAUAGGAAUCGAACUCCUUCCAGAAAUCCUAUGGAUGAUGCAUAAUGCAGUGAAUUUCCAAACUCUUCCUCGGUGAGACGUAAUAGCUCU